CUUUGAAAUGGUUGAUACCAAGACCCAAAGUCUUGAGCAAAGUCAAAUUUUCAAUUUCUGUAGGUAUACUUCCCUCCAAGGAGUUGUUAAACAAUGAUAAAAACUUCAGCUCUUUGCACUUGAAUAAACUAUUUGGAAUUCUACCGGUCAUUUGAUUCCCACCCAAGCUCAACCUUUCUAGUUUUGACAAAUUGCCUAGAGUAGAUGGGAUAACACCAAUGAAGUUGUUAAGGUAUAGAGACAAUGUUUGAAGUUUACUGAAGCAACCAAACCAUAAUGGGAUUUCUCCAUUGAAGCUAUUGUUACCAAAGUCCAAAUAUUUCAUCCGACGCAAAUUAGUUAACUCAAUGGGUAAAGAGCCUAGGAAACUAUUUUGAUGAAUAUCGAGCCAAGCAAGGAAAGAUAGAUUUCCCAAUUGAGAAGAAAUGGUGCCUGUGAGAUCCAUGCUUGACAAAUUCAGAGCAGUGACCCUAUAGUGUUUAGAUCCACAUGUGACACCAAUCCAGCUACAAAAAGAGGUAGAAGUAGACCAAUUGGUUGUCAAGAAAUUGUGAGGAUCAUGAGUUAUAUGAGAUUUGAGUGCUAGAAGAGCAGAUUGAUCAACGGUGAUGCUAGAAUAUUUUGCAGACAAAAUAACCCCAAAGGUUGCAAAUAGCAGCCCAAACAUAAACGGAGGGAGGAAGCUUGGUUUUUCCAUAAGGUUGGAUAUGGGUGUAAGGCGCAUCAUAAGGAGAGAAACAACCGAGUUUAAUACUUUCCUAAUGUUAGUUCAAUACUUCGUAAGUUUAUAGUAAUUCCAACUGCGAGAUGAUCACAAAUUCCAAUUGGCAAUUGGAAAAUGAGAGAGAUGUUUAUGUUUUUUUUCAUUUUCAAAUAUAAUAAAGGCGAUUGACGGAAGGGAAAACUUUCUCCUUGGUUUAAAAGUCCAGAUAUCAAUUACAAGACAUAAAAAACAAAGACAAGUAUUGGGGGCCAGCAGAUUGAAACUAUUUGAUUUAGUCUAAUUAUUACAACAUGUUUGAUUGAAACUAUUUUGUAAUCUCUGAUUAAAUAAAUAUUGAGAGGAAAAGACUUAAAUUUUCUCUUUUUCCUUAGCUAUAAAAUUGAAUUUCUAGUUUGGAUUACAUGCCUGUGGUUCUCAUCUCUAGUUAUGUAAGGCUGAGUCGCUGUUAGUUGGAUGGACCUACAUUGAAAACAUGAAUUGAAAAGAUAAGUAAUAGAAACUUUGUCAUAUUUAGACAAAUAUCAACCACAUCUUUAUUAACUUUUUACAUUUCUUAUCCCAAUAUUCAAAACCAAACAAUAAUACAUUCAUUGCAUGUUCCUUUUCUCAAAUAUCAUUUUAUUUAAUGUCAUUAGAGAUUACUCUAUUCUUUUUUCUUUGUGAUAAAAAUUAUUAAACAAAAAAUUAUUACAAAUGUUGUAGGAAUCUAUCCUUUGAGAUUGUUUGAUUCUAGUUUUUGACAAAUUGCUCAAAGUUGAUGGGAUAAAACAAGUGAGUUUGAUGGUGUUCGGAAACAAGCUUCGAUGUUUAGUGAGAUCAAAAUUUGUUGGCAAAUUAAAUUACUCAAUGGGUAAAUAUCCAUGGAAGUUAUUGUCCUAGAGUGGGGCUGGACUUGGAUGGUGUCUGCGAGACUCAUUUUUAUCAAAUUCAAAGUGGCAGUAAUAUCGAUUAAAUUACAACUAGAAAUAAAAACAGAUCAGUUGAUUUGGUUGCGAAGAGGUUUCGAGGGUCAUGCUUUUUCCCUAUCAUCCCAAGUACUACUAAGUCAGUACCCCUCUAAAUGGGGAGAACUUUGUUGAUGUUUCAUUGGUUUAAAAGUCCAAAUACCAAUUGUAAGGCAUCAAAACAACAAAGACAAGUACUGGGGACCAGCUGAAGAGAGUGAGUGACAUGGUUUGAUUUAGAGUCUCAUGAUUGCAACAUGUUUGAUCGUGAUAUGAUUGUAAUGUCUAACAAAAUAUAUACCAAGAUGGAAAGACCUUUUUUUCUAUAAAAUCUAAAUUUCUAGUUUUGAAGACAUGCCUUUGGUUCUCAUCUCUUACUUGUUCUGCACGGCUAAGUCGCAGUUGCUUCGAUGGGCCCAUGUUGGAAACAUGAAUUGAAAAGAAUGCCAACAAGUAAUAGAAACUUUGUAAUAUUCAGAUAGAUCAAAUUAAGCUUUGUGUGGACCAUUCUCAAAUAAUUACAUUGGCAAUCCUGAAUUUAACAAUCUAACCAUUGAAUUUAACAAUAUAAUUAUAGUUGCCUUGCAUUUAAAAUUUUGAAUUAAUCUAAUACCUCUAUCAUUUCAGUCCAAAACUUUGUUUAUUUCAUAUAUAUUAUAUAAAGCAAAGUUUAUAAGUGUUUUUGAAUGUAACUAAGUAAGCAUGUUUCUUCUACCGCGAGUCAAAAGUUUGCAGCAAUUUUAGCCAUUUCGUACACUAUAUAUCAUUAUAUUGUUGCCUUAAUUAAAGCAGAAUAAUAUAUAUUUCCAUAAGUUUUUAAAAAUAUCAUAAAUUUCCAUUGGGAAUUUUGUUGGUGUAUUCUAAAUUACAUAAUAAUCAGAAAUAUGAAAGAUUUCCAUAUGUUCUCGCCUUUUAGUAUAAGUAAUAAUAAAAUUUUUUAUUGAUUCACCUUUACUACGAAAAUAAAAAUAAAAAAUUACAAAAUUAGUACCGUAAAUCAAUUUUGGUUUAAAAUUUUAAACCUACAUAUUAAAGAUCUCCUAACAAUUUUACUUUAUAAGAGCACAGUUUAUGGAAUAAUUUUUAUAUCCAAUCAAAGGCUUUUCAUUCUUAUAAAUAUCGGAAAUUAUAAAGCUAAUCUUUAUGUAGAAAAUCUGAUAGGUAAGUAGCAUAGCAUCCAUCUAAUAGAUUAAGAAAUCUGUAGUCUAAUAAAUUAUAAUCUUCUUUGAUCUCGUUUGCAUAACAUCCAUCUAAUUUUGAGAAAUCUUCUCUUUUAAUUUCAAAAUUGUAAUUAAAUUGUUUUAUCCAAUUAAAUAAUAAUAAUAUAUGGCUAUGGUGAUGUCUAUAAUUUCAUAAAAUAAUUACUCUAAUCUAAUCCAUGUCUCUUCCUUUCUGGUUUAUCAAGCAAUAAAUUCCCUUCGAUUUCACCUAACUUGUUAUAAUAAUGUUUUUUUAAAUUAGUUAAAGAAGAAAAUUUGUGAUGUUAUACUUAAAUUGAAUCUUUCGAUUUAAUAGGAAUUGAUUUUAAAUUAGAAAGAUCAAAAUUUAAGUAGAAUCACUUAGGGAUGCCAGUGGGGCAAGUUUUGCGGGUCCCGCCCUACUUUGUGCUCAAUUGACAGUGAGAUGAGGACAAAAAUUAAACCCGUUGUGAGUGGUGGGGUAGGCGUGGGUAUGACCUUGUACCUACCUCAUCCCCACCUACCCCAUCCCAUCCCGCAUAAUAUAAUAAGCAUAUUUAAAAAAUAAACAUUUAUAAAAAAAUAAUUUAAUAAUUAUUUUAAUAGUAUUUAAUUUUUGCUCUUGUGUUGCAUUUGAAGAUAUUUAUGAUGUAUUUGAGAUAUUGUUUAUAUUUUGAUAUUAUGUAAUGACUUUAUUUUUUUGAAUUUUUAAACUUGAAAUUAUAUCUUAUUUAUCAAUUAAAGGUCGUAACGACUUACCUUUUUUUUUAAAUAGUGACAGUUAAAAUAAUGUCACAUAUGUGGUGGGAGUUUGGAGGAUAAAUAUUUUAUACUUUUGUCACAAAAAGUUUGUUUAUUUUAUUUAACUGAUACUUAUAAAUAUAUUAUACGAAGUGGGUCAUAAGGCAAGUAUAGUGGGGAUUAGGUGGGUUUGAGACCCACAUGGGUGGUAGGGAGAGGAUGAAUUUGAGUUUUGUACCCGUAACGGGUCACAGGACAGAGAUGGGAUGAAAAUUCUUGGUGGGGAUGGGGAUGAAAACGGUGUAAGUCAAAGUCUGUGUAAUUUGUAGUAAUGCAUACCAAGAAGGAAUCUUCUACCCUCUCUCUUUCUAUUUCUGUGUAUUGUUUGUUUGGAUGUGUUUUGUCUUGUGUUGAUCUGAAUUGUUUUGUUCCAGUGAUGUUAAGCCUUUGACAAGUAAUACGAGUAAUAUUGGGCUCCAACCACAAUACACAGUAAAGAAUGAAAGCCAGAAAAAUGCAAGACUGCAUGUCUACACCAUUACUUAUUUUUUUCUUUGUGAUAAAAUUUAUUAACAACAAAUGCUAUGCUUGUUUUAUGGAUAAAGUAAUGUUUAUUUAAUAUAUCCCCAACAAUAUCAGUCUGAUUUACUGAAAAAUAUAUAUAUCCACAACAAUGAAUUAAUUUCCAGUUAUACGUCUCAUCUAAUAAUAAUAUUUUCACUAUUACCAAAUAUUUUCUCUUUUAAUAAUUGUUUAGAAAAUGGCUUUCAAGAUGAAUUUAGACAAAUAGUUUAGUAGUAGAUUAAAUUCUUUGGAUAUAUUAACCAAAUCCACACCAGCAAAUUUUACCUAUGAUGGAUUCAAUUGAACAUAUAAAAUAAUAACUUGUUAGAAGGGUUGAUUAAUUGGAAGGCAUAGAAUGGGUUAAUCAAUUAGAAAACUAGAAUUUAUAAAACUUAAGGAUAUAAUUUUAUAUUGGAAUUGUUCAGUGGGAUGAAGAAUAAAUUUCAAGUAGCAAAAGGAUGGAGCCAUCUCUCUCCCUUCCAUAUUAAGUCUUUUGCAAAUCUUCAAGAAUAGGCUGAUGUACAAUUAUUUUACUUUGAAUGCAUGAGUCUAUGGUAAGGAAGGGGUCCCAGCAGUAAGGUAAAAUGGUAAGUGUUGAAACAGAAAAUAAAAGAAAUGUAACCGCUGUGGGUCUUAUGGAAUUAGUAUGAUUUAACGAUGACGGGGUCUUAUGGUGCUUUGGAAUCAUCGUUUUUUUUAAGAUGAUUUGAUUUGGUGAAAGGGAGAGGGCCCGAUGUGGGUAUUUGGUUGCAUAUUUAUUGUUGUACAAAAAUCUUGCUAGUUGGAGGAUCAACUUUCCUUUUAAUUUUAAUAAAAAUUAUAUAUGAACUUGUGAACUUGUAUUCAAAUUGAAUCUUUCCAUUGAGUCGCUCUUGCAAGUCAAUGCAGCAAUCAUGAACCAUAUUAUUAAUACCCAGCUAAGAUCGUGGACGUUUUCUACUCUAUAUCUUUCUCCUAAAUGCUUCAUUCCAGUGAAAAGUGCUGCAAUUCCUACGGGAAUGGCACCUUUGCCAAUAAUUACAUGGAAAUACUCCCAAAUUAAUUAAUCUCUUUGUGGAAGCGUCCUCCCCAUUAGCAGGUUUCUCCGGUCUGAGAUAUGCAUUCAUUGGUUGCACAGAGGCAGAAACUAUGGCAACAAUACCAAGCUGAACAUGUAACGAGCUGACAUAGAAACCCCGAAGUUCGGCAACUGCAAAAAGAACACCAAGUAUAAUAAUUGCUAAUCCUGAAUAUUGUAGGUAAAUAUGAAUUUGGUACCAUCCAUCACCCUUUACAUGUUUUAGGUAUCUAGCAGCCAAUAUUCCACCAGGAAUCAAAAUACCCCAGGAGAGGAACAGCAUAAACCCAUGUACAGCUUUGACAGGUUGUAAACCUUGCUCAGCCUCGGAAGAACCACGGAUAAGCAGCACUUGCACUGACAGUAUGCAUGUUUUUCUCACUGAGAUGUUCAUCAGUCCACUUUGAACCCAUUGCCCAUAUGACUUUAAGAGGAGUUGUAGGAUGAACAAUGUUCUUGCACUCUGGCUUAUCAUUUUGAUUGCAUGAUGGUUUUAAUGGACGUGUGAAUUCCAAAGUAAUGAUGCCAUCUUCUGACCUGCACCUGACGUGUGUCAGAUUCUCAUUUGUUGGAUGGAUGUUCAAGGGAUACUUUCCAUCAAUGCAAUAUGUAUUUAAAUGCCAUUUUCCAGUAUCACCAAUCCAGCCCACAUAUGCAUAGCUAUUCACCAUCCCAUUACCGAAACCUAUUGCAAGAUAGCCACUCUUAUUCACACCAAGGGCAGCAAUAGUUAUUGAAUCUUCUGAUAACGUCCAAAAGAAAGUAACUUGAUCAUCUAAAUGCACACUAGUGUUAUACAUAUCAGACAGGGCACCAUCAAAAUCUUGAACUUUCCAUCCCAUCUUCUCUUGGUACAAGGAUUGAUAAUACACUUGAUCGGGGGUAUUCCUAUCAGGAACCGAAAUCAAUUCGUGAGGAUUUGCUACAACUCCUUCCGCUUCUGGCUCUCCAGAAUAAAUAGUCUCAGUUGCAUUCCUUAAUGUAGCAUUCCCACCUAGAGAAUCUGAAGUAAUAUACAAUGCAACAUCAUGCCCUACUUGCACCAAAAACUUAACUGGAACCCCUCUUUCCACUCUCAACACCGGUGCUUACUUAUUAUUAAUACACAAAACCUUAGUCAGACUUGGUGGAUUUGGAUAAUGCAACACCUCCCCUGUUGUAGCAACAAGGGAGACUUCUAUAUCAGCAAUAAUCAACUAUUGAUCCUCAGUAUCAUUAGCAUCCAAUGGCCCGAAACAAUCAUCUACCUUCUCUGAAACAUGAAGCACCAAAUGUCCUUAUCCAACCUUCUCUGGACCCCCAUGAAAUUGGGGCAAAAAAUGAGACCGAUUUUCAUUCGGUGGUUUCAUCAACCCUAAUGCCUAAAUAACCCUCAGAUCCUCAUUAGGAUACACAGGCAAAUCAUACUUCUUAUUUGUCGAAUUCAAUGGUUUCCUAAACAUAAUUAAAGAAACCCCAUCUCUCCUAUGUCCAUAAACCAACAUAGUAUUAUUCACCAUUAUGCCAUUUUUCGAGUUCUCAUAAACUACAUCAGGGAAAACACCUAUAGCUGUACGAUCUUUAAAACUCAACUUACAUUCACUAUAAGCCGUAAUGUAAAAAUCAUCAACAAAAGGCCUACCUUCCUCAGUAAAACUUGCCACCGUAACAUCAGCUUCGGACAUCAGCUCAUUCGUCCUAUUCAGAUUCGCCCACCCAAAUGCCAUGUAAUAGGUCGUCGGUGCCCCUGCUUUUAACCCGAUCUCGAUCCAAUUUUCCUCCACAUUCAAGUUCCACCGGACCCUAUAAUUAUUCGAAAAAUUCUUACAGUUAUCAAACACUGUAUACACCAUGUUUGAAACCAAAUCUGACUCGUUUCGAGGGAGGGUGACAUGGCCGAAGUCUGAGGUGCUGGCGAUGUCCCAGAUUGAAAGAACGUUGAUCUGGUCCCAGGUUAUGUCGGGGAGCAAUUGGACUGAAAAUGAUGCAUUUUUGUAAGCUGUUUGAUUGAGGCGUUGAUCGGAGAUAGGGAACCCGCUGGUGAGGUUAGAGAAGUUGAGGGAGACGGCACCCCAAAAAACGAUGUCAGAUGAGCCAGAUAACAUGUCAAAUAAUUAUUCAUAAAUUUAUACAUUCUUUGCAUAUUCUUGGGUACCUACAAUAGGUCCUUGAAUAUCAACGACAUGAGUGACGCUGCUACAGACUCAGAAUCUCCUUUUGAGCGAGACAUGUGUUUAGAGGGAUCUCAUGACUUUGAAAAUGACAUAGAUUGUAGCCCAUCUCCGGACUUGUUAAGGAUGGUAGAACAAGAUGAAAAACAAAUCCUACCUUACAAAGAAUCAAUGGAGUCCAUGGCUUUUCUCUAUGUGGGGCAUGGAUGUCAUUAGGCUGAUUUUGGCAAAAGCUUCUAGCGGUCAAGAAUUCAUCUUUGCAGCCGUCGAUUACUUCACUAAGUGGGUGGAAGCUGCUUCAUAUGCUAAUAUCACAAAGUCGACUGUCAGCAAAUUUUUGAAAAAAUCAUAUGUCGGUAUGAAAUGCCAAAAAGGAUCAUAUCCAACAAUGUACUAAAUUUGAACAACAGCACGAUAUCAAAAGUUGGCUGUCUGUUCAAGAUUAACACCAUAUCGCCCCAAAGUGAACAGUACAGUGGAGGUAAAAAAAAAGUGAACCUCUACCGGGGCAACAUCUUUCUCUUUGGCUUAUUGCAAUUUUUUACCCAUUGAAGUCGAGAUUCUUUCAUUGGAACUUUUUGUGGAUCUAAUCUCGAUUGAAGAGGAGUGUUCAAAGUUAUCUGUCAUGGUCAAAUAUACCAAAAGCAAAUUAUGCAAGCUCACUAAAAAAGUUUGCCCCAAAGAAUUCCAUGAGAGAGAUCUAGUAACGAAGAAGAUUUUUCCCAUACAAAAAGAACUUCAUAAGAAAAUGGAUGUCAAACUCGGAAGGACCUUAUAUGGAAGGUCUUAUAUAGAAAAGUGUUGAUUUUGAUCAGAAGGGAUAACAAGGACAUGCCUAAUCCUAUGAGUUCAGAUUAAAUCAAAAAAUAUUUCAAAAAAGAGAGAGAAGAAGAAAAGAAUAGAAAAAGAAAAAGGAAAGGCCAAGGUGAAAACCAGCAAAGGGCGCCUUGAGACCAAAAGGGAUUUGAGUUGAAAAUCCGCAACGGGUGGCUCAAGUUUUGGAUAAAAAUGGGGCAUGAAGGGAUCAGAGCAACUCAAAUUUUAAUCAGAUUGGAGCAUGUGGUGAUCUUGCUAUACCUGAAUCAAUAAGAAAGGGUAGAUGACAUCUUGGGGCAUCGACAAAGUCCUGUAGAUCUCCUAAACACAUGUUAAACUCAGAAUGGUCUUUCAAAGAGUUUGUAUACAUAAGUUCAAGCUACGAUAUCUGGGGCACCUAAUCUUGAUACUAUUUAUAUUGAAUUUGCUAUCUUGGAAUACUUUAUUCUUUUUCAAGAUACGUGUUCCCAAUCAAUUCCUCUUUUAUUCUUACUAUCCUUGAUAAUUUAUUAAUUUCGAGCCAUGCUCCCAAAUCAAUUCUAUUUUAUCCAUUGUUAUGGUCUUUUUGUAAGCAUGUUACAUUAGAAUAACAAUUAAUGGAUUGAAUAUUCAAGCAAAAGAAGUUUUGCAUAUUACUCUAGAAGUUUCUAAAUAAUAUAGGAACUUGAAACAGGACUAUUGUUUAGAACACACCAAGUUUAAAGGUUGAAAUGUCUAAGGAGGAAAAGUCUAAAUUAAGACUACCCAUUCGAAUUUUAUUGUCAAAAUAUUGAUUGAAAAAAAACGACAAGAUGUCAUGUUGGUGACAAGCUUCAAUGAUCACCGAGUGAUAAAAAGAGGUUUCUCGGAAGAGAAAGUUCUACAGUUGAGCAUAAACAUUUGGUACGACACCCUGAGAAUGGUGUAGGAGACCAAAAGGAUUCAAAUCCUAUAUCCUUGAAUUACAGUGGGAGAGGAUUAAGAAAGCCAGAUCUUAUACUCAAUGGGAGGAAGACAGUUCAAAUUUUAUGUCCCAAAGGUACAGUGAAUUGAACCUUGAAAAUUACAGUGGGGGCAAUCCGGUUAAGUAAGAUAUGAGCAUUACCAACCGGAAAAGAUAGCAUUCUGACAUGUUGGCAAUAAAACCUUAUUGAACAAUGAGCAAUAACAACUCAAACAUUGAGGAAUCAUUUUCAUGACAUUUUGCAUUCAUGCAUGCACAUUUAGUUAGGAGAUUUUGAUUCGUUCCGAUCAUACUAUUCUAAUCACUAGGCAUAAAUAGGCCCAUGAAAUGGAUUCUAUAGGUUUUGUUCCAGUGAUGUUAAGCCUUUGACUAGUAAUAUGAGUAAUAUUGGGCUCCAAAUAUUCCGAUCAUAAUAUUCUAAUCACUAGGCAUAAAUAGGCCUCUGAGAGGGAUUCUACAGGUCAUGUUCCCCAGAGAACAGAUCGGUGAAACCAAAAAUCUUUUCUCCCUGAAGUUGCAGUGGAGCAGACUGAAGGUAGCGAAUCUUAUUUCCCUGGCUUUGCAGUGGAACAGAUUAAAGCUAAAGGUAGCGAAUCUUGUUUCCCUGGCAUUGCAGUGGAAUAGAUUAAAGCUGAAGUAUAGCGGAUUAAAGCUGAAGGCAGUGAAUCCUAUCUCCUUGGCUUUGCAAUGGAACAGAUUAAAGCUAAAGGUAGCAAAUCUUGUUUCCCUGGCAUUGCAGUGGAAUAGAUUAAAGCUGAAGGCGGUGAAUCCUAUCUCCUUGGCAUUACAGUGGAAUAGAUUAAAGCUAAAGGUAGUGAAUCUUGUUUCCCUGGCAUUGCAGCGAAGCAUAUUAAAGCUGAAGGCAACGAAUUGUAUCUCCUUGGCAUUAAAGACUAAAGACAACAAAUCUUAUCUCUAAUUGAAGCCAGACUACAAAUCUUAUAUCUCUAAAGUUGCAGUGGAGCAGAUUAAAGCCAAAAACCUUAUCUCUCUGAAGUUGCAGUAGAGUAGGUUGAAAGAAACUAAUCCUAUCUCCCUGAAGUUGCGGUGGAGCCACAGAUCUUAUUUCUCUGAAGUUAUAGUAGAGUAUACAAAAGAAACCAAUCCUAUCUCUCUGAAUUUGCAGUGGAGCGGAUUAAAAUGAUGGAUCUUAUCUCUCUGAAGUUGCAGUAGAGCAUAUCGCAUCAGACUUUAUUUUCUUAAAGAUGCAGUAAAUCAAGUUGAAGCUACAAGUCUUAUAUCACUGAGGUUUCAGUGUAGCAGACUAAAAAUUGCAUAUCUUAUCUCUCUAAAGUUGCAUAGAGCAGAUCAUAGCAAACAUUAUCUCCCUGAAGUGCAGUGGAGCAGUUGCAGUAUAGUAGAUUGAAACAACACUUCCUAUACCUCUGAAUAUGUAGUGAAUUGGAAUGAAGCUACCUUAAGAAGAAAAGCAUCAAAGUAAGUCAAGAUCUGGUGAGACCGGGCAAAAUUGGUCCUUUUUGAAGUCUUUGCUCCGUUCUCGUUACACGACAAUGAGCAAAGAGGGGCAACUGUAGUGACCCAUUUUUGCCCGGGGCCCAAUAUGACCCAAACAAAACCAAACACAAAAUGAAAACAAAACCUAAACUAAUUAGCAGCCCAUUUUACAACUGGCCCAAACAGCCCAAACUAAACCUAACAACCCUAGCCCAACAGAAUCAGAAAAAUGAAUAGUAAAAAAAAUACCCUAGGUGCACCGCACCUAGGUCUUCUGACCCCUAGCCGCUAGCCUGCCUGCACCGCCUCUGCAACCAUCACAGCAGGCCUCUGGCACCUACAAAACAGAGAAUAACACGCAACAACAAAUGCAAUAAAAAACAACAUGGAAACGGACAAAAAAGAAGAAGCAAACAGUUUUCGAUUCGGCUAUAAAAGCCCGAACUUUAUCUUUUUAUUUUUUUACCAGCACCAGUGAAUCAAAAUAGCAGAAAAGUCUUAAAAAGUGUUUAGAUCUUUUAUUUUAUUUUAUUUUAUUUUUUUUCUCUUCGUGUUCUUGUUCAUUUUUUAUGUUUGUUUACUAUUUUUUUAUAUAUGGAACUAUCUCAACAAAAAACGCAAUAAAAGAAAAAAAGGGAAGGGGUACCUAUCGGUUCUGAAAGCCUAUUGCCGGAGGCCUUCUUUUGGCAUUGGAAUCGGAUCGAAAAGGGUGUGAAAGAUCCCAUCUAUUCGGCCUUUUGGGUCAAGAGAAUUGGGUUUCUAACAAGGAUUUGGAACGGGGUUAAAAAACCCAAUCUUUGCCUAGCUCCGACCACCGCCUGCGGCGGCGCGGCCGUUCGCUGGUGGUGACCAUGGCCGGAGGAGGGGAAAGGUUUUGAAAGAAAAAGAGGAAGUUUUUUAAAAAUUUUUAAAUGGUGGUAGAAAUGAAUUUUUUUUAAAAAAAUUGGGCUUAAAUAGCCCCUUAAAACAGCGCCAUUUCAUCUGACCUCCCUAGGCGCCAAAACGGCGUCGUUUUGGGGAGGUCGACCCGAAAUCGACCCGACCCAGGCAGGAUCCGUGUGUUUUUUUAGCGGAAGGGAUAAUUGCGCCUUCAUCCCUUCCGUUUUUUAAUUUUUUUAAAUUAGGUUUUUUUUUAUUUUUUUUAAUUUUACCUCGCGUUUUCAGCGAUUUCAAUUUGGUCCUCGCUAGACGACGCCGUUUUGGAGGAGAAGGGAAAAUUGCCCUUUUAGUCCCUCCAUGUUAUGCGCGCAUUCAGAAAGGUCCCCUAUUUUUAUUUAUUUGCAGAUUUGCCCCCCAAAGUUCUGUUUUAAGUUCAAAUCAGUCCCUUUUUGUUACUUUUUGCUAUUAAAUUAAUUAAUUUUAAUGGUGUUAUCAUUAUUUUUACCAUUAUUAUUAUUUUUAAUAUUACUGUUACCAUUAUUGCGUUUAUUAUUAUUACUUACCUUAUUAUUAUAAUUAUUUUCUCAUUCAUACUUUUUUUUUAAUUUAAUUUCAAAUUUAGUUAUAUAUAUGCGUACAUACUUUUUCAUAUUAUCUAUAUCUAUGUACACGUGUAUAUAUAUAGAUAUAUAUAUUUAUAUUUUAUAUACAUAUCUACAUAUCUACAUAUAUAUAUAUAUUAUAUUUUCAUGAAUACAUAUACAUACUUAUAUAUAUUUUUUAUAUUUUAUAAUUUUUGUAUGCAUAUAUAUACAUACAUAUAUAUCUUUUUACAUUUUUAUAAUUUUAUUCAUCUUCUUUAUUUAUUUAUUUAUUUAUUUACGUUUUCAUUAUUAUUUUGAAAGAAUGUUUUAAUUUUAUUUGCUUAUAUACUUGUUAUUUUGUAUGAUAUUGAUUUGUCCUUUUAUUUAUCUUAUUUUGUUGCUAUUGCUCGUAUUAUUUUUACAUUAUCGUAUUCAUUAUUGUUUUGUUACGCAUAUUAAUACCAUGUUUUAUUUCUACCAUUUCGCGUUAGAUUAAUUCUAUUUUGAUGCAUGAAUUGCGACUUUAAAAUAAUUAAAAUUUCGUAUUUUGAUUUGAAAAGAUCGUACCCUAACUUACGGGGUUUCGAUUUUCUCGGUAUAUUCAAAUAAACGAUUGUUUUUUUAACAAAAUUUUUUAAAAUAAUCUCGAGAAUUAAGAAAAUCAUAUUCUAACUUACGGAGUACGAUGUUUUUCUAAAUUCGAGAUAAUCGAGUGUCUUUCAAAUAAGUAAAUUUUUCGGCAUAUAUUCUCGUAUCGGGAAUUCGAUACAUUGUGUCCUAAUGCAUUGGAUAUGACAUGUUGUUUUCCCGAGAUGAGGAUUUUUCUAAAAAAUAAUAAAGGCAAUAUUCAAUGUUUGAAAUUUUGAGAAAUUGUGCCCUAACGUAUUGGGCUGCGAUUUCUUCAACUGAAUUAAACAAUUGAAUAUCCUUUUAAAUUUUAUUACACGAGUUGUUUUAGGACAAGCUCAUUUUUGAGGAGGUGAAAUAUCAUGCCCUAACUCAUUGGGUUUGAUAUUUUCUCUCUCCAAAAUGAGAGGGUCUUAACGGGUAAUUUGUUUUAUACAAUUUUUUUUAAAUACAAGGAUCGUAUUUUAAAAUCUUUGCUCAUUUUUUAUAUUAAGACACUAAUUAAAAAGCUAGGUACCAAUUUUGGGCGCAUUGAGGGUACUAAUCCUUCCUCGUGCGUAACCGACUCCAGAACCUAUUUUUUGGUUUUUUGUAGACCGAAAAAUAAUGUUUUAAUAAAUCAAACUAUUUAUUAAAAUGAUUAAAUUGUGAGGUGAUCCGAUCACACCUCAUUAAAAAAAUUGGUGGCGACUCCCGUAGCUUUGAGGGAAAAAAAAGACAGAAAAAGAAUUUUAAAGACACAAAUUAAUAAAAUAAUUUUUUAAUCUACAUUAUAUUAAAACACACACACAAAAAAAAAAUCACCUCAUUUUCCCGUAGCUUAUUAUUUACAGUUUUUCUUGCAAUCCAAGUGCGAGAUGAUCACAAAUUCCAAUUGGCAAUUGGAAAAUGAGAUACGAUUUUUAUGUUGUUUUUUUUUUUCAUUUUUAAAUAUAAUAAAGGCGAAAUUGACGGAAGGGAAACUUUCUCCUUGGUUUAAAAGUCCAGAUAUCAAUUACAAGACAUAAAAAACAACGACAAGUAUUGGUGGCAAGUAGAUGAUAGUGAGUGACACUAUUUGAUUUAGUCUAAUUAUUAUAACAUGUUUGAUUGAAACUAUUUUGUAAUCUCUGAUUAAAUAAAUAUUGAGAGGAAAAGACUUAAAUUUUCUUCUUUUCCUUAGCUAUAAAAUUGAAUUUCUAGUUUGGAUUACAUGCCUGUGGUUCUCAUCUCUAGAUAUGUAAGGCUGAGUCGCUGUUAGUUGGAUGGACCUACAUUGAAAACAUGAAUUGAAAAGAUAAGUAAUAGAAACUUUGUCAUAUUUAGACAAAUAUCAACCACAUCUUUAUUAACUUUUUACAUUUCUUAUCCCAAUAUUCAAAACCAAACAAUAAUACAUUCAUUGCAUGUUCCUUUUCUCAAAUAUCAUUUUAUUUAAUGUCAUUAGAGAUUACUCUAUUCUUUUUUCUUUGUGAUAAAAAUUGUUAAACAAAAAAUUAUUACAAAUGUUGUAGGAAUCUAUCCUUUGAGAUUGUUUGAUUCUAGUUUUUGACAAAUUGCUCAAAGUUGAUGGGAUAAAACAAGUGAGUUUGAUGGUGUUCGGAAACAAGCUUCGACGUUUAGUGAGAUCAAAAUUUGUUGGCAAAUUAAAUUACUCAAUGGGUAAAUAUCCAUGGAAGUUAUUGUCCCAGAGUGGGGCUGGACUUGGAUGGUGUCUGCGAGACUCAUUUUUAUCAAAUUCAAAUCAGUGGCAGUAAUACCGAUUAAAUUACAACUAGAAAUAAAAACAGAUCAGUUGGUUUGGUUGCGAAGAGGUUUCGAGGGUCAUGCUUGUUCCCUAUCAUCCCAAGUACUACUAAGUCAGUACCCCUCUAAAUGGGGGGAACUUUGUUGAUCUUUCAUUGGUUUAAAAGUCCAAAUACCAAUUGUAAGGCAUCAAAACAACAAAGACAAGUAUUGGGGACCAGCUGAAGAGAGUGAGUGACACGGUUUGAUUUAGAGUCUUAUGAUUGCAACAUGUUUGAUCGUGAUCCUCAACUUUGAUUGUAAUGUCUAACAAAAUAAAUACCCAGAUGAGAAGACCUUUUUUCUAUAAAAUCUAAAUUUCUAGUUUUGAAGGCAUGCCUGUAGUUCUCAUCUCUUACUUGUUCUGCACGGCUAAGUCGCAGUUGCUUCGAUGGACCUAUGUUGCCAACAAGUAAUAGAAACUUUGUAAUAUUCAGAUAGAUCAAAUUAAGCUUUUUGUGGACCAUCCUCAAAUAAUUAUUUUUGACAAUCUUGAAUUUAACAAUCUAGCUAUUAAAUUUAAUUAACAAUAUAAUUAUAGUUGCCUUGCAUUUAAAAUUUUAAUCUAUCAUUUCGGUCCAAAACUUUGUUUAUUUCAUAUAUAUUAUAUAAAGCAAAGUUUUUACGUAUUUUUGAAUGUAACUAAGUAAUUAAGCAUGUUUCUUCUACCGCGAGUCAAAAGUUUGCAGCAAUUUUAGCCAUUUCGUACACUAUAUAUCAUUAUAUUGUUGCAUUAAUUAAAGCAGAAUAAUAUAUAUUUCCAUAAGUUUUUAAAAAUAUCAUAAAUUUCCAUUGGGAAUCUUGUUGGUGUAUUCUAAAUUACAUAAUAAUCAGAAAUAUGAAAGAUUUCCAUAUAUUCUCGCCUUUUAGUAUAAGUAAUAAUAAAAAUUUUUGCUGAUUCACCUUUACUAUGAAAAUAAAAAAAAAAUUACAAAAUUAGAACCGUAAAUCAAUUUUGGUUUAAAAUUUUAAACCUACAUAUUAAAGAUAUCCUAACAAUUUUACUUUAUAAGAGCACAAUUUAUGGAAUAAUUUUUAUAUCCAAUCAAAGGCCUUUCAUUCUUAUAAAUAUCGGAAAUUACAAAGUUAAUCUUUGUGUAGAAAAUCUGAUAGGUAAGUAGCAUAGCAUCUAUCUAAUAGAUUAGGAAAUCUGUAGUCUUGAGAUGGAAUAGAUUUUACGGUCACAUUGGCAACCUUAAAUUAUAACCUUCUUUGAUCUCGUUUGCAUAACAUUCAUCUAAUUUUGAGAAAUCUUCACUUUUAAUUUCAAAAUUGUAAUUAAAUAGUUUUAUCCAAUUAAAUAAUAAUAAUAUAUGGCUAUGGUGAUGUCUAUAAUUUCAUAAAAUAAUUACUCUAAUCUAAUCCAUGUCUCUUUCUUUCUGAGUUUAUCAAGCAAUAAAUUCCCUUCGAUUUCACCUAACUUGUUAUAAUAAUGUUUUUUCAAAUUAGUUAAAGAAGAAAAUUUGUGAUGUUAUACUUAAAUUGAAUCUUUCGAUUUAUUAGGAAUUGCUUUUAAAUUAGAAAGAUCAAAAUUUAAGUAGAAUCACUUAGAGAUGCUAGUGGGGAAAGUUUUGCGGGUCCCGCCCUACUUCGUGCUCGAUUGACAGUGGGAUGGGGACAAAAAUUAAACCCGUUGUGAGUGGUGGGGUAGGCGUGAGUAUGACCUUGUACCUACCUCAUCCCCACCUACCCCAUCCCAUCCUACAUAAUAUAAUAAACAUAUUUAAAAAAUAAACAUUUAUAAAAAAAAUAUUUCAAUAAUUAUUUUAAUAGUAUUUAAUUUUUGCUCUUGUGUUGCAUUUGAAGAUAUUUAUGAUGUAUUUGAGAUAUUGUUUGUAUUUUGAUAUUAUGUAAUGACUUUAUUUUUUGAAUUUUUAAACUUGAAACUAUAUCUUAUUUACCGAUUAAAGGUCGUAACGACUUAACUUUUUUUUAAAUAGUAAAUAGUGACAGUUAGAAUAAUGUCACAUAUGUGGUGGGAGUCUGGAGGAUAUAUAUUUUAUACUUUUGUCACAAAAAAUUGGUUUAUAUUUAUUUAACUGAUACUUAUAAAUAUAUCAUAUGAAGUGGGUCAUAAGGCAAAUAUAGCGAGGAUUAGGUGGGUUGUGGGUGGUAGGGCGAGGAUGAAAAUUGUGUAAGUCAAAGUCUGUGUAAUUUGUAGUAAUGCAUACCAAGAAGGAAUCUUCUGCCCUCUCUCUUUCUAUCUCUGUCUUCCUCUCAUUUUGGUGUAUUGUUUGUUUGGAUGUGUUUUGUCUUGUGUUGAUCUCAUUUGUUUUGUUCCAGUGAUGUUAAGCCUUUGACAAGUAAUGCAAGACUGCAUGUCUACACCAUUAUUCACUAUUCAACAAUACAUUACUUAUUUUUUUCUUUGUGAUAAAAUUUAUUAACAACAAAUGCUACGCUUGUUUUAUGGAUAAAGCAAUGUUUAUUUAAUAUAUCCACAACAAUAUCAGUCUGAUUUACUGAAAAAUAUAUAUUAUAUAUCCACAACAAUAAAUUAAUUUCCAGUUAUACGUCUCAUCCAAUAAUAAUAUUUUCACUAUUACCAAAUAUUUGCUCUUUUAAUAAUUGGUUAGAAAAUGGCGUUCAACAUGAAUUUAGACAAAUAGUUUAGUAGUAGAUUAAAUUCUUUGGAUAUAUUAACCAAAUCCACAUCAACAAAUUUUACCUCUGAUGGAUUCAAUUGAACAUAUAAAAUAAUAACUUGUUAGAAGGGUUGAUUAAUUGGAAAGCAUAGAAUGGGUUAAUCAAUUAGAAAACUAGAAAUUAUUAAACUUAAGGAUAUAAUUUUAUAUUGGAAUUAUUCAGUGGGAUGAAGAGUAAAUUUCAAGUAGCAAAAGGAUGGAUCCAUCUCUCUCCCUUCCAUAUUUAGUCUUUUGCAAAUCUUCAAGAAUAAGCUGAUGUACAGUUAUUUUACUUUGAAUGCAUGAGUCUAUGGUAAGAAAGGGGUCCCAGCAGCAAGGUAAAAUGGUAAGUGUUGAAACAGAAAAUAAAAGAAAUGUAGCCGCCGUGGGUCUUAUGGAAUUAGUAUGAUUUAACGAUGAUGGGGUGUUAUGGUGCUUUGGAAUCAUCGUUUUUUUUAAGAUGAUUUGAUUUGGUGAAAGGGAGAGGGCCCGAUGUGGGUAUUUGGUUGCAUCUUUAUUGUUGUACAAAAAUCUUGCUAGUUGGAGGAUCAACUUUCCUUUUAAUUUUAAUAAAAAUUAUAUAUGAACUUGUGAACUUGUAUUCAAAUUGAAUCUUUCCAUUGAGUCGGCUCUUGCAAGUCAAUGCAGCAAUCAAGAACCAUAUUAUUAAUACCCAGCUAAGAUCGUGGACGUUUUCUACUCUAUAUCUUUCUCCUAAAUGCUUCAUUCCAGUGAAAAGUGCUGCAAUUCCUACAGUAAUGGCAACUCUGCCGAUAAUUACAUGGAAAUACUCCCAAAUUAAUCUCUUUGUGGAAGCGUCCUCCCUAUUAGCAGGUUUCUCCGGUCUGAGAUAUGCAUUCAUUGGUUGCAGAGAGGCAAAAACUAUGGCAGCAAUACCAAGCUUAACAUGUAUCGAGCUGACAUAGAAACCGCGAAGUUCGGCAACUGCAAAAAGAACACCAAGUAGGAUAAUUGCUAAUCCUGAAUAUUGUAGGUAAAUAUGAAUUUGGUACCAUCCAUCACCCUUUACAUGUUUUAGGUAUCUAGCAGCCAAUAUUCCACCAGGAAUCAAAAUACACCAGGAGAGGAACAGUAUAAACCCAUGUACAGCUUUGACAGGUUGUAAACCUUGCUCAGCCUCGGAAGAACCACGGAUAAGCAGCACUUACACAGGCCUUUGACUCGUGACAGUAUGCAUGUAUUUCUCACUGAGAUGUUCAUCAGUCCACUUUGAACCCAUUGCCCAUAUGACUUUAAGAGGAGUUGUAGGGUCAACAAUGUUCUUGCACUCUGGCUUAUCAUUUUGAUUGCAUGAUGGUUUUAAUGGACGCCUGAAUUCCAAAGUAAUGAUGCCAUCUUCUGACCUGCACCUGACAUGUGUCAGAUUCUCAUUUGUUGGAUGGAUGUUCAAGGGAUGCUUUCCAUCAAUCCAAUAUGUAUUUAAAUGCCCUUUUCCAGUAUCGCCAAUCCAGCCCACAUAUGCAUAGCUAUUCACCAUCCCAUUACCGAAACCUAUUGCAAGAUAGCCACUCUUAUUCACACCAUGGGCAGCAAUAGUUAUUGAAUCUUCUGAUAACGUCCAAAAGAAAGUAACUUGAUCAUCUAAAAGCACACUAGUGAGGGCACCAUCAAAAACUUGAACCUUCCAUCCCAUCUUCUCCUGGUACAAGGACUGAUAAUACACUUGAUCGGGGGUAUUCCUAUCGGGAACCCAAAUCAAUUCGUGAGGAUUUGCUACAACUCCUUCUGCUUCUGGCCCUCCAGAAUAAAUAGUCUCAGUUGCAUUCCUUAAUAUAGCAUUCCCUCCUAGAGAAUCUGAAGUAAUAUACAAUGCAACAUCAUGCCCUGCCUGCACCAAAAACUUAACUGGAACCCCUCUUUCCACUCUCAACACCGGUGCUUACUUAUUAUUAAUAUACAAAACCUUAGACGGACUUGGCGGAUUUGGAUAAUGCAACACCUCCCCUGUUGUAGCAACAAGGGGGACUUCUGUAUCAACAAUAAUCAACUCUUGAUCCUCAUUAUCAUCAGCAUCCAAUGGCCCAAAACAAUCAUCUACCUUCUCUGAAACAUUAAGCACCAAAUGUCCUUAUGCAACCUUCUCUAGACCCCAUGAAAUUGGGGCAAAAAAUGAGACCGAUUUUCAUUCAGUGGUUUCAUCAACCCUAAUGCCCAAAUAACACUCAUAUCCUCAUUAGGAUACACAGGCAAAUCAUACUUCUUAUCUGUCGAAUUCAAUGGUUUCCUAAACAUAAUUAAAGAAACCCCAUCUCUCCUAUGUCCAUAAACCAACCUAGUAUUAUUCACCAUCAUGCCAUUUUUCGAGUUCUCAUAAACUACAUCAGGGCAAACACCUAUAGCUGUCUGAUCUUUAGAACUCAACUUACAUUCACUAUAAGCCGUAAUGUAAAAAUCAUCAACAAAAGGCCUACCUUCCUCAGUAAAACUUGCCACCGUAACAUCAGCUUUGGACAUCAGCUCCUUCGUCCUAUUCGGAUUCGCCCACCCAAAUGCCAUGUAAUAGGUCGUCGGCGCCGCCGCUUCUAACCCGAUCUUGAUCCAGUUUUCCUCCACAUUCAAGUUCCACCGGACCCUAUAAUUAUCCGACAAGUUCUUGCAGUUAUCAAACACUGUAUGCACCGAGUCCGAAAUUGAAUCCGACCCGUUUCGAGGGAGGGUGAUAUGGCCGAAGUCCGAGGUGCUGGCGAUGUCCUAGAUUGAAAGAUCGUUGAUCUAGUCCCAGGUUAUGUCGGGGAGCAAUUGGACUGGAAACGAUGCGUUUUUGUAAGUUGUUUGAUUGAGGCGUUGACCAGAGAUGGGGAACCAACUGGUGAGGUCAGAGAAGUUGAGGGAGACGGCGCCCCAAAAAAAUGACGUCGGAUGAGCCGGAUAACAUGUCGAAUCCGGUGACCUGGAAAGAGCAGCCAUCAAAGAUUUUGAGAUGGCCACGGAGUUGGUGUCGGACCGUUGUGAAGUUCGAUUCGAACCCGACUAGGGAGCUGGUGUUGGAGCAUUUCUGACCCAAAUCCUCUUUGGAAGAGGCGAUGGAAUUGAUUAGGAAGAGCAGGAUUAGAAGGAAAAUUUUGGAAUUGUACAUUCGAAUCCGGUCGCGGGUGAUUCGAGAAUCCGAAUUCGGUGAUGAUGGAAAAUGAACGUUUCAAAGAGAAGGAAAGAGCCAAUGAGCGGCUGGUGGUGGUGAGUGGUGACUCGGUGCAGCCGGAGCGAGUCGUCAACUUGUCUCGAUAUUGUUUUAUAAUUUUACUUUUUUUCCUGCUUUUCUGAAGAGAGGAAACCAGAAUCCCAACUAUCUUCUCAACUAUCAGUUUUUUAAUUUUGCUCAUUCAACCGUCAAUUUUUAAUCUUAGUUCAAAUUUUUUAAUUUUGUAGUCCAACCGAUUGAGAUUUUUUUUUUUCCAAUUUCCGUUAAGUAGGGUUAAAUCUCUAAUGAGAGGAUAUGACAGUUAAAAAUUAAUAUAAUAAUAAAUUUAACUCUUAAUUUUUAUAUUUUCUAUUAAUUUAGUCAUUAAUUUUUAAAAUUUACAAAUAAACUCAAUAUAAUCAUCAAAAUUUACCUUUUCUUUCCACUUCCUCCGCUACUACUAUCACCAUUGCCUCUAGUUCUGCCCUCUCCUCCACCUUUCUCAAAAAAAAAAAAACCCCCUUUUUUUCAAUCAUGUUCAAAUUUAAGGUAUUAUAAUUUAUUUUGUGUUAAGUUAGAUGAAGCCUAAGCAAUUUAAAUAUAUGUGCUACUAUUUAACAAUAAAUUAGGUUGAAAUAGAAAGAGGAAAGGUAAGUUUUUUUGGGGAGAAAGGUGGAGGUGGAGGUAAUGAUGGUAAUGGCACGUGGUGAAGUACAAGAGAAAAAUAAAUUUUGAGAAUCUGAGACUAUUUAUAAAAUUUGAGAAUUAAUUAUUUUAUAAUUUUGACUAAAUCAAUUUAAGAUGUAAAAUUUGAGAGCAAGAUUUAUAAUUAUACUUAUUUUUUAACUACCACAUUACCCUCGAUAGAGAUUUAAAGAAAUGAACAAAAAAAAAAUCUCAAUUAGUUGAGUGAUCAAAUUAAAAAAAUUCAUAAUUAGGUAGCUAAAAAAGAAAAAGGGGAGAUAGUUGGGUGACUUGUGGUGUAGUUUACCCUAAUAAUAAAAUAUAAAAGGGUAAACUGUAGAAUUAGUCACCCCAUUAUUAGUGUAUUUAUGUUUUAGUCACCUAACUAUGAAAAUUUUCAAUUUUAUCACUAUCGUUUUAGAUCAUUUCUAUUUUGGUCACUCACAUUUUAGAGUAUUUUUAUUUUACUCACUCUUCAUUAAAUGGUUAAUGAAAGUUAUGAUGUAACCUUUUUUUUAAUUAGUAUAAAUAAUACAUUUAGUCUUCAAUGCUUACAAAUUUUAUCAAUUUGAUCCUCGAACACAUAUAAUUAAAUAUAAAGUAUAUAUUGUGAAAACGUACAAAAUAUAAUUAUUUAUAUAUAUUUAUCUAAAUAAUAUAAUAUGUGCUUAUAUUUUAUUAUAAUUAUAAUGUUCAAAUAUGCAUUUAGCCCCUCAAACUUGACACCUUUUUCCAUUUUGGUACUUAUAAUUUUUUUGUCCCAAGUUGGUACCUAAUUUUUUAUUCCAUCAAGAGCUUUGAUUUUUUUUUUGUUACAAUAUUAAAUAUAAGACUUGACACUCUUAGGAUGCCAUAAUCCAUUUUUUUAUAAAAAUAUACUAAAAAAUUUAAAAGAAACUAUAUGAAAUAUAUAUAUUUUAAAAUAUAAAAGAAAUUAUAAAUUAUAAAAAUAUAUGUAAAUAAAAAAUUUAAACUAUUACAAAAAAUCUAAAAUUCAAGUUGGAAAAAUUGAAAACCUAGAAAAUUUACACAUUUUUCUAAAUAAAUUGCAAACAAAUUAGAUAAAGAUAAAUUUUGCAAUAAAUUUUAUGUUUAGAGAUGGGUGUAAAUUAUUACACGAUUUUUCAAUUAAAUAAGAAUGUAAAAGAUGAUGAUUUAAAAAUGGCUUACAAGAAGCUUUUUCGUUGUCUUUUUUUUUGCUGUUAAUUAUUGCCUAGGUGAUAGGAGAAAUUGGGUUCCUUUGUUGAAAAUGCUAUAAAACCACAAAUUUACUAAGUUAUGGGGGUUUUGAGUUUUUUGGUUUAUCAAAAUCACACAUACAUAUAAAUUUAUCAACAUUUAGUUAUAUGUGUUUAAAUAUAAUCAUUUUUUAUAUUUAAUUAUAUGUGUUUUAGAAUAAAGUUGAUAGAAUUUGUAAAUAUGGAAUGUGAAAUUUAUUGAAUUAUUUAGAAUAAGAAUCAAAUUGAUAGAAUGUGCAAGUAUUAAGAAAUAAACAUGUUAUUAUACCAUCUAUAAUUUGAAAAAACAAAUAUCCAAAAAUAAUAUAAAAAUACAUAUCUAUAAUUUCGCAAAAAGAAUUAGAUUGCCAUAAAAAUAUAAGAAUGUACUAAACUUUUUGGAAUAAAUUAACCAUCUAUUCCUUAUUUCAAUUUUAUUAAAAAGAUAGGUUCCCAUAAAGACAGUCUUUACAAACCAGUGCACCUAUCAUAAACACAUCAGGGAACAUUGCCAUGAGAGAGGACCUAAGAAAACAUAAUACAAAGCACCCACACAAAAUGUUUAUUAAACAGCUACUGAAAAAGGCCUGCAUACCACCAAGCAAUGAAGUUUUCUGUUCUGUUUGCAACUUGUUGAACUCGCCCAAGUGUUGCCUUCUCUACCUUUUUGCAAAUCUUCGUCGGACUCGCUCCACGAUCCUAAUCAACCACCAUGGUUUUCCAGUCGUGAAUACAAUGUAUGCCAUGCUCAUUCCCAGCACCAACCCACAUCCAUACCCCAUCAAUAUUGAAAAUUUCCAAUUCAAUUCAUCACCAUCAUCAUCUCUAUCAAAUAUGGCUGGGGUUUCCUCAUCAGUACCACAGUUUUUUGAUAGUGGCAAACCACAUAAAUCCAAAUUUCCCAUGUAGGAAUCGUUAGUGAAAGUAUCAAAUUGUUUGCCUUGAGGAAUGGGUCCCUUGAGAUUAUUUUGAGAAAGGUUUAACACCUCUAAGAAUCCAAGAUUUUUCAACUCUGUUGGAAUUCUUCUUUCCAGCUUAUUUGAUGAGAGGUCUAAUGAUUCAAGCUCUGACAAAUUACCUAAAGAUGAUGGGAUAGGACCUAUUAAACAGUUAUAGGAGAGAUUUAGGACAAUAAGUAAAUGAAGCUCACCAAGUAUUUUUGGAAUUUCUCCCCUGAAUUGGUUACUAGAAAGGUCAAUAACCGUCCAAAUGGAUAAUGUGAUUCAAACUUUAUUUCCAGCCCUCUUGCUAUAACAGAUAAACCAUCAGUAUAAUUCACUAAAAAUUCACUAAGUGCUUCUCUCAUGUAAUGUGGAUCAACUUUCUUUCCAUACUCAUCUCUAAUGGCAUGCAUAUGCUCAAAAAAAGGGUAGGUAAGUAGCCACUAAAUUUAUUGUGAGAAAGAUCAAUGAUUUGCAAUUUAGUUAAAGAAAAUGUAAUAUCAAAGCUCUCUAUUUGGCUGUAAAAUCUAUUCAACCUCAAGGUAAGAACUUGCAGCUGAUCCAAAUUUCCUAACCAACUUGGGAAAGUGUCAUUCAAAUUGUUGUUUCCAACAUUGAGAAGAUUUAAACCUUUGCAAUUACCCAAAGAUCGUGGUAGUGACCCUUCUAAUUUAUUGUUGUCGAUGCGUAAACUUCUCAACAUGCAACCUUUAGCAAAAUUUUCUGGUAUUUGACCAUGAAAAUUAUUAUUCCCUAGCUGAACUGCUAUGAGAGAAGAACUCAAGUUUCCGAUGCACAUUGGAAUUGUUCCCUCCAAAUUAUUCUCAUCUAAAAGCAUAACCAUAAGGGAAGUGAAACUGCAUAUUAAAGAAGGGAUUUCUCCAAUUAAGUUAUUAGUUGAAACUCCAUAGAAUUGCAAUAAAGGUGGUGGUGUUGGAAUUCGACCUUAGAGAUAAAAUUGAAAAUGAGAUAGAAUUAGGAGUUUGAAGAUUCUUUGGAAUAUAAAUUAUAAAAUAACUAUAUUUGUGAUGUAUUACAUGCAUGAUGUGCACACUCGAUACAAAUAAUUGGUUAAUUUACUACACUACUUCUAACCAUUUUUAGAUGCAUCACAACAACUUUUAAGUUGUAAUCUAUUGAAGGAAACUACUACUAUCUUCUAGAGAAAUUUUUAUUUCCCUUACUUAAAAGUAAAAUGGGAUUGCAUAAAUGUAUAAAAAAUUGAAGGAAAAAAAUAUCAAACUAUACCUAAUAGUUUAUUAUAAAAGAGAUAACCAUUUAAUAUCUUACUUAUAUUUCAUUUUUUAGUGUUUAUUAUUAUUUUUGGUACAUUUAUGUAUAUUUUAUAAUUUAUUAUUGGGGUUCACGGUUGCUAUUGUCAAGAAUAUCAUCUCUAAUACUUGAAUCUUGUUCUCCCAUUAAGAGAGUAAUAUGCCUUACCACUGCACCGAAUAUUUAUUGGUGUAGUAUUUAUUAUAACUACAAAUAAAUUUAAUUAUCUUUUUAUGAAACUCUAAGUUAGAGGUCAAAUAAAAAAGAAAUUUAAUUAAUAUAGUGUUUAACUUUUUAUCAUUUUAAUUAUUAGUUAUAAAAUUUUUCCUCACAAUUGAAAUUUAAAAAUGACAUUUUAUGAAAUUUAAAGAUAACAUAAUUAAUAGAAAAUUGACAUUUUCUUUAGAGUCGGAAUUUAAGUAGUAGCAAUAUCUAUAACUGGUACUUCAAAUGUACAUUUUAUGUUUAUAAUUUUUAUAAGAUUCGGAGUUAAUUAAGAUUGUAGCCUCAAAAUUGGUGUUAUGAAAGCCAUUUUUUAUAAGAAUAUUUUUCUAUUUAACAAUGAUUGUCCAGCAUGUUAUAAUUGAAACCUAAUAUGGUAUUCACUAUUACUGACUCGGAACUCGAGUAGGUUCAAGUUACUGACCCACAACCCAAGUAGACUCAAAGGAAUUCGGGUCGGGCCCCACGAAGUGGGCAUGUUAGAGUUCGUACAUCCAAUUUGUGAGUAUGCUAUAGCUCUCGAGCCUAGCUCACAAGACAAGCUUGCACAUUGAGUUCACAUAUCUCUAUAUGCUUGCGAGGAGAGGUGUUAGGUCAAGCACGUGGUCCAUGACCACGUGUUAAGUCUAGAGCAAGAUAUGUGUUAGCAUGCAUGAAGCCUAUCUAAGACGUCAUUUUAGUGAAUAGUAACCGUAUUAUAUAAAUACUAAGUCUUAUGCCCAUAGUAGACACAAAGAGAAAAUACUCAACAAUUUGGUGUAAUGUGUGUGGUCAAACUUUUGAUUGAUAGAUUUUAGGGGUGAGCAAAACUCGAUUCGACUCGAAAAAAUCGAAAAAAAAUUUGAAUUUCGAGUUAAACGAAUCAAGUUUUUCGAGUUAAUCGAGUUAUUCGAAUCAACUCGAAUAUUUUUUUCGAAUUUCGAGUUCGAAUCGAGUUGAGUUUUCGAAUUCGAAUAACCCGAAUAAUUCGAAUAAUUCGAAUAUUAAACUAUAAUAUUUUACAUUUUUACCCCAAACUCCCAAACCUUUUUAUUUUUCCCUCAAAACUUUUACUCCUUCCCACUUUCCCCCCAAAACUUUUACUCCCCUCCCCUCCCAACCCCCCAAUCUACCCAAAAUCUAUUUCCCACCAAAAUUUUACUCUCCCAUUUAUUUUUUCUCAAAAUAACCUUUUUCUUUUUUCAAUCAUGUUCAAAUUUAAGGUAUUAUAAUUUAUUUUGUGUUAAGUUAGAUGAAGCCUAAGCAAUUUAAAUAUAUGUGCUACUAUUUAACAAUAAAUUAGGUUGAAAUAGAAAGAGGAAAGGUAAGUUUUUUUCUGGGAAGAAAGGUGGAGGUGGAGGUAAUGAUGGUAAUCGCACGUGGUGAAGUAGAAGAGAAAAGUAAAUUUUGAGGAUCAAAUUGAAACUAUUUGUAAAAUUUGAGAGUUAAUUAUUUUAAAAUUUUGACUAAAACAAUAUAAGAUAUAAAAUUUGAGAGCUAGAUUUAUAAUUUUACUCAUUUUUUAACUACCACAUUACCCUCCAUAGAGAUUUAAAGAAACGGACAAAAAAAUCUCAAUUAGUUGAGUGAUCAAAUUAAAAAAAAUUGAUAAUUAGGUAACUAAAAAAAGAAAAAUAAAAAUUGAUAAUUGUUCAUCGAUAGUGUAUAGAACUUAUGCACCAACAAUGCAUCAAAUAUUCUCAUUAAAAGAAAAUGUAUAAAAUAAGUUUUAUACUAUCUAUAAUUUGUAAAAAAAAAAAUUCAAUAAAAAAUAAAAAAAUACAUCUAUAAACUCACAAAAAGAAUUACAUAUCUAUAAUAUCUUUUUAUAAAUUCAAUUCCAAAUCUCCUGUAAUAAAUCAACCUCACAAAUCUGAUUGAGGUUAAAAACAAAGAAUGCAUGUAUUGUGCAAUUAAAACUAUGAUCCAUUUUCAAUUCUAAAGUAUUGAACAUAUAAUUUUGCAUUAUUUCACAAACUCUUUGCAAUAAAUUAACCAUCUAUUCCUUAUUUCAAUUUUAUUAAAAAGAUAGGUUCCCAUAAAGACAGUCUUUACAAACCAGUGCACCUAUCAUAAACACAUCAGGGAACAUUGCCAUGAGAGAGGACCUAAGAAAACAUAAUACAAAGCACCCACACAAAAUGUUUAUUAAACAGCUACUGAAAAAGGCCUGCAUACCACCAAGCAAUGAAGUUUUCUGUUCUGUUUGCAACUUGUUGAACUCGCCCAAGUGUUGCCUUCUCUACCUUUUUGCAAAUCUUCGUCGGACUCGCUCCACGAUCCUAAUCAACCACCAUGGUUUUCCAGUCGUGAAUACAAUGUAUGCCAUGCUCAUUCCCAGCACCAACCCACAUCCAUACCCCAUCAAUAUUGAAAAUUUCCAAUUCAAUUCAUCACCAUCAUCAUCUCUAUCAAAUAUGGCUGGGGUUUCCUCAUCAGUACCACAGUUUUUUGAUAGUGGCAAACCACAUAAAUCCAAAUUUCCCAUGUAGGAAUCGUUAGUGAAAGUAUCAAAUUGUUUUCCUUGAGGAAUGGGUCCCUUGAGAUUAUUUUGAGAAAGGUUUAACACCUCUAAGAAUCCAAGAUUUUUUAACUCCGUUGGAAUUCUUCCAUCCAGCUUAUUUGAUGAGAGAUCUAAUGAUUCAAGCUCUGACAAAUUACCUAAAGAUGAUGGGAUAGGACCUAUUAAACAGUUAUGGGAGAUCUAUUCGACCUCAAGAUAAGAACUUGCAGCUGAUCCAAAUUUCCUAACCAACUUGGGAAAGUGUCAUUCAAAUUGUUGUUUCCAACAUCGAGAAGAUUUAAACCUUUGCAAUUACCCAACGAUCGUGGUAGUGACCCUUCUAAUUCAUUGUUGUUGAUGUGUAAACUUCUCAACAUGCAACCUUUAGCAAAAUUUUCUGGUAUUUGACCAUGAAAAUUAUUAUUCCCUAGAAAAACUGCUGUGAGAGAAGAACUCAAGUUUCCGAUGCACUUUGGAAUUGUUCCCUCCAAAUUAUUGUCAUGUAAAGCCAUAGCCACAAGGGAAGUCAAAUUGCAUAUUGAAGAAGGGAUUUCUCCAAUUAAGUUAUUAGUUGAAACUCCAUACAAUUGCAAUAAAGGUGGUGGUGUUGGAAUUCGACCUUAGAGAUAAAAUUGAAAAUGAGAUAGAAUUAGGAGUUUGAAGAUUCUUUGGAAUAAAAAUUAUAAAAUAGCUAUAUUUGAGAUAUGUACACUCAAUACAAAUAAUUGAUUAAUUUACUACACUACUUCUAACCAUUUUAAGAUGCAUCACAACAACUUUUAAGUUGUAAUCUAUUGGAGGAAACUACUACUAUCUUCUAGUGAAAAUUUUAUUUCCCUUACUUAAAAGUAAAAAGGGAUUGCAUAAAUGUAUAAAAAAUAGAAGGAAAAAUAUAUCAAACUAUACCUAAUAGUUUAUUAUAAAAGAGAUAACCAUUUAAUAUCUUACUUAUAUUUCAUUUUUUAGUGUUUAUUAUUAUUUUUUGUACUUUUAUGUAUAUUUUAUAAUUUAUUAUCGGGGUUCACGGUUGUUACUGUCAAGAAUAUCAUCUCUAAGACUUGAAUCUUGUUCUCCCAUUAAGAGAGUAAUAUGUUUUACCACUGCACCGAAUAUUUAUUGGUGUAGUAUUUAUUAUAACUACAAAUAAUUUUAAUUAUCUUUUUAUGAACCUCUAAAUUAGAGGUCAAAUAAAAAAGUAAAUUAAUUGAUGUAGUGUUUAAAUUUUUAUCAUUACAUGUAAAGUUUUAAUUAUUAGUUAUAAAUUUUUUUCCUCACAAUUGAAAUUUAAAAACGACAUUUUAUGAAAAUUAAAGAUAACAUAAUUAAUAGAAAAUUGACAUUUUCUUUAGAGCCGGAAUCUAAGUAGUAGCAAUAUCUGUAACUGGUAUUUCAAAUGUACAUUUUAUGUUUAUAAUUUUUAUAAGAUUGGGAGUUAAUUGAGAUUGUAGCCUCAAAAUUAGUGUUAUAUAUGAAAGCCAUUUUUUAUGAGAAUACUUUUCUAUUUAACAAUGAUUGUCCAACAUGUUAUAAUUGAAAUCUAUUAUGGAAUUCACUAUUACUAACUCGAAACUCGAGUAGGUUAAAGUUAUUGACCCACAAUCUAAGUAGACUCAAAGGAAUUUGGGUCGGGCUCCACUAAGUGGGCAUAUUAGAGUUCGCACAUCCAAUUCGUACGAAUUUGAGUAUUUUUUAUGAGAAUACUAAUCAAAUAGAAACUUGGGAAAAGAAUAGUGGCCUUUUUAUUCAUGUUUGGCAAAUUAAUAUACUUUGUUUCUCUCAUAAUAUAAAAUAUGUCCUGCGCAUAAAUUAAUUAAACAAAUAAAUAAUAAGGCAAAUCAAAAAGGUAAAUCUACGUCUAAAUUAUAAUUCAUAAUAUAAAUUAAUUAAUGUAAAUUUUAAAUUUUUUUAAAUCAUUAUUAUUAUCAAAUAAAUUCUCUUAAUAAAAUACUUUUAGUGAAAUUAGAAAUCUUACUUAUAAAUAAUAAUAAUAAUAAUAAUAAUAAAUUUUGCUAUGAGCAAAUAGAAAAAUAGUCAAUAUUCUUAAUCAUUUUCAUUAAUUUAAGAGAUUUUGCAUGCUUAUUCUUUUAUGUAUAUAUAUAUAUCUAUUAUAGAUGUAGAUUAUAAAUUGUAGACAAAUAUUUUGGUUGGGUUAGCAAAGCUGAAAAAGUUGAGAAUAAUAAUUUGUUAAAUUUAUAAAUUUAAGGUGAAAAAUUAAAUCCUAAUAGUUAAAAUAUCUAUAUGUAAUUAAUGAAUAAGAAUUGCAAAGAAUGGCGUAAAAGAAAAAUAAAAUGAAAGAAUUUAAAAUAUAAUUUUUAAUUUUAUAUCACGUGUCGUAUUAUAAUUGAAACCUAUUAUGAAAUUCACUAUUACUACUUGAAAUUCGAGUAGGUUCAAGUUAUUGACCCACAACCCAAGUAGACUUAAAGGAAUUUGGGUCGGGCCCCACAAAGUGGGCAUAUUGGAGUUUGCACAUCCAAUUCGUAGGUAUGCUAGAGCUCGUGGGCCUAGCUUACAAGACAAGCUUGCACAUUGAGUUCACACGUCUUUAUAUGAUCGCAAGGAGAGGUGCUAAAGUCAAGCACGUGGUCCAUGAACAUGUGUUAAGUCUAGAACAAGAUACGUGUUAACAUGCAUGAAGCUUGUCUAAGACGUCAUUUCAGUGAGUGUGGUGCAGUGAGUUUGGUCAAACUUUCGAUUGACCAUUGUAGGCAAAAAGAGAAAACACUCAACAAUUUGGUGCAGUGAGUAUGGUCAAACUUUCGAUUGACAAUUUUUCAGCUUGUAACAAUCAAAAUAGCUCACCCAAAUGAAAAUUUCUCCAUCAAUGUUUUGUCAGGAUAAGUUGCUAGUAUUAUAUUGUUGCUAGUAUUAUACAAAACAAAAAGUCACAAAAGUGAGAGAAAACCUAGUCAUCAGCACACCAAAACUCAUUAAGUCGAUCAUAGUUGCUGGUAUUAUAUUGUAUCUUCUUACAUCGAGAGAUAAGGUGGGUGAGAAAGGGAGACAAAAGACGGUGAGCUUGGAUGGGACAUUAAGGGGGAAGAGAGGAAAAAAUGUCAUGUGUCUAACUAUUUCUAGUGUUUGAACCGUUUUGAGUCGUAUCUAUCUUUGAACUCAUACCGUCCUAAGCCUUAGAACAUUACAAGCUUAAAAGACCAAUGUAUUUCCUAUUCAAUAAUAUCAACUAUGGCUUAGCAACAACUAAAUCAAGACCUAAACAAGAAGGCAAAUCUAAAAGGUAGAAGGAAUAGUUAAUUAAAAGUAGUGUGUGAUUAAAAAGGUAGAUGGUGAACUUAGGAUGUGGAGUUCCAAUAAAUACCUAAACUUUUGGCAAUUCAAAUAGUUUCUUUAUAAAUAUUUGUAAAUAUUUGAGUCUUAUUUGUAUUAAGAAAUACAUUAUUUGAAAGAGCAUAAUAAUUUUAAGCGGUCUAAUAAUGAAAAUAUUAUAUUAAACUUUAGUAGAGUUUAAUUAUAUAUAUUAUAAGAAUAGUCUUCGCUGUAUUUAUCCAUUUAAUUUUAUUUUUUUAUUUUGGUCCCUUGGAACGGUGCGUUUAGGGGGUAUGGGGAUAAUUUCAUAGUUGGUCCCUGUCCAUUUUCACGCAUUUAAUUUUAGUCCUUUAUUCUGUUUUAUUGUUUAAUUUAUUUAUUUUAUUAUGAUUUAUAUUUUUAAUUUCACUUAAAUUUCGAUUCAGUCCCUUAUUUAUUUAGUUUCAGCCUUUCAUGAAUUUUAUUUAUUUUUUACUUCUUUAUUUUCAUAUACUUAAAAAUUGGAUUGUUUACAUUCUUUUAUUUGUGCAUUUUUUUGCCCAUUUAUUUUAUUUACUUAAAAAGAUUGCAUAAAUUUAAUAACAAAAAGGAGAAUAAAAGAAAAAUGAAAUUAUACCUGUCAAUUUGUUACUGCCAAGAGAAAGCACUUGAAGAGAAAUCAAGUUUCCAAUAACAAGAGGAAUUUUACCUGAAACAUAUAAUUAAAUCAGUAAAAAUUACAAAUAUUUUCCUAGCAAAACCUUAAUUUAUUUGUUGAGCAUAUUAGUAUCCAUUUGAUUUAUUUAUUUUUAAAUAUGCAAGUUUUGUUUAGUUUUAUAGUACUUAUGACAACCCAAAAAUAUUUUAAUUACAAUACUCAAAUUGAUAGUUGAAAUGAUGAUGAAAAUUAGAUAGAAUAAAAUAGUUCACGCUUAAUAUUUUGUUCAAAUAUAGGAUACAUUAGAGGUGAUUAUGGGUCGGGUUUGGGCCAGUUGAGACAAAAUUAGGCCAGUUCCCGAGCCCUAAAUAUGGGCCUAAAAAUUUGUUCAAGCCCAGCCCAAAAGAAAAUUGCUAAGCUGAGCCCGACCCUGCCCAGCCCAUAUUAAAUUUUACAACACCAAAAUAGCAUAAAAAACUUGCAAUAUAUAUAUUUUAUUAAAAAUAAAAAAUAUAUUUAAUAUAUAAUUCGGACCAGGCUUUGGCCAAAAAAGUUUUACCCGAAGCCCGGCCCGUUUUCUAAAAUUUCCAAUUUAUGUAGGUAUACUUCCCUCCAAGGAGUUGCUCGACAAUGAUAAAAACUUCAAAUCUUUGCACUUGAAUAAACUAUUUGGAAUUCUACCGGAAAUUUGAUUCCAACUCAAGCCCAACCUUUCUAGUUUUGACAAAUUGCCUAGAGUAAGAUAACACCAAUGAAGUUGUUAAGGUACAGAGACAAUCUUUGAAGUUUACUGAAGCAACCAAACCAUGAUGGGAUUUCUCCAUUGAAGCUAUUGUUACCAAAGUCCAAAUACUUCAUCCGACGUAAAUUGGUUAACUCAAUGGGUAAAGAGCCAUGGAAACUAUUUUGAUGAAUGUCGAGCCAAGCAAGGAAAGAUAGAUUUCCCAAUUGAGAAGAAAUGGUGCCUGUGAGAUCCAUGCUUGAUAAAUUCAGAGCAGUGACUCUAUGGUGUCUAGAUCCACAUGUGACACCAAUCCAGCUACAAACGGAGGUAGAAGUAGACCAAUUGGUUGCCAAGAAAUUGUAAGGAUCAUGAGUUAUAUGAGAUUUGAGUGCUAGAAAAGCAGAUUGAUCAACGGUGAUGCUAGAAUAUUUUGCAGACAAAAUAACCCCAAAGGUUGCGAAUAGCAGCCCAAACAUAAACGGAGGGAGGAAGACGGUGAUAGUCUCCAAGAGAAAGAGACAAGCAAGGAGGGUGAAGGCAAAGUGGCAAACAAUACAUUCAUUACAUAUUUAUUGUUGCAUAUCUCAUUUUAUUUACUGUCACUAGACACUUUUUAUAUAUAUAAAUUAUUAAAUAUUAAAUUUCAUAUAUAAAAAAAAUCCACAUAUUACUUAUUUUAUUAAUACAUAAAAGUAAACCGUUUAGAUGAUUUCAAGUUAAAAAAACAAUAUAUUUUAGAUUUUAUGUGGAUUCUUUUUAAGUUCAAUUUUCAAAUUAUUCAGAUUUCCAUCAUCAAAGUUGAAUAGUUUGUAAUUCAAAUUAUUGCUCUCUUUUUACUUGUACCAAUAUUUCCUAUAUUUUUCUUAUGUUAAAAUAGUCAAAGUAUUAAAUAUAUAAUUAGUUGUAGAGAAGUCAAAAGCUAAUUAAUAAUAUAUAGGGAUUGCAUAAAUGUAACAACAAAAAGAAAAAAAAAUCAAAGCUACUUAAUGGUUGUAUUUUGUGAGGCUGUGGAAGUUGAAAGAGCAAUAAUUUUAAGCUGUCUAAUGAAAAUAUUAAACUAAAACUUUAGUAAAGUUUAAUUAUAUAUUAUAUUUUAAUAAAAUUACAUAUCUUAAAUCGAAAAAUAAUUUAAUCAAUCAUCUGUAUUAGUUUUGAAGUUCAGGCUUACAUAUAUAGAAUAUAUAUUGAUUGAGUUAGAAAUACUCAAAUUUGUUUCUUAUACUCAAAAUGUUUACACAUGACACAAUAAUAUUCAUAACUUUUUUUAAUGAAAUAAUAUUCAUAACUUCAACUUUAUUUGGAAGAAAAAUUGGAAAUCAAUAAUAUUUGCUAUACACAUGAAUGGAGUGUAUAAAAUGAAUGAUUAGUAGAGUUUAAUAUUAUAUAUAUUUUAAUAUUUAAUAAAAUUACAUCUUUUAAUUCAAAAAGAUAUUUUAAUCAAUCAAUUUUAUUAGUUUUCGAGUUGAGGCUUAUAUAUAUAUAUAAUAUAUAUUAAUUGAGUUAGAAAUAGUACAAAAAGUUGACAUUUUUUAAAAGUAUGAUAAUUUGAAUAGAAGUAACAUAUGCUAAUGUGGAGUAAUUGUUCCAUAUAAUCCUUUUUAUGAUGAAAUCAUUGCUUAAUUUACUUCAUAACUUCUUACAUUUAGACAUAAUAAUGAGGUUUUAAUCUUUUAAGGUAACUUUUAUUUUAUUUACUUAAAAAAUUGCAUAAAUUUAAUUAAAAAAAAGAGAAUAAAAGAAACAUGAAAUUAUACCUGUCAAUUUGUUAUGGUUAAGAUAAAGAAAUUGGAGAGAAGUCAAGUUUCCAAUAACAAGAGGAAUUUCACCUGAAACGUAUAAUUAAAUCGGUCAAAAUUUGUAAAUAUCAUAUUAGUGUCUGUUUCAUUUACCUAUUUUUAAAUAUGUAAGUUUUGUUUAGUCUUAUAGCACUUAUGAUAACCCAAAAAUAUUUUAAUUAUAAUACUCAAAUUAACAAUAAAAAAUAUUUAUGUUUGUGCCAGAAAAAAACACUGCAUAGAUCACAAAAAGGAAAAACUAAAACAUCCAAAAAACACUAAACACAAAAUUCAUAGUUGUAGAGGAGGAUUAGAUACAUUGGUCCCAUAAUAUGUCACUCAAAAUCUCAAAAUCAUCCAACAAAAAGAAAUCAUCACUUUAGUUAAUUAAAUCAAGAACAAAUAAAGUUAUGGAUGAACAAAUAUGGGAAGCAAAGAAAUGUGAUGGAUCAAAAGGGACGGAUAAGCUAAUUUCUGCCAUAAGGUAGAUGGUGAACUUAGGAUGUGGAGUUCCAAUAAACACCUAAACAUACCUAAACUUUUGGCAAUUCAAAUAGAUUAUACUAAUUUUUAAUUACUUAAAAAUAUUGCAUAAAUUUAAUAACAAAAUAGAGAAUAAAAGAAAUAUGAAAUUAUACCUGUCAAAUUGUUAUUGCUAAGAUAAAGAAAUUGGAGAGAAGUCAAGUUUCCAAUAACAAGAGAAAUUUCACCUGAAACGUAUAAUUAAAUCAAUAAAUAUUUGUAAAUAUUUUCCUAGCAAACCCUUAAUUUAUUUGUUGAGCAUAUUAGUGUCUGUUUGAUUUACCUAUUUUUAAAUAUGCAAGUUUUGUUUAGUCUUAUAGUACUUAUGAUAACCCAAAAAUAUUUUAAUUAUAAUACCCAAAAAUUUCAGGCCCAUAUUUUGGGCCGGGCCGAGCCCGAGCCUAGGACGAGGACCAAAAAUUUUUCUAGGCCCAGCCCAAACCUAGCCCGACCCAUGAUCACCUCUAUUGCAUACAAUAUGUUUCCCUAAACUACUUAUUAUUUAUCUCUCGCCACAAAUUAUCAAAAACACAUUUGCAUUUUAAGCCAAACAUUUAUAAUAGUGAUAAGUGCUGUAUUGAUUAAUAAUAUAUAACAACUAAAAAGGGAUUGCAUAAAUGUAACAACAACAAGGAAAAAAAUGAUAUUAUACCUAAUAAGUUGUUAUUAGAAAUAUAAAUAGCUUCGAGAAUGGUCAAGUUUCCAAUAGUUGAUGGGAUUUCACCUAAAAAUAUAAAUAAAUGGGUCAAAAUAAUCAACGGAAUUUCACCUAAAAUAUAAUAAAGAUGAUAUUUUACCUGUAAAGUAGUUAAGACCAAGAUAGAUAUUCGUGAGAGAAAUAAGGUUUCCAAUAAUUGAUGGAAUUUCACCUAAAAUAUAUAAUUAAAAUUAUCAAUUUAUUUCAAAAAAAAACCAAAAUUUAUUAAUUAUUUACCAAAAUAAUACAAAAAAAAAUAAAAAAAUACCAAAAUAUUACAACUUUUUUAUUAUUUACCGAAAUAAUACAAAAAAAAGAGUUAAAAAAAAAUACUGAAGGAGGAAUAGCUUAGAACAUUACAAGCUUAAAAGACCAAUGUAUUUCCUAUUCAAUAAUAUCAACUAUGGCUUAGCAACAACUAAAUCAAGACCUAAACAAUAAGGCAAAUCUAAAAGGGUAAGAAAUAGGUCCAAAUUAUAAUUCAGAACAUAAAUUAAUUUUUAAUGUAAAAUUUAAAUAAAAUUUAAAAUUCUUUUAUUAUCAAAUAAAUUUCUUAAUAAAAUUCUUUUAUUAUCAAAUAAAAUUCUUAAUGAAAAAAUAAAACAUCUAAAAAUAUAUGUCUUAUACCAAGAUUCUUAUAUUUUUCUAAUAUGUCACUUUAGUUAAUUAAAGCAAGAACAAAUAAAGUUAUGGAUGAACAAAUAUGGGAAUCAAAGAAAAACGAUGGAUCAAAAGGGACGAAUAAGCUAAUUUCUGCCAUAAGGUAGAUGGUGAACUUAGGAUGUGGAGUUCCAAUAAACACCUAAACAUACCUAAACUUUUGGCAAUUCAAAUAGAUUAUACUAAUUUUUAAUUACUUAAAAAUAUUGCAUAAAUUUAAUAACAAAAUAGAGAAUAAAAGAAACAUGAAAUUAUACCUGUCAAAUUGUUAUUGCUAAGAUAAAGAAAUUGGAGAGAAGUCAAGUUUCCAAUAACAAGAGGAAUUUCACCUGAAACGUAUAAUUAAAUCAGUAAAUAUUUGUAAAUAUUUUCCUAGCAAACCCUUAAUUUAUUUGUUGAGCAUAUUAGUGUCUGUUUGAUUUACCUAUUUUUGAAUAUGCAAGUUUUGUUUAGUUUUAUAGUAUUAUGCCAACCCAAAAAUAUUUUAAUUACAAUACUCAAAUUUAUAGUUGAAAUGAUGAUGGAAAUUAGAUGAAAAUUUAAAUUUAAAAUGAAAAAUAUAAAAUUAUAAAUAGAUAUAAAUUUUCAUCUAAAACUUGACAUUUUUGAAACCUAAGUUAUAGCAUAAUGUGUAGUUUUUUUCUAUCAUUAUAAAUUAUGUUAAAUUUUGUUGAAUGUAGUGGUGCCAACGAGUUUAAUAUUCAAAUCAUCAUAUUGAUAUUGAGACACUGAAUUAUUGAUAUUUUUCUUAUUCUUAUAUUUUUCUAAUUUUAAAGUAGUUAAAGGAUUAAAUGUGUAAUUAAUUGUUUUUAAGCCAAAAGUAUUAUAGUAAUAUAAAAAGAAAAUAUGAGUAUAUAAAGAAAAUAAAACUAUGAUAUAAAACUAUGUUUUAAAAAGUACUUAUUAGUGCUUAUGAUAACCCAAAAACAUUUUAAUUAUAUAACACUCAAAUUUGAGUGUAGUGGUGCAAACCAGGUUUAAUUACUUCAUAACAUCUUACAUUUUCUAAAUGCAUUAUAAUGACUUCAAUGUUUUAAUCUUUUUAAGGUAACUUUUAUUUUAAUUACUUAAAAAGAUUGUAUAAAUUUAAUAACAAAAAGGAGAAUGAAAGAAACAUGAAAUUGUACCUGUCAAUUUGUUAUUACGAAAAGAAAGCACUCGAAGAGAAGUCAAGUUUCCAAUAACAAGAGGAAUUUCACCUGAAAUAUAUAAUUAAAUGAGUAAAUAUAUAAUUAUUUUUAAUAAUUAUUUUAAGAGUUAAAUAAGGCAAAUCUAAAAUGUAGAAGAAAUAGCUAAUUAGAAGUAGUGUGUGAUUCAAAAGGGUAUAAAGUAGGUCCAAAUUAAAAAUCAAAUCUUAAAAUAAUUUAAUCUAAAAUUUAACUCUUUUCUUAUCACUAAAUAAAUUAACUUUUAGAGAAAUUAGAAGUUUUAAUAAAAUACCUGAAAUAACUGAUUGUUUAUGACUAGGUGAAAAUUAGAUGAAAAAAAAUAUAAUUAAUAAUUUAUAUAGCUAUUAUUGGAAAUCAUCCAUAUUUAUAGAAAGUCAAAGAUAUGAGUAUAAAAAAGAUAUGGGUAUUAGAAAGAUAUGGGUAUCAAAAUCUGAGAUUUAAGACACCAAAAGUGGGAUUGAGAUUUGGCAUAAGAUAAUUGCAAUUUUGAUCCCUGAACUUCAACUAUAAAUAGGCCUAACUAUUUCUCUUCUUCAUCAUCCCAAAUUUGCCAUUCUCUACUUAAGGCAUUGUUUUCUCUCUCUCUUUGUAAAUUCUCACUUGUAUUUUGGAGUGAAAUAUAUUUGGUAGAGCCCGAGGACGUAGGCAAAAUUUGCUGAACCUCGUUAAAUUCUUGUGUUCUUUAUUGUAUUAUUAUGCAUGAAUUGUGAGUGUGAUUGUAGUGAUUUAUUGUGCUAUUAAAUUACGAUUGAGGGAUAUUCUGGCUAGAAAAGACUUGGUACUUAAGCGAUCCUUGUGAUCCACCUCUCUUUCCUGGGAAUUGAAAUUAGUGUGAUUUUUAGUACAAUAAUUUUACUCUUUUACACGCUUCUGCACAAAAAUUGGUAUUAGAGCUAGAUUCGUACUUGGGGAAUACAAUUGUUCACGGCACUGUUCACGUACAGUAGUUGGGAUUGAGGAGAAAAAUGGAAAAGGUAUCGUCAUCAGCAAAGACUAUUGUGACCAAUGCAAAAUUUGAAGUAGAGAAAUUUGAUGGUACCAAUAAUUUUGGUAUGUGGCAAUGUGAGAUCCUAGAUGUCUUAUGUUAGCAAGAGCUGGAUAUAGCCCUUGAAGAAAAACCUGACAAGAGGGAAGACAAGGAGUGGGCUAAAAUUAAUAGACAGACAUGUGGAACAAUUCGUCUAUGUUUGGCCAAAGAGCAGAAGUACUCUGUCAUAAGGGAGACAUCAACGAAGAAGUUGAGGGAUACACUGAAAGAAAAGUUUCUAACAAAAAGUCUUGAAAAUAGGCUUUAUAUGAAAAAGAAACUUUAUCGAUUCACGUAUGUACCCAGUAUGUCGAUGGAUGACCAUGAGAACUCAUUCAAUAAAAUUUUAACAGAUUUGCUAAAUUUGGAUGAGAAAUUUGAAGAUGAAGACAAGGCAUUACUGUUGUUGAAUUAUCUUCUUGAUGAUGAUCAUCUUACCACCACAUUGCUCUAUGGAAGGAUACGAUCACAUUUGAUGCAGUCUGUAGUGCGUUGUAUAGAUCUGAGACUCGAAAGAAAGAUAAAAAAGAUCACAGAGAUACAACUACAGAAGUCUUAACAGUAAGAGGUCGUUCGGACAACAACAAAUCAGGUAGAAGUAGUAAGUCCAAAGGGAGACCUGCCAAAGAUAAAUGUGUUUUUUGUCGUGAGAAAGGGCAUUAGAAAAAGAAUUGUCCUAAGUUACAAAAGGGCAAGGCUAUUUCUGAUGCAUGUGUAGUGGAGUAUGAUGAGGAGUCAGACUUUAGCUUGGUUGGCAUGACAAUGGCAUGUCAUAUAGAUGAGUAGAUUUUGGAUUCGAGAUGUACUUACCAUAUGUGUCCUAAUAAGGACUGGUUUUCUAGUCUUAAAGAACUAGAAGGUGGAGUUGUUUUUAUGGGCAAUGACAGCGUUUGUAAGACAAUGGGAGUAUGUACAAUCCAACUGACGAAUCACGACGGCUCAAUUCAAGUCUUGACAGAUGUUCGCUAUAUACCUAGCUUGAAGAAAAAUCUCAUCUCAUUAGGGGUCCUAGAAUCUAAAGGGCUCACAAUCACUUUGAGAGGGAUUACUAAAGGUAGUAGCUGGGGGGUAUUGACGGUGAUGAAAGGCACAAGAAGGAAUAACCUGUACUAUUUAAAUGGUAGUACAGUUAUUGGAUCAACAUCAACAGUUUCUGUGAAAGAUGCAGAUUCAGAGCCUACCAGGUUAUGGCAUAUGCGAUUGAGACAUGCUGGUGAAAAAGCUUUGUAGAGUUUGGUGAAGCAAGGCUUGUUGAAAGGUGAAAAUUCUUGUAAAUUGGAAUUCUGUGAACAUUGUGCUCUAGGCAAGCAGACGAGGAUAAAAUUUGGUUCAACAAUUCACAAUACAAAAGGAAUUCUGGACUACGUUCACAGUGAUGUGUGGGGACCUACUAAAGUGGCUUCUUUGGUAGGUAUGCACUACUUUGUUACUUUUGUUGAUGAUUAUUCAAGAAAAGUAUGGGUGCAUCUAAUGAAAAGAAAACAAAUGAAGUUUUGGAUGCAUUUCUGAAAUGGAAGAAGGUGGUGGAGACCUAAAUUGGUCAAAAGGUCAAACAACUUCGAUCAGACAAUGGUACUGAUUACAAGAAUGAUCCAUUUCUACAAGUAAGUCAAGAUGAGGGCAUUGUGUGACACUUCACUGUUCGAGAUACACCACAACAGAAUGGGGUGGCAGAACGUAUGAAUCGGACUAUACUGGAGAAAGUUUUAUGUAUGUUGUCCAAUGCUAGAUUGGGCAAGGAAUUUUGGGCUGAGACAGUUACAUAUGCGUGCCAUCUAAUUAACCGGUUGCCAUCAGCUGUAAUAAAUGGAAAAACUCCUAUGGAGAGGUGGGCUGGUAAACCUGCUACUGAUUAUGAUUCUUUACAUGUUUUUGGUUCCACUACAUAUUAUCAUGUAAAAGAAUCUAAGUUAGACCCAAGAGCAAAAAAAAGCAUUAUUCAUGGGUAUAACUGGUGGAGUAAAAGGAUAUUGUCUCUGGUGUCCUGAUACAAGGAAGAUUGUUUUCAGUAGAGAUGUGACUUUUGAUGAAUCAACCAUGAUGAAGAAUAAUGAUUCACAAAAUGAUAACAAAACUAGUGGCACUUUGUAGCAGGUGGAGCUUGAAAAGGUUAAUGAUGAUCCAGCUAAUAUUGAAGGAACAAAUGAUGAAGAAGUUUUGACCCAAGAACUUUUACAGCAACAUGAUUCAAUUGCAUAUAAGAGGCCAAGAAGAGAGGUUCGUAUGCCUGCUCGCUUUGAUGAUAUUGUGGCCUAUGCACUUCCAAUUGCAGAUGAUGAUGUUCCUUCUAUUUAUAUAGAAGCAAGAAGUAACCCUGAUGGUGUAAAGUGGAAGCGAGCUAUGAAUGAAGAAAUGCAGUCUCUUCAUAAAAAUAGGACUUGGGAGUUGGUGACACUACCCAAAGGAAAGAAGGCAAUUGGAUGCAAAUGGGUAUAUGCAAAGAAGGAAGGAUUUCCUGGUAAAAAUGAAGUUCGAUACGAGGCUAGAUUGGUAGCAAAGGGUUACGCUCAGAAAGAAGGAAUAAACUACAAUGAAGUGUUUUCUCCAGUUGUGAAGCAUUCGUCUAUUCAGAUUUUGCUAGCCUUGGUUGCGCAAUAUGAUCUUGAACUAGUUUAGCUUGAUGUGAAGAUCGUAUUUUUACACGGUGAUUUGGAAGAGGAAAUCUAUAUGACUCGGCCAGAAGGAUUCAAGGUUGCUGAUAAAGAAAAUUGGGUUUGUAAACUGACAAAGUCACUUUAUGGAUUGAAACAAUCUCUGAGGCACUGGUACAAGCGAUUUGAUCAGUUCAUGAAAGGGUAAAGGUCCACAAGAAGUAAAUUUGAUCAUUGCGUGUAUUUUCAAAAGCUACAAGAAGGAUUUUUCAUAUACUUGCUUUUAUAUGUUGAUGAUAUGUUGAUAGCAUCUAAGAGUAAAGUUGAAAUUGAGAGAUUGAAGACUCAACUCAACCUUGAGUUUCAGAUGAAAGACCUAGGUGAAACUAAUAAGAUUCUUGGCAUUGAAAUAUGUAGGGAUAAAGCUCAUGGCAGAGUUAGUUUGUCUCAGAAGCAAUAUUUGAAGAAGGUACUAUAGAAGUUUGGCAUGAACGAGCAAACAAAAGCUGUAAGUACCCAGUUGGCUUCUCAUUUCAAGCUUUCUACACAACUAUCUCCUUCGACUAAUACGGAACAAGAAUACAUGUUACAAGUUCCGUAUUCUAAUGCAGUAGGUAGCUUGAUGUAUGCAAUGGUGUGUACAAGACCCGACAUUUCACAGGCAGUUAGUAUAGUGAGCAGGUAUAUGCACAAUCCUGGAAAAGGACAUUGGCAAGCUGUGAAAAGGAUUCUACGGUAUAUUCAGAAUACCAUGGAUAUUGGAUUACUGUUUAAGCAGGAUACUACACUUGGUAAAUGUGUUAUUGGGUAUGUUGAUUCUGAUUAUGCCCAUGAUUUGGUCAAACGAAGAUCAAUCACUGGUUAUGUGUUUACACUUGCUGGAGGACCAAUAAGUUAGAAGUCUACAUUGCAGUCUACAGUUGCAUUGUCAACCACAGAAGUUGAAUACAUAGCUGUAACAGAGGCUGUAAAGAAAGCUAUUUGGUUACAAGGUAUGGUUAAAACCUUGGGAUUGGUUCAGGAGCAUAUUAACGUGUAUUGUGAUAGUCAAAGUGCUAUUCAUUUAGCAAAGAUUCAAGUCUAUCAUGCACGUACAAAACAUAUCGACGUACGUUUCCAUUUUGUGUGGGAAAUUAUUGAUGAGGGGAAAAUUCACCUUCAGAAUAUUAAGACUGCAGAUAAUCCCGCAGAUAUGAUGACCAAGGUGGUGACAACCAUCAAGUUCGAACAUUGUUUGAACUUGAUCAAUAUUCUGCAUGUUUAACAGUUGAAGAAGGCACUAUCAAGUGUUGUUGAUAAAGGCAAAGAGAAUUGUGUGAAUAUAAGAUUAUUCGAAUCAAAUCUUCAAGAUGGAGAUUAUUAGAAAUCAUCCAUAUUUAUAGAAAGUCAAAGAUAUGGGUAUCGGAAAGAUAUGGGUAUCAAAAUCUAAGAUUUAAGGCACCAAAAGUGGGAUUGAGAUUUGGCAUAAGAUAAUUGCAAUUUUGAUCCCUGAACUUCAACUAUAAAUAGGCCUAACCAUUUCUCUUCUUCAUCAUCCCAAAUUUGCCAUUCUCUACUUAAGGCAUUGUUUUCUCUCUCUCUCUCUCUUUGUAAAUUCUCACUUGUAUUUUGGAGUGAAAUAUAUUUGGUAGUGCCCGAGGACGUAGGCAAAAUUUGCUAAACCUCGUUAAAUUCUUGUGUUCUUUAUUGUAUUAUUCUGCAUGAAUUGUGAGUGUGAUUGUAGUGAUUUAUUGUGCUAUUAAAUUGGGAUUGAGGGAUAUUCUGGCUAGGAAAGACCUGGUACUUAAGCGAUCCUUGUGAUCCACCUCUCUUUCCUAGGAAUUGAACUUAGUGUGAUUUUUUAGUACAAUAAUUUUACUCUUUUACACGCUUCCGCACAACAGCUAUUUCUCUCAUUCUAUGGACUAUGGUGGAGCAAAAAUUAAUAAAAAAAAUCAAACGGAUAGAAAUAGCUGAGUUACAAGUUUAUGUUAAUUCAAUAAAUUUAAAAAAAAACACAUUAUUUCCAAAAGGGUAAGAAAUAGGUCCAAAUUAUAAUUCAGAAUAUAAAUUAAUUUAAUGUAAAAUUUAAAUAAAAUUGAAAAUUUUUGUUAUUAUCAAAUUGAAAAAAACACCGAUCAUAAAAAGGAAAAACUAAAACAUCCAAAAAACACUAAACACAAAAUUCAUAGUUAUAGAGGAGGAUUAGAUACAUUGGUCCCAUAAUAUGUCACUCAAAAUCUCAAAAUCUCAAAAUCAUCCAACAAAAAGAAAUCAUCACUUUAGUUAAUUAAAUCAAGAACAAAUAAAGUUAUGGAUGAACAAAUAUGGGAAGCAAAGAAUGAUGAUCACGAGAGAAAUAAGGUUUCCAAUAACAGAUAAAAUUUCACCUAACACAUAUAAUUAAAAUCAUUAAAAUUUACUAACAGAUCUUAAAAUGGUUAUUUUGUGAGGCUGUGGGAGUUGUGUGAAGAAGAAAAAGAGGGAAUGGCAGUGGGUCAAUGCGGGUAGGUAUAAGUCUGAAACAUAUAAUAUCAACUAUGUACUCUGUAAUCAAGGCUAAGAGAAAUAAAGUACUCUAUUUCUUUCCUAUUCAAGAAUAUCAACACAUAAAUAAUAAGGAUAGAAAAAAUAGGUAAUUACAAGUCUUGUGUGAUUCAAAAGGGUAUAAAGUAGGUCCUAAUUAAAAAUCAAACCUUAAAUUAAUUUAAUGUAAAAUUUAACUCUUUUCUUAUCACCAAAUAAAUCUACUUCUAGUAAAUUAGGAGUUUUAAUAAAAUACUUGUAAGAACUGAUUGUUUAUGACUAGGUGUUUUGUUUUCAACAUAUUUGGAAUUAACUUGCCUUAGAAAAACAGUCUCUAUUAUUUUAAGAAUAUUAUAGAAGGGUAGAACUAUGAAAGCGGUUAGUAAAACAUGAGAUGCUAAAAAUAGACACAUGCCAUAAUAGGAAGGAAAAUUAGAAACAAACUCCUAAACCAAAUAAUUGGUUGAUGGCUGAAUUGUCAUGUACGGGGUUGUGGAGGUGACUAUGAGUUUUGAUGUGUUCCUACCUGCUACUAAGGGUAACUCAGGAGUUGCAUUAAAAAUCUGACUUCGUUUGUUUGGCACCAAUUAAAUUGGUUGAUGGCUAGCUCAAUUCACAUAAAUAAUGUAUAUAUACUCUAUGAGUUGCAUUAGUGGUUAUUGUUUAAAGUCCCGCUUCACUAUUUAAAACAACUGUCGAUGGAAAUUAGAUAAAAAUGAAUGACACGAUAACCAGGACUUGUUUACCUUUGAAAUAGUUGUCACCAAGAUCCAAAGUCUCGAGAAAGGUCAAAUUUCCAAUUUCUGUAGGUAUACUUCCCUCCAAGGAGUUGUUAAACAAUGAUAAAAACUUCAGCUCUUUGCACUUGAAUAAACUAUUUGGAAUUCUACCGGUAAUUUGAUUCCCACCCAAGCUCAACCUUUCUAGUUUUGACAAAUUGCCUAGAGUAGAUGGGAUAACACCAACGAAGUUGUUAAGGUACAGAGACAAUCUUUGAAGUUUACUGAAGCAACCAAACCAUGAUGGGAUUUCUCCAUUGAAGCUAUUGUUACCAAAGUCCAAAUAUUUCAUCCGACGCAAAUUAGUUAACUCAAUGGGUAAAGAGCCAUGGAAACUAUUUUGAUGAAUGCCGAGCCAAGCAAGGAAAGAUAGAUUUCCCAAUAGAGAAGAAAUGGUGCCUGUGAGAUCCAUGCUUGACAAAUUCAGAGCAGUGACUCUAUGGUGUCUAGAUCCACAUGUGACACCAAUCCAGCUACAAACGGAGGUAGAAGUAGACCAAUUGGUUGCCAAGAAAUUGUGAGGAUCAUGAGUUAUAUGAGAUUUUAGUGCUAGAAGAGCAGAUUGAUCAACGGUGAUGCUAGAAUAUUUUGCAGACAAAAUAACCCCAAAGGUUGCGAAUAGCAGCCCAAACAUAAACGGAGGGAGGAAGCUUGGUUUUGCCAUAAGGUUGGAUACGGGUGUCAGGCGCAUCAUAAGGAGAGAAACAACCGAAUUUAAUACUUUUCUAAUGUUAUAGUUCAAUAUUCUUUAAAUACUUUGAUUCUAAGGAUUUAAGCAAGGCAUCCAUUGACUCAUAAUUUGAGUAAGAAAUACGUACAAUCUUGUGGGUCCAACCAUGUUAUAGGAAAAAAAAAAGGGAAGGCUUAGUCUCAAGUUGAAGAGUAGCACUAAUAAUCCAAUUGUAGGUUUGGGAAAAAAUUUAAGAUGUAGAAAAUUUUUAUUAUUAUUAAAACUCUUAUCAAAUACUUAUUUGACGCAAGUUUAAAUUGUGUUGAUCUCAUUUUAUAUUCCAAUGACAAUUUGAAUAAUUAGUAAUUUUUUUAUUUUUAAUUAAUAUAAAAAUUCUCAACUCAAAUUUUAAAUUAAAAAUUAAAAGUACUUUGUAAGUUUAUAGUAAUUGUAAGUUUCAUUUCAUAAAUUAGAAGAAUUUAUUGUUAUAAUUUUAAUUUUUUUAAACAUAUAGUUCAACAUUUUUAUUUAAAAAAAAUAGCAUACUAGUUUUAGAUUAUAUGAUAAUUAAAUUUAAUUAAGAUUUAUUAUACUUUAAUUAACUAUUAAUCACACUUACUGAUUUUCAUCAUCAUCAUUCAGUAUCUAUUAUUUAUUAUUGAUUUAUUGGCCAUUUUAAUCCUUGAGAUAAUUGCCAUCUAGGUCCCUAAGCUUUUUAUUAAUUAAAACUCAAUAAUAAAUAUAUCGAUGGAGCUUUGGUUUUAGUGGGCAUGAAACCAUGGAGUCUUUACAGCUUUGAGGGAAAAAAAGACAGAAAAAGAAUUUUAAAGACACAAAUUAAUAAAUUAAUUUUUUUAAUCUACGUUUUAUUAAAACACACACCCAAAAAUCACCUCAUUUUCCCGUAGCUUAUUAUUUACAGUUUUUCUUGCAAUCCAAGUGCAAUCCAAUUGGCAAUUGGAAAAUGAUACGAUGUUUAUGUUUUAUUUUUUUUCAUUUUUAAAUAUAAUAAAGGCGAAAUUGACGGAAGGAAAAACUUUCUCCUUGGUUUAAAAGUCCAGAUAUCAAUUACAAGACAUAAAAAACAAAGACAAGUAUUGGUGGCCAGUAGAUGAUAGUGAGUGACACUAUUUGAUUUAGUCUAAUUAUUACAACAUGUUUGAUUCAAACUAUUUUGUAUUUGGCAGCGAAGCAGGUCGAAGAUGGCAGAUUUUACCUCCCUGACUACAGUGGAGUACAUUGAAGCCGAUAACUCUAUCUCCCUGUAUUUGGCAGUGGAAUAGAUUGAAGAUUGCAGAUCUUGCCUUCCUGUAUUUGGCAGCGAAGCAAGUCGAAGAUGGCGGAUUUUACCUCCCUGACUACAGUGGAGUACAUUGAAGCCGAUAACUCUAUCUCCCUGUAUUUGGCAGUGGAAUAGAUUGAAGAUUGCAGAUCUUGCCUUCCUGUAUUUGGCAGCGAAGCAGGUCGAAGAUGGCGGAUUUUACCUCCCUGACUACAGUGGAGUACAUUGAAGCCGAUAACUCUAUCUCCCUGUAUUUGGCAGUGGAAUAGAUUGAAGAUUGCAGAUCUUGCCUUCCUGUAUUUGGCAGCGAAGCAGGUCGAAGAUGGCAGAUUUUACCUCCCUGACUACAGUGGAGUACAUUGAAGCCGAUAAUUCUAUCUCCCUGUAUUUGGCAGUGGAAUAGAUUGAAGAUUGCAGAUCUUGCCUUCCUGUAUUUGGCAGCGAAGCAGAUCAAAUAUGGCAGAUUUUACCUCCCUGACUACAGUGGAGUACAUUGAAGCCGAUAAUUCUAUCUCCCUGUAUUUGGCAGUGGAAUAGAUUGAAGAUUACAGAUCUUGCCUUCCUGUAUUUGGCAGUGAAGCAGAUCAAAGAUGUCAGAUUUUACCUCCCUGACUACAGUGGAGUACAUUGAAGCCGAUAACUCUAUCUCCCUGUAUUUGGCAGUGGAAUAGAUUGAAGAUUACAGAUCUUAUCUCCCUAAGCAAUAAUGGAGUAGGUUGAAGACGGCAGAUUUUACCUCCCUGAUUACAGUGGAGUACAUUGAAGCUGGUAGUUCUACUUCCCUGGGAAACAGUGGAAUAGAUCGAAGAUUACAAUCUUAUCUCCCUAAGCAGUAGUGGAGUAGAUCGCAUUAAGUCUUAUCUCCCUAAGCAGUAGUGGAGCAGACAAAACCACAGAUCUUAUUUCCCUAAGCAAUAGUGGAGCAGAUCGCAUCAAGUCUUAUCUCCCUAAGUAGUAGUGGAGCAGACUAAAAACACAAAUCUCAUCCCCAUGGAAUCGUAGCAGAUUAGAUUGAAGCUACAAGGCGUAUCUGAAGUUGCAUUAGAGUGGAUCGAAGCAACAAGACGUAGCAGGCUGGAAUAAGGCUACUGGAAGAAGAUGAGCACCAAAAAGUCAAGACUCGGCAAGACCGGGCAAAAUUGGCCCUUUUGAUGUCUUUGCUCUAUUCUCGUUACACGAAAAUGAGCAAAGAGGGGCAGCUGUAAAGGCCCAAUUUUGGCCCAACUUAAACCAACCCUAACCAAAACCCAGUCCCAACCAGACCCACUACCUAAACACUAAAAACCCAACACCAGCCCAAAACAGUGAAGCCCGAUAGGCCCAAGUCUCUAAAAAAAUUUUUGGAAAGCCAGAAACCCUAGGGUUUCUGGCGCCGUUGCCCCAUGUGCGCGACCACGCAGUCCCCACUUCCUCCUCUGCCCAAAACCUAGCACUGCCCAUACCGUUUGCACCCCAUGCCUCUGUCACCUCCAUCGUGCCCAUCCCAUGCAAAGAGACAAAGCAUAAACAAUAAGAAAUUAGAUGAAAGUGGGUUAUAAAAACCCGAAUCAAAAUUGUAUGGCGGGGGGUUUUUUUUUUCUUUUCUGUUUUCGUUUUAACAUUCGUUCAAAUGUUCAAAAGAAAUCAACAACCAAGAUAGAAUGAAACACAUGUACAAGCCGUGAUUUUAACACUGAAAUCAGAAGUUCAAAGUUGUCAAAAAAAAUCAAAAACUACAAAGUAUAAGGUAAUCUUUUUCUUUAUUUUUUUCUCGUUUUCUAAACCUAUUUUCCAUACAUAAAUAUUAAUAUAUAUAUAUAUAUAAUACAAGAAAUAAAAAAAUAAAAAAAAUAAAUUUUUUUUACCUUUUUCGGCCACCGCGUGCGGUGGCCGGCGCCGGCGCCGGCGAGCCUCCGGUGGCCGUCUGGUGACCGGCCCCCCUGGCCGGAUUUUCCUUCCCCCCUCCCUUCUCUCUCCCUUCUCUCUUCCCUCUCUCUUCCUUUUUUUUCUUUCCCUCUCCCCAAAUGAUUUUUUUUGGUUAUUUUAGGCCUUAUAUAGCCCUCCAAAACGACGUCGUUUUGGGGGCUACACUUAAGCCUCAAAACGACGUCGUUUUGACCAUGCCCGACCCAUCCGACCCGACCCGCUAGAGGAUCCGCGUGUUUUCGUUUGAAUGGGAUAUUUAUGCGCGCAGUCCUUCCGCUUUUUCAGGGUUUUGCAAUUAAGUCAUUUUUCUUGUUUCCAAUUUGGCCCCAUAAUUUCUCGCGCUUUUCGAUUUAGUCCCCGCUAAUGUGCUGCGUUUUAAUGGAAUGGAAUAAUUGUUGUUUCGGUCCCCCUAUGUUUUGUGUGCGCUCAAAUAAGCCCAUUUCUCUUUAUUUCCUUUCACAUUUGCCCCACAACUUUGUUUUUAAUUCAAUUUUAGUCCUUUUUUUCGUUUAUUCUUAUAUCUUUAUUAAAUAUCCUUGUUAUUUUUAUAUUAUUAGUAUUAUUAGUAUUACUAUUAUUAUUAUGUAUUAGUAUAUAUUUUUAUUAUGUACGCGUAUACAUAUAUAUAUAUAUUUUCAUAUUUAAUAUUUUUAUUUCAUUUUUAUUCUAAUAUUUUAUUAUAAUUUAUAUAUAUAUACAUGUACAUAUUCUUUAUUUAUUUUAAGUAUAUAUUUUUUAUAUUUCAUAUUUUCUACAGGCAUAUAUAUACUUAUAUAUUUACAUAUUUUAAUUCAUAUACUUAUAAAUGUAUGUACAUACUUACGUUAUUUUAUUUUUUUAAUAUACAUAUUUAUAUUUUUUUGUCUUUAUGUAAUAUAUAUACAUACAUGCGCAUGUUAUUUAUAUAUAUGUAAUUAUGUUUUCAUAUUUUAUAAUUCUUAUACAUACACAUAUAUAUAUACGUAUAGACAUACAUAUUUUCAUUAUAUAUAUACCUACAUAGUUUUUUUUUGUAUUUUAAAUCUUUUAAAAUUCAUACAUACAUUUUUAAAACUUUUAUAAUUUUAUUCAUUUCUUUAUUAUUAUUAUUGUUUUACUUUAUGUUUAUUUAUUUAUGUGUCCAUUAUUAUUUUUUUUUAAAAUGUUUUAGUUUUUUUUAUUUUGUUUAUUUACUUGUUAUUGUAUAUAAUUGAUUUUUUAUAUAUUUAUUUUUGUUAUCUUCGCUCGUAUUAUUUUUACUCGCAUUAUCGUAAUUGUUAUUCCGUCACAUCAAUUUUUACCCGAAUUCGUAAAAAAGGAAAAUUUUGGAAAUAAAAGCAAUACUCAAUACUUGGGAUCUUCGAGAGAAUUGGGCCCUAACGUGCUGGGUUCUAAUUUUCUGUUGAAUCUAAAUGCUCGAGAAUGCUCUUUAAUAAAAAAACAUAAAUAAAAACUCAUUAUCGGGAUUUCAAUAUGUUGUGUCCUAACGCAUUGGAUAUAACACGUGGUUUUCUCGAUAUGAGGAUUUUUCGAAAGUAAAGGCAAUAUUCUGUAUUUAGAAAAUUCGAGAAAAUCGUGCCCUAACUUACUGAGAUUCGAUUUUUCUCGUUGAUUCUAAGUAAUCGAAUAUCCUUUUAAAAUUAAAAUAAAUGAGGUUUAAAUAAAAAAAUAAAAGGAAAGCUUACUCUCAAAAAAUACAAGGUGUCGUGUCCUAACUUACUGGAUGUGACAUCUUGUUAAUUCGAGAUAAGAAGGCAUUUUUCAUUUUGACUUAUCCAAGUAAUUUUUUUUAAAAAAUAACGCAAUAUAAAGAAGGAUCUUAUUUUUAAAUUCUUUUCGAGUUUUUAAUUUUCGACAUAAAGACAUUAAAUAAUCAACUAAGGUACCAAUUUUGGGCGUGUCGAGGGUGCUAAUCCUUCCUCAUGCGUAACCGACUCCCGAACCCUUUUUUUUUCUGAAUUUCGUAGACCAAAAUCGUUAUUUUAAUAAAAAUUAAAUCGUUUAUUAAAAACAACCACUCUUCGAGGUGACCCGAUCACACCUCAUCAAAAAAGAUUGGUGGCGACUCCCAUUUUCGUUUUUAUUUUUAAAAAAACCCAAGUCGACCCCGUUUUCAUCCAAAAAAUGGUGUCAACAGAGUCUUUACAGCUUUGAGGAAAAAAAGACAGAAAAAGAAUUUUAAAGACACAAAUUAAUAAAUUAAUUUUUUUAAUCUACGUUUUAUUAAAACACACACCCAAAAAUCACCUCAUUUUCCCGUAGCUUAUUAUUUACAGUUUUUCUUGCAAUCCAAGUGCGAGAUGAUCACAAAUUCCAAUUGGCAAUUGGAAAAUGAGAUACGAUUUUUAUGUUGUUUUUUUUUUCAUUUUUAAAUAUAAUAAAGGCAAAAUUAACGGAAGGGAAAACUUUCUGCUUGGUUUAAAAGUCAGAUAUCAAUUACAAGACAAAAAAAACAAAGACAAGUAUUGGGGACCAGUAGAUGAUAGUGAGUGACACUAUUUGAUUUAGUCUAAUUAUUACAACAUGUUUGAUUGAAACUAUUUUGUAAUCUCUGAUUAAAUAAAUAUUGACAGGAAAAGACUUCAAUUUUCUUCUUUUCCUUAGCUAUAAAAUUGAAUUUCUAGUUUGGAUUACAUGCCUUUGGUUCUCAUCUCUAGUUGUGUAAGGCUGAGUCGCUGUUAAUUAGUUGGAUGGACCUACAUUAAAAACAUGAAUUGAAAAGAUAAGUAAUAGAAACUUUGUCAGAUUUAGACAAAUAUCAACCACAUCUUUAUUAACAUUUUACAUUUCUUAUCCCAAUAUUCAAAACCAAACAAUAAUACAUUCAUUGCAUGUUCCUUUUCUCAAAUAUCAUUUUAUUUAAUGUCAUUAGACAUUACUCUAUUCUUUUUUCUUUGUGAUAAAAAUUGUUAAACAAAAAAUUAUUACAAAUGUUGUAGGAAUCUAUCCUUUGAGAUUGUUUGAUUCUAGUUUUUGACAAAUUGCUCAAAGUUGAUGGGACAAAACAAGUGAAUUUGAUUCUAGUUUAGUGAGAUCAAAAUUUGUUGGCAAAUUAAAUUACUCAAUGGGUAAAUAUCCAUGGAAGUUAUUGUCCCAAAGUGGGGUUGGACUUGGAUGGUAUCUGCGAGACUCAUUUUUAUCAUAUUCAAAGCAGUGGCUGCCGAAUAAAUUACAACUAGAAAUAAAAAUAGAUCAGUUGGCUGCCAAGAGGUUUUGAGGGUCAUGCUUGUUCCCUAUCAACCCGAGUACUACUAAGUAAGUACCCCUCUAAAUGGGGAGAACUUUGUUGAUCUUUCAUUGGUUUAAAAGUCUAAAUACCAAUUGUAAGGCAUCAAAACAACAAAGACAAGUAUUGGGGACCAGCUGAAGAGAGUGAGUGACACGGUUUGAUUUAGAGUCUCAUGAUUGCAAUAUAUUUGAUCGUGAUCCUCAAAUUUGAUUGAAAUGUCUAACAAAAUAAAUACCAAGAUGGAAAGACCUUUUUUUCUAUAAAAUCUAAAUUUCUAGUUUUGAAGACAUGCUUGUGGUUCUCAUCUCUUACUUGUUCUGCACGGCUAAGUUGCAGUUGCUUCGAUGGACCUAUGUUGGGAAACAUGAAUUGAAAAGAAUGCCAACAAGUAAUAGAAAUUUUGCAAUAUUCAGAUAGAUCAAAUUAAGCUUUUUGUGGACCAUUCUCAGAUAAUUACUUUGGCAAUCUUGAAUUUAACAAUCUAACCAUUAAAUUUAACAAUAUAAUUAUAGUUGUCUUGCAUUUUAAAUUUUGAAUUGAUUUAAUACCUCUAUCAUUUCGGUCCAAAACUUUGUUUAUUUCAUAUAUAUUUAAGUAUUUUUGAAUGUAACUAAGUAAGCAUGUUUCUUCUACCGCGAGUCAAAAGGUUGCAACAAUUUUAGCCAUUUUGUACACAAUAUAACAUUAUAUUGUUGCCUUAAUUAAAGCAGAAUAAUAUAUAUUUCCAUAAGUUUUUAAAAAUAUCAUAAAUUUUCAUUGGGAAUUUUAUUGGUGCAUUCUAAAUUACAUAAUAAUCAGAAAUAUAAAAGAUUUCCAUUGGGAAUUUGUUGGUGUAUUCUCGCCUUUUAGUAAAAGUAAUAAUAAAAAAUUUUGUUGAUUCACCUUUACUAUGAAAAUAAAAAUAAAAAAUUACAAAAUUAGAACCGUAAAUCAAUUUUGGUUUAAAAUUUUAAACCUACAUAUUAAAGUUAAUCUUUGUGUAGAAAAUCUGAUAGGUAAGUAGCAUAGCAUCCAUCUAAUAGAUUAGGAAAUCUGUAGUCUUGAGAUGGAAUAGAUUUUACGGUCACAUUGGCAACCUUAAAUUAUAAUCUUCUUUGAUCUCGUUUGCAUAACAUCCAUCUAAUUUUGAGAAUUCUUCACUUUUAAUUUCAAAAUUGUAAUUAAAUAGUUUUAUCCAAUUAAAUAAUAAUAAUAUAUGGCUAUGGUGAUGUCUAUAAGAUGGGAACAAAAAUUAAACCCGUUGUGAGUGGUGGGGUAGGCGUGGGUAUGACCUUGUACCUAAGUCAUCCCCACCUACCCCAUCCCAUCCCGCAUAAUAUAAUAAACAUAUUUAAAAAAUAAACAUUUAUAAAAAUUAAUUUAAUAAUUAAUUUAAUAAUAUUUAAUUUUUGCUCUUGUGUUGCAUUUGAAGAUAUUUAUGAUGUAUUUGAGAUAUUGUUUGUAUUUUGAUAUUAUGUAAUGACUUUAUUUUUUAAAUUUUUAAACUUGAAAUUAUAUCUUAUUUACCAACUAAAGGUCGUAACGACUUACCUUUUUUUUAAAUAAUGUUUAUUUAAUAUAUCCACAACAAUAUCAGUCUGAUUUACUGAAAAAUAUAUAUUAUAUAUCCACAACAAUAAAUUAAUUUAGUUAUUACGUCUCAUCCAAUAAUAAUAUUUUCACUAUUACCAAAUUUUUUCUCUUUUAAUAAUUGUUUGGAAAAUGGCUUCAAGAUGAAUUUAGACAAAUAGUUUAGUAGUAGAUUAAAUUCUUUGGAUAUAUUAACCAAAUCCACACCAGAAAAAUUUACCUAUGAUGGAUUUAAUUGAACAUAUAAAAUAAUAACUUGUUAGAAGGGUUGAUUAAUUGGAAAGCAUAGAAUGGGUUAAUGAAUUAGAAAGCAAGAAUUUAUAAAACUUAAGGAUAUAAUUUUGUAUUGGAAUUAUUCAGUGGGAUGAAGAGUAAAUUUCAAGUAGCAAAAGGAUGGAUCCAUCUCACUCCCUUCCAUAUUUAGUCUUUUGCAAAUAUUCAAGAAUAGGCUGAUGUACAAUUAUUUUACUUUGAAUGCAUGAGUCUAUGGUAAGGACGGGGUCCCAGCAGUAAGGUAAAAUGGUAAGUGUUGAAACAGAAAAUAAAAGAAAUGUAGAUGAUUUAACGAUGAUGGGGUCUUAUGGUGCUUUGGAAUCAUCGUUUUUUUAAAGAUGAUUUGAUUUGGAGAAAAGGAGAGGCCGGAUGUGGGUAUUUGGUUGUAUCUUUAUUGUUGUACAAAAAUCUUGCUAGUUCGAGGAUCAACUUUCCUUUCAAUUUUAAUAAAAAUUAUAUAUGAACUUGUGAACUUGUAUUCAAAUUGAAUCUUUCCAUUGAGUCGCCCUUGCAAGUCAAUGCAGCAAUCAAGAACCAUAUUAUUAAUACCCAGCUAAGAUCGUGAACGUUUUCUACUCUAUAUCUUUCUCCUAAAUGCUUCAUUCCAGUGAAAAGUGCUGCAAUUCGUACGGCAAUGGCACCUCUGGCGAUAAUUACAUGGAAAUACUCCCAAAUUAAUCUCUUUGUGGAAGCGUCCUCCUCAUUAGCAGGUUUCUCCGGUCUGAGAUAUGCAUUCAUUGGUUGCACAAAGGCAAAAACUAUGGCAGCAAUACCAAGCUUAAAAUGUAAGGAGCUGACAUAGAAACCCCGAAGUUCGGCAACUGCAAAAAGAACACCAAGUAGGAUAAUUGCUAAUCCUGAAUAUUGUAGGUACAUACCAUCCAUCACCCUUUACAUGUUUUAGGUAUCUAGCAGCCAAUAUUCCACCAGGAAUCAAAAUACCCCAGGAGAGGAACAGCAUAAACCCAUGUACAGCUUUGACAGGUUGUAAACCUUGCUCAGCCUCGGAAGAACCACGGAUAAGCAGCACUUGCACAGCCCUUUGACUCGUGACAGUAUGCAUGUUUUUCUCACUGAGAUGUUCAUCAGUCCAUUUUGAACCCAUUGCCCGUAUGACUUUAAGAGGAGUUGUAGGAUAAAAAAUGUUCUUGCACUCUGGCUUAUCAUUUUGAUUGCAUGAUGGUUUUAAUGGACGUGUGAAUUCCAAAGUAAUGAUGCCAUCUUCUGACCUGCACCUGACAUGUGUUAGAUUCUCAUUUGUUAGAUGGAUGUUCAAGGGAUGCUUUCCAUCAAUCCAAUAUGUAUUUAAAUGCCCUUUUCAAGUAUCGCCAAUCCAGCCCACAUAUGCAUAGCUAUUCACCAUCCCAUUACCGAAACCUAUUGCAAGAUAGCCACUCUUAUUCACACCACGGGCAGCAAUAGUUAUUGAAUCUUCUGAUAACGUCCAAAAGAAAGUAACUUGAUCAUCUAAAAGCACACUAGUGUUAUACAUAUCAGACAGGGCACCAUCAAGAACCAUAUUAUUAAUACCCAGCUAAGAUCGUGAACGUUUUCUACUCUAUCUUUCUCCUAAAUGCUUCAUUCCAGUGAAAAGUGCUGCAAUUCGUACGGCAAUGGCACCUCUGCCGAUAAUUACAUGGAAAUACUCCCAAAUUAAUCUCUUUGUGGAAGCGUCCUCCUCAUUAGCAGGUUUCUCCGGUCUAAGAUAUGCAUUCAUUGGUUGCACAAAGGCAAAAACUAUGGCAGCAAUACCAAGCUUAACAUGUAAGGAGCUGACAUAGAAACCCCGAAGUUUGGCAACUGCAAAAAGAACACCAAGUAGGAUAAUUGCUAAUCCUGAAUAUUGUAGGUACAUACCAUCCAUCACCCUUUACAUGUUUUAGGUAUCUAGCAGCCAAUAUUCCACCAGGAAUCAAAAUACCCCAGGAGAGGAACAGCAUAAACCCAUGUACAGCUUUGACAGGUUGUAAACCUUGCUCAGCCUCGGAAGAACCACGGAUAAGCAGCACUUGCACAGCCCUUUGACUCGUGACAGUAUGCAUGUUUUUCUCUCUGAGAUGUUCAUCAGUCCAUUUUGAACCCAUUGCCCGUAUGACUUUAAGAGGAGUUGUAGGAUCAAAAAUGUUCUUGCACUCUGGCUUAUCAUUUUGAUUGCAUGAUGGUUUUAAUGGACGUGUGAAUUCCAAAGUAAUGAUGCCAUCUUCUGACCUGCACCUGACAUGUGUUAGAUUCUCAUUUGUUAGAUGGAUGUUCAAGGGAUGCUUUCCAUCAAUCUAAUAUGUAUUUAAAUGCCCUUUUCCAGUAUCGCCAAUCCAGCCCACAUAUGCAUAGCUAUUCACCAUCCCAUUACCGAAACCUAUUGCAAGAUAGCCACUCUUAUUCACACCACGGGCAGCAAUAGUUAUUGAAUCUUCUGAUAACGUCCAAAAGAAAGUAACUUGAUCAUCUAAAAGCACACUAGUGUUAUACAUAUCAGACAGGGCACCAUCAAGAACCAUAUUAUUAAUACCCAGCUAAGAUCGUGAACGUUUUCUACUCUAUCUUUCUCCUAAAUGCUUCAUUCCAGUGAAAAGUGCUGCAAUUCGUACGGCAAUGGCACCUCUGCCGAUAAUUACAUGGAAAUACUCCCAAAUUAAUCUCUUUGUGGAAGCGUCCUCCUCAUUAGCAGGUUUCUCCGGUCUGAGAUAUGCAUUCAUUGGUUGCACAAAGGCAAAAACUAUGGCAGCAAUACCAAGCUUAACAUGUAAGGAGCUGACAUAGAAACCCCGAAGUUCGGCAACUGCAAAAAGAACACCAAGUAGGAUAAUUGCUAAUCCUGAAUAUUGUAAGUACAUACCAUCCAUCACCCUUUACAUGUUUUAGGUAUCUAGCAGCCAAUAUUCCACCAGGAAUCAAAAUACCCCAGGAGAGGAACAGCAUAAACCCAUGUACAGCUUUGACAGGUUGUAAACCUUGCUCAGCCUCGGAAGAACCACGGAUAAGCAGCACUUGCACAGCCCUUUGACUCGUGACAGUAUGCAUGUUUUUCUCACUGAGAUGUUCAUCAGUCCAUUUUGAACCCAUUGCCCGUAUGACUUUAAGAGGAGUUGUAGGAUCAAAAAUGUUCUUGCACUCUGGCUUAUCAUUUUGAUUGCAUGAUGGUUUUAAUGGACGUGUGAAUUCCAAAGUAAUGAUGCCAUCUUCUGACCUGCACCUGACAUGUGUUAGAUUCUCAUUUGUUAGAUGGAUGUUCAAGGGAUGCUUUCCAUCAAUCCAAUAUGUAUUUAAAUGCCCUUUUCCAGUAUCGCCAAUCCAGCCCACAUAUGCAUAGCUAUUCACCAUCCCAUUACCGAAACCUAUUGCAAGAUAGCCACUCUUAUUCACACCACGGGCAGCAAUAGUUAUUGAAUCUUCUGAUAACGUCCAAAAGAAAGUAACUUGAUCAUCUAAAAGCACACUAGUGUUAUACAUAUCAGACAGGGCACCAUCAAGAACCAUAUUAUUAAUACCCAGCUAAGAUCGUGAACGUUUUCUACUCUAUCUUUCUCCUAAAUGCUUCAUUCCAGUGAAAAGUGCUGCAAUUCGUACGGCAAUGGCACCUCUGCCGAUAAUUACAUGGAAAUACUCCCAAAUUAAUCUCUUUGUGGAAGCGUCCUCCUCAUUAAGAGGUUUCUCCGGUCUGAGAUAUGCAUUCAUUGGUUGCACAAAGGCAAAAACUAUGGCAGCAAUACCAAGCUUAACAUGUAAGGAGCUGACAUAGAAACCCCGAAGUUCGGCAACUGCAAAAAGAACACCAAGUAGGAUAAUUGCUAAUCCUGAAUAUUGUAGGUACAUACCAUCCAUCACCCUUUACAUGUUUUAGGUAUCUAGCAGCCAAUAUUCCACCAGGAAUUAAAAUACCCCAGGAGAGGAACAGCAUAAACCCAUGUACAGCUUUGACAGGUUGUAAACCUUGCUCAGCCUCGGAAGAACCACGGAUAAGCAGCACUUGCACAGUCCUUUGACUCGUGACAGUAUGCAUGUUUUUCUCACUGAGAUGUUCAUCAGUCUAUUUUGAACCCAUUGCCCGUAUGACUUUAAGAGGAGUUGUAGGAUCAAAAAUGUUCUUGCACUCUGGCUUAUCAUUUUGAUUGCAUGAUGGUUUUAAUGGAUGUGUGAAUUCCAAAGUAAUGAUGCCAUCUUCUGACCUGCACCUGACAUGUGUUAGAUUCUCAUUUGUUAGAUGGAUGUUCAAGGGAUGCUUUCCAUCAAUCCAAUAUGUAUUUAAAUGCCCUUUUCCAGUAUCGCCAAUCCAGCCCACAUAUGCAUAGCUAUUCACCAUCCCAUUACCGAAACCUAUUGCAAGAUAGCCACUCUUAUUCACACCACGGGCAGCAAUAGUUAUUGAAUCUUCUGAUAACGUCCAAAAGAAAGUAACUUGAUCAUCUAAAAGCACACUAGUGUUAUACAUAUCAGACAGGGCACCAUCAAGAACCAUAUUAUUAAUACCCAGCUAAGAUCGUGAACGUUUUCUACUCUAUCUUUCUCCUAAAUGCUUCAUUCCAGUGAAAAGUGCUGCAAUUCGUACGGCAAUGGCACCUCUGCCGAUAAUUACAUGGAAAUACUCCCAAAUUAAUCUCUUUGUGGAAGCGUCCUCCUCAUUAGCAGGUUUCUCCGGUCUGAGAUAUGCAUUCAUUGGUUGCACAAAGGCAAAAACUAUGGCAGCAAUACCAAGCUUAACAUGUAAGGAGCUGACAUAGAAACCCCGAAGUUCGGCAACUGCAAAAAGAACACCAAGUAGGAUAAUUGCUAAUCCUGAAUAUUGUAGGUACAUACCAUCCAUCACCCUUUACAUGUUUUAGGUAUCUAGCAGCCAAUAUUCCACCAGGAAUCAAAAUACCCCAGGAGAGGAACAGCAUAAACCCAUGUACAGCUUUGACAGGUUGUAAACCUUGCUCAGCCUCGGAAGAACCACGGAUAAGCAGCACUUGCACAGACCUUUGACUCGUGACAGUAUGCAUGUUUUUCUCACUGAGAUGUUCAUCAGUCCAUUUUGAACCCAUUGCCCGUAUGACUUUAAGAGGAGUUGUAGGAUCAAAAAUGUUCUUGCACUCUGGCUUAUCAUUUUGAUUGCAUGAUGGUUUUAAUGGACGUGUGAAUUCCAAAGUAAUGAUGCCAUCUUCUGACCUGCACCUGACAUGUGUUAGAUUCUCAUUUGUUAGAUGGAUGUUCAAGGGAUGCUUUCCAUCAAUCCAAUAUGUAUUUAAAUGCCCUUUUCCAGUAUCGCCAAUCCAGCCCACAUAUGCAUAGCUAUUCACCAUCCCAUUACCGAAACCUAUUGCAAGAUAGCCACUCUUAUUCACACCACGGGCAGCAAUAGUUAUUGAAUCUUCUGAUAACGUCCAAAAGAAAGUAACUUGAUCAUCUAAAAGCACACUAGUGUUAUACAUAUCAGACAGGGCACCAUCAAGAACCAUAUUAUUAAUACCCAGCUAAGAUCGUGAACGUUUUCUACUCUAUCUUUCUCCUAAAUGCUUCAUUCCAGUGAAAAGUGCUGCAAUUCGUACGGCAAUGGCACCUCUGCCGAUAAUUACAUGGAAAUACUCCCAAAUUAAUCUCUUUGUGGAAGCGUCCUCCUCAUUAGCAGGUUUCUCCGGUCUGAGAUAUGCAUUCAUUGGUUGCACAAAGGCAAAAACUAUGGCAGCAAUACCAAGCUUAACAUGUAAGGAGCUGACAUAGAAACCCCGAAGUUCGGCAACUGCAAAAAGAACACCAAGUAGGAUAAUUGCUAAUCCUGAAUAUUGUAGGUACAUACCAUCCAUCACCCUUUACAUGUUUUAGGUAUCUAGCAGCCAAUAUUCCACCAGGAAUCAAAAUACCCCAGGAGAGGAACAGCAUAAACCCAUGUACAGCUUUGACAGGUUGUAAACCUUGCUCAGCCUCGGAAGAACCACGGAUAAGCAGCACUUGCACAGCCCUUUGACUCGUGACAGUAUGCAUGUUUUUCUCACUGAGAUGUUCAUCAGUCCAUUUUGAACCCAUUGCCCGUAUGACUUUAAGAGGAGUUGUAGGAUCAAAAAUGUUCUUGCACUCUGGCUUAUCAUUUUGAUUGCAUGAUGGUUUUAAUGGACGUGUGAAUUCCAAAGUAAUGAUGCCAUCUUCUGACCUGCACCUGACAUGUGUUAGAUUCUCAUUUGUUAGAUGGAUGUUCAAGGAUGCUUUCCAUCAAUCCAAUAUGUAUUUAAAUGCCCUUUUCCAGUAUCGCCAAUCCAGCCCACAUAUGCAUAGCUAUUCACCAUCCCAUUACCGAAACCUAUUGCAAGAUAGCCACUCUUAUUCACACCACGGGCAGCAAUAGUUAUUGAAUCUUCUGAUAACGUCCAAAAGAAAGUAACUUGAUCAUCUAAAAGCACACUAGUGUUAUACAUAUCAGACAGGGCACCAUCAAGAACCAUAUUAUUAAUACCCAGCUAAGAUCGUGAACGUUUUCUACUCUAUCUUUCUCCUAAAUGCUUCAUUCCAGUGAAAAGUGCUGCAAUUCGUACGGCAAUGGCACCUCUGCCGAUAAUUACAUGGAAAUACUCCCAAAUUAAUCUCUUUGUGGAAGCGUCCUCCUCAUUAGUAGGUUUCUCCGGUCUGAGAUAUGCAUUCAUUGGUUGCACAAAGGCAAAAACUAUGGCAGCAAUACCAAGCUUAACAUGUAAGGAGCUGACAUAGAAACCCCGAAGUUCGGCAACUGCAAAAAGAACACCAAGUAGGAUAAUUGCUAAUCCUGAAUAUUGUAGGUACAUACCAUCCAUCACCCUUUACAUGUUUUAGGUAUCUAGCAGCCAAUAUUCCACCAGGAAUCAAAAUACCCCAGGAGAGGAACAGCAUAAACCCAUGUACAGCUUUGACAGGUUGUAAACCUUGCUCAGCCUCGGAAGAACCACGGAUAAGCAGCACUUGCAAAGCCCUUUGACUAGUGACAGUAUGCAUGUUUUUCUCACUGAGAUGUUCAUCAGUCCAUUUUGAACCCAUUGCCCGUAUGACUUUAAGCGGAGUUGUAGGAUCAAAAAUGUUCUUGCACUCUGGCUUAUCAUUUUGAUUGCAUGAUGGUUUUAAUGGACGUGUGAAUUCCAAAGUAAUGAUGCCAUCUUCUGACCUGCACCUGACAUGUGUUAGAUUCUCAUUUGUUAGAUGGAUGUUCAAGGGAUGCUUUCCAUCAAUCCAAUAUGUAUUUAAAUGCCCUUUUCCAGUAUCGCCAAUCCAGCCCACAUAUGCAUAGUUAUUCACCAUCCCAUUACCGAAACCUAUUGCAAGAUAGCCACUCUUAUUCACACCACGGGCAGCAAUAGUUAUUGAAUCUUCUGAUAACGUCCAAAAGAAAGUAACUUGAUCAUCUAAAAGCACACUAGUGUUAUACAUAUCAGACAGGGCACCAUCAAGAACCAUAUUAUUAAUACCCAGCUAAGAUCGUGAACGUUUUCUACUCUAUCUUUCUCCUAAAUGCUUCAUUCCAGUGAAAAGUGCUGCAAUUCGUACGGCAAUGGCACCUCUGCCGAUAAUUACAUGGAAAUACUCCCAAAUUAAUCUCUUUGUGGAAGCGUCCUCCUCAUUAGCAGGUUUCUCCGGUCUGAGAUAUGCAUUCAUUGGUUGCACAAAGGCAAAAACUAUGGCAGCAAUACCAAGCUUAACAUGUAAGGAGCUGACAUAGAAACCCCGAAGUUCGGCAACUGCAAAAAGAACACCAAGUAGGAUAAUUGCUAAUCCUGAAUAUUGUAGGUACAUACCAUCCAUCACCCUUUACAUGUUUUAGGUAUCUAGCAGCCAAUAUUCCACCAGGAAUCAAAAUACCCCAGGAGAGGAACAGCAUAAACCCAUGUACAGCUUUGACAGGUUGUAAACCUUGCUCAGCCUCGGAAGAACCACGGAUAAGCAGCACUUGCACAGCCCUUUGACUCGUGACAGUAUGCAUGUUUUUCUCACUGAGAUGUUCAUCAGUCCAUUUUGAACCCAUUGCCCGUAUGACUUUAAGAGGAGUUGUAGGAUCAAAAAUGUUCUUGCACUCUGGCUUAUCAUUUUGAUUGCAUGAUGGUUUUAAUGGACGUGUGAAUUCCAAAGUAAUGAUGCCAUCUUCUGACCUGCACCUGACAUGUGUUAGAUUCUCAUUUGUUAGAUGGAUGUUCAAGGGAUGCUUUCCAUCAAUCCAAUAUGUAUUUAAAUGCCCUUUUCCAGUAUCGCCAAUCCAGCCCACAUAUGCAUAGCUAUUCACCAUCCCAUUACCGAAACCUAUUGCAAGAUAGCCACUCUUAUUCACACCACGGGCAGCAAUAGUUAUUGAAUCUUCUGAUAACGUCCAAAAGAAAGUAACUUGAUCAUCUAAAAGCACACUAGUGUUAUACAUAUCAGACAGGGCACCAUCAAGAACCAUAUUAUUAAUACCCAGCUAAGAUCGUGAACGUUUUCUACUCUAUCUUUCUCCUAAAUGCUUCAUUCCAGUGAAAAGUGCUGCAAUUCGUACGGCAAUGGCACCUCUGCCGAUAAUUACAUGGAAAUACUCCCAAAUUAAUCUCUUUGUGGAAGCGUCCUCCUCAUUAGCAGGUUUCUCCGGUCUGAGAUAUGCAUUCAUUGGUUGCACAAAGGCAAAAACUAUGGCAGCAAUACCAAGCUUAACAUGUAAGGAGCUGACAUAGAAACCCCGAAGUUCGGCAACUGCAAAAAGAACACCAAGUAGGAUAAUUGCUAAUCCUGAAUAUUGUAGGUACAUACCAUCCAUCACCCUUUACAUGUUUUAGGUAUCUAGCAGCCAAUAUUCCACCAGGAAUCAAAAUACCCCAGGAGAGGAACAGCAUAAACCCAUGUACAGCUUUGACAGGUUGUAAACCUUGCUCAGCCUCGGAAGAACCACGGAUAAGCAGCACUUGCACAGCCCUUUGACUCGUGACAGUAUGCAUGUUUUUCUCACUGAGAUGUUCAUCAGUCCAUUUUGAACCCAUUGCCCGUAUGACUUUAAGAGGAGUUGUAGGAUCAAAAAUGUUCUUGCACUCUGGCUUAUCAUUUUGAUUGCAUGAUGGUUUUAAUGGACGUGUGAAUUCCAAAGUAAUGAUGCCAUCUUCUGACCUGCACCUGACAUGUGUUAGAUUCUCAUUUGUUAGAUGGAUGUUCAAGGGAUGCUUUCCAUCAAUCCAAUAUGUAUUUAAAUGCCCUUUUCCAGUAUCGCCAAUCCAGCCCACAUAUGCAUAGCUAUUCACCAUCCCAUUACCGAAACCUAUUGCAAGAUAGCCACUCUUAUUCACACCACGGGCAGCAAUAGUUAUUGAAUCUUCUGAUAACGUCCAAAAGAAAGUAACUUGAUCAUCUAAAAGCACACUAGUGUUAUACAUAUCAGACAGGGCACCAUCAAGAACCAUAUUAUUAAUACCCAGCUAAGAUCGUGAACGUUUUCUACUCUAUCUUUCUCCUAAAUGCUUCAUUCCAGUGAAAAGUGCUGCAAUUCGUACGGCAAUGGCACCUCUGCCGAUAAUUACAUGGAAAUACUCCCAAAUUAAUCUCUUUGUGGAAGCGUCCUCCUCAUUAGCAGGUUUCUCCGGUCUGAGAUAUGCAUUCAUUGGUUGCACAAAGGCAAAAACUAUGGCAGCAAUACCAAGCUUAACAUGUAAGGAGCUGACAUAGAAACCCCGAAGUUCGGCAACUGCAAAAAGAACACCAAGUAGGAUAAUUGCUAAUCCUGAAUAUUGUAGGUACAUACCAUCCAUCACCCUUUACAUGUUUUAGGUAUCUAGCAGCCAAUAUUCCACCAGGAAUCAAAAUACCCCAGGAGAGGAACAGCAUAAACCCAUGUACAGCUUUGACAGGUUGUAAACCUUGCUCAGCCUCGGAAGAACCUACGGAUAAGCAGCACUUGCACAGCCCUUUGACUCGUGACAGUAUGCAUGUUUUUCUCACUGAGAUGUUCAUCAGUCCAUUUUGAACCCAUUGCCCGUAUGACUUUAAGAGGAGUUGUAGGAUCAAAAAUGUUCUUGCACUCUGGCUUAUCAUUUUGAUUGCAUGAUGGUUUUAAUGGACGUGUGAAUUCCAAAGUAAUGAUGCCAUCUUCUGACCUGCACCUGACAUGUGUUAGAUUCUCAUUUGUUAGAUGGAUGUUCAAGGGAUGCUUUCCAUCAAUCCAAUAUGUAUUUAAAUGCCCUUUUCCAGUAUCGCCAAUCCAGCCCACAUAUGCAUAGCUAUUCACCAUCCCAUUACCGAAACCUAUUGCAAGAUAGCCACUCCUAUUCACACCACGGGCAGCAAUAGUUAUUGAAUCUUCUGAUAACGUCCAAAAGAAAGUAACUUGAUCAUCUAAAAGCACACUAGUGUUAUACAUAUCAGACAGGGCACCAUCAAGAACCAUAUUAUUAAUACCCAGCUAAGAUCGUGAACGUUUUCUACUCUAUCUUUCUCCUAAAUGCUUCAUUCCAGUGAAAAGUGCUGCAAUUCGUACGGCAAUGGCACCUCUGCCGAUAAUUACAUGGAAAUACUCCCAAAUUAAUCUCUUUGUGGAAGCGUCCUCCUCAUUAGCAGGUUUCUCCGGUCUGAGAUAUGCAUUCAUUGGUUGCACAAAGGCAAAAACUAUGGCAGCAAUACCAAGCUUAACAUGUAAGGAGCUGACAUAGAAACCCCGAAGUUCGGCAACUGCAAAAAGAACACCAAGUAGGAUAAUUGCUAAUCCUGAAUAUUGUAGGUACAUACCAUCCAUCACCCUUUACAUGUUUUAGGUAUCUAGCAGCCAAUAUUCCACCAGGAAUCAAAAUACCCCAGGAGAGGAACAGCAUAAACCCAUGUACAGCUUUGACAGGUUGUAAACCUUGCUCAGCCUCGGAAGAACUACGGAUAAGCAGCACUUGCACAGCCCUUUGACUCGUGACAGUAUGCAUGUUUUUCUCACUGAGAUGUUCAUCAGUCCAUUUUGAACCCAUUGCCCGUAUGACUUUAAGAGGAGUUGUAGGAUCAAAAAUGUUCUUGCACUCUGGCUUAUCAUUUUGAUUGCAUGAUGGUUUUAAUGGACGUGUGAAUUCCAAAGUAAUGAUGCCAUCUUCUGACCUGCACCUGACAUGUGUUAGAUUCUCAUUUGUUAGAUGGAUGUUCAAGGGAUGCUUUCCAUCAAUCCAAUAUGUAUUUAAAUGACCUUUUCCAGUAUCGCCAAUCCAGCCCACAUAUGCAUAGCUAUUCACCAUCCCAUUACCGAAACCUAUUGCAAGAUAGCCACUCUUAUUCACACCACGGGCAGCAAUAGUUAUUGAAUCUUCUGAUAACGUCCAAAAGAAAGUAACUUGAUCAUCUAAAAGCACACUAGUGUUAUACAUAUCAGACAGGGCACCAUCAAGAACCAUAUUAUUAAUACCCAGCUAAGAUCGUGAACGUUUUCUACUCUAUCUUUCUCCUAAAUGCUUCAUUCCAGUGAAAAGUGCUGCAAUUCGUACGGCAAUGGCACCUCUGCCGAUAAUUACAUGGAAAUACUCCCAAAUUAAUCUCUUUGUGGAAGCGUCCUCCUCAUUAGCAGGUUUCUCCGGUCUGAGAUAUGCAUUCAUUGGUUGCACAAAGGCAAAAACUAUGGCAGCAAUACCAAGCUUAACAUGUAAGGAGCUGACAUAGAAACCCCGAAGUUCGGCAACUGCAAAAAGAACACCAAGUAGGAUAAUUGCUAAUCCUGAAUAUUGUAGGUACAUACCAUCCAUCACCCUUUACAUGUUUUAGGUAUCUAGCAGCCAAUAUUCCACCAGGAAUCAAAAUACCCCAGGAGAGGAACAGCAUAAACCCAUGUACAGCUUUGACAGGUUGUAAACCUUGCUCAGCCUCGGAAGAACCACGGAUAAGCAGCACUUGCAAAGCCCUUUGACUCGUGACAGUAUGCAUGUUUUUCUCACUGAGAUGUUCAUCAGUCCAUUUUGAACCCAUUGCCCGUAUGACUUUAAGCGGAGUUGUAGGAUCAAAAAUGUUCUUGCACUCUGGCUUAUCAUUUUGAUUGCAUGAUGGUUUUAAUGGACGUGUGAAUUCCAAAGUAAUGAUGCCAUCUUCUGACCUGCACCUGACAUGUGUUAGAUUCUCAUUUGUUAGAUGGAUGUUCAAGGGAUGCUUUCCAUCAAUCCAAUAUGUAUUUAAAUGACCUUUUCCAGUAUCGCCAAUCCAGCCCACAUAUGCAUAGUUAUUCACCAUCCCAUUACCGAAACCUAUUGCAAGAUAGCCACUCUUAUUCACACCACGGGCAGCAAUAGUUAUUGAAUCUUCUGAUAACGUCCAAAAGAAAGUAACUUGAUCAUCUAAAAGCACACUAGUGUUAUACAUAUCAGACAGGGCACCAUCAAGAACCAUAUUAUUAAUACCCAGCUAAGAUCGUGAACGUUUUCUACUCUAUCUUUCUCCUAAAUGCUUCAUUCCAGUGAAAAGUGCUGCAAUUCGUACGGCAAUGGCACCUCUGCCGAUAAUUACAUGGAAAUACUCCCAAAUUAAUCUCUUUGUGGAAGCGUCCUCCUCAUUAGCAGGUUUCUCCGGUCUGAGAUAUGCAUUCAUUGGUUGCACAAAGGCAAAAACUAUGGCAGUAAUACCAAGCUUAACAUGUAAGGAGCUGACAUAGAAACCCCGAAAUUCGGCAACUGCAAAAAGAACACCAAGUAGGAUAAUUGCUAAUCCUGAAUAUUGUAGGUACAUACCAUCCAUCACCCUUUACAUGUUUUAGGUAUCUAGCAGCCAAUAUUCCACCAGGAAUCAAAAUACCCCAGGAGAGGAACAGCAUAAACCCAUGUACAGCUUUGACAGGUUGUAAACCUUGCUCAGCCUCGGAAGAACCACGGAUAAGCAGCACUUGCACAGCCCUUUGACUCGUGACAGUAUUCAUGUUUUUCUCACUGAGAUGUUCAUCAGUCCAUUUUGAACCCAUUGCCCGUAUGACUUUAAGAGGAGUUGUAGGAUCAAAAAUGUUCUUGCACUCUGGCUUAUCAUUUUGAUUGCAUGAUGGUUUUAAUGGACGUGUGAAUUCCAAAGUAAUGAUGCCAUCUUCUAACCUGCACCUGACAUGUGUUAGAUUCUCAUUUGUUAGAUGGAUGUUCAAGGGAUGCUUUCCAUCAAUCCAAUAUGUAUUUAAAUGCCCUUUUCCAGUAUCGCCAAUCCAGCCCACAUAUGCAUAGCUAUUCACCAUCCCAUUACCGAAACCUAUUGCAAGAUAGCCACUCUUAUUCACACCACGGGCAGCAAUAGUUAUUGAAUCUUCUGAUAACGUCCAAAAGAAAGUAACUUGAUCAUCUAAAAGCACACUAGUGUUAUACAUAUCAGACAGGGCACCAUCAAGAACCAUAUUAUUAAUACCCAGCUAAGAUCGUGAACGUUUUCUACUCUAUCUUUCUCCUAAAUGCUUCAUUCCAGUGAAAAGUGCUGCAAUUCGUACGGCAAUGGCACCUCUGCCGAUAAUUACAUGGAAAUACUCCCAAAUUAAUCUCUUUGUGGAAGCGUCCUCCUCAUUAGCAGGUUUCUCCGGUCUGAGAUAUGCAUUCAUUGGUUGCACAAAGGCAAAAACUAUGGCAGCAAUACCAAGCUUAACAUGUAAGGAGCUGACAUAGAAACCCCGAAGUUCGGCAACUGCAAAAAGAACACCAAGUAGGAUAAUUGCUAAUCCUGAAUAUUGUAGGUACAUACCAUCCAUCACCCUUUACAUGUUUUAGGUAUCUAGCAGCCAAUAUUCCACCAGGAAUCAAAAUACCCCAGGAGAGGAACAGCAUAAACCCAUGUACAGCUUUGACAGGUUGUAAACCUUGCUCAGCCUCGGAAGAACUACGGAUAAGCAGCACUUGCACAGCCCUUUGACUCGUGACAGUAUGCAUGUUUUUCUCACUGAGAUGUUCAUCAGUCCAUUUUGAACCCAUUGCCCGUAUGACUUUAAGAGGAGUUGUAGGAUCAAAAAUGUUCUUGCACUCUGGCUUAUCAUUUUGAUUGCAUGAUGGUUUUAAUGGACGUGUGAAUUCCAAAGUAAUGAUGCCAUCUUCUGACCUGCACCUGACAUGUGUUAGAUUCUCAUUUGUUAGAUGGAUGUUCAAGGGAUGCUUUCCAUCAAUCCAAUAUGUAUUUAAAUGCCCUUUUCCAGUAUCGCCAAUCCAGCCCACAUAUGCAUAGCUAUUCACCAUCCCAUUACCGAAACCUAUUGCAAGAUAGCCACUCCUAUUCACACCACGGGCAGCAAUAGUUAUUGAAUCUUCUGAUAACGUCCAAAAGAAAGUAACUUGAUCAUCUAAAAGCACACUAGUGUUAUACAUAUCAGACAGGGCACCAUCAAGAACCAUAUUAUUAAUACCCAGCUAAGAUCGUGAACGUUUUCUACUCUAUCUUUCUCCUAAAUGCUUCAUUCCAGUGAAAAGUGCUGCAAUUCGUACGGCAAUGGCACCUCUGCCGAUAAUUACAUGGAAAUACUCCCAAAUUAAUCUCUUUGUGGAAGCGUCCUCCUCAUUAGCAGGUUUCUCCGGUCUGAGAGAUGCAUUCAUUGGUUGCACAAAGGCAAAAACUAUGGCAGCAAUACCAAGCUUAACAUGUAAGGAGCUGACAUAGAAACCCCGAAGUUCGGCAACUGCAAAAAGAACACCAAGUAGGAUAAUUGCUAAUCCUGAAUAUUGUAGGUACAUACCAUCCAUCACCCUUUACAUGUUUUAGGUAUCUAGCAGCCAAUAUUCCACCAGGAAUCAAAAUACCCCAGGAGAGGAACAGCAUAAACCCAUGUACAGCUUUGACAGGUUGUAAACCUUGCUCAGCCUCGGAAGAACUACGGAUAAGCAGCACUUGCACAGCCCUUUGACUCGUGACAGUAUGCAUGUUUUUCUCACUGAGAUGUUCAUCAGUCCAUUUUGAACCCAUUGCCCGUAUGACUUUAAGAGGAGUUGUAGGAUCAAAAAUGUUCUUGCACUCUGGCUUAUCAUUUUGAUUGCAUGAUGGUUUUAAUGGACGUGUGAAUUCCAAAGUAAUGAUGCCAUCUUCUGACCUGCACCUGACAUGUGUUAGAUUCUCAUUUGUUAGAUGGAUGUUCAAGGGAUGCUUUCCAUCAAUCCAAUAUGUAUUUAAAUGCCCUUUUCCAGUAUCGCCAAUCCAGCCCACAUAUGCAUAGCUAUUCACCAUCCCAUUACCGAAACCUAUUGCAAGAUAGCCACUCCUAUUCACACCACGGGCAGCAAUAGUUAUUGAAUCUUCUGAUAACGUCCAAAAGAAAGUAACUUGAUCAUCUAAAAGCACACUAGUGUUAUACAUAUCAGACAGGGCACCAUCAAGAACCAUAUUAUUAAUACCCAGCUAAGAUCGUGAACGUUUUCUACUCUAUCUUUCUCCUAAAUGCUUCAUUCCAGUGAAAAGUGCUGCAAUUCGUACGGCAAUGGCACCUCUGCCGAUAAUUACAUGGAAAUACUCCCAAAUUAAUCUCUUUGUGGAAGCGUCCUCCUCAUUAGCAGGUUUCUCCGGUCUAAGAUAUGCAUUCAUUGGUUGCACAAAGGCAAAAACUAUGGCAGCAAUACCAAGCUUAACAUGUAAGGAGCUGACAUAGAAACCCCGAAGUUCGGAAACUGCAAAAAGAACACCAAGUAGGAUAAUUGCUAAUCCUGAAUAUUGUAGGUACAUACCAUCCAUCACCCUUUACAUGUUUUAGGUAUCUAGCAGCCAAUAUUCCACCAGGAAUCAAAAUACCCCAGGAGAGGAACAGCAUAAACCCAUGUACAGCUUUGACAGGUUGUAAACCUUGCUCAGCCUCGGAAGAACCACGGAUAAGCAGCACUUGCACAACCCAUUGACUCGUGACAGUAUGCAUGUUUUUCUCACUGAGAUGUUCAUCAGUCCAUUUUGAACCCAUUGCCCGUAUGACUUUAAGAGGAGUUGUAGGAUCAAAAAUGUUCUUGCACUCUGGCUUAUCAUUUUGAUUGCAUGAUGGUUUUAAUGGACGUGUGAAUUCCAAAGUAAUGAUGCCAUCUUCUGACCUGCACCUGACAUGUGUUAGAUUCUCAUUUGUUAGAUGGAUGUUCAAGGGAUGCUUUCCAUCAAUCCAAUAUGUAUUUAAAUGCCCUUUUCCAGUAUCGCCAAUCCAGCCCACAUAUGCAUAGCUAUUCACCAUCCCAUUACCGAAACCUAUUGCAAGAUAGCCACUCUUAUUCACACCACGGGCAGCAAUAGUUAUUGAAUCUUCUGAUAACGUCCAAAAGAAAGUAACUUGAUCAUCUAAAAGCACACUAGUGUUAUACAUAUCAGACAGGGCACCAUCAAGAACCAUAUUAUUAAUACCCAGCUAAGAUCGUGAACGUUUUCUACUCUAUCUUUCUCCUAAAUGCUUCAUUCCAGUGAAAAGUGCUGCAAUUCGUACGGCAAUGGCACCUCUGCCGAUAAUUACAUGGAAAUACUCCCAAAUUAAUCUCUUUGUGGAAGCGUCCUCCUCAUUAGCAGGUUUCUCCGGUCUGAGAUAUUCAUUCAUUGGUUGCACAAAGGCAAAAACUAUGGCAGCAAUACCAAGCUUAACAUGUAAGGAGCUGACAUAGAAACCCCGAAGUUCGGCAACUGCAAAAAGAACACCAAGUAGGAUAAUUGCUAAUCCUGAAUAUUGUAGGUACAUACCAUCCAUCACCCUUUACAUGUUUUAGGUAUCUAGCAGCCAAUAUUCCACCAGGAAUCAAAAUUCCCCAGGAGAGGAACAGCAUAAACCCAUGUACAGCUUUGACAGGUUGUAAACCUUGCUCAGCCUCGGAAGAACCACGGAUAAGCAGCACUUGCACAGCCCUUUGACUCGUGACAGUAUGCAUGUUUUUCUCACUGAGAUGUUCAUCAGUCCAUUUUGAACCCAUUGCCCGUAUGACUUUAAGAGGAGUUGUAGGAUCAAAAAUGUUCUUGCACUCUGGCUUAUCAUUUUGAUUGCAUGAUGGUUUUAAUGGACGUGUGAAUUCCAAAGUAAUGAUGCCAUCUUCUGACCUGCACCUGACAUGUGUUAGAUUCUCAUUUGUUAGAUGGAUGUUCAAGGGAUGCUUUCCAUCAAUCCAAUAUGUAUUUAAAUGCCCUUUUCCAGUAUCGCCAAUCCAGCCCACAUAUGCAUAGCUAUUCACCAUCCCAUUACCGAAACCUAUUGCAAGAUAGCCACUCUUAUUCACACCACGGGCAGCAAUAGUUAUUGAAUCUUCUGAUAACGUCCAAAAGAAAGUAACUUGAUCAUCUAAAAGCACACUAGUGUUAUACAUAUCAGACAGGGCACCAUCAAGAACCAUAUUAUUAAUACCAGCUAAGAUCGUGAACGUUUUCUACUCUAUCUUUCUCCUAAAUGCUUCAUUCCAGUGAAAAGUGCUGCAAUUCGUACGGCAAUGGCACCUCUACCGAUAAUUACAUGGAAAUACUCCCAAAUUAAUCUCUUUGUGGAAGCGUCCUCCUCAUUAGCAGGUUUCUCCGGUCUGAGAUAUGCAUUCAUUGGUUGCACAAAGGCAAAAACUAUGGCAGCAAUACCAAGCUUAACAUGUAAGGAGCUGACAUAGAAACCCCGAAGUUCGGCAACUGCAAAAAGAACACCAAGUAGGAUAAUUGCUAAUCCUGAAUAUUGUAGGUACAUACCAUCCAUCACCCUUUACAUGUUUUAGGUAUCUAGCAGCCAAUAUUCCACCAGGAAUCAAAAUACCCCAGGAGAGGAACAGCAUAAACCCAUGUACAGCUUUGACAGGUUGUAAACCUUGCUCAGCCUCGGAAGAACCACGGAUAAGCAGCACUUGCACAGCCCUUUGACUCGUGACAGUAUGCAUGUUUUUCUCACUGAGAUGUUCAUCAGUCCAUUUUGAACCCAUUGCCCGUAUGACUUUAAGAGGAGUUGUAGGAUCAAAAAUGUUCUUGCACUCUGGCUUAUCAUUUUGAUUACAUGAUGGUUUUAAUGGACGUGUGAAUUCCAAAGUAAUGAUGCCAUCUUCUGACCUGCACCUGACAUGUGUUAGAUUCUCAUUUGUUAGAUGGAUGUUCAAGGGAUGCUUUCCAUCAAUCCAAUAUGUAUUUAAAUGCCCUUUUCCAGUAUCGCCAAUCCAGCCCACAUAUGCAUAGCUAUUCACCAUCCCAUUACCGAAACCUAUUGCAAGAUAGCCACUCUUAUUCACACCACGGGCAGCAAUAGUUAUUGAAUCUUCUGAUAACGUCCAAAAGAAAGUAACUUGAUCAUCUAAAAGCACACUAGUGUUAUACAUAUCAGACAGGGCACCAUCAAGAACCAUAUUAUUAAUACCCAGCUAAGAUCGUGAACGUUUUCUACUCUAUCUUUCUCCUAAAUGCUUCAUUCCAGUGAAAAGUGCUGCAAUUCGUACGGCAAUGGCACCUCUGCCGAUAAUUACAUGGAAAUACUCCCAAAUUAAUCUCUUUGUGGAAGCGUCCUCCUCAUUAGCAGGUUUCUCCGGUCUGAGAUAUGCAUUCAUUGGUUGCACAAAGGCAAAAACUAUGGCAGCAAUACCAAGCUUAACAUGUAAGGAGCUGACAUAGAAACCCCGAAGUUCGGCAACUGCAAAAAGAACACCAAGUAGGAUAAUUGCUAAUCCUGAAUAUUGUAGGUACAUACCAUCCAUCACCCUUUACAUGUUUUAGGUAUCUAGCAGCCAAUAUUCCACCAGGAAUCAAAAUACCCCAGGAGAGGAACAGCAUAAACCCAUGUACAGCUUUGACAGGUUGUAAACCUUGCUCAGCCUCGGAAGAACCACGGUUAAGCAGCACUUGCACAGCCCUUUGACUCGUGACAGUAUGCAUGUUUUUCUCACUGAGAUGUUCAUCAGUCCAUUUUGAACCCAUUGCCCGUAUGACUUUAAGAGGAGUUGUAGGAUCAAAAAUGUUCUUGCACUCUGGCUUAUCAUUUUGAUUGCAUGAUGGUUUUAAUGGACGUGUGAAUUCCAAAGUAAUGAUGCCAUCUUCUGACCUGCACCUGACAUGUGUUAGAUUCUCAUUUGUUAGAUGGAUGUUCAAGGGAUGCUUUCCAUCAAUCCAAUAUGUAUUUAAAUGCCCUUUUCCAGUAUCGCCAAUCCAGCCCACAUAUGCAUAGCUAUUCACCAUCCCAUUACCGAAACCUAUUGCAAGAUAGCCACUCUUAUUCACACCACGGGCAGCAAUAGUUAUUGAAUCUUCUGAUAACGUCCAAAAGAAAGUAACUUGAUCAUCUAAAAGCACACUAGUGUUAUACAUAUCAGACAGGGCACCAUCAAGAACCAUAUUAUUAAUACCCAGCUAAGAUCGUGAACGUUUUCUACUCUAUCUUUCUCCUAAAUGCUUCAUUCCAGUGAAAAGUGCUGCAAUUCGUACGGCAAUGGCACCUCUGCCGAUAAUUACAUGGAAAUACUCCCAAAUUAAUCUCUUUGUGGAAGCGUCCUCCUCAUUAGCAGGUUUCUCCGGUCUGAGAUAUGCAUUCAUUGGUUGCACAAAGGCAAAAACUAUGGCAGCAAUACCAAGCUUAACAUGUAAGGAGCUGACAUAGAAACCCCGAAGUUCGGCAACUGCAAAAAGAACACCAAGUAGGAUAAUUGCUAAUCCUGAAUAUUGUAGGUACAUACCAUCCAUCACCCUUUACAUGUUUUAGGUAUCUAGCAGCCAAUAUUCCACCAGGAAUCAAAAUACCCCAGGAGAGGAACAGCAUAAACCCAUGUACAGCUUUGACAGGUUGUAAACCUUGCUCAGCCUCGGAAGAACCACGGAUAAGCAGCACUUGCACAGCCCUUUGACUCGUGACAGUAUGCAUGUUUUUCUCACUGAGAUGUUCAUCAGUCCAUUUUGAACCCAUUGCCCGUAUGACUUUAAGAGGAGUUGUAGGAUCAAAAAUGUUCUUGCACUCUGGCUUAUCAUUUUGAUUGCAUGAUGGUUUUAAUGGACGUGUGAAUUCCAAAGUAAUGAUGCCAUCUUCUGACCUGCACCUGACAUGUGUUAGAUUCUCAUUUGUUAGAUGGAUGUUCAAGGGAUGCUUUCCAUCAAUCCAAUAUGUAUUUAAAUGCCCUUUUCCAGUAUCGCCAAUCCAGCCCACAUAUGCAUAGCUAUUCACCAUCCCAUUACCGAAACCUAUUGCAAGAUAGCCACUCUUAUUCACACCACGGGCAGCAAUAGUUAUUGAAUCUUCUGAUAACGUCCAAAAGAAAGUAACUUGAUCAUCUAAAAGCACACUAGUGUUAUACAUAUCAGACAGGGCACCAUCAAGAACCAUAUUAUUAAUACCCAGCUAAGAUCGUGAACGUUUUCUACUCUAUCUUUCUCCUAAAUGCUUCAUUCCAGUGAAAAGUGCUGCAAUUCGUACGGCAAUGGCACCUCUGCCGAUAAUUACAUGGAAAUACUCCCAAAUUAAUCUCUUUGUGGAAGCGUCCUCCUCAUUAGCAGGUUUCUCCGGUCUGAGAUAUGCAUUCAUUGGUUGCACAAAGGCAAAAACUAUGGCAGCAAUACCAAGCUUAACAUGUAAGGAGCUGACAUAGAAACCCCGAAGUUCGGCAACUGCAAAAAGAACACCAAGUAGGAUAAUUGCUAAUCCUGAAUAUUGUAGGUACAUACCAUCCAUCACCCUUUACAUGUUUUAGGUAUCUAGCAGCCAAUAUUCCACCAGGAAUCAAAAUACCCCAGGAGAGGAACAGCAUAAACCCAUGUACAGCUUUGACAGGUUGUAAACCUUGCUCAGCCUCGGAAGAACCACGGAUAAGCAGCACUUGCACAGCCUUUUGACUCGUGACAGUAUGCAUGUUUUUCUCACUGAGAUGUUCAUCAGUCCAUUUUGAACCCAUUGCCCGUAUGACUUUAAGAGGAGUUGUAGGAUCAAAAAUGUUCUUGCACCCUGGCUUAUCAUUUUGAUUGCAUGAUGGUUUUAAUGGACGUGUGAAUUCCAAAGUAAUGAUGCCAUCUUCUGACCUGCACCUGACAUGUGUUAGAUUCUCAUUUGUUAGAUGGAUGUUCAAGGGAUGCUUUCCAUCAAUCCAAUAUGUAUUUAAAUGCCCUUUUCCAGUAUCGCCAAUCCAGCCCACAUAUGCAUAGCUAUUCACCAUCCCAUUACCGAAACCUAUUGCAAGAUAGCCACUCUUAUUCACACCACGGGCAGCAAUAGUUAUUGAAUCUUCUGAUAACGUCCAAAAGAAAGUAACUUGAUCAUCUAAAAGCACACUAGUGUUAUACAUAUCAGACAGGGCACCAUCAAAAACUUGAAGUUUCCAUCCCAUCUUCUCCUGGUACAAGGACUGAUAAUACACUUGAUCGGGGGUAUUCCUAUCGGGAACCCAAAUCAAUUCGUGAGGAUUUGCUACAACUCCUUCCGCUCCUGGCCCUCCAGGAUAAAUAGUCUCAGUUGCAUUCCUUAAUGUAGCAUUCCCACCUGAAGAAUCUGAAGUAAUAUACAAUGCAACAUCAUGCCCUGCCUGCACCAAAAACUUAACUGGAACCCCCCUUUCCACUCUCAACACGGUGUUUACUUAUUAUUAAUAUACAAAACCUUAGACGGACUUGGCGGAUUUGGAUAAUGCAACACCUCCCCUGUUGUAGCAACAAGAGGGACUUCUGUAUCAGCAACAAUCAACUCUUGAUCCUCAUUAUCAUCAGCAUCCAAUGGCCCAAAACAAUCAUCUACCUUCUCUGAAACAUUAAGCACCAAAUGUCCUUAUGCAACCUUCUCUGGACCCCCAUGAAAUUGGGGCAAAAAAUGAGACCGAUUUUCAUUUGGUGGUUUCAUCAACCCUAAUGCCCAAAUAACCCUCAUAUCCUCAUUAGGAUACACAGGCAAAUCAUACUUCUUAUCUGUCGAAUUCAAUGGUUUCCUAAACAUAAUUAAAGAAACCCCAUCUCUCCUAUGUCCAUAAACCAACCUAGUAUUAUUCACCAUCAUGCCAUUUUUCGAGUUCUCAUAAACUACAUCAGGGCAAACACCUAUAGCUGUCCGGUCUUUAGAACUCAACUUACAUUCAGUAUAAGCCGUAAUGUAAAAAUCAUCAACAAAAGGCCUACCUUCCUCAGUAAAACUUGCCACCGUAACAUCAGCUUCGGACAUCAGCUCCUUCGUCCUAUUCGGAUUCGCCCACCCAAAUGCCAUGUAAUAGGUCGUCGGCGCCGCCGCGUCUAACCCGAUCUCAAUCCAAUUUUCCUCCACAUUCAAGUUCCACCGGACCCUAUAAUUAUCCGACAAGUUCUUGCAGUUAUCAAACACUGUAUGCACCGAGUCCGAAACUGAAUCCAACCCGUUUCGAGGGAGGGUGACAUGGCCGAAGUCCGAGGUGCUGGCGAUCUCCCAGAUUGAAAGAACGUUGAUCUGGUCCCAGGUUAUGUCGGGGAGCAAUUGGACUGAAAACGAUGCAUUUUUGUAAGCUGUUUGAUUGAGGCGUUGACCGGAGAUGGGGAACCCACUGGUGAGGUCAGAGAAGUUGAGGGAGACGGCGCCCCAGAAAACGACGUCGGAUGAGCCAGAUAACAUGUCGAAUCCGGUGACCUGGAAAGAGCCGGAUAAACGUCCCAGCUGUUUGAUUUUGUUGGUUGUGACAAUUAUUUAGUAUAACAACUACACUUGCAAUAAUUACGAUCUUCAUCCUGCUAAAUAUACCGGAGAAAAUCAAUUUUCCAGUUGCUUCGGAUCUUUAAAAAAAAAAAUUGAACAUGAAAUGAAAGCAACUCUAAAUGCAAGACUUAAGUGAACUUUCUUUAUCAAACAAAGAAUUAACACUUCCAUCUCCAUCAUUUUCAUUAUUUUUUACUCAGAAUCAAUGAAAAGAAAAGAAAAAAAAAGGUUAAGGUGAGGAUAGUAAUUACAUUAUUAAUGUUCAUUUUUUUAAUAAUUCAAAAAAUUAUAUUGUAUAUAAUGUAUAUUAUUUUUUCAAUUAAUAUAAAAAAUAAUAGUUCAAAAAAAUGCACUACUAAUAUAAAACAUAUAUAACGAAUUAACUGAUAACCAAAAUUUAAAAAAAUCACUAACCAACCUCCAACUGAACUAAAUUCGACAACCAACCAAAUAACCAAAUUAGAUCUAUUCAAUUGAUUGGUUAGAUUUUAACCGAACCAUGAAUACACCUAUAUUCGGGGCUCUUUCAUUGCAUUUUGCUAUCAUUUUGUUUGUCCAAUUAUAAAAAGUUCGAAUAAAUAUAAAAAAAUUUGAUUUAUUAAAAUGGGUAAAUAUUCCAAGAAGUAUUUUACAUAUUUAAAAAUUUAUAUAUUUAUAUUAAUGGUUGAAAAUGUGAUAACUUCAGACGGAAGAUUGAAACCGUUAACACAGUCAAAGAGCCUAGGAGAGAAUCCAUAGAACAAUCCUACAUGUUGACUUUGCCGAUAUUUAUCAUAAACAGUUGAACAGUUCCCAUCAAAAGUCAAAAGUAUAAACUAAUCAAUGAAAAAGAAGAAGCUGUUCUUCUAACUUGUUACUUUGGAUAAACCAAGUGCUUCACCUUUUGAAUUCCAUCUUCUAGAUUUUGAUUUCUAGAUAACAUACACAGAUAAAUCACAAGAAUGUAUAAGCAACAUAAAUAUAUUUAAAACGAAAAAAUCUCGGGUUUGAUUAUGGGGUGCCUAACUGUUUACCAGUCGAACUGCUAUUGUAUGCUUGAUCGACCAAAGGACGGAAAACUCGAUUAAAAUGGCUUGAAUGAAUGAUCUGAUAUGGUGGCUAGAUUACUGAGAGAUUUGCAAGCAGUCAACAAAGGAAAUGGGUCAUUUAUUGAAUGUAAAUUACAUACCUACAUCGGUCAUCGGUAUUCUGCUUCGAAAAUUCAUCUUUAGACAUGUGCUUCUCUGCAAAGAACACCUUUCAUGUCACCAGAAAAAGCUAUGCUCGUCUUUCUUGCAAUCAUAUCGAUAAUCUGUAACAUUAUGAGUCGAACAAAUAAAGGGAAACAGCCAAAAUGAUGAUACUGACAUAGUUACAGCUGAAUUUACCUAUGUCACUCCGACUCUUGACGUUCAUUUUCCCUUGAGUAUUUAUCCAGCACAUAUUCAGACAUGGAUAUGGAGAUAUAAUCCUACAAAUAUCGGGAAAAUUACAAAAGUUAAACAUAUUCAUAUCUUACUUCAGAGUCCGAGUAAGAGGAAUUUACAAUAAGUACCUGUAGGAACAUUUUAGGAGUCUUGGCAUGUGGGUUGACUUAACUUUAUAACCACCUUCAACAAUUGGUUGAUUGAAUCUUUUACCUCAUCCGGAACGGUGAGUUUUGCAGGCACUAAAUCUAAAACAUACAAAGUGAUAACUUUCAUUACAUCAACCAGAAGCAAACUGUUGGUACCGAUUCCCCAUACACUCUUAUUAGCAUACUCGCAUGAAUCCUUUAACAUGCAUCGACUGCAUACCUGAAGAGAUCACCCAUCAGUAAAACAAACAACAUAGGAAGAUUUGUACUCAGUAUAGUAAACAUUGGAAUAAUGGCUUACAGUGUUUUCUUGAAUUUUAAAGAACUUGCGCAAUCUCUUAGCAGCGAAGACAUUAUUUUUAUCAAGGGAAGCGCAACCAAAGAGCACCACUUUUUUCAAGUGACUUCCCGGCAACCAUCUGCAAAUACCAAUAUCGAAGGUUACUUUAUUUACAAGAAGCAAAAGGACAGUCAUUGAAGUAAUGAUUCCCCAAAGCGAUGGCAAGGAGAUGAGCUAUAUAUAAAAGCAAGAUAUAUUAAUAGAUCAACUGCAUCGGUGUACAUAUGGUUGACCAUAUCAUAUCAAGUCAAAAAUUAUGCUACAAUCAUUGAUUGAUAAAAUCUGUCACACCUGAUUUUUUGUCAAACACAUAGAAACCAACUUUGCACAAUUUUAGUAGAACAUCAUAUAGCUCUGCCAAACAUAUGCUGCUAUUAUGUACUUAAUUACUAACAUUGAUUUUAAGUGAAGGUUCAGUGCAAAUCUGCCAGCUUUGCAAUGCUUGAAUCUAAGACCGCAUUCUUACAGCAUGCUAUGGCUAAAUCUCUUGAUAAUUUGACUGAAGAAUGCAGAGAAUUUUUAUAAUACCUCUAAAGUUUAUUUGUAUAAGGGGAGGGUUUAGGGUUGUCCAAGGAUUGAACCCAAGAUUGGUAUCAAUUAAAUACUUGAUAUCAAGUCUUUUGCCACUCAACCUAUGGUUCGGUCCAGAUGAAUAUCUCUAAUAUAACUACAUGAAAAAGAGAUGCUUGACUAUACACUUAUGUCUAUGAAUACCAGUAGUUUUGCACAUAUGUAUGCAUCUAUGCACUUAAAUAUGAUUAUCCCUCUUUCCCUAGUUUCUGAAUUUCUUUUUUAAGUUUUCCUAUAUACCCUCUUACACCAUAACUAUACAAUAUGCAUAAGCUCAAUUCUUUUUAUAUGUUUUUCUAUAUAUAUAUAUAUAUCCUAUAUCCUAGCUCGAACUCUAGUACUUAAGGAAAAAUGAACAGUAACAAUGAAGUAAGAAACUAAUAUUAUCAAUCCACCUAGUUAUUAUAAAUUCAUUUGAAAAAUGCAAAAUAACCAUAAUCUCAAACUCCACUUUCCCCUACAAUGUUAAGAACAACCAAAUAAAACAUCAAGUACAUCAAUCAGCCAACAUGAAUAAAAAAACAUUAACAAUUGUCAAACAAUGUCAAAUCCAAAUUAAAAAAGAAAAAAAGGAGAAAACAAAAGUUCUUACUUUGCAAUAUCUUGAUGAUCUUUACCAAAAUUGUAAGCAGCAAACUUGAUAAAAUCCCUGCCAUAACUAUUCUCAAAGUAACCAAAAUCCAACUUGUUGUCUUCCACAAAACUAGCCUCCUUAAAAUACCCUUUUGUAUACAAAUGCCUGAUGAAAAUCUCAGCUAACUGUGAAAGACCCUUCAAAGCUCUUACCUUUUCCCUUUCUCUUCUAGCUUUCAUCUUCUUUUUCAUCUUUUCUUCUUUGUUUUCAUCCCCAAUAAACUCAACCAAACACUUGAAUUUCUUGGGUCUUUUCCCCUCUAAUUUCUCUGUUUCUUUCUUUUUCCCUUUUGGGUUUUCUUUGAAAUUCCUAAAUUCUUUCACCGACUCAUUGAUUUCGCCUUUUCUCCGGGUUUCAGUUCCUGCGGGUUUUACUGUUAAAACAGUGUCUCGAAACAACAGAGAAAGUGGGGUCUUGGUUGGUAGCUGGGAAGAGGAAUUAAGGGUUCUUCUGAUUAUGAAGGAUGGUGAAGGACAAAGGGUUUUGUAAAGAGGAUUGUGGAUUUUGAGGAGAACUUUGGUACGCGUAGACAGAAUGAAAGCUUUGAAGAGAUACAUUUUGCAGCGGAAGGGUUUAAGAUUAAAAGGAGGGUCUUUUCUGCAGAGGAGCUUAGGGAUCUUAAAUACACAUCCAUCUUUUUAUUACUUAAAAAAUUACUUAUUUAUUAAUAUUAAUCUAUUUUUGUAACUAAAUUUAAAUAAAAUUUUAUUAAAUAAAUAGCAAUUUAAGCUAAAAUGUUCAAUAAAGCUAGGCGAUUUCAAGUGUUAUUAUUUGAAGGUUUGAUUCUUCAAUGUGAUAAUUUUCAAAUUAAAAAAAUCUUUGGGGGUUAGGCGAUUUAUGCUUUAAUUCCCAUUAAAUACCAAUAAAUUUUGCUUAAUUGAAAGCUUAUUUCAUUACUAUGAGAAAACCAAAAACAUUGGUAAGAAGUAUUGAAUCAAUAAAUUAAAAAAAAAUUAAUACAAUACUUUUUACUGGAUUUUUUUAAUUAAAAAAAGUCCCUAACUUUUGUAUUUUCUUCAUUGGCAAGGGGCUUAUCCAUUGAGAUGGCAAAGCUAGCAACCUUUUGCCCAACAAAAAAGAGGAAAUGAAGCACUCGGAUUCUGGUGUUUCAGCUUGCAUGUUUGAUUCCGGCGAUCGACAAUGGUGUCAAAAUACAAGUACAGGGAGUCCUUGUUGGAUGGCAACCAAAGUUUUGGAGCCCGGAACUGGAUACAACUUCAAGGCUGAUAUAUGGUUGUUUGGGAUGUUUAGUUGGAGUUGGCUCAUGGUCGUCCGCCCUUGUCGAUAUAUCUGCCAACAAAGGCUCAUGACUGAAUUAUGUUUGACAUAUUUGAAGUUCUCGAAGCCGUUUAAAGACAUGGUUGCAAUGUGGUUGGUGAAAGAUCAAACCAAGGGGCCAACUGUAGAUAAAUUGUUGAAGCACUUGUUUCUCAAGCAUGCAAAGCCUACUCAGCUUGCUUUAAAGAAGCUAUUAGACUUCCAGGUGAGUGUCUACUUUAACAUAAGCUUAUUUUGCCACCAAAAGCAAAAUUAUCACAAAGAAAGUGAAACAAAAAGGGGAAAAAAACUGACUGUAUAUUUCCGUGUAUUAAGAGUUCAAGAUAACAGAAAAUUAAGGUCUAUUUCAAUCAAGAGAAAUAAGGUACGAUAAAUUGAUCAAGAGUAUCAAAAAGAAUUAUCAAGAGUAAAGGUGUAUCAAGUAUACAAAAUACAUGUUGGUAGAAAAAAGAAUUAUCAAGAGUAAAGCUCUACUUACAGUGGGGAAAGCCGUCCGAGAAAAAAGCAGCUCCAUGUUAGUAAGAAGCUUUCAAAACUGGUGAAGAAUGGAGCUUUUUUAUAUUCAAAAAGAAAAAAUAUAUUAUAUGAAUAAAUCUAUCUGUUCAAUGGCUCUAACUGUACUUCAAUUACUCCAGAACUUUGUGAACCUUUUCGAGCAGAAGCGUCGUUCAGGCUUAAAAGGUCAAUGGAAUCCUCUUCUUUGACGUUGCCGAGAACCCAGUUGUUCCUUCCUUGUAAUCUAUCUCUCUGUUGUCUUUCACGAUACUCCAGAUAAAUUACAGUCAAUGCAGCAAUCAAGAACCAUAUUAUUAAUACCCAGCUAAGAUCGUGGACGUUUUCUACUCUAUAUCUUUCUCCUAAAUGCUUCAUUCCAGUGAAAAGUGCUGCAAUUCCUAUGGCAAUGGCACCUCUGCCGAUAAUUAAAUUAAUCUCUUUGUGGAAGCAUCCUCCCCAUUAGCAGGUUUCUCCGGUCUGAGAUAUGCAUUCAUUGGUUGCACAGAGGCAAAAACUAUGGCAGCAAUACCAAGCUUAACAUGUAACGAGCUAACAUAGAAACCCCGAAGUUCGGCAACUGCAAAAAGAACACCAAGUAGGAUAAUUGCUAAUCCUGAAUAUUGUAGGUAAAUAUGAAUUUGGUACCAUCCAUCACCCUUUACAUGUUUUAGGUAUCUAGCAGCCAAUAUUCCACCAGGAAUCAAAAUACCCCAGGAGAGGAACAUCAUAAACCCAUGUACAGCUAAGACAGGUUGUAAACCUUGCUCAGCCUCAGAAGAACCACGGAUAAGCAGCACUUGCACAGGCCUUUGACUCGUGACCGUAUGCAUGUUUUUCUCACUGAGAUGAUCAUCAGUCCACUUUGAACCUAUUGCCCAUAUGACUUUAAGAGGAGUUGUAGGAUCAACAAUGUUCUUGCACUCUGGCUUAUCAUUUUGAUUGCAUGAUGGUUUUAAUGGACGUGUGAAUUCCAAAGUAAUGAUGCCAUCUUCUGACCUGCACCUGACAUGUGUCAGAUUCUCAUUUGUUGGAUGGAUGUUCAAGGGACGCUUUCCAUCAAUCCAAUAUGUAUUUAAAUGCCCUUUUCCAGUAUCGCCAAUCCAGCCCACAUAUGCAUAGCUAUUCACCAUCCCAUUACCGAAACCUAUUGCAAGAUAGCCACUCUUCUUCACGCCACGGGCAGCAAUAGUUAUUGAAUCUUCUGAUAACGUCCAAAAGAAAGUGACUUGUUGAUCAUCUAAAAGCACACUAUUGUUAUACAUAUCGGACAGGGCACCAUCAACAACUUGAACUUUCCAUCCCAUCUUCUCCUGGUACAAGGACUGAUAAUACACUUGAUCGGGGGUAUUCCUAUCGGGAACCCAAAUCAAUUCGUGAGGAUUUGCUACAACUCCUUCCGCUUCUGGCCCUCCAGAAUAAAUAGUCUCAGUUGCAUUCCUUAAUGUAGCAUUCCCACCAAGAGAAUCUGAAGUAAUAUACAAUGCAACAUCAUGCCCUGCCUGCACCAAAAACUUAACUGGCACCCCUCUUUCCACUCUCAACACCGGUGCUUCCUUAUUAUUAAUAUACAAAACCUUAGACGGACUUGGCGGAUUUGGAUAAUGCAACACCUCCCCUGUUGUAACAACAAGGGGGACUUCUGUAUCAGCAAUAAUCAACUCUUGAUCCUCAUUAUCAUCAGCAUCCAAUGGCCCAAAACAAUCAUCUACCUUCUCUGAAACAUUAAGAACCAAGUGUCCAUAUGCAACCUUCUCUGGACCCCCAUGAAAUUGGGGCAAAAAAUGAGACCGAUUUUCAUUUGGUGGUUUCAUCAACCCUAAUGCCCAAAUAACCCUCAUAUCCUCAUUAGGAUACACAGGCAAAUCAUACUUCUUAUCUGUCGAAUUCAAUGGUUUCCUAAACAUAAUUAAAGAAACCCCAUCUCUCCUAUGUCCAUAAACCAACCUAGUAUUAUUCACCAUCAUGCCAUUUUUCGAGUUCUCAUAAACUACAUCAGGGCAAACACCUAUAGCUGUCCGGUCUUUAGAACUCAACUUACAUUCAGUAUAAGCCGUAAUGUAAAAAUCAUCAACAAAAGGCCUACCUUCCUCAGUAAAACUUGCCACCGUAACAUCAGCUUCGGACAUCAGCUCCUUCGUCCUAUUCGGAUUCGCCCACCCAAAUGCCAUGUAAUAGGUCGUCGGCGCCGCCGCUUCUAACCCGAUCUCGAUCCAAUUUUCCUCCACAUUCAAGUUCCACCGGACCCUAUAAUUAUCCGACAAGUUCUUGCAGUUAUCAAACACUGUAUGCACCGAGUCCGAAACCGAAUCCGACCCGUUUCGAGGGAGGGUGACAUGGCCGAAGUCCGAGGUGCUGGCGAUGUCCCAGAUUGAAAGAACGUUGAUCUGGUCCCAGGUUAUGUCGGGGAGCAAUUGGACUGAAAACGAUGCGUUUUUUGUAAGCUGUUUGAUUGAGGCGUUGACCGGAGAUGGGGAACCCGCUGGUGAGGUCAGAGAAGUUGAGGGAGACGGUGCCCCAGAAAACGACGUCGGACGAGCAGGAUAACAUGUCGAAUCCGGUGACCUGGAAAGAGCAACCAUCGAGGAUUUUGAGAUGGCCACGGAGUUGGUGUCGGACCAUUGUGAAGUUCGAUUCGAACCCGACUAGGGAGCUGGUGUUGGAGCAUUUUUGACCCGAAUCCGCUUUGGAAGAGGCGAUGGAAUUGAUUAGGAAGAGCGAGAGUAGAAGGAAAAUUUUGGAAUUGUACAUUCGAAUCCGGUCGCGGGUGAUUCGAGAAUCCGAAUUCGGUGAUGAUGGAAAAUGAACGUUUUAAAGAGAAGGAAGGAGCCAAUGAGCGGCUGGUGGUGGUGAGUGGUGACUCGGUACAGCCGGAGCGAGUCGUCAACUUGUCUCGAUAUUGUUUUAUAAAUUUUUUUCCUGUUUUUCUGAAGAGAGGAAACCAGAAUCCCAACUAUCUUCUUAACUAUCAGUUUUUUAAUUUUAAUUUAGUUUAAAUUUUUUAAUUUAGUAGUCCAACUAAUGGAGAUUUUUUUUUGCCAAUUUCCGUAAUGAGAGGACAUGAUAAUUAAAAAUUAAUAUAAUAAUAAAUUUAAUUCUUAAUUUUUACAUUUUGUAUCAAUUUAAUCAUUAUUUUAAAAAAUUAAUUUUUAAAAUUUAUAAAUAAUCUCAAUUUGAUUAUCAAAAUUUACCUUUUCUUUCCACUUCCUCUGCUACCACUAUAUCAUUGCCUCUAGUUCCGCCUUCUCCUCCAUCUUUCUCCAAAAAAAAGAAUUUUUUUUUAAUCAUGUUCAAAUUUAAGGUAUUAUAAUUUAUUUUGUGUUAAGUUAGAUGAAGCCUAAGCAAUUUAAAUAUAUGUGCUACUAUUUAACAAUAAAUUAGGUUGAAAUAGAAAGAGGAAAGGUAAGUUUUUUUUGGGAGAAAGGUGGAGGUGGAGGUAAUGAUGGUAAUGGCCCGUGGUGAAGUAGAAGAGAAAAGUAAAUUUUGAGGAUCAAAUUGAGACUAUUUAUAAAAUUUAAGAGUUAAUUAUUUUAAAAAUUUGACUAAAUCAAUUUAAGAUAUAAAAUUUAAGAGCUAGAUUUAUAAUUAUACUCAUUUUUUAACUACCACAUUACUCUCCAUAGAGAUUUAAAGAAAUGGACAAAAAAAAAAUCUCAAUUAGUUGAAUGAUCAAAUUAAAAAAAUUCAUAAUUAGGUAACUAAAAAAGAAAAAGGGGAGAUAGUUGGGUGACUUGUGGUGUAGUUUACCCUAAUAAUAAAAUAUAAUAGGGUAAACUAUAGAAUUAGUCAUCCCACUAUUAGUGUGUUUCUGUUUUAGUCACCUAACUAUGAAAAUUUUCAAUUUUAUCACUAUCGUUUUAGAUCAUUUCUAUUUUGGUCACUCAUGUUUUAGAUCGUUUUUAUUUUAUUCACUCUUCAGUAAAUGGUUAACCAAAGUUAUGAUGUGACCUUUUUCAACUAGUAUAAAUAAUACAUUUAGUCUUUAAUACUUACACAUUUUAUCAAUUUGAUCCUCGAACACAUAUAAUUAAAUAUAAAGUAUAUAUUAUAAAAACGUACAAAAUAUAGUUAUUUAUAUAUAUUUAUCUAAAUAAUAUUUUAUGUUCUUAUAUUUAAUUAUAAUUAUAAGGUUCAAAUAUGCAUUUAGCCCCUCAAACUUGACACCUUCUCCCAUGUUGGUACUUAUGAUUUUUUGUCCCAAGUUGGUACCUAAAAAUUUAUUCCGUCAAGGGCUUUGAUACUUUUUUUUGUUACAAUACUAAAUAUAGGAAACAUGACACUCUUAGGAUGCCAUAAUCUAUUUUUUAUAAAAAAAUAAAAAAUUUAAAAGAAACUAUAUGAAAUUUAUAUAUAUUAUUAAAAUAUAAAAGAAAUUAUAAAUUAUAAAAAUAUAUGUAACUAAAAAAAUUAAAAAUAUUACAAAAAAAAUCUAAAAUUCAAGUUGGAAAAAUCGAAAACCUAGAAAAUUUACACAUUUUUCUAAAUAUAUUGCAAACAAAUUAGAUGAAGAUAAAUUAUAUAAUAAAUUUUAUACAUAGAGAUAGGUGUAAAUUAUUACACGAUUUUUCAAGUUAACAAGAAUGCAAAAGAUGAUGAUUUGAAAAUGGCUUACAAGAAGCUUUUUCGUUUUCCUUUUUUUUUUAAUUAUUUGCUAGGUGAUGGGAAAAAUUGAGUUCCUUUGUUGAAAAUGCUAUAAAAACCACAAAUUUACUAAGUUAUGGGGGUUUUGAGUUUUUGGGUUUAUCAAAAUCACACACACAUAUAAAUUUAUCAGCAUUUAGUUAUAUGUGUUUAAAUAUAAUCAUUUUUUAUAUUUAAUUAUAUGUGUUUGAGAAUAAAGUUGAUAGAAUUUGUAAAUAUGGAGGGUGAAAUUUAUUGAAUUAUUUAGAAUAAGAAUCAAAUUGAUAGAAUGUGUAAGUAUUAAGAAAUAAACAUGUUAUUAUUCUAGUUGGAAAAGGCAACAUCAUCACUUCCGUUAACUAUGUAACGGAGAGUGACCAAAAUAGAAACAAUCUAAAGUGUGAGUGACCAAAAUAGAAAUAAUAUAAAAUGUAAGUGACUAAAUAAAAAAAAUUCAUAGUUGGGUGACUAAUUCUAUAGUUUACCCUAGAUGGUAGAAGCAAUUAGGAUUAAUUCCACCAAACAUCUCAAACUAUUACUCAUAUUUUAAAUUGAAUCCUAAACUUGUACACAUUCUAAUAUUAAAUUACUCAAAUAGAAUGUGAUAACGUGUUAUGCUAUUAUUCAUCGAUAGUGCAUAGAAUUUAUGCACUAACAAUGCAUCAAAUAUUCUCAUUAAAAGAAAAUGUAUAAAAUAAGUUUUAUACCAUCUAUAAUUUGUAAAAAAAAAUUAUCCAAUAAAAAAUAUAAAAAUACAUAUCUAUAAUUUCACAAAAAGAGAAUUACAUUAAUCAACCUCACAAAAUAUACAUCUCACAAAUCUGAUUGAGAUUAAAAACAAAGAAUGCAUGUAUUGUGCAAUUAAAACCAUGAUCCAUAUUCAACUCUAAAGUACUGAACAUAUAAUUUUGCAUUAUUUUACCUCCCUUGAUUCUUCACAAACUCUUUGGAAUAAGUUAACCAUCUAUUCCUUAUUUCAAUUUUAUUAAAAAGAUAGGUUCCCAUAAAGACAGUCUUUACAAACCAGUGCACCUAUUAUAAACACAUCAGGGAACAUUGCCAUGAGAGAGGACCUAAGAAAACAUAAUACAAACUACAUAACAUACAAUCAAGCACCCACACAAAAUGUUUAUUAAACACCUACAGAAAAAGGCCUGCAUACCACCAAGCAAUGAAGUUUUCUGUUCCGUUUGCAACUUCUUGAUCUCGUCGAAGUGUUGGAUUCUCUACCUUUUUGCAAAUCUUUGUCGGACUCGCUCCACGAUCCUAAUCAACCACCAUGGUUUUCCAGUCGUGAAUACAAUGUAUGCCAUGCUCAUUCCCAGCACCAACCCACAUCCAUACCCCAUCAAUAUUGAAAAUUUCCAAUUCAAUUCAUCACCAUCAUCAUCUCUAUCAAAUUUGGCUGGAGUUUCCUCAUCAGUACCACAGUUUUUUGAUAAUGGCAAACCACAUAAAUCCAAAUUUCCCAUGUAGGAAUCGUUAGUGAAAGUAUCAAAUUGUUUGCCUUGAGGAAUGGGUCCCUUGAGAUUAUUUUGAGAAAGGUUUAACACCUCUAAGAAUCCAAGACUUUUUAACUCUGUUGGAAUUCUUCCUUCCAGCUUAUUUGAUGAGAGAUCUAAUGAUUCAAGCUCUGGCAAAUUACCUAAAGAUGAUGGGAUAGGACCUACUAAACAGUUAUGGGAGAGGUUUAGGACAAUAAGUAAAUGAAGCUCACCAAGUAUUUUUGGAAUUUCUCCCCUGAAUUGGUUACUAGAAAGGUCAAUAACCGUCCAAAUGGAUAAUAGUAAUUCAAACUUUAUUUCCACUCCUUUUGCUGUAACAGAUAAACCAUAAGCAUAAUUCAACUCAAAUGGGUCACCUAUCAUGUAAUUUGGUUCAACUUUCUUUCCAUACUCAUCUCUAAUGGCAUGCAUAUGCUCAAAAAAAAGAGUAGGUAAGUAGCCACUGAAAUUAUUGUGAGAAAGAUCAAUGAUUUGCAAUUUAGUUAAAGAAACUGUAAUAUCAAAGCUCUCUAUUUGGCCGUAAAAUCUAUUCGACCUCAAGAUAAGAACUUGCAGCUGAUCCAAAUUUCCUAACCAACUUGGGAAAGUGUCAUUCAAAUUGUUGUUUCCAACAUCGAGAAGAUUUAAAGCUUUGCAAUUACCCAACGAUCGUGGUAGUGACCCUUCUAAUUCAUUGUUGUUGAUGUUUAAACUUCUCAACAUGCAACCUUUAGCAAAAUUUUCUGGUAUUUGACCAUGAAAAUUAUUAUUCCCUAGAAAAACUGCUGUGAGAGAAGAACUCAAGUUUCCGAUGCACUUUGGAAUUGUUCCCUCCAAAUUAUUCUCAUCUAAAGCCAUAGCCACAAGGGAAGUCAAAUUGCAUAUUGAAGAAGGGAUUUCUCCAAUUAAGUUAUUAGUUGAAACUCCAUACAAUUGCAAUAAAGGUGGUGGUGUUGGAAUUCGACCUUAGAGAUAAAAUUAAAAAUGAGAUAGAAUUAGGAGUUUGAAGAUUCUUUGGAAUAAAAAUUAUAAAAUAGCUAUAUUUAUGAUGUAUUACAUGCAUGAUUAAUUUACUACACUAUCACAACAACUUUUAAGUUGUAAUCUAUUGAAGGAAACUACUACCAUCUUCUAGAGAAAUUUUUAUUUCUCUUACUUAAAAGUAAAAUGGGAUUGCGUAAAUGUAUAAAAAAUAGAAGGAAAAAAAAUAUCAAACUAUACCUAAUAGUUUAUUAUAAAAGAGAUAACCAUUUAAUAUCUUACUUAUAUUUCAUUUUUUAGUGUUUAUUAUUAUUUUUUGUACUUUUAUGUAUAUUUUAUAAUUUAUUAUCGGGGUUCACGGUUGUUACUGUCAAGAAUAUCAUCUCUAAGACUUGAAUCUUGUUUUCCCCUUAAGAGAGUAAUAUAUUUUACCACUGCACUGAAUAUUUAUUGGUGUAGUAUUUAUUAUAACUACAAAUAAUUUUAAUUAUCUUUUUAUGAACCUCUAAGUUAGAGGUCAAAUAAAAAAGUAAAUUAAUUGAUGUAGUGUUUAAAUUUUUAUCAUUAUUUUCUAUAUUUGUUUAUUUUUUAUUUUUUUAAAUAUAUAUUUAAACUUUGCAAAAUGAAUGGAUAUAUUUGAACAUGAAACAUGAUACAAUAAUUUAGUGAGAAUGAAAUAAAAUAAUGGUGGAAAAAUGAUAUGAUGACAUUAAACGGAAAAUAAGCGAAUGAAUAAAUAAGUAAAUAAAGGAGAAUAAGAAGAUAAAGACCAAAAACAAUUGCUAUGCCAAUUGUUGAAACUAAUUUUUUUGAAAAAAAGUGGAUCUGACUUAUAUUUUGAAAAAAGAAAAGAAAAUGGAGUCGCCACCAAUCUUUUUAUUUGGGUGUGAUUGGAUCACCUCAUAAUUAAAUCAUUUUAAUAAAAAUUUAAAUUUACUAAAACGAUAAUUUUUGGUCUUAUAAAAUCCAAAAAAGGGUUCGGGAGUCGGUUACGCAUGAGGAAGGGUUAGCACCCUCAACACGCCCAAAAUUGAUACCUUAUUUUAAAAUAAGAUCAUUGUAUUAAAAAAACUUAUAUAAAUCAAAUUACACGUUAAGACCCUUCCAUUUCGGAGAGAGAAAAUGUCACACCCAAUGGGUUAGGGCAUGAUAUUUCACAUCCUCAAAAAUGAGCUUGUCAUUUAAAAAACUCAUGCAAUGAAAUUUAAAAUGAUAUUCAAUUGUUUAAGUCAGAUGAAGAAAUCGAAGCCCAAUACGUUAGGGCCCAAUUUCUCAAAAUUCCAAACAUUGAAUACUGCCUUUAUUAUUUUUUAGAAAAACCCUCAUCUCAAGAAAACAACAUGUCAUAUCCAAUGCGUUAGGACACAACGUAUCGAAUUCCCGAUAAUGAGCUUUUUAUUUAUGUGUUUUGAUGAAUGAAUAUUCUUGAUUAUUUGAAUUCAACGAGGAAAAUUGGAACCCAAUACAUUAGGGAUCAAUCCUCUCGAAGAUCCAAAUACCGAAUAUUGUGUUAUCUUGAAAGCUUUUGAAUAAAAUGAUUCCCAAAACUUAAACCAUAUUAAAAAUAAUUUUUGAGCAAAUAAAGAAUGAUGGAAAUGAUAAUAUGCAAUACGAAGUAAUAAUUCGUAAACCAAAAAAAGUACUCUAAUGGAUGACAAAUAAUCGAUAAGUACAAAUAAGUAAUACAAUACACAUAAGGGCAAUAAUCUCACAAUGCAUGUUGUUUUAAUGUCGAUAUUUAACAAUCAAGAAAAAUGAAACAAAAUAAUAUAUAUAGAACAAUUUGAAGUAACUAGUAUAAAACAAUUUAAAGUAAAUAAUAUGCAACAUAAAUAAAGACAUGCAAAGCAAAAAUAAAUAACAUAGAAGACGAUUUUAAAAUAAUAUAUAAAAAGUUGAAAACAAAUAAUACGUAAAAAGAAAAUUUCAAACAAAGGAUAUACAAAACAAUUUCUUUUAAAAAAAUGAUAUAUGAAAACAAUUCCAAAUAAAUAAUAUAAAAAAAUAAAAUGGAUAAUAGUUUAUAUGGUUUGAAAUGUUUAACAUGUGAAAAACUUAAAAUAAAUAAUAAAAUAAAUAAAUAAUACAUGAGGAAAAGUAUUGAAUAAAAAAAUUGCAAAAUAAAUCGAAAUCAACAGAUUUGGGACUAAUUUGGGAUGAAAAUGAAAUUUAAAGGCAUAAAUUACAAAUGAAAGGAAACGGGGGCCAACUAAAGUGCGCCGAAAAAGGGCGAGGACCAGAUGGGGAAUUAUUCCCUAUCUCAAAACGACACUGUUUAAGGUGUUUUUCCUUUUAAAAUGGUCUAAGGACCAAAUUGGGAGAAAAAUGAAAAUUUGUGGCUAAAUCAAAAAAUAAAAAAGAGAUAGGACCCAAUUGUAAUCAACCUUAAAAGCUGAAGGACUAGGGGCGCGAAUAGCCCCUUUGUCCAAAAACACUUGGAUCCUAAGCGGUUCGGGUCGGGUCAGUCCGAUCCAUGUCUAAACGACGUCGUUUUGGGGCUUUCUGAACCCCUCAUUUACAAACAAUUUAUCAUGGCUUUUAUAGCCAUUUUACAAGAUUUUUUUAAUUCAUUUAUUGUCACUUCUUGCAGGCAAAUGAUUGCUUAAUUUACUUCGUAACUUCUUACAUUUAGACAUAAUAAUGAGGUUUUAAUCUUUUAAGAACUUUUAUUUUAUUUACUUAAAAAUUGCAUAAAUUUAAUAAAAAAAAAGGAGAAUAAAAGAAAAAUGAAAUUAUACCUGUCAAUUUGUUAUAGCUAAGAUAAAGUGAUUGGAGAGAUGUCAAGUUUCCAAUAACAAGAGGAAUUUCACCUGAAAUGUAUAAUUAAAUCGGUCAAAAUUUGUAAAUAUUUUCCUACCAAGCCCUUAAUUUAUUUGUUGAGCAUAUUAGUGUCUGUUUGAUUUACCUAUUUUUAAAUAUGCAAGUUUUGUUUAGUUUUAUAGUACUUGUGACAACCCAAAAAUAUUUUAAUUAUAAUACUCGAAUUUAUAGUUGAAAUGAUGAUGACAAUUAGAAGGAAUAAAAUAGUUCACGCUUAAUAGUUUUGCUCAAAUAUAGGAUACAUCAUCGAAGCUGAACAAAUAUAUAUAUUUUUAGAAACUUUUAUUAGUUAGCAGUGAUUAGCUAAUGUCAAACAACUGAUACUAUUGCAUAUAAUAUGUUUCCCUAAACUGUAUACUAUUUAUCUCUCGCCACAAAUUAUCAAAAACACAUGUGCAUUUUAAGCCAAACAUUUAUAAUAAAGAUAAGAGCCGUAUUGACACAAUUUUUUGCUAAGGAAUCAGCAAACACACACCCAUAACUGCACAUAUAGACACACAUAUAUCUGCACAUACAGAAUACUAGAACCCAAAAAUGUCGCUAGAACCCAGAUAUAGUCUAGGUGAGAAGGGACUAAGGAGUUGAACAGUAAAGAAACUAGUAAGAACUCACAUGAUAAUGAGCUUGUUGUAACCAGAAUACAAAGAUUGGGGCAGAGUCAAGUUUCCAAUUUCUAUAGGCAUAAUUCCCUCCAAAGAGUUGUUAUGCAACGAUAAAUACUUCAACUCUUUACACUUGAAUAAGCUAUUUGAAAUUCUACUAAAAUUUGAUUAUGUGUGAAGCUUAAUUAUUGCAAUUUAGAAAUGUUAUCAAACAUCUAGAUAGUAGAUGACCUAUAAUGAGAUGAUUAGUUUUGAAACUAUUUUUUUAUUGGUGAAAAGAUAUAUAAGAUUUACACAUGUAAGGAGCCUGAAUAAGAAUUAUUAUGAAAAUAUAACUAAAUGAAGCUUGAAAAGAUAUAUAAGAUUUACAGUAUAGUGCCGCAUUCGGUACUUUUUGGAGUGUAGGGAUGGGUGGGUUGAUUAUAUCCCCACAUGAAGUAUAGGGUUGGACGAAGAUGGUGUGUAGAGGCUAGCUGGGUAGGAUUUGUAUACUGCAUAAUCCGUUACUGCACUGAUUGCUGAUAUUGUAAUAAGCCAAGGCCCAAAUGAAUGAUUACUUCUGUACUGAAAUAGGCUAAAGCCCAAACUGAUAUUGUCACUGAUACUGAAAAGGGCGUAGGCCCAAACUGAGUUUAUUAUGCUUACUGUCUGGUUAUUUUUGUAUAUUGUAUGCUUGUUUGCAUGGGGAAUUACGAGUUUUGAAAACUCACCCCUUUUGUUAAUUUGUACAGGUAAUCCCUACUCAUAGGCGGAUUGACGCGGCAGAGGACUCAGCGGUGGCCACACGACUCUUUUUUUUACUGUUUCGUAUUUAAUUACAUUCAUUUUUAAAGCUUUAUUGGGGUUUUUAUCUGUAAUAACGGCCGCUAUGAAUUUUUGCUUUAUGUUUGGAUUUAACACUACUUUAUGUUUUAUAUCUUCUAGAGGUAGAUAAAACACGAUUUUUAAAAGAAAUGCAUGUGUUUUAGCAAAAUACCCACAAUGACACAAGCUGUUUUAAAAAGCUUCCACAACGUAUAAUGUUUUGCAAACUAACGAUUGAUUAAAAAUCACUAUUUUAGGAUUAAUAAAGUUAACGAAGAGAUCUAAACAGAAAAUGUUUUAAGCAAAGUUACGGUGUUUUUCAACAUGAGCUUCGGUUUUCAAACACACUACCAUGUGACACCGCCAGAUUCAACCAUAAUGUCUAGGCCGAUUUGGGGUUUUACAUCUAUUAUGGUGUGUAGUAGAGUUGGGUAGGAUGUUUUCUAAUAAAUCUGCAUUCUAAUCGAUGGUAAUUCAAGAAAUACUACACUGGAUAUUAAAUCCAAUAGUAUCAAGAAUCCACAUUUCACUAGUUUAAUAUUCAAACCAUCAUAUUUGUUAUAUUGAAUUUAAGUAAUUAGUAAUUCAAGUUAUUGAUAUUUUUCUUAUACCAAUAUUCUUAUAUUUUUCUAAUUUCAAAGUAGUUAAAGGAUUAAAUGUGUAAUUAAUUGUUUUUAAGCCAAAAGUGUUAUAAUAAGAAGUUAAAAGAUUGUAAUUAAUUAGUAUUAUAUAGCGCGAUUGUAUUAUAAAUAGAAGAGACUGCAUAACAGUAACAACAAAAAAGAGAAUAAAGAUGAUAUUAUACCUGUUAAGUAAUUAGUAGAAAGAUCGAUGUCCGUGAGGGAAAUAAGGAAUUAGAUACAUUGGUCCCAUAAUAUGUCACUCAAAAUCUCAAAUUCAUCCAACAAAAAGAAAUCAUCACUUUAGUUAAUUAAAUCAAGAACAAAUAAAGUUAUGGAUGAACAAAUAUGGGAAGCAAAGAAAUGUGAUGGAUCAAAAGGGACGGAUAAGCUAAUUUCUGCCAUAAGGUAGAUGGUGAACUUAGGAUGUGGAGUUUCAAUAAAUACCUAAAAAUACCUAAACUUUUGGCAAUUCAAAUAGAUUAUACUAAUUUUUAAUUACUUAAAAAUAUUGCAUAAAUUUAAUAACAAAAAGGAGAAUAAAAGAAACAUGAAAUUAUACCUGUCAAUUUGUUAUUGCUAAGAGAAAGGUAUUGGAGAGAAGUCAAGUUUCCAAUAACAAGAGGAAUUUUACCUGAAACAUAUAAUUAAAUCAAUAAAUAUAUAAUUAUUUUUAUUAAUUAUUUUAAGAGUUUAAUAAGGCAAAUCUAAAAGGUAGAAGAAAUAGCUAAUUAGAAGUAGUGUGUGAUUCAAAAGGGUAUAAAGUAGGUCCAAAUUAAAAAUCAAAUUUUAAAAUAAUUUAAUGUAAAAUUUAACUCUUUUCUUAUCACCAAAUAAAUUUACUUUCAGAGAAAUUACAAGUUUUAAUAAAAUAGUUGAAAUAAGUGAUUGUUUAUGACUAGGUGAAAAUUAGAUGAAAAAAACAUAUAAUUAAUAAUUUAUAUAUCUAUUUCUCUCAUACUAUGGACUAUGGUCGAGCAAAAAUUAAUAAAAAAAUCAAACGGAUAGAAAUAGCUUAGUUACAAGAUUGAUGUUAAUCCAAUAAAUUUUUAAAAAAAAACACAUUGUUUCCAAAAGGGUAAGAAAUAGGUCCAAAUUAUAAUUCAGAACAUAAAUUAAUUUAAUGUAAAAUUUAAAUAAAAUUUAAAAUUCUUUCAUUAUCAAAUAAAUUUUCUUAAUAAAAUACUUUUAGUGAAUUAAUUAGAAGUCUUACUUAUUAACAAUAAAAAAAAUAUUUAUCCUUGUGCCAGAAAAAAACACCGCAUAGAUCAUAAAAAGGAAAAACUAAAACAUCCAUAAAACCACUAAACACAAAAUUCAUAGUUGUAGAGGAGGAUUAGAUACAUUGGUCCCAUAAUAUGUCACUCAAAAUCUCAAAUUCAUCCAACAAAAAGAAAUCAUCACUUUAGUUAAUUAAAUCAAGAACAAAUAAAGUCAAAAUCUCAAAUUCAUCCAACAAAAAGAAAUCAUCACUUUAGUUAAUUAAAUCAAGAACAAAUAAAGUUAUGGAUGAACAAAUAUGGGAAGCAAAGAAAUGUGAUGGAUCAAAAGGGACGGAUAAGCUAAUUUCUGCCAUAAGGUAGAUGGUGAACUUAGGAUGUGGAGUUUCAAUAAAUACCUAAAAAUACCUAAACUUUUGGCAAUUCAAAUAGAUUAUACUAAUUUUUAAUUACUUAAAAAUAUUGCAUAAAUUUAAUAACAAAAAGGAGAAUAAAAGAAACAUGAAAUUAUACCUGUCAAUUUGUUAUUGCUAAGAGAAAGGUAUUGGAGAGAAGUCAAGUUUCCAAUAACAAGAGGAAUUUUACCUGAAACAUAUAAUUAAAUCAAUAAAUAUAUAAUUAUUUUUAUUAAUUAUUUUAAGAGUUUAAUAAGGCAAAUCUAAAAGGUAGAAGAAAUAGCUAAUUAGAAGUAGUGUGUGAUUCAAAAGGGUAUAAAGUAGGUCCAAAUUAAAAAUCAAAUUUUAAAAUAAUUUAAUGUAAAAUUUAACUCUUUUCUUAUCACCAAAUAAAUUUACUUUCAGAGAAAUUACAAGUUUUAAUAAAAUAGUUGAAAUAAGUGAUUGUUUAUGACUAGGUGAAAAUUAGAUGAAAAAAAACAUAUAAUUAAUAAUUUAUAUAUCUAUUUCUCUCAUACUAUGGACUAUGGUCGAGCAAAAAUUAAUAAAAAAAUCAAACGGAUAGAAAUAGCUUAGUUACAAGAUUGAUGUUAAUCCAAUAAAUUUUUAAAAAAAAACACAUUGUUUCCAAAAGGGUAAGAAAUAGGUCCAAAUUAUAAUUCAGAACAUAAAUUAAUUUAAUGUAAAAUUUAAAUAAAAUUUAAAAUUCUUUCAUUAUCAAAUAAAUUUUCUUAAUAAAAUACUUUUAGUGAAUUAAUUAGAAGUCUUACUUAUUAACAAUAAAAAAAAUAUUUAUCCUUGUGCCAGAAAAAAACACCGCAUAGAUCAUAAAAAGGAAAAACUAAAACAUCCAUAAAACCACUAAACACAAAAUUCAUAGUUGUAGAGGAGGAUUAGAUACAUUGGUCCCAUAAUAUGUCACUCAAAAUCUCAAAUUCAUCCAACAAAAAGAAAUCAUCACUUUAGUUAAUUAAAUCAAGAACAAAUAAAGUCAAAAUCUCAAAUUCAUCCAACAAAAAGAAAUCAUCACUUUAGUUAAUUAAAUCAAGAACAAAUAAAGUUAUGGAUGAACAAAUAUGGGAAGCAAAGAAAUGUGAUGGAUCAAAAGGGACGGAUAAGCUAAUUUCUGCCAUAAGGUAGAUGGUGAACUUAGGAUGUGGAGUUUCAAUAAAUACCUAAAAAUACCUAAACUUUUGGCAAUUCAAAUAGAUUAUACUAAUUUUUAAUUACUUAAAAAUAUUGCAUAAAUUUAAUAACAAAAAGGAGAAUAAAAGAAACAUGAAAUUAUACCUGUCAAUUUGUUAUUGCUAAGAGAAAGGUAUUGGAGAGAAGUCAAGUUUCCAAUAACAAGAGGAAUUUUACCUGAAACAUAUAAUUAAAUCAAUAAAUAUAUAAUUAUUUUUAUUAAUUAUUUUAAGAGUUUAAUAAGGCAAAUCUAAAAGGUAGAAGAAAUAGCUAAUUAGAAGUAGUGUGUGAUUCAAAAGGGUAUAAAGUAGGUCCAAAUUAAAAAUCAAAUUUUAAAAUAAUUUAAUGUAAAAUUUAACUCUUUUCUUAUCACCAAAUAAAUUUACUUUCAGAGAAAUUACAAGUUUUAAUAAAAUAGUUGAAAUAAGUGAUUGUUUAUGACUAGGUGAAAAUUAGAUGAAAAAAAACAUAUAAUUAAUAAUUUAUAUAUCUAUUUCUCUCAUACUAUGGACUAUGGUCGAGAAAAAAUUAAUAAAAAAAUCAAACGGAUAGAAAUAGCUUAGUUACAAGAUUGAUGUUAAUCCAAUAAAUUUUUAAAAAAAAACACAUUGUUUCCAAAAGGGUAAGAAAUAGGUCCAAAUUAUAAUUCAGAACAUAAAUUAAUUUAAUGUAAAAUUUAAAUAAAAUUUAAAAUUCUUUCAUUAUCAAAUAAAUUUUCUUAAUAAAAUACUUUUAGUGAAUUAAUUAGAAGUCUUACUUAUUAACAAUAAAAAAAAUAUUUAUCCUUGUGCCAGAAAAAAACACCGCAUAGAUCAUAAAAAGGAAAAACUAAAACAUCCAUAAAACCACUAAACACAAAAUUCAUAGUUGUAGAGGAGGAUUAGAUACAUUGGUCCCAUAAUAUGUCACUCAAAUUCAUCCAACAAAAAGAAAUCAUCACUUUAGUUAAUUAAAUCAAGAACAAAUAAAGUUAUGGAUGAACAAAUAUGGGAAGCAAAGAAAUGUGAUGGAUCAAAAGGGACGGAUAAGCUAAUUUCUGCCAUAAGGUAGAUGGUGAACUUAGGAUGUGGAGUUUCAAUAAAUACCUAAAAAUACCUAAACUUUUGGCAAUUCAAAUAGAUUAUACUAAUUUUUAAUUACUUAAAAAUAUUGCAUAAAUUUAAUAACAAAAAGGAGAAUAAAAGAAACAUGAAAUUAUACCUGUCAAUUUGUUAUUGCUAAGAGAAAGGUAUUGGAGAGAAGUCAAGUUUCCAAUAACAAGAGGAAUUUUACCUGAAACAUAUAAUUAAAUCAAUAAAUAUAUAAUUAUUUUUAUUAAUUAUUUUAAGAGUUUAAUAAGGCAAAUCUAAAAGGUAGAAGAAAUAGCUAAUUAGAAGUAGUGUGUGAUUCAAAAGGGUAUAAAGUAGGUCCAAAUUAAAAAUCAAAUUUUAAAAUAAUUUAAUGUAAAAUUUAACUCUUUUCUUAUCACCAAAUAAAUUUACUUUCAGAGAAAUUACAAGUUUUAAUAAAAUAGUUGAAAUAAGUGAUUGUUUAUGACUAGGUGAAAAUUAGAUGAAAAAAACAUAUAAUUAAUAAUUUAUAUAUCUAUUUCUCUCAUACUAUGGACUAUGGUCGAGCAAAAAUUAAUAAAAAAAUCAAACGGAUAGAAAUAGCUUAGUUACAAGAUUGAUGUUAAUCCAAUAAAUUUUUUAAAAAAAACACAUUGUUUCCAAAAGGGUAAGAAAUAGGUCCAAAUUAUAAUUCAGAACAUAAAUUAAUUUAAUGUAAAAUUUAAAUAAAAUUUAAAAUUCUUUCAUUAUCAAAUAAAUUUUCUUAAUAAAAUACUUUUAGUGAAUUAAUUAGAAGUCUUACUUAUUAACAAUAAAAAAAAUAUUUAUCCUUGUGCCAGAAAAAAACACCGCAUAGAUCAUAAAAAGGAAAAACUAAAACAUCCAUAAAACCACUAAACACAAAAUUCAUAGUUGUAGAGGAGGAUUAGAUACAUUGGUCCCAUAAUAUGUCACUCAAAAUCUCAAAUUCAUCCAACAAAAAGAAAUCAUCACUUUAGUUAAUUAAAUCAAGAACAAAUAAAGUUAUGGAUGAACAAAUAUGGGAAGCAAAGAAAUGUGACGGAUCAAAAGGGACGAAUAAGCUAAUUUCUGCCAUAAGGUAGAUGGUGAACUUAGGAUGUGGAGUUCCAAUAAAUACCUAAACAUACCUAAACUUUUGGCCAUUCAAAUAGAUUAGAUUAAUUUUUAAUUACUUAAAAAUAUUGCAUAAAUUUAAUAACAAAAUGGAGAAUAAAAGAAACAUGAAAUUAUACCUGUCAAAUUGUUAUUUCUAAGAUAAAGAAAUUGGAGAGAAGUCAAGUUUCCAAUAACAAGAGGAAUUUCACCUGAAACGUAUAAUUAAAUCAUCACUUUAGUUAAUUAAAGCAAGAACAAAUAAAGUUUUGGAUGAACAAAUAUGAGAAGCAAAGAAAAAUGAUGGAUCAAAAGUGACGAAUAAGCUAAUUUCUGCCAUAAGGUAGAUGAUGAACUUAGGAUGUGGAAUUCCAAUAAAUUCCUAAACAUACCUAAACUUUUGGCCAUUCAAAAUCAAAUUCUAGUGGUUAAAAUUAUGAAAUGAGUAAUUAUUAUUUUUACAGCAAAAAAUGUGAGUAUAUAAAGAAAAAUAAAAAUAAAAAUGUAGAGCAAUAUAAAAAGAAGUUUUAAGGUAAGUAGGUUUGUUAUUUUUAAGAAUAAUAGUAAAGCAGGACAUUUGGUUUUGCUUAUAUAAGAAGUUGGUUCAUGCAUAGGGAUGUCAUAUUACCCAUGUUUGCAUUUAAAUAUUUGUAUUAAGAAAUAUUUUAUUUGAAAGAGUUUAAUAAUUUUAAGCUGUCUAAUAAUAAAUAAAUUAGUCUAAGAAAAAAUAAAGCAUCUCAAAAUAUAUGUCUUAUACCAAUAUUCUUAUAGUUGUCUAAUUUCAAAGUAGUUAAAGGAUUAAACGUGUAAUUAAUUGUAUUUUUAAAACGACAGUUAUUUUAUUUUCUAUAUUUGUUUAUUUUUUAUUUUUUUAAAUAUAUAUUUAAACUUUGCAAAAUGAAUGGAUAUAUUUGAACAUGAAACAUGAUACAAUAAUUUAGUGAGAAUGAAAUAAAAUAAUGGUGGAAAAAUGAUAUGAUGACAUUAAACGGAAAAUAAGCGAAUGAAUAAAUAAGUAAAUAAAGGAGAAUAAGAAGAUAAAGACCAAAAACAAUUGCUAUGCUAAUGAAUAAUAUCAAUAUUUCUAUGAUGAUAACAAAACAACGAUUAAACGAUAAUCAUGUUGUGGUUAUUAUCUUAGUAUUACAUUGAAUAAAUAAUAAUGACAAGAACAAAGAAUAAAAUAGAAUAAUAUGUGCAAAUGAAUAAUAUAGACAAAGAUAAAAUAUAUAAAUUUUAAAUACUAAAUAAAUGAUAUAGUAAAUAAAUAAGCAAAAUUAAUCGAAAUACAAAGUAAAUUGGAACUCAAGCAAAGUUUAAAACUCAUAUCGCAAAAUAAAUGAGGGAAAGGGACCACAAAUAUACAAAUAAAAUGAAAAUAAAUAUAAAUUUUAAAUAUAUAAAAAAUAAAUAAAAAAAAGAAAUAACGAAUAAAUGACUAAAUAAAUAGAUAAGACAAAUAUAAAAAAAUAUUAAAUUUAAGUGUUUAAAAAUUAAAAGAAUGAUAAACAAAUAAAUAAAUAAAUUUAAGUAUUUGCAAUUCAAAUUGAUGAUAUUUUUCUUAUUCUUAUGCUUUUCUAAUUUCAAAGUACUUAAAGGAUUAAAUGUGUAAUUAAUAGUUUUUAAGCCAAAAGUAUUAUAGUAAAAAGUUAAAAGAUUGUAAAGUUAUUUAGUAAUAUAUAGCACGAUUCUGUUAUAAGUAUUAUAACAGUACCAACAAAAAGGAAAAUAAAGAUGAUAUUAUAUCUGUUAAGUUGUUAUAAAAAAGAAUGAUGAUCACGAGAGAAAUAAGGUUUCCAAUAACAGAUGAAAUUUCACUUAAAAUCAUUAAAAUUUACUAACAGAUCUUAAAAUCGUUAAAACUCAAUGCGGGUAGGUAUAAGUCUGAAACAUAUAAUAUCAACUAUGUACUCUGUAAUCAAAGUUAAUUAAGAGAAAUCAUAUACUCUAUUUCUUUCCUAUUCAAGAAUAUCAACACAUAAAUAAUAAGGAUAGAAAAAAAUAGGUAAUUACAAGUCUUGUGUGAUUCAAAAGGGUAUAAAGUAGGUCCUAAUUACAAAUCAAACCUUAAAUUAAUUUAAUGUAAAAUUUAACUCUUUUCUUAUCACCAAAUAAAUCUACUUUUAGUAAAUUAGGAGUUUUAAUAAAAUACUUGUAAUAAAAGAUUGUUUAUGACUAAGUGUUUUGUUUUCAACAUAUUUGGAAUUAACUUGCCUUAGAAAAACAGUCUCUAUUAUUUUUAAGAAUAUAUUAUAAAAGCAAGAUAUGCCACUUAGAGAAGUUUCUUUAAGUAUUUUUUCUCGGCCAAAAUAAAAGGGUUAUUGUUUAAAGUCCCGUUUCAUUACUUAAAACAAUUGUUGAUGGAAAUUGGAUAAAAAUGAAUGAAACAAUAACCAAGAAUUGUUUACCUUUGAAAUGGUUGUUACUAAGAGCCAAAGUCUCGAGCAAAGUCAAAUUUCCAAUUUCUGUAGGUAUACUUCCAUCCAAGGAGUUGUAACCCAAUGAUAAAAACUUCAGCUCUUUGCACUUGAAUAAACUAUUUGGAAUUCUACCGGAAAUUUGAUUCCCACCCAAGCCCAACCUUUCUAGUUUUGACAAAUUGCCUAGAGUAGAUGGGAUAACACCAACGAAGUUGUUAAGGUACAAAGACAAUCUUUGAAGUUUUUUUGGUGUUUAAGGGCAGCAGCAAGCUAGUUUGCACUUGCUUGGACAACAAGUGUCGAGCCUUGCUGAAGACACUAUCGAAGAAGAAGAAAAUUUUGCAAUGGAAAAAAUAGGAAAGAAAGAGAUGAUUUGAAUGAAAAUUGAGCUGAAUUUUCAUUAAUUUUCACAAGAGGCAUAAUGCCAAUACAUAUAUGAGAUAACAACAGCAAAACAAACAAGUUACCACCUAAUAACAUACCUAACACCACUAAUUUGCCUAGUAACUUGGUAAACUUGUUUGAACACAAAACAAGCCACCUAAACUUGUCAUUCAGCACCUAAUUACAUCAAAAUGCAACUACCAACUAAGUUCAAAACAAACUAAAAUACAAAGAGUUCAUUUGAGUAACUAAAUGAAACAAAGCAGUUUCGGUUUGCUGCUUGGAGCACGUUGCUUGCAUUGCCACUUUUGCUGCUGCAUGGGGGCUGACUUCAACACUCCUCCUCAGCUUCUAUGCUGCAGACUCCUAAUUGCUUUCUUAAGCUUAGAAAUCUCGAUGUACCAAGUGAUUUUGUGAAAAUAUCGGUAAUCUGAUUUUCAGAGUUGCAGUGAAUCAGCUCGAUCUCUCGGGCUUGUUCCAUUUCUCUUAUCACAUGCAACUUAAUGUUGAAGUGUUUUGUCCUGCCAUAGAAGACAGGAUUUUUAGCAAUAGCGACUGCUGAUUUGUUGUCACAGUAAAUCUCAGUUGCUCCAUUUUGUUGUAGAUUCAAAUCAUUGAUAAUUUUUCUUAGCCACAUAGCUUGAUUAACAGCAUUAGUAGGUGCUACAUAUUCUGCUUGAGCUGUCGACUGAGCCACCAUUGUUUGUUUUCUUGAACUCCAACAAAUCAUACCUGAGCCAAGUGUAAAAGCAUAACUAGAAGUGCUCUUCAUAUCGUCUUUUGAACCAGCCCAAUCGCUGUCAGUGUAUCCAAUUAAUUUCAACUCCUCGACCCUUCUGAAAUGUAUUCCAUGGUUCAAGGUACCUUUGAUGUACCUCAGCACCCUUUUUCUGCUUUGUAAUGUUGCUGGUUACAACAAUGCAUGAAUCUUGACAGCAUGCUAACUGCAAAUAGAACAUCAGGUCUCGUUGCUGUCAAAUAUAGCAAAUAGCCAACAAGACUUCUGUAAUCUGUUUCAUAGACAGAUUCAUGAUCUUCUUUGCUCGAUAGUUUCAUGCCAACAGCCAUAGGUGUGCUAGUUGGCUUGCAGUUCUUCAUUGAAAAUUUGGCUAGGACCUUUGAAGCAAAUGAUUUCUGUCCCAAGAAGAUUCCUUCACCAGCUUGAUUAACUUCCAUUCCUAGGAAGUAUGUCAUCAACCCCACGUCUGACAUUUCAAACAUUUCCUUCAUUUUUGUUUUGAAAUCAGCUAACAUGAAUUUGUCUCCUCCAGGCACUAGAAGAUCAUCAACAUAGAGUGACACAAUGAGCUGUGUUUCAGCUCGAUUUCUUUUAACAUAGAGUGUUGGCUCGCUAGCACUCCUUUCAAAUCCAAAACCGAUCAGGUAUGAAUCAAUUUGAGCAUACCAGGCUCUAGGAGCCUGUUUUCUUAGCCUAUACACCAAAUGUUCUUUACAUGGCAUUGUGAAUCCUGGAGGUUGCUCGAUGUAUAUCUCCUCUUCCAAGGAUCCAUUGAGAAAUGCAGACUUCACAUCCAUUUGAUGGAUUGUCCACUGGUUCUGAGCAGCUUCAGCAACCAACAAUCUGAUUGUAUCGAGCCUGGCUACUGGAGCAAAUGUUUCCAUGUAGUCCAGACCAUAUCUCUGACUAAAACCCUUCAGAACCAAUCUGGCUUUCAGUUUGUUUAAGCUUCUAUAUGCAUUGUGCUUUACUCGAUAGACCCAUUUUACACCAAUGGUCUUUCUGUUAGCUAGCUUCUCAACCAACUCUCAUGUCUGGUUCUUCUCAAUCAUGUUGAUUUCAUCAACCAUAGCCUAUUUCCAGCCUUCAUCUGCCUCAGCCUCUUCAAAAUUGCUAGGUUCUGCUAUAGCAACCUGUGCCCUUUCAUAGAUUUCAUCCAAGGACCUUGUGCCUCUCACAGGCACAUCAUCAACAUCCAUUUCAGGACCAAGCUCCUCUUGAUUAGGCACCAGGUCUUCUGAAACUGCUUCUGGCUCAUUCUUCUCCCAAUUCCAGCAAGCCUUUUCAUCAAAGAUAACAUCUCUGCUUACCUGAACUUUGCUUGUCAAGGGAUCUAGAAUCUUACAGCCCUUUUUGACUGAGCUAUAACCUACUAGUACACCUGGUUGAGCCCUUUUUGAGAGCUUGUCCCUCCUUGCUGCUGGUAUUUGUGCAUAGCACAGGCAACCAAACACCUUCAGAUGUGCCAAGGAAGGCUUGAAUCCAAACCAAGCCUCGAAAGGUGUCUUGGAAGCAAGAGCUUUGGUGGGAAGCCUAUUCUGAAGGUAGAUAGCAUUGUUUACUACUUUAGCCCACAUGUUCUUGGACAUUUUCUUCUCAAACAGUAGGCAUCUGGCCAUAUCCAUCAGACUUCCGUUCUUUCUUUCAGAUACCCCAUUCUGCUGAGGUGUGUACACAUUUGUAAGCUGGUGUUUGAUGCCAGCAUCAUUGUAGAUGGGUUGGAACUGAGCUGAAGUGUAUUCAGUGCCAUUGUCUGAUCUUAUCAAUUUCAGCUUGCAACCUAUUUCUAUUUCUACAGCAGUUUUGAACUUCACAAACACUCGAGCUACCUCAGACUUGUGUUUCAAGAAGAAAAUCCAACAAAACCUUGUAAAAUCAUCAAUGAAGAGGAUGAAAUACCUAUUUUUGCUAAGUGAUUCAGUCCUCAUCAAGCCACAUACAUCAGAGUGCACCAGCUGCAGUCUUUCAGUAGCUCUCCAUGCUGCAUUUGUAGGAAAUGGCAAUCUUGCCUGUUUCCCCAUCUGGCAAACUUCACACACAUCAUCAUGCUCCACUGAGUUGGUGAAGUUCUCAGCCAAGCCCUCACUGGCCAUUCGAGCCAUUGACCUGAAGUUGGCAUGUCCAAGCCUUUGAUGCCAGAGCUUGGAAUCAUCUGUAGAGGCUGUGUAUGCUGACUUUGAGUCAUUUGGCCAAUGAACCUCAAAGCAUUUGUCAGUCAUUGUGAUUGUCAUAAGGCUUGAUCCACUUGGAUCAGCAAUGAGGCACUGUUUAUCCUUGAACACAACUGAAUAACCUUUCUCAAGCAGUUGAGCUAUGCUGAGAAGGUUUCUGUCAAUCUCAGGCACCAAUAGCACAUUUGGAAUGACUUUGUUGCCUGUAGGAGUACAUAUCAGCACCUCUCAUCUUCCUUUAGCCCUUAUGAACUGACAAUUUCCAACCUUGACCUUAGUUUUACAACUUCUAUCCAAGGUUUUAAACAAGGAGGCAUCUGGUGACAAGUGGUUAGUGCAACCACUGUCCAGUAACCAGUCGUUUGAACAUUUCUUCUCAGCAGCUAAGCAAGAAACAGCAAAGACUUGCUCUUCUUGGUCACUACUAUCUUCAGCCACUCGAGCUUCAACCUUUAGUUGUUGAAAUUGGCUCUGCCUUGGCUUGGUUCUAUUUUUGCAAACCUUUUCAACAUGGCAUUUCUUCUUGCAGUGUUGGCAUACUACAUCUAGUCUGAACCAGCAUCUAUCUUCUGGAUGUCCUGGCCUCUUGCAAUAUCUGCAGGGUUGGUCACUGCUCCUUGCAGCAUCAGGCUUAGGCCUGUUUUUCCAAGGCUUUUUGCCUCUAUGAGUAUUGAUGCUCGAGGCUUCUCUGGCCUUGGCUUGAAAUGCACCUUCCUGGUGAUCUUCAGCUCUGCUAGCUCUCCUUUGUUCCUGAGCAUAGAAAGUGUUAAUUAGCUUAGUCAAAGAGAUGCUAGCAAGGUCUCUUGAGUCCUCUAAGGAGGAUAUCUUUGCCUCAUAUAUUUCAGGCAAAGUGGAGAGAACUUUCUCCACGAUUCUUGCCUCAUCAAAGUACUCACCAAGGAGCCUUAUGCUGUUGACCACUGCCAUGAUUUUAUCUGCAUACUGCUUCACUAUUUCUUCUUCCCUCAUCUUCAGAUUCUCAAAGUCUCUUCUUAAACUCAACAGCUGUUGUUGCCUUGUUCUUUCUGUGCCUUGAAACUCCUCCUUAAGCUUGUCCCAGGCCUAUUUUGGAGUCUCACAGGCCAUAAUUCUGGUGAAGAUGACAUCUGACACACAGUUCUGAAUGCAGGACAUGGAUUUGUGCCUUUUGGUCCUCUCAUCAGCAUGUUGUCAGAUCUGAGCUACUGUGGGAUUGGCCCUCAGUGGUGCUGGCUUAACAUCUGUGUUGACAACUUCCCACAGAUCAAAGGCCUGCAGGUAAGUCUUCAUCUUUACUAGCCAUAUAUGGAAGCCUUCUCCAUUGAAGACUGGUGGGGCUGCUGGUGAAAAACUUGAGGAAGCCAUUCAGUUUUCUUGGUUUGAUACAACAGGUCCACUAAGAAUGCAACUUUGAUACCAAUUGUUGGUGUUUAAGGGUAGCAGCAAGCUAGUUUGCACUUGCUUGGACAGCAAGUGUCAAGCCUUGCUGAAGAAACUAUCGACGAAGAAGAAAUUUUUGUAAUGGAAAAAAGGAAAGAAAGAGAUGAUUUGAAUGAAAAUUGAGCUGAAUUUUUAUUAAUUUUCACAAGAGGCAUAAUGCCAAUACAUAUAUGAGAUAACAACAGCAAAACAAACAAGUUACCACCUAAUAACAUACCUAACACCACUAAUUUGCCUAGUAACUUGGUAAACUUGUUUGAACACAAAACAAGCCACCUAAACUUGUCAUUCAGCACCUAAUUACAUCAACAUGUAGCUACCAACUAAGUUCAAAACAAACUAAAAUACAAAGAGUUCAUUUGAGUAACUAAAUGAAACAAAGCAGUUUCGGUUUGCUGCUUGGAGCACGUUGCCUGCAUGGCCACCUUUGCUGUUGCAUGGGGGCUAACUUCAACAAGUUUACUGAAGCAACCAAACCAUGAUGGGAUUUCUCCAUUGAAGCUAUUAUUACCAAAGUCUAAAUAUUUCAUCCGACGCAAAUUAGUUAACUCAAUGGGUAAAGAGCCUUGGAAACUAUUUUGAUGAAUGUCGAGCCAAGCAAGGAAAGAUAGAUUUCCCAAUUGAGAAGAAAUGGUGCCCGUGAGAUCCAUGCUUGACAAAUUCAGAGCAGUGACUCUAUGGUGUCUAGAUCCACACGUGACACCAAUCCAGCUACAAACGGAGGUAGAAGUAGACCAAUUUGUUGCCAAGAAAUUGUGAGGAUCAUGAGUUAUAUGAGAUUUGAGUGCUAGAAGAGCAGAUUGAUCAAUGGUGAUGCUAGAAUAUUUUGCAAGCAAAAUAACCCCAACGGUUGCGAAUAGCAGUCCAAACAUAAACGGAGGGAGGAAGCUUGGUUUUGCCAUAAAGUUGGAUAUGGGUGUAAGGCACAUCAUAAGGAGAGAAACAACCGAGUUUAAUACUUUUCUAAUGUUAGUUCAAUAUUCUUUAAAUACUUUUGAUUCUAAAGACCAUUGACUCAUAGUUUGAGUAAGAAAUACAUACAAUCUUGUGGGUCCAACCAUGUUAUAGGGAAAAAAAGGAAAGCCAAAAUAGAAGAGUUAGUCUCAAGUUGAAGAGUAGAACUAAUAAUUCAACCGCAUUAACAAAGAUCAUCGUUUGGAUAUAUUAACAAAAUCCGAACUCGCAAUUAUAUCUACUUAUAUGAAGGAUUUAAUUGAAGACAAGUAUAACUUGUUAAAAUAUAAAAUUUCAUCAUUGGUUUUGAUUCUGUGGUGGUGUAUUGUAUGUAUCAGUUGGGGGUGGGUAUUCUUUAUUUUUAUUUUCAUAUAUUGGUGAGAAGCUCAUAUAUAUCCCUUGUGAUUGAACCAAAAAUUGGAAUAUUUUCUUAUUUCUGCCCUCUAUUAUUAUGGAUUCUUCUUUUAUAAGCAUUUUUUAUUUAGUAAUUAAAUUAGUUGAAAUUAAUUUUUUAUCAUUGAACCUUAACAACGGUUUGAAAUUUGAUCUAAGUGAUGACCAGAGUUUUUUUAUUGGUCUAAUAGUAAAUUUAGCCCUCUAAUAUUUAUAUAUUCUAUCAAUUUGAUCUUAAUAAUAGAAAAAUUCAACAAGUUUAGCUUUCAAUGUUUACAAAAUUUGUCAUUUUAGUUUAAAUUCUACAAUGUUCAAUAAAUUUAGCCCUUAAUAUUUACAAAAUGAUAAAAAAAAUUUGUCUCUUUUAACCCUUGAACUAACGUCGUUUGUCAAACCACCUUAAAAUAGAUGUUGACAUGGCAGUUCACAUGCAUGCUAUGUCAUCAAUUGUUUAAAAGAAUUAAAAAAUAUAUAGAAAGUUAUAUAAAAAUUCAAAAAAAAUAUAAAAGUGUUAAAAAUUCAAAUAUAUAUAAAUUAUUAAAAUUUCAAAAGGAAUAUAUAAAAUAUAAAAAUAGUAAAAAUAUUAUCAAGCUUACAUUUCUAAUAGGUAAAAGAGCUUUUCUAAGUUUUCACUUAAAUAAACAAAGCUCUGUUUUCUUCUAACCCUGGGAGCCGCUAUUACUAACAUUGACACUGGUGGCUCCUUCCAGUCACUAUCAAUGACAUUUCAAAUCUAAAAUCCUAAAAUAUCAACACCAGCACUAAUGGCAUAUUUCAAACAAGGUUGAGACAAGUUUUUCAAAUCCAAAAUCUAGAAAUAUCAAUUGACAAUGCUUUGAACCAACAUGCCAUUGGAUUCUUUUAUCUCUUUUUCCAUUAAUGCUCAAUUGGUUAUUAUAAAUGGCUUGAUUCAAAAAAGGUUGAAUGAGUUUUGUUGGAAUGAUUGAUUAUAGUAUUGUUUUUAUUUAGGUUGAAUCAGAUGGUUUAAAAUUUUUAAAGUGUUUGAUUUCUAUUUUUAGUGUUUUUGUUUUAGUGUUGUUUUUGAGAUUAAUGAGCAAAAAUUAAAACUGAGACUUAACUGUGUUGAUUAAUGUUAGGGAUAAAAGUUUUUGGUUUUUGUUCAAUUUUCUACUACUUUUAACUGAGAUUAAAACUAAAAAAAAAGUCAAUUUUCAUUCAUCAGUUUAUCCAAGAAAAAUGUUCUUAGUGUUUGAUUUCUAUUUUUAGUGUUUAAUUGAAUAAGUGGUUUUAAAAAAUUUCAAACAAAUUUUUUUUGUUCACUUUCAAUUUUCAUUCAGGCUUGAAUUUUGCUUUUUAUUUUAUUUUUUAUUUUUGUUGUGCAUUGAUGAAGUUUUUAGAGGCUAUGGGUAUAUUAAACAAAGAAAAAAAUGGUGUUAAUAAUUAAAAAGAAUUAAAACUUAUAAAAUAAUUAAGAAAAUAAAUAAAAACAGGAAAAAAAAUUAGUGAAGUAGCCGUAAAGGUAGAAUGGGAAGGCGGUGUUGGUGAAUGUGGUAUGAUGAGUCGCAGUUGGUUGGAUGGUGAUUUUCAUGCGUUGAGCCAUUAUAUUGGGUUGGUUUUCACACUUUCUUCUAUUUAAACAUGAAUUUUUAAAGAAUGACCAACUUUUUAGACCAUUAAUUUCACACAAGAAAAGUCAUUUGAAGGCUGCAAUAGCAGCACCAUUAUUCACGUUUGGGCGAAACAUUGAAUUAUUUUUCAUCCCCUCCAUUGCUUCCACCCUCUAUCCUUCUCUACUUUUUGCAUAUUUGAAAUCACAUUCUUAAUUUUAAUAAUAUGUAAACCAUAAAUAAAUUAUUUUAUCAAUAAUCAUAAUAUCCAAUGCUUAAACUAAUUUAGUUUAUUUGCUCUGAGAAAUAUCUAGAGACUAGAAUGUUCCCCAUUUUCUGUCAAUCAAGAAAGAAUAUUUGAAUACAUAAGAUUUUAAUAAUGUAUAUUGUUUCAUAGAUGCAUGCAUUUGCAUUUAGGAAACCCAAAGCAGAACAUCAUACCAAUCACAAACCCAACAUCAAAGCAAAAAACAGAAUAGUAAACAAAUCUUCAGCAUGCCAUCACCCUCCCAUGCUUUAGCAAUAGUAAACACAAUUUUUAAACUACUUUCUAAGUCUCAUUUUAAAAUAUUUAACUCUAAUCUUUUAACAACUAUUUUUUCAUUUUAAUAUUAGUUCAAAAUUUUUUUAUUAAAAAACUAUUUUAAUAUUUUUAGAGCUUGUUAACUUAUUUUUAUAAAUUUUGUAAAAUUAAUCUAUGGAUUUUGUAAAACAAAUUGAUGGAGCUUUGGGUUUAGUUGGUAUCAAAUGAUGAAGAGAAAAUUGAAUUUUAAAGUCCCAAAAUACUAAAUAGCAAGACAGCUAUUUUUUUCGUCAGCCAAUAAACAUAUUUAUUUGAAAAUAAAGACAAAAUAUUGCCAAAAAAAGUUGCAAAACCCAAACAAAAGAACAAAUCACCUAGGCAAAUACAAAGGACAAAUCACCAAACCAAAGCUCCACAACACCAAAACAUGAUGACUUGUAAACUUCUCAUAACACACACAAAAAAAAAAAGAAACUCAACCACCAUUUGAAGCCUAUGAAAUUUUCUUUUUAGAAAAAGAAAAAGAAAAUCUCAAAUCUAACAAGUAUUAAAUUUUACUAUCAAAAUAGUAGAAUAUUGUCUUCCAUGUAUAGCUUUAAAUUUAAGUUAUUUGUGAUGUAUACUCAAGUAAAUAAUAAUGUGAUUUCAAAUCAGUUAAAUAAAUUUAGGGUAAUUUACACCAACAGUCACUCAACUUUGGGAUAGUUGACAAAACAACCACUUAGGUUUCAAUUCAGUCACUUAACUUUCAAAAAUAACAAAGUAGUCAUUUUAACCAUUUUCUGUUAUAGACGUAAUGAAAAAGUGACAUGACAAAUGACGGAUUCCUUGUUGUCAUUAACCAACUAGCUGAUCGGUUAGCACCAAUUUAAACAGCCCAUUUAGCACUAAUUUAGAGUUUAGGCAGUAGAAUAAGAAGAGGAGGAGGAGGAAGAGGAGGAGAGAAAAAAUGGAGAUGUCGACUGUGACUCCGGUGUGCUAUUGUAGAAACCUAGCAAAAUUAAACACGUCUUGGUCUAAUGACAACCCAGGUAGGAGGUUUUUUGGGUGUAAGAAGUUUGGGAGUGGGUUUCAAAAACCAUGUUAUUUUUUCACCUGGAUUGAUCCACCAUUGAUGCCCCCCGUUCACGAAUUUUGUUGUUGGGUCUUCUAAAAAAGUGAGGACAUUGGAGGAUGCAAGGAGGAGGGAGAGAAAAACAUGAGUUUUGGUGCUUGUACUUGUAAUAUUGUUGUUAUUUUUUAAACCCUAAACCAGUUUAUGUGAUAGCUGAUGUUGUUGUUGUUGUUAACACUGAAAACCAACUUAUGUGGCUGUUGGUAUCCUGUUUUGUUAUCCAUUCAUGGUUAGUGGAAGCUAGGGGUCCUAAAUGUAAUGGUUUGUAAAGGGUAGAAGUUUGCUUAUGGACUUGAAAGUUGAAAGACUAAUUGUAAUGGGAGAGUAUUUGGUUGUUGUAAUGGUCUGGUAUUCUCACAUAUUUGUAUUUUAUUUCAUUUGAUUUUCUGAAUGUUUAAUCUUCUUUUAAAACUUUAAAGAGUAUUUAGUUAUUGUUUUUUAUUUUCUUACAUUACAUGGAUCAAUGCUUAUAUGUUAGAAGAGAUAAAAUAGAUGGAAAAAAGACAGAAACACAUUAGUCAGCAUUAAACUUCUUUCAUAUAUUAAGGCCAAACUGUUUACAAAAGGAAGGGCAAACUAUUGCCAAAUUCACCUACAAUUCAACAUAUUUGAAUUGUAGGCAACUUUACAAAAUAUUUCAGUGGCUAUAUGCCUAAGUUUAGAAAACAGUAGCAAUCAUAGGCAAAUUUACAAAAAAAAUAAUCUGCCUAAUCUAAGAAAUUAGUUGGUGUGUCGUUGAAAGCACCAAAUAGAUCCUAACCCUAAAUAACAAAAAGAAAUAGUAUAAGGGGAGUAGGGUCAAAUCCUUUAGGACUGGAUCGGUACAGCUUCUUGUUCCUCAAAAUCCUGGGCAUAGUCGUGCCCAAGAAAAAUGUCUAACCUGGAAAAUUUAAAAAAAUAUAUAUAAUUAAGAAUAUGGACGAGUUGAAAUUAAAUAAAUUGAAACUGUACUUGUGAAAAGAAGUAUAAUUAAGAAAAAGGGAUUUUUCAAUUGAGGGAUUCUAACCUUUGGUUAUCUCGAUCCUCCUUUGGUUCAAUCAUAGGCUUUUAGGUGAUCAUUCUCAUGACUGAAUAGGCUUGUUAUAGUGGAAGAAGACACCUAUGACCACCAGUUCCACUUAGGUUAUAGCCUUACGAUUUAGAGGAACCUGACUCUAGCCAACCGUCACUUUCGUGGGACCGUCUUACACUAGAUCAUCGUUUCUCAAUGGCGAAUUCGUCUCUUAGGCUAGACAACCUCUGAUGCAGUAAGUUAGUGAACCAACUGUGAAUCUUCCCAAAACAUACAAAGCGCCCACCUUAGCACAAGAUAAAAAUAUUACUUUUAGAAGGACAUGAAUGGAAGCGUUAGUCCCAUAAUGCAGAGAAAUGAUGAAUACUCGUUGAGAAGGGUUAAGUACGAGUUCUAAGCCUAAUGAACUCUUUUUGAGGAAUCUUUAUAACAUUUGGCUAGACAAGUUUAAUGACUCAUGCUUUUUGGGAAAAAACACAAGUUUUAAUGAAAUAAAAUUUUAUUGAAAAAGAAACAAAAAGGCUAAGAGCCUUAGGGGGAAAGAGUUUUUUACAAAAGUGUUGAGUGAAUAUUCAUGUCACUCCAUCCCCUAUUUAUAGUACAUAAAAAAUCUAGUUUGUUACUAUUUAAACUCUAUAUGAUAAUAUUUAAGAGAUAUAAUUUGAAAUUAAAUCUAAACAAUAUAACAAUUCUAACAAUAAUCCUAAAAAUAAAAUUAAAUUUAAACAAAGUCUUAUGUUCAUAAAUCUCUUCUUCGAAAUUUUACCCCAAGUCUUCUACACUUUGUAUUUUCGGCACUACUUCUUCCCUAUUUUGCAUGCUGACCCGUUUUGUAUUUAAAUUCACGCUUUUUGUCCCUAAAUUUCUUUUUACCUUCAAUUUAGUCCCUACAAGAUAAAAAACCAUAAACAACCAAAAUUAGUAGGAUCAUACUCAAUAUAUAUAUGUAAUUAACACAUAAAAGUAUGUCAUUUUUUAGUAUUAUCACUAGUAGUAGGUAUAGGUCUAGACAAAUUUAGGCAAGUUCAAGAAGUUGACAAAAUAACGUCCUGUUCCCAAUGUCAUCAUUAGUUUGUCAUGGAUGACUCUUGAGUAGAAGGUAUCCAUCUAAAAGUGGUUGGUUUCCUCUUGAAUGGAAGAUUUCCUCUUGGAGCAACAUCUUUUUGGUGAGUUGGGGCAACCUCCUUCUGAGUUGGGGUAGUUUCUUGUUGAUUUGGGGCAACCACUUGGUUGUGAACACCAAAUUUGUGUCUUUUUACCUACAAGAAUAAGUGAAAUCCAUAAAAAAAUUUGCAUUUAUAAGUAAUAUAAUGGAACAAAAGCAAAUGACUUACUAGAAGUUUUUGCUAACUUCUUCUUUGCAACUCCUCUUAUUGUGGCCUUUUUUGUUGCAUUUACUGCACCUCAUUUCCACCCCUCUCUUGGUCAACCUUUCUAUUUCUUGUGGUUCAUCAGAUUCUUUCCUUCUCACCUUAGUAGGUCUGUCAGGUGACUUUCUCAAUGUAGGAGGCAGUAUUGAUAGCAUGUUUGGCAUAGAUGAAGUUGGAGUAAAUGGCAAGCUGGGUUUAUGAAGUUGGAGUAAAUGGCAAGCUGGGUUUGCUUGGUGUACCAAGUUUGUACAUAAUUUUUUGGGAACUCAUCUUUUAGAUGAAUGACACCCACUCCAUGUAUGCAAGGGGUGCCAAUGAGAUCCCAAUUCCUGCAGGAGCAAGAAUUCUCAACUAGGUCCACCACAUGCUGACCACUUGGAUCACAUUCAACCUGAUACCUAUCCCCAAAAACAUGUGAUGGAACACACCUAAAAAAUAAUCACUAUAAUAAUAUUAAAAACAUGUGAUCGCCCCACCAACAAUCAUACAUAAGGCAUAAAUAUAUUAAAAAUGCCAGAAUAAAGACAUACAUGUAUUUGUCCAACAACAUGUGAUCAACCCCACUAGCUAUCAUACAUAGGCAGAAUAAAGACAUCAGUAUAUUAAAAAAAUUAUCUAUUUACCUCAGUGAAUCUUUGAUAUUGACAUCUAGCUUUUUCUUGAUCUUUGGACACAAGAUUCUUUUAAUUUUUUCAGCUUUUUAUUUAUUCUUGACAAUCAACAACAUAAUCUUGGUCUUAAUUGUUUCCAUCAUGGUCAGGAUAGAUUUCCCUCUUGCUUUCAAUAUCACCUGCCAGUAAGUAACAUAAAAGAUUAGUGAAUUACAUGUCCUUAAUGAUUAGUAACAUAAAAAAAAUAGGGGUUUACCUUGUUAAAGCAUUCAGAAAAAUUAUUCACCACCAUGUCAGACUGGCUCCUAAUUGAGAAGUGGGACCUUGACCAGUGAGUAGGGUUCUUUUCUUUCAACCAAUCAUAAGCAUGUUGAUUGGUAUUCUUCAGUUCAGCCAUGACAUCCUCAAAAUCCCUUGGAGUGCUUGCUCUGACAGCUUUCCAAAGCAAAUCUUUCAAUUUCUUUGUUAGGAAACCAACUUUCUUGAAAUUUGAAUGUAGAUGUCUAACACAGUGUCUUGUUUCUACAUUAGGAAACAACAUAUAUAUUUCUUCUAAAAAUCCUGCAAAUAGAAGAAAAAUAGUUUAAUUUUUUGACAUAUCAUAAACCCUAAAUAGAAACAACAUAAAACAAGUAGACAAAUCAACUAGUAUUACCUUUUGUUUGUAAGAUAUGAAAGAUAUCUAGUAUGAGCUCACAAUUUCCAGGUCUAAUGCGAGGAACUCUAAGAACUAGAGCCAUGAUGCUUAGUUUUCACUUUAAAUAGCAGCAUAUGCAAUAGGAUGGAUGUCAUUAUUUGCAUCUAUCCCAAUAGCUGCCAGUAGGUAGCCACCAAAGUAGCCCUUCAAGAAACAUCAAUCUAAACCUAUUAUCCUCCUACAAAAAACCCUAUAGCCAUCUUUGCAUACCUGCAGACAGACAGACAGGCAUUCUUUGAAACAACCUGUUAUCUAGAUAACAGAUUGUUGUUGUUCCCUCAUUCUGGGUCUUAACCUCCAACAAAUAUUCAUAAAUCUUCUCAUAUUGUGCCUUAUGAGCUCCUUCAAUUAAUUCAAAUGCCCUAAGUUUAGCCCUCCUACAUUUGGUUAGUGAGACAAGUCAAAGGAAAUCUUUUUUCACAUCUUGUUGCAAUGAUGUCAAAGAAUAAUCAGGAUUAACAAUGAACUAUUCUUUAUAAUGUUUACCUAUCCAAGAUGAGGUUACAUUUUUAUUUUUAUAGACUUGAGAGCAAAUAAUGUUUACCCUAUUAGACACAUCACUAUCAUAUACAUCCCUAACAGACACAUCAAAAUUAGAUAUUUCUUCUUCAAUCUCAUUAAAAUUAUCAUAAAUUAAAAAUGCCAAACAAAUUUAACAUCAAUAAAGGAAGACAACAACCAAACAAUUUAAUACAACAUGACAGACAAUAACCAAUACAAUAUAAAAGCUAAAGAACAAAUUUAAUCCAAUUCAUAUUUGAAACUAGGAAUAGAUUUCUCUCUUUAUAACCAAACAAUAACAAAACUUGAUACCGUUACUCAUAAAAAUAGUAAAAGAUUUGUCUCUUUCCUAAGGCAAUUAGUAUGCAAAUGACAGACAAUAAGUUACAAAAAUCCAAACAUGCAAUUCAGAUUGAUACAAACAAUAAACAUAUUUUCCAGGUACAUUUAAAAUACUCAUAAAUCAUAUUUGAAUAGAUAAAUCAGUUUGAUACAAACAAUAAACAUGACAUACAUAGUAUCAUGCACAUGGAAAACCAUACACAAUAUCUACCAUUCACUUUAAUAACCAGACCUAAACCCCAUGUGAAUAACAAAUGAAAUCAAAAUUUGUCAUGGACUUUAAUAACAAAUGAAACCAAAAUUUGGCAUAAACCCCAUGUGAAUGCAACAUUUUUCAAAUUUUAAAUCUAGACAACCCUAAAUUGAAAUAACCCUAAAUGCAAAAAAUAAAAAAACCAAAUACAGAAACUUACCCAUUACAGUGGAUGUAACAACAUUGGCAACUUCUUUUCUAUUAACCAAUGUGGCUAAAAACCAAAAACACCGAUAACUUCCCCCUUUUGUCUUCUUUUCUCCCCAAACAAAAAAAAACCAAUUGAUUUCUAAUCCUAAACCCUAUUAAUCAAUUUCCUAAUGGAUUUUCUAACCUUAAACCAACCUUGUUAAUCAAUUCUCCAAUCGAUUUCUAACCUAGAACCCUGUUAAUCGAUUUUCUUUUCCUCCUCCCCUUAAUCACAAUCAAUUUUUUUACCCUAAACCCAUCUAUUAAGCUUUUUCCCUAAACUCGAGUCAAACCCUGACCCUUCCAAUGCUUCACCAAUGUGCAAGUUAAUUGGCCACAUCAGCUAGUUAACUUGCCACAUCAACGGUCCUAUUAAGACAGUAAUGGAAAAUGUUAAUAAGUGACGUAUUUGCACUUUUGAUAACGUUAGUGGCUGAUUUGUUAUUUUUCAAAAAUUGUGUGACAAAAUUGAAACCUGAGUAGUGACUGUUUUGUCAGCUACCCCCAAGUUGAGUGAUUGUUGGUGUAAUUUACCCAUAAAUUUAUAAGUACUUGUGGUUUUAUAUUCAAAUUGAAUCUUUUCGUUAAUUGUAAUUUUCAAAGACGAAAAUUUACGUAGGGUCGCUUUUACAAAUAAAACAUGAACUAUUCUUUCAUAAAAACACUUGUAUAGUAUGAAAAGGACAUGAUUCUCAAUUGUAUAAGUCAAGGUCUUUUAUAAUUCGUAUUAAUGCAUUGUUUAAUAUCAACAAGGAAUCUUUAGCCCCUUCUUUCUAUCUAUGUCUUCCUCCCAUUUUCCUUUGAUGUGAUGGAUUAAACUAUGUAGAGUAACCAAUAAUUAUACCAAAUUCUAUUAAUUUUUUUUGUAUAUUUGAAAUCAAAUUCUCAAUUUUAAUAAUAUGUAAAACAUCAAUAAAUAAUUUCAACUUAAAACAUAUUUCAAUGAAAACGUGUUUGAUGGAGAUCCUCAACAUAUUCUUCCAUUAACCGCAUUGAAAGAAUGACCACUUUUUCCUUCAUUGGUGUUUUUCAUGCGUUGAGCCAUUAUUAAUCUCCCUCAUAUUGGGUUGCCUUUUACACUUUCUUCCAUUCAAACAUGAAUUUGUAAAGUGGCCUCCUUUUUCACCAUCAAUUUCACACAAGCUUUCCACAAGAAAUCUUAUUUUAAGACUGCAUUAUUCACGUUUGGGCCAAACACAGAAUUAUUUUUCAUCUCUCCAUUGCUUCCACCCUCUAUCCUUUUCAACUUUUUACCCUUACUUUCCAUUUUCAUUAUUCAUUGUUUUAUUUAAUAAAAUGAUAUAAUACCUGUUAAGUUGUUCUUAAAAAAAUUAAUGAACGCGAGAUAAAUAAAAUUUAUCAACAUUUAGUUAUAGUGUUUAAAUAUAUUUAUAUUUAUAUUUAAUUAUAUGUGUUUGAAGAUAAAAUUGAUAUAAUUUGUAAAUAUGGAGGGUUAAAUUUAUUGAAUCAUUUUGAAUUAGAAUUAAAUUGAUAGAAUAUAUAAGUAUUGAGGAAUAAAUGUAUUAUUAUAGCAGUUAGAAAAGGCAACAUCAUUGUUAACUAUUUAACGAAGAGUGACCAAAAUAGAAAUAAUCUAAAAUGUGAGAAAACAAAAUAGAAAUGAUUUAAAAUGUUAGUGACUAAAUUAAAAAUUUUCAUAGUUAGGUGACCAAUUCUAUAGUUUACCCUAGAUAGUAGAAGCAAUUAGGAUUAAUUCCACCAAGCAUCUCAAACUAUUACUCAGAUUUUAAAUUGCACCCUAAACUUGUAUACAUUCUAAUUGAAUCCUCAAAGUAUCAAUAUUGUAUCAACCAGGCCCUUCUGCCAAUUUAGCUAUCAAUUUGAGCAUUAAAUGUCAGUUUGGAUAUGAUGUAAAACAUAUUUAAAACACGUGGUUGAAAUUGUAAAUAUGUAUGUAUUUAUCGCAAGGAUAACUAGGAUAUCACAUAUUUAAAAAACAACGGCAAUAACAUUUAAGAAUCUUUUUCAUUUUCUAAAUAUAUGUUUAGCAUGUUAGAUUCAAGUAGUUUAUGGAAUAGAUGCAAACAUAUUUACAAUUUGAUCUACAUUUGUGCUUUUAAAUAUACUAUAUGUUAGAUUUAAAAGUGUUCAUUGGUUGGGCUUGGAUUUAAGUUUUUAACCUUGGACCAGCCCGACCAGGCUCAUUUUAUUAUUAAAAAAUAAAAAUAAUUUUAUAUUAAUAUAUUUUCAUAAUUAAAUUUGAAUAAUUUUACUAUCUUUUAAUUAGUGUAAUGGGCUAUUUGGCCAAGCCGAACCCUAGCCUAGAAUUUUUUUUGAAACCGAGCCUAUGCUAGAUUUAAUCUAUGAACACUUCUAAUUAGAUUCACUUAUUAUUUUUAAAUUAACAAUUAAACUGACAAAAAGACUUAACUAAUAAGAUUUUAAGAUUCAAUUACAUGGUUUCAAAAAUUUAACAUACGAAGUUACAACAAAAAGUUAAACUUUGCGUACAACUAUGUUGUUAGCUUGAUUGAUUUCUUACUACUUAUUAAUAUCUUUUGUUACUUAACAAAUUUGACUUGAAGAUAUUUAUAGCUAUUUCAAAUACUGGAUUUCCGUGCAUUUAUUUUUAUACUUUACAUUGGAUUAAUUAUAUAUUUUGAGAAAAUAUAAUAUUUGAUGCAUUAAACGUAACUAUUAUAAAUAAAUAUUAAUAACUUUCGGAUUUAAGAUGUUGAGUUUAAAGUUUAGGGUUUAGCAUUUAUUUAUAGAUAAUUAUGUAAUAAAAUUAUUAGUAUUUUUAUAAGUUUUUCACUAAUUUUUUGUUUUAUUUAAUAAUGAUGUAUUAUGUUAUUAUUCACUAAGAGUGCGAAUAACUUAUGCACCAAUAAUACAUCAAAUAUUCUCGAAAAUUAAAUUUAUAUGAGAAAUCCUAUUAUAACAAUUUGUAAACAAAAAGUUGUCUAAAAUUUUCCACUACUAAUUUUAGAAAUAAUUUCUGAAUAUAUUUUUCCACUACUAAUUUUGCAUUAUUUUACCUCCUUAUUGAAAUUUUUUGGGUUUUCUUUUUUUACUAAGCCAUAUCAAUUUUAUUAAAAAGAUAGAAAGACAAACUUUACAAACCAGUGCAGCUAGCAAAAACACAUCAGGGAACAUUGCCGUGAGAGAGUGUUGAAAAAAAAAGGCUGCUGCUAAAAAAAACAGAACAAAGAACUGCAACGGAAGCAAUGGGAAUUUAGAGAAAUUGAUAACAGUGAUGCAAAACACUUUAUUCCAUGAAGAGUUUAAAUACUGAAAUAGCUAACAACUUAGAGAUAUAUUAGGACUCUAAUAGAAUCUUGAUACAUCUCCUAAAUAAAAGGAACACUACUGGAAUUAAAAAAACAGACUUACAACAGACUUUGACUGACUCAACGUCUAAAUUAUUCAAUCAGUAAAUAAUUUCUACAUUACCCAUUAACACUCCCCCUUAAGGUAGAAACUCUCCAACACCCAACAAUUCUCUCAAAUAAAUGAACUUCUUCGGUGGAAGUGGCUUUGUGAACAAAUCAGCAACUUGUUCUUCAGUGCAACAGUGCUCCAACUUGAUAUCUCCCUUUGCAACCAGCUCUAUUAUGAAAUGAUGACGUGUUUCAAUGUGCCUUGUUCUACUGUGAUAAACAGGGUUUUUUGUCAUUGCAAUUGUUGACUGAUUAUCACAAUAGAUGGUAGUUGCCUCCACUUGUGUUUGCUUUAAAUCACCAAGAAUUCUUCGUAUCCAGACAGCUUGACACGCAGCAGUAGUAACAGCCAUAUAUUCAGCCUCCGACGAUGAUAAUGCAGUUGCUGGUUGCUUCUUUGAGCUCCAUGAAACAGCUCCGCUACCCAUAGUAAAAACGUAACCAGUUGUACUCUUGCGAUCUUCAAUGCAACCACCCAAAUCACUAUCUGAAAAACCAUACAGUCUUUGAUUGUUAGAGAAUUUAUACCAUAUUCCAAAUGAGCUUGUCCCCUUCAAAUAGCGCCAGAUUCGCUUGGCAGCUCCAAAGUGAUGCUUGCUUGGACUCUGCAUAUAUCUAGACAAGAGACUUGUUGCUUGCAAAAUAUCAGGUCUACUAUUUGUUAGAUACAACAGACUCCCAAUCAAACUUCGAAACAAUUGACAAUCAAUUUUCUCUCCCCCAUCAUCUAAGCAAAAUUUUUGAUUGGUGCACAUUGGAGUACUCAUGAGAUUGCAGUCCUUCAAGUUGAACUUUUCAAGGAGAUCAUUCACAUAUUUUUCUUGAGACAUAAAAAUACCCUCUGCACAUUGUUUAAUUUCAAGCCCCAGAAAGAAACUUAUCAACCCCAAAUCAGUCAUUUCAAAUUCGUCUGUCAUCAGCUUUUUAAACUCAUUCAACAAAGCACUACUAUUGCUAGUAUAAAUCAAAUCAUCAACAUAAAGGCAAAUAAUGAGAAUUUCAGAAGUACCUCUACUUUUCACAUAUAGAUUUGGCUCACUGGGACUUCUUUGAAAACCAUUAUUGCUGAAAUGUCCAUCAAUUCUUCCAUACCAGGCUCGCGGCGCUUGCUUUAAGCCAUAUAGAGCCUUUUUCAACCUAUACACUUUCUCUUCUUAAUUUGUAAGCUCAUAACCUUUUGGUUGCUGCACAUAUACUUCUUCUUCUAAGAUCCCAUUUAAAAAGGCCGACUUGACAUCGAACUGAUAAAUUUCCCAACUUAAUUGAGCUGCAAUUGACAAAAUAACACGUAUGGUGUCAAAUCUUGCUACCGGAGAGAAAGUUUCUUGGAAAUCUAACCCUUCACGCUGCAUGUACCCUCGUGCUACCAGUCUUGCUUUAUGCUUUUGAAUGGAACCAUCAGCCAGGAAUUUAGUUUUGAAAAUCCAUUUUAACCCAACAGCUUCUUUUCCAUUUGGAAGAUCUACUAAUUCCCACGUCUUGUUCCUUUCCAAGGCUUUCAUUUCAUCAUCCAUUGCAUCUCGCCAUUCCUUGGAUUUGAUUGCUUGUUCAAAGACAAUUGGAUCUUCAAUUUGGGCGAAUUGGCAUUGUUCAGUGCUUGCAUAAAUUUCUGCCAAUGAUCUCCAUUUUCUAGGUGGUGAUUCUGAUAAAGAAGAGCUUGAUGAAGUGGUAUUUGGAAUUACUGAAGGACUGUUUGGUGCUGAUGAGCAAGAACUUCCAUCUUCAUUUUCUUGACUCGGAUGAGUGUCGAGACAUUCACCAACUUCAAGUAAUGCUUUUGAACCUGCUUGUAAUUCUUUCCAAUUCCAAGAGCUUUUCUCAUCAAAAACAACAUCACGACUAAUUAAUAGCUUCUUAGAUAAAGGAUUAUACAAUCGAUAUCCUUUAGUUUCAUAACUAUACCCAACAAAGAUACAUUUAGUGCUAUUAUCAUCUAACUUUCCUCUCUUUUGAGAUGGAAUAUGCCCAAAUGCAAUGCAACCAAAAAUUCUCAUAUGAGUUACCUCAGGUUUCCACCCAUUUCAAGCUUCAAAUGGUGUUUUUUGUUCUAGAGCUGCUGUUGGAGAUCGGUUGAGGAUGUACACUGCUGUGUGAACGGCUUCUGCCCAGAAACUUUUUGGAAGAUUUUUAGCUUUAAGUAAGCAUUUUCCCAUCUCAACAAGACUUCGAUUCUUCCUCUCAGCGACUCCAUUUUGUUGAGGACUGUAGCUUGCUGUUAGCUGGCGUUGAAUGCCAGAUUCUUCACAGAAUUUGUUGAAUUCAGUAGAAAGAAAUUCUCCACCACGAUCUGUCUGCAAGGUCUUUAUAGGCUGGCCACUUUGUUUCUCAAUACUUACUUUAAACUUCUUGAAAACUGAAAGAGCCUCUGAUUUUUCUUUGACAAAGUACACCCAUGUCAUUCUACUAUAGUCAUCAACAAAGACUAAAAAGUACCUGUUGUUAUUGAGAGAAAGUGUUCUCAUCGGCCCGCAAAGAUCAACAUGAAUAAGUUCAGCAAGUUGGGAAGCUCUCCUUGCCUUGCCCUUUGGAAAUGAAUCUCGAUGUUGUUUCCCAAAUAUACAGCUCUCACACACAUCACCAAUAUUUUUUAUUAGAGGUAAACCAUCAACUAAAUUCUUUUCAGACAUGAGUUUUAAACUACCAAAAUUUAAGUGCCCAUAUCUGUGAUGCCACAACCAAUUUUCAUCAAAUGAUUCCGCCUUCAAAGCAAGCUUUUCAUCAAUUGUGAGAUUAUAAGGAAAAAUCUUAUUUUUUGCCAUUGGAACACUCGCUAACAGGUGCUUUUUCGAUUUAUCCUUAAAAAUGCAGCAAUUGAAUUCCUCAAAGACAAGUGAAUACCCAUCCACCAUAAAUUGCCCAACACUUAGCAAAUUAGAAUCCAAGUCUGGAACAUACAAAACAUUAUGAACGCAAUUAAGACCUAGGGAAUUCAUCUGUACCGUACCUUUUCCCUUUGCUACACGAACAGUUCCAUCACCAAGCGUUAUUCGGCUAGUUACUAACUUAUCUAAGUUGCUGAAGAGACUUAAUUCACUCGUCAUAUGAUUGCUACAACCACUAUCUAUGUACCAAACCUCAGGAGAACACUUCUUAGCACUAAAGCAUGCAACGAACAGGCUCUUUGUCUCAUCUUCUUCACUAUCUUCAUGAGCCAAGUUAGCCUGCUUCUCUUUAAGCUUGCAAAACCUCUCAAUGUGCCCGAACCUUUUGCAAUAGUAGCAUUGUUUUGGACUACUAUUUUCUCCUUUAUCGUCAUCUCUAUACCGUUGGUUCUGUCCAUUGAAUCGUCCACCAGCCCUACCUCUUCUUCUCCCACGAGAUGAAUUUCCUCCACGCCAGUCAUUGAAGUUUCUUUCGUUGGUGCCCUUUCCACCACGAGAGUAUUGCGACCUACUAUAAAAGGCAUUCUCAACAGACACAUUAUCAUACCUUUUAAUCCUAUCAUCAUGAGAAUAAAGAGAGCCUUGCAACUCAUCAAUUGUUAACACACUCAAAUCUUUUGAUUCUUCUAUAGCUGCAACAACAUGAUCAUAUUUCCUCGGUAAACUCCUAAGAAUCUUCUCAACUACCCUUUGCUCACUUAAAUCCUCACCAUAUUUUUGAAUUUGAUUCACAACAUCAAUUAUUUUUGACACAUAAUCAUCCAGAACAUCAUCAUCUUCCAUAAUAAAAUUAUCAAACUUCCUACGUAGAGUUUGAAGUUUGACAGUCAUCACCUUUGCAGUACCUUGAUAUGCCGUUCGCAGCGUGUCCCAUGCUUCUUUCGAACGCGUCACCGCUUCAAUGCGAGGAAAAAUUGAUUCAUCUACAGCUUGUUGGAUAAAAAACAAAGCUUUAGCAUCCCUCUUUCUUAUAUCUUUGAGAGUCUCAACUGCUGCCUCCUCUUCAUCGUAUCCAUUUUCCACCAAGUCCCAUAGGUCUUGGGACAAAAACAAAGUCUUCAUCUUAGUGCUCCAAACUCCAUAGUUGCUGCCUUGAAAAAUUGGAACCAACGGUUGUGAGAGGUUCACUCCAUUCUGAUUGCUUGCCAUCAUAAGUUUGAACACAGGCCUCGAGUAGCUCGGAUACCAGAUGUUGAAAAAAAAAGGCUGCUGCUAAAAAAACAGAACAAAGAACUGCAACGGAAGCAAUGGGAAUUUAGAGAAAUUGAUAACAGUGAUGCAAAACACUUUAUUCCAUGAAGAGUUUAAAUACUGAAAUAGCUAACAACUUAGAGAUAUAUUAGGACUCUAAUAGAAUCUUGAUACAUCUCCUAAAUAAAAGGAACACUACUGGAAUUAAAAAAAUAGACUUACAACAGACUUUGACUGACUCAACGUCUAAAUUAUUCAAUCAGUAAAUAAUUUCUACAUUACCCAUUAACAGAGAGGACCUAAGAAAACAUAAUACAUACUACAUAACAUACAAUCAAGCACCCACACAAAAUAUAUAUUAAACUGCUACAGAAAAAGGCCUGCAUACCACCAAGCUACGAAGUUUUCUGUUCUGUUUGCAACUUGUUGACCUCGCCAAAGAGUUGCCUUCUCUACCUUUUUGCAAAUCUUUUUCGAACUCGCUCGACGAUCUUGAUUAACCACCAUGGAUUUCCUGUCGUAAAUGCAAUGUACCCCAUGCUCAUUCCCAGAACCAACCCACAUCCAUACCCCAUCAAUAUAGAAAAUUUCCAAUUCAAUUCAUCACCAUCAACAUCAUCUCUAUCAAAUUUGGCUGGAGUUUCCUCAUCAGUAUCACAGCUUUUUGAUAAUGGUAAACCACAUAAAUCCAGAUUUCCAAUGUAGGAAUCAUUAGUGAAAGUAUCAAAUUGUUUGCCUCGAGGAAUGGGUCCCUUGAGAUUAUUUUGAGAAAGGUUUAACACCUUUAAGAAUCCAAGAUUUUUUAACUCUGUCAGACUUCUUCCUUCGAGUUUGUUUGUUGAGAGAUCUAAUGAUUCAAGCUCUGACUAAUGACCUAAAGAUGAUGGGAUAGGACCUAUUAAACAGUUAUGGGAGAGGUUUAGGACAAUAAGUAAAUGAAGCUCACCAAGUAUUUUUGGAAUUUCUCCUUAGAAUUGAUUACUAGAAAGGUCAAUAAUCGUCCAAAUGGAUAAUAGUGAUUCAAACUCUGUUUCCAACCCUUUUGUUGUAAAAGAUAAAGCAAAAGCAGAAUUCAAUGUCUUUUUACCAAGCAGAUCUUUCAUGUACCCUGGUUCAACUUUCUUUCCAUACCCUUCUCUAAUGGCAUGCAAACGUUCAAAAAAAUUGGUAGGUAAGUAGCCACUGAAGUUAUUGCAAGAAAGAUCAAUGAUACGCAAACGAGUUAAGCAAACUGUAACAUCAAAGCUAUCCACUUGGCCAUAAAAUCUAUUCGACCUCAAGAUAAGAACAUGCAGCCGAUCCAAAUUUCCUAACCAAUUUGGGGAAGUGUCAUUCAAAUUGUUGUUUCCAAGAUCAAGAAGGUUUAAAUCUUUGCAAUUAGCCAAAGAUCGUGGUAGUGACCCUUCUAAUUUAUUGUUGUUGAUGCGAAAACUUUUCAACAUGCAACCACGAAAAUUAUUAUUCCCUAGAUCAAUUUCUAAGAUAGAAGAACUCAAGUUUCCAAGGCACUCUGGAAUCGUUCCAUCCAAAUUAUUCUUAGAUAGAUCGAGACCCGUAAGAGAAGUCAAAUUGCAUAUUGAGGAGGGGAUUUUUCCAAUUAAAUUAUUGUCCAAAACUCCAUACCAUUGCAAUGAAGGUGGUGGUGUUUGAAUUCUGCCUUGGAGAUAAAAUUAGAAUAGAGUUAGAAUUAAGGAUUUGAAGAUUUUUUGGAAUAUAAAAUGCAAAAUAACUACAUAUUUUAUGUAAUACAGGUAUGUUGUGUAUAACCAAUAAAAAUAGUUGGUACUACACUACUUCUAACCAUUUUUAGAUGCAUGAGAACAAUUUUUAAGUUGUAAUCUAUCGAAAGAAUCUACUAAUACAUUCUAAACUAAAUUUUAUUUCCAUUACUUAAAAAUAAAAAGAGAUUUCAUAAAUGUAUACAAAUAUAAAAAUAAAAUAAAAUAAAUUAUACCUAACGGUUUGUUGUAAAAGAGAUAAACAUAUGUAAAAGAAGUCAUGCACUCUAUUUCUUUCUUAUUCAAAAAUAUCAACUAUGGCUGAGCAACAAUUAAUUCAACACGUAAAUAAUAAGGCAACUCUAAAGGGUAGUAGAAAUAGCUACUCACAAGUCUGGUCUGUUUCAAAAGGGUACCAAAUUAAAAUUCUAAUCUUAAAUUAAAUAAAAAAAGUAUCGAAUAAUUAAUGAAAUUUCACCUAAAACAUAUCAUUAAAAUUGUCAAAAUUUAUUAUUAUUAUUUUUUAGCAGACCUUAAUUUCAAUGCGGAUAGGUAUAAGUCUGAAACAUAUAAUAUGUACUCUGUUUCUGUGUAAUCAAACCUAGAACUCAUGUACUCUCUUUCUUUCCUAUUCAAUAAUAUCAACUAUGGCUGAGCAACAAUUAAUCCUAACACAUAAAUAAUAAGGUAAAUUUAAAGGCUAGUUACAAGUCUUGUGUGAUUCAAUAAAUUUUCACUAUUCUGUUUUCGAAAGGUAGCAAAUUAAAAUUCAAAUCUUAAAUUAAUUUAAUGGAAAAUACAAAUUAAAAUUUAAUUCUUUUCUCAUCAUCAAAUAAUUUUACUUUAGAAAAUACAAGUUAAUAGAGGUUAACUUUGUUGACUACGUGUGGAUUGCAACAUUAAUAAUUAAUAAUUUAAAAAUAUUAAAAUUCAAAAAAAAUUACUAAAUAUUUUAAAUUAAAAAUUUUUAAGUAAUUAUUGAUGUGACAUACACGUGAACUUCCACAUGGAUGUCAUGUCAGUAAAGUUAAUAGACGUUAAUUUUUCUAUUCAUUUUGGAAUAAUUUGACAAAAAACAAAAACAAAAAUUAAAUAAAUGACUAAAAUAACUUUUUUAUAAGCUUGAAGGACCAAAUAAGUCAUUAGGUCAAUAUAACAUACGAAACCAAGCCAUUACUACAUGGAUACAUGGAAAAAAAAACAAACAUUUUUGCACAUACAGACAUAUUUUUGAAAAAUUAACUCGGAAACCACGCCACAUGGCAUUCAAAAAAUCAUUAAAUCUUUUGAUCAACCAAUGAAUUUUUUUUUCGCUAAUUUAGGAGACUCAAGUAAAGAACCAAGGAAGUUGUUGAUUACGGUAUAAGAAUUGGAAACCAUCAAUGGUGUUAUUGAUGAGGAGAAAAUGAAUGGAAAUCCAAGAGAAGUGUUGAAUUAUCCCACGUUUUUUUAAAGCCAAAAGUAAGAUAUUUAGGAACUAAAAGUUUAUAAAACUAAUUAAUAUUAUAUAAUAAAAUCUAACCAUAAGGUUAGGUGAGAUAGCAAGGGUCUCUUCUACCUUAAUAAGUGGUUGGGGGUUCAAUCCUCACCUUGAGUAUGGACAAACUUUAAAACUCGUGACCAACAUCUACACCUCAAUGACCUACAAAAAAACAGCAGCAGAAUUAUGGAGAAAGUUAGAAACCUUAUACUUGACAAAGUCUCUUGCUAAUUGUUUGGUGCUAAAGUAGCGGCUAUACACAUUCUGUAUAUAAACUGUAAAAUAAAAAUAGGAGGGUUGCUGAAAGUUGGAUCAAAGUCAAGGAAUCAAGACAAGGUAUGUGAUUACUACAAGAAGUUGGGUCAUAUUAAGGCAGAUUGUUAUAAACUGUAAAACAAAAAUACAUACGAGUUAUAUAUAUACGCUUCUUAAAGAUUUAUACGAGUUAGAUCCAGUCAAGCAUGUCAAAGUAUGUAGAAAUAGUUUUGGUCAACCUGUUGGAUCAGAAGCUUGACUUUUAGCAGGCUAUUGAGGCAUCUUAGCACGAAACGCAAAUAUGUUGCCUAUCAAUUACGAGUCAUAGCAUAAAAUGCCUGAUAGUAACAAAAAUCAAGCUCUCGAAAAUAUUAAGGUAACAAAACAUUAAUGUCAUUUAUAAUACUUGGGUUUAAGUUUCAUUUAUAUUUACUUUCUUAACUUGUAUUUUUUGUAGGCAAAGUUUGCUUUAGAGGUCUCCGAUACUUAUGUAAAGAAGGCAUUAGGGAAAAGAUAGAGAGACCAUAAAAGUACGUUAAAGAAAGAUUAUUUUAAGAUAAAAACAAUCCUCGAAGAGAAAUUGCAAAAUGUCCCGCCGGGAAUGCUGAGGUACCAAUGGGAAGAUGCAGCUAGAUUUUGGAAUUCAAAGAAAGGAGAGGUAUUACGAACUUCUAAACUCUUAUAAUUAUUUCGGUUUAUAGUACCUACUAUAUACAUAGUAACCAAUUUCAUAACGUAGGAUCGUGAACGAGUUGGAAAAAGCAGCAGGCAAAAAUAGAAAUUCACUCACACUGCUAGGUUGAAAAGUUUUGCUCGUGUAGUUGAGGCCGAGGUAUUUUGAAUUUAUUAAUAGUGUCAAAUAUUUAUUAUUUUCCAUUAAAUAAUAUUUUUACUACUAUAUUGUAGGAACUAUCGACCGGUCAAAAAGUUCGACGCCUUCAACUUUUUGACAUUACACAUAGGAAGAAAGAUGGAUCUCCUAUGACUUCUGAAGCUGCAGAAGUUUUGGUAUGUUUACUUAAUAAAAAUACUAUCUUAAAAUAUUUAUAUUGUUUAUUUUCUAAUGUUUUAAUUCAUUGUUUAUAAUGAAAAUAUUGUUAAGUUAUGUUGCAUUUGUUUUUAUAAUAUGUAUUGCGUUCCUAACUAUUUCAUUUAUUUAUUAGGAGAAACUAAAUGAUAAAAAGGCGGAGUACGAAGCCAUUGCUUCAAGUGAUAGUUCUGUUCAUAUUGACGACAUUGAUAAUAGGAUUAUUACUGAAGUUUUGGGUCCUGAAAGGUAUGUUCGGGUUCGAUUUCAAGGAUCAUUUGUUAACCCAACCUAAUAUUUUGGAUCCAGCUCGCACCAAUACAUGCCUUCUGGAGUUAGUCUCAAGUUGAAGUUCAGAGGUUAAGAGAACAGAUGGCUCAGAUGCAAGCGACCACAGUUGAGCAAAUUACUCAACUUAAAGCGGAGGCAGCAUCGAGAGAAGCUGGGGUCCAAAGAAAAUAUGAAGAACUCCAACUCCAACUUAAAGCAGAGGCUACAGCGAGGGAAGCAGCAGCAGCGAGGGAAGCAGAGGCAGUAGCGAGAAAAGCUGAGGUUCAAAGAAAAUAUGAAGAAUUCCAGCUAUAACUUAAAUCUGAUGCAGCAGCGAGAGAAGCAGAGGCUGUAGUGAGGGAAGCAGAGCAAAAGAGAAAGUACGACGACCUCCAACAGCAGCUUCAGAAUAUGAUGAAGAUGUUUCAACAGUCGCAACAUCCGCCACCUUAGACAAUCGUAUAAAUAUUGUUACCAAUUUCACUUUUAACAUUAUUGUAAGAAUAAUAUAAAUUAAAUAUCAUUUAUUAAUAUUUAUAUUAUAUAUCAUUCAUUUAAUUUUAAAUAUUUUUUAGAUUUAUUACUUUUGGUUGGUUUUUAUGCUACAGGACGGCUAAAAAUAUAGAAAAUUUUAUAUUACAAAUCUGCCAAAAUUAGUGGCGUUUUAAAAAAAACGUAGCUAAAAGUCACGACCUAUCGUGGCGUUUGUGGAAAAAGCUCCACUAAAGCUCCAGAGCUCUAGCGGUGUUUGUGGAAAAAGCGCCGCUAAAGGUCCUGAUCUAUAGCGGCGUUUAUGGGAAAAACGCCACUAAAGGUCUUGGUCUAUAGCAGCGUUUGUGAAGAAAGCGUCGCUAAAGGUCCUGAUCUAUAGCGGCGUUUGUGAAGAAAGCGUCGCUAAAGGUCCCAAUUUCACAAACGUCGCUAAAGGUCUUGAUCUAUAGCGACGUUUCUGAGGAAGUGCCACUAAAGGUCCUGAUCUAUAGUGGCAUUUUUGGGGAAAAUGCCGCUAAAGGUCCUGAUCUUUAGUGGUGCUUGUAAAGAAGCGUCACUAAAGGUCCAGACCUUUAGCGGCGUUUAUUUCUAAAAACGCCACAAACGUUUGUGGCGUUGACAUCAACGGCAUUUUUGUGGCGCUUGGAAAAACGCCGCAAAUACUUUUAGCGGCGCUAAAAAGCGUCGUUAAAAGCUUUUUUUGGUGUAGUGAUAGGAGGGUUGCUGAGAGCAACGAGAAAGAAGUAGUUGAUGCUAAUAUGGCUGAAGACGAGGGUAAUGAUUGGUUGUUGGUGCCUACAACCGAAAGGUCUAAGUUUACGUUCGAGUGGCUCUUAGAUUCGAUGUGUUCUUUCCAUAUGUGUCCUAACAAUGACAGAUUUUCCACAUAUAAGUAAGUUGAAGGUGAAGUUGUGAUUAUAAAAAAUAAUUCAUCCUGUAAGAUAACUAAUGUUGGUACCAUUCAGAUUAGGAUGCACAACGGGACAACCAGGGCACUGUCAGAUGUCAAACAUGUUCCUGAUUUAAGGAAGAAUCUCAUCUCCUUUAGUAUGUUGGACUCAAACUGUUGCAGAAUCAUCAUUGAGUCAAGUGACAUUAAGGAACAGUCCAUAUAUCCUUCAAGGUUCAAUUGUGACUAGUGUAGCAGUAAUUUCCUCAACAAUUAUGGAGCCAAAGUUGACUCGACAUUGGUAUAAGAAAUUUGACUCUUUCAGGUUAAGCAUUGGUUUUGAAAUUAAGGGUCUUUUAGUUUUGAAUUUCAAACACCAGUUUGGACUUGGUUAGUAUCCAUCAAAGGUUCAGAUAGGUUGUGGCGGGCUUGAAAAAAGAGGUAUGAGAAAAUACGAGUCAAUGUGGAGAUUUGUGGAGUGUGCCUCGUAUUUAUGAUACGACAUCGUGACAAGGAAGAGACAACGUUCGAACGACGCAACACUUGGCAUCUCAACGAGAAGAAAACGAUGUGACAACGUGUUUCCCAAUUCAAUUGAAUUUCUUCUCCUAAUUAAACUCUGCAAUUUUUUCCUAAUCAAACUCUGAUUAGUCUAGGUUAUUUUAGUCAUAUUUAAUGUACAAAUUUAGCUUAUAAAAGAGGCCUUUGUAACCUAGAAUAAUCACUUCAGAUUAAUCUUCCUCAUCUUUAAGAUUGAAAGAGUUUUGUGAGCUUUUAAGGGAAUUUCAGGUUUUAGCUAGAGUGCUUUAUUUUUCAGGGUUUAGGGUUUCUGUUAAGAUUAUCUCCAUCUUGUACUUUUUCAGUUUUUGCUCAUUAAGUAAAGUCUCUUUUGUCCAUGAUUUUUUGUCCUCUUCAUUGGAGGAAUUUUUUCACGUAGAUAUUUGUAUGUUUGAUCUUCUCAACUUUUAUUUUCUCGUUGUUUAUACAGGUCGAUCCCAAAAAAUACUACUAUGUUAAGAAACUAAAAGAUUGAAAAACUAAAAUAAACUUGUAAUCACUGAAUUUUGUCCGGGACGAAUUUCGUGUUAUUAAAAAAAUGUUGUUUGACCCGACCUGACCCAACUCAACUCAACCCGAUCCGACCCAAACCCGACCCGAAUAGCAGCUCCAGCCCCCAGCAGCAGGCCAACAGCAGGCUAGGCCCACUCAGCAGCCCAAUAAAAAAAAUAGCAGCAGAAAAAAAGGCCAAGCAGCCUAAUCCCGCGAGCCCAAUCCAUAGCAGGCCAGUCCAACAACCAGUCCCAGCAAGCAACAGGCCUGUCCAGUCCAGGCCCAUCUACCCCACUAGCAGUAGCCGGCCCAUCAGCGCCCAGGCCCAGAGGCAGCAGGCCAGAAAAAAGAAAGGAGAAAAAAGGAAAAAAGAAAAAAAAGGGAAAAAAAGGAGAAAAAAUAAAAAAAGGAAGAAAAAAAAGCCCAAGUCGUGUGACUCGUUCAAUCAAGCUCGUAUUUUUGAGCUUUUUGGUAAUCUCUUUUUUUUUACCUAUUUUUAAUUUAAUUCGUGUAUUUGAAUGAUAUUUUUAAUAUUGUUGGUAUAUUUUUUAGGCAUUUUUAUGUUUUGUAAUUUUUUUAAUUUAAUUUAAUUUAAUUUUUAAAAAAUUUUAAUAAAUAAGGCAACAAAUCGAUUUAACCUUAAAUCGUUGUUUUCAUCGCUAUGUUGGGUGAAUAUCAUCGGUUUGUGUUAACUAUGAUACGCCCUUUUAAAAAAUCGAAAAUAUUCAAAAUUUACUCGGGUUUUAAAAUAAAAUGUUUAUUUUUGUGUUUUUUUUUAUUAUGAAAAUUUCAUUUUUAAAUGUACAAUAAUAUGUAAUGUUUCAAAAUUCUCGUGUUUAAAAAAAUUUCUCGUGUUUCAAUCGGAUCACGAUUAAAUAAUUGAAUCGAUUUGACACUAAUUCGUUGAUUUCAUCGCUAUGUUGGGUGAAUAUCAUCGGUUCGUGUUAAAUACGAUACUUCUUUAAAAAAAAUUCGUGUUUAAAAAAUUUUCGUGUUUUCAAAAAAUUUUCAUGUUUUCAAAAAUUUUCGUGUUUCAAAAGUUUUCGAGUUUCAAAAAAAAUUCUUGUGUCUCAAAAAUUUUCGUGUUUUCAAAAAAAAUAUUGUAUUUCAAAAUUCUCAUAUUUUUUUUAAAAAUUCCCGUGUUUCAAUCGGAUUACGAUUAAAUAUUAAAUUUGACUCGUAUUUUUUAAAAUUAAGACAACCCGAGUUUAACGAGAUACCAAUUUUGGGCGUCGCGAGGGUGCUAAUACCUUCCUCGCGCGUAACUGACUCCCGAACCCUAAUUUUCUUUGGAUUUUGAUGUGGACCUAAAUCGACUCUUUUUUUAGAAAAUUUGAAAAAUAAUUUUUCUUUUAAAAAGAGAAUUUAUUAGGUGUCCGAUCACACCCAAAAAAGGAUCGGUGGCGACUCUCUUUUUAAAUAAAAUCGAAACUCUUUUUUCAAAUUUUCAAUAAUUACUUCGACUAGCGCCCGUGCAAAAAAGUUUAGGUCGCUACAAAACUAAAACAAUAUAUUUAAAAAAGAAAAAAGAAAAAAAAAGUUCUACCGCAAUUAGAUCUUUGUGCAAGUUACAAUGAAUGAAAAUAGUUUUAGAUUGGUUUCUCACAAACACUGACUUCUAUUCUUAGCUUUAGAUUGUGUUUACUGUUAUCGCCUACUUCACUAUUUACUCAUCUUUCUUGUUAAGUCAAUCUUUAGGUUUUGAAAAAUAUGAAACAAACAAUAUAUAUAGACAUAUCUUUCUGAAAAUUUUACCACAUAUGGUCACCAUCAAAUAUAAGAACCUAAGAAAAUCAUUACUUUGAUUAAUUCAAGACAAGUACAAAACAACAGUUGUGGAUGGACAAAUAUAUUAAUCAAAGAAAAAUGAUGGAUCAAAAGCCAAGAUAAAGCCAAUUUCUACCAUAAGGUUAAGGUUUGCUGUGGGUAUAAGGCAAAUCAUAAAGAGAGGAAUAACUAAAUUUAAUAAUUUUUAAUCGUUGUUCAAAAUCUUUAAAAUUUUGAUUCCAAUGAUUUAGGCACAACAUCCCUUGCCUCACAAUUUAAGUAAAAAAUAAAAAAAAUAUAAUAUUGUGCUUAAAAGUUUUCAUAAAUAAAGUGGCUCGACUUUCUAUGAAUCAGACUCAAAUUUAAUUAUUGUGCUUAAUUUAAUUGUUAAAAAUUAAAUAUGAUAGAUGUAAGCCCAUGAACACCUCCAAUUUCACUUCAACCAUAAUAUUACCCAACACAAAAUGAAAGCGUAAAAUGCAAGAGUUAGUCAAUAGUGGAACUUAUAAUUAAGGCCCCAACUAGAUAAAAACAGAUUCAAGAUAGCAAUGUGAAUAAAACAGAUUCAAGAUAGCAAUGUGAAUAAAUUAUAGAGUAAGUAUUGCAUGAAACAAUUACAUCACAUUAGCGUAGGCUUUUUGCAAUCAAAUCAUGCUACGUAAUCAUAUUUCUUUAAAAAAUCAGCUAUUUAUUAAUUUAAUCAUUAAUAAAUUGUUGACUUGAACUGUAUCAUUUAAUUAUCACAUGUAAUGUAUAAUUUAAUUUAAUUUAAUUUAAUUUAAUUUAAUUUUCAAGUUAUUCACGAGAGCGAACCAACAAAAUAAUUGAUUAAUUUACUUCCCAACAUUUUACGUUUUCUAGAUGUUUAAGAAAGACCAAGAUUUUAAUAUAUUAAAAGGAAAUUACUACAAUUACCUUUCAACCUAAACUUUAGGUAAUUUUUAUUUUGAUUAUGGAUUGUAUAAAUUUAAUAUAAAAAAGAAAAAGAAAAAGAUGAAAUUAUAUCAGUUAAUUUAUUAUUUGAAAGAUAAAGUUCUUGGAGAGAAAUUAAAUUUUCAAUACUAGAAGGAAUUUCACCUGAAACCUAUAAUUAAACUAAUCAAAAUUUACAAAUAAGUAAAACAAGUUUAAUUGACCUUUCGAGGAUCAUUCUUUAUAUGAAAUUUUAGUACUAAAAGGAUCAAAAUAGUCCAAAAGUUGCCAACAGCAGCAGAAACUUAAAAGGGAAAGGAAGCUAGUUUUUGCCAUAAAGUUGGGUUAAUAUUUUGGUUAUAAGGAAAAACAAUUGAGUUAAUAUUUUUUUAAAGUUAGAUUUAAAUAUUUUGAUUCUAAAGAAAUCCCAAAAUGCAAGACUUAUUAAUUCUCAAAUUCAACAGUACAUCCAAUGGCAAGACAGCAACGCAUUCUUAAAAAAAAAAAAUCCACAAAUAAAGACAUCCAAGGCAAAGUGGCAAACAAGACAUUAAUUACAUACUUUUUUACAUAAAUAUAAUUUUAUUUAGUGUUGCUAGGCAUUAGUUUGUUUUAUAUUAAAUAUCAUACAUGCAAAAUCUAUUUAUAUUAAUUAUUUUACUAACUUAUAAACAGUGAAUCUAAACAAGUUUGACUACAUCAAGUUAAAAAAUUUUAAAAUUUUCAAAUUUGAAUCAAUUUAGGUGAUUUCAUUUAACAUUCAAAUUAUUUAGGUCUGGGUCAUUUAAGUCAUGUAAUUUGUUAUCUAAAUUAUUAAAUAUCUUUUUACCAUUAUUUCUUAUAUUUUUCUCACGUUCAAAGUUGUUGAGUAUCAAAUGCGUCAUUAAUUUUUUUCCUUUCAUCCAAAAGUAUUAUAUUAAGAGAUUAAAUUAUUAUAAGUUAAUUAAUAAUAUAUUAAAAAAUUUAUUAAUAUGCGUGAAAUUUAUAUUUUUAAAAUAUAAAUUUGUUUAAAAUUAAUAUAUAAUCAAUAAUGAAACGUAUAGUUCAAAACUAAUUAAUAACAACACAUGUAAUAAGUAUGAUGUUAAAAUGAAAAAAAAUAGAUUUAAAUUAUUUAUUAAGAUGGUGUCAUCAAUCUUGAGUUAGUGUUGAGUUAACUUGUGACACCAACACAAUAAAACACCUUAAUAAAUAACAUAGAUUUACAAAUCUUAAAUUAAUUUAAUAGAAAUUUUAAUUCUUUUCUUAUCAUCAAAUAAAUUUACUUCAGAAAAUAGAAGUCAAUAGAGGUUAGUUUUAUUGGCUACAAGUGGAUUUGCCACAUCAACAAUUAAUAAUUUUUUUAAAAAAUAAUAAAUUAAAAAAAUAUUACAAUAUUUUUGAAAUACUUUAAUUAGAAAAAUUAUUUAAUUACUGAUGUGAUAUACACGUGAAUUGCCAUAUGGAUGCCAUGUCAUCAAAGUUAACAAGCGUUAACUUUUCUAUUCAUUUUGGGAUAAUUUGAUAAACAACACAAGUUUAAAGGCUAAAAAAGGUAAAAAAAAUUAAAUUAAAUGGAUGACUAAAAUAACAUUUGUGUAAACUUGGUGUAACGCCCCAAAUUUUAUUACGUUUGGAUUGAUAAAAUAUGUCAAAUAUUUUGAUUUGGUUUGGUGGUUAAGUGCCUUGAAUGUCUACUUUGGGUCUUGAGUUUCAUUUCCUUGUUUUGAAAAUUUUUCAUUAAUUUUGGAGUUAUGUCAAACUUGGGCCUUAGGGCUUAUCUUUUGAUUUCGUGAUUUGUUGACAAGGAUGAGUCUACUUGUUUAGUGGCAAUGCUUCAGCUUACCCCUAGGUCUUAUUUUUGAAUUUAGUUGAGUUAGGAUAUUAUUAGAAUAUAUUGAUUUUUAUUCUUAUUAUUUUUUUCUAAAAGAUAUUAUAAAAUUCUCCCAAUUUCUCUCCUUCCCAAACCAUCCUCUACUCCCUCUCUUGUCACAUUUUCUGUUUCUUUUUCCUUCCUUCUUGCUUCUUUUCUUUUAAAAUGUGAGUGACCAAAAUAUAAUGAUCUAAAAUAUUAGUGACUAAAUUUGAAAUUUUUAUAGGUGAGUGACCAUAACAGAAACACGCUAAUAGUUGGGUGACUAAUUCUAGAGUUUACCUAAGAUGGUUAAAGAAAUUAGGGUUAAUUCUACCAAACAUCUUAAACUAUUACUCAGAUCUUAAAUUGGAACCUAGUCUUGUAGACAUUCUAAUUGAAUCCUCAAAGAAUCAAUUUUGUAUCAACCAGGUCCUUCUGUCAAUGUAGCUAUCAAUUUGAAUAUUAAAUAUUAGUUUGGAUAUGAUGUAGAACAUAUCUAGAACCCGUGGAUAAAAUUGUAAAUACGUGUGUAACUAUCGCAUGGAUAACUUGGAUAUCACGUAUCAAGAAACAGUGCCAAUAAAAUUUACAAAUUUUGUUCCUUUUUAAAUAUAUUUUAACACAUUAGAUUCAAGUAGUUUAUGUAGUAAAUGCAAACAUGUUUACAAUUUGAUCUACACCUAUUCUUUUAAAUAUACUAUAGGUUAAAUUUAGAGAUUUUCAUGGGUUGGACUUGGACUUAAGUUUUUAACCUCAGGUCGGCCCGAACCAUUUUACUAUUCAAAAAAUAAAAAAUUAUAAAAAUAAAUUUAUAUUUAUAUAACUUCCUAAUUAAUUUUAAAUAAUUUUAUUAUUUUUAUACCGUGUUUAAGUCUCAUUCACCGUUAAUCAAUCAUAACAUGACAUAUCAUCAUUAAAUUAAACCAAAAAUUAUGAAGGACUUCUGCCCCAACGGUGCAUCAAAUAUUUUCCUUAAAAAACUGUAUAAAUUCAAUUUUAUACGAGUAAUCCUAUUAUAAGCAUAUGUAAUUUGUUAAAAGAGUUGCUGAAAAUUUUUGAAAUUAAUUUUAAAAAUGGUUUUUGAAUAUAUUUAUCCAAUUAAAUACAUAAAGAUACAUGAAUAUAAUCAUAUCUAUAAUUUCACAAAAAAAAGAAUUACAUUAAUCUAAACCAAGUCAUUUUUUUAUAGAUUCAAUUCCAAAUCUCUCAUAUAAUAAAUCAACCUCAAAAAAUAUAUAUUCGAUAAAUCUAAUUCAAGAUAAAAAUAAAAACCACAUGUAUUUAGCAAUUAAAACCAUGUUUCAAAUUCAAUCCAAAAGUAUUGAAGAUAUAAUUUUGCAUUAUUUUACCUCCCUUAAUUCUUGACAAACUCUUUGGAACAAAUUAACCAUUCUUGGAGUAUCUAUUUCUUAUUGUUAGAAUUAAGUGACCUGAAAUUUUUUUUAAAUAAAAUACAGUGGUAAAAUAAAAUAAAAGUAAAAUCCAUAUAGAACUAUACUUCUUUUAUUUUAUUUUAGAAUAAGGUUUUUUAAACCUUAUUAAACUCCAUCUAUUUGAUAUUGAUUAGAAUAAGGUGUUUUAAUCUUACUACAUUCCUAUUAGAAUAUGGUUUUACAAGCCUAUAAAUAGACAUAGUCUACUCCUCUUGUAAUCAUUUGAAUUUGACAUAUGACUUUUCUUCUCCUCUGCCCGUGGUUUUUUCCUGAAAUGGUUUCUACAUAAAAAUCUAUGUGUUCUUUAUUUUUCUUUCUUUUUUCUUUGCGAUAUAUUGUCAUUAUCGAUAUUCUAUUUUUUACAAAUUGGUAUCAAAGCUUCCGGAUUUUUCAUCUCAAUCAAGGUAUGGCGUUUUUGAAGUAUGAAACUCCGCUGUUGGAACUCAACACCAGAUUCGCAUUCUAGCAGAUAAAGAUGCAGACAGUUCUUGCAUAGAUUGACUUAGAGGAAGCCCUGCUAAGGGUAGAUAAGAUGCCUUUGACAUUGACGGAGGAAGAGAAGAAGCGCAAGGGUCGAAAGGCAUUGACACAGUUACAUCUACAUUUUUCUAACGAAAUUUUGCAGGAUGUGAUUAAGGAGAACAAUACCGCUAGAUUAUGGAAGAGGCUAGAACAAGUAUGUAUGUUAAAAACUCUAACCAGCAAACUGCAUAUGAAGCAGCGUCUUUAUGCUCAUCGUUUGGAGGAAGGUGCGUCUGUGCACGAACACUUAACAAUGUUUAAAGAAAUUCUCUCAAACUUGGAAGUGGUAGAGGUUUAGUAUGAUAAGGAAGAUCUAGGGUUGAUUCUACUUUGUUCGUUUCCCCCGUCUUAUUCAACCUUUAGAGACACAAUUUUAUAUAGCCGCGAGUCUCUCAUAGAUGAUGAGGUUUAUGAUUCUUUGACCUCGUAUGAUAAGAUAAAGCAUCUUAUGGUUAAAUUUGACUCUCAUGGAGAGGGUCUCAUUGUUCGUGAGAGAUAAGAUCAGAAUGCUGAUGAUGAUCAUGGAAUGACACAAGAACAAAAUCCUCACGGUAAAUCUAAGGGUAGAUAGAAGUCUUCAAACAUAGGUAAAACUUGUAACUUUUACAAGAAAAAAGGGCACAUUAAAUCUGAGUGUUAUAAGCCACAGAACAAGAUCAAAAGGGUGGCUGCAAAUAAAAUAGGAAAACAACUAGAAAAUUUUGGUGAAGCUGAUGUUGUAGAAGACUACAACGAUGGUGAACUUCUUGUCGCUUUUGUCAACAAUUCUAAAGUGAGUGAAGAGUGGAUCCUUGAUUCAGGUUGCACUUUCUAUAUGAGUCCCAAUUGAUAUUGGUUUACAACUUAUGAAAUAGUGUCUAAAGGUGUUGUUUUGAUGGGAAAUAAUGCUUCGUGUAAAAUCAAAGGUGUUGGAACAAUUAAAGUUAAGAUGUUUGAUGGAGUUGUCAGAACACUUAGUAACGUACGACAUGUUCUAGAAUCGAAGAGAAAUUUAAUUUCGUUGAGUACUCUUGAUUCAAAACAGAACAAAUACACAACUGGAAGUGGGGUUUUGAAUAUUUCUAAAGAUUCUCUCAUUGUGAUGAAAGGACAGAGAAAGAUUGUCAAGUUAUAUGCUUUGCAGGAUUCUACUGUUACUGGUGAUGCAGCUGUCGCAUCCUCUUCCUUGUCAGAUGAUGCUAUUACUAAACUUUGGCAUAUGCGCCUAGGGCAUAUGAGUGAGAAUGACAUGGCAGAAUUGAGCAAAAAGGACUUUUUCAUGGGCAAAGAAUUUGUAAACUGAAGUUUUGUGAGCACUGCAUUUUUGUGAAGCAAAAGAGAGUUCAAUUCACUAGAGGAAUCCAUAACAUGAAAGGAAUGUUGGAGUAUAUUCAUUUUGAUCUAUGGAGGCCAUCUAGAGUGCCUUCGAGAGGUAGAGCUAAUUAUAUGCUAACUUUUAUUGAUGAUUUUUCCAAAAAACUGUGAUUGAAUAAAAAACGGGAAAGCAAAUAAAAUACCUUCAUACAGACAACGACUUAGAGUUAUGUUUUGAUGAGUUUAAUAAACUAUGCAUGUCAUAAGGGAUCGUGAGACACUUGACAGUUCGUCAUACUCAGCAAAACAGUGUUGCAGAACAAAUAAACAGAAUGAUCAUGGAGAAGGUUCGAUAUAUGCUAUCAAAUGCCAACUUACUUAAGUCAUUUUGGGCCAAAGCAGCUUCUACUGCAUGUUUUUUGAUCAAUCGAUCUCCAUCUGUUGCCAUUGAGAAAAAUACUCCACAAGAGAUAUGGUCUGCUAAUUCUGCCGACCAUUCUGAUUUAAAGAUUUUUGGGUGUCUUGCGUAUGCUCAUGUUAAUAAUGAAAAAUUGGAACCGGGAUCCAUUAAAUGUGUUUUUCUUGGUUAUAAAGCUGGUGUAAAAGGGUAUAAGUUAUGGUGUCCUGAAAAUAGAAAAGUUGUGAUUAGCAGAGAUGUUUUUGGUGAAAUUGCUAUGCUACCUAACUUAUCUCUUAAAGACUCUUCCAAUAAAAAAAAUCAAAAGCUGAUGGAGCAUCAAAUUAAUUUAAAAUCUACAACAGAGUUGACUCCUCAAACCAGUACAAAAAUCUAGAAUAGAGUUGUUUCUUCACCACAGUACUCUACCGCCAAAAACAAAACUAGAAGAGAAAUUAAACCUCCAAAGAAGUAAGUCGAGGCUGAUCUAGUUGCUUAUGCUUUAAAUGUGGCUGAAAAUAUAGAUGCAAACCAAGAGCCAUCUAAUUAUUUUGAGGUGAUUAGCUGCGAAGACUCAGAAAAGUGGAUGUUUUCUAUGCAAGAGGAGAUGAAAUCACUCCACAAAAACAAAACAUGGGAUCUUGUGAAACUUCCUAAAGGUAAAAAGGUUGUUCGUUGUAAAUGAGUGCUAAAAAAGAAAGAAGGGACUCUAGGAGUUGAAGACCCCAGAUAUAAAGCAAUGCUUGUUGCAAAGGGUUACAGUCAAAUUCUAAAAGUGGACUUCACAGAUGUGUUCUCCCUAGUUGUGAAGCAUAGUUCAGUUCAAGCUUUGCUUGGUAUUGUGGUCAUGUAUGAUUUGGAGCUUGAGCAGUUAGAUGUAAAAACUGUAUUUUUGCAUGGAGAACUUGGGAAGGUUAUUUGCAUGCAACAACUAGAGGGUUUUACAGUCUCAGAAAAAAAGGACUAUGUUUGUGGAAACACGAAAAUUUAUGUGUUUUUACAUGCCCUUUUUAACUUAAAAUCAUGAUAUUUCGGUUAAAUUCUUGUCAAAAAAUAAUUAAUAAUUAAAUUAUGUUUAAAAUAUGAACAUGAUGUAUUUUAAUUAAUUUUAUAGUUAAUUUUGAUUAUUUUUUUACUAUUUUCGACAGAUUCGCACAGAGGGCGAAAAUUGGCUUGGCAGACAAUGCUCGAAGAAUAAAAUCGAGAAGCAAUUUGAAGCAUCGAGAAAAAUUUAUUUCCAACCUAAGAUGGUCUAAAAAUGUGUGUUAAUUCAUAAUAUAAUUAAUUUUAAUUUAUUUCCAAUUUAAUUUGGGCUAAAUAAAUUAUUAUUAUUAAUUAAUUAUGGAAAAAAUGGUCUAAUUGAACCGCAUUGGUUGAACCACAUCUAGUGAACCGAACCAGCCACCAAUUGGGCUGCCCAGAACCAUCCAUAUGCUGACCCAAAUCAGCAUUUUAGCUGACUAAAUAAGCUUGCAAAGAAGCCCUUGAAGAACUUUCAACCUUGCAUUCAAUCCCCUCCAAAAAAUGUGGCUUUAUGGAUUUGCCCCAGGCUAUUUUUAGCAAAGUUGAAUCUCUCAACUUUGCCAUGUGUGUGGCCGGCCAAGGGGGGUCUCUUCGGCUGAUCGAAUUUUCUAUUUUUACCAUCCACAAUCAGCUAUAAAAGCCACCCCUUGCUGAUCAUUCAACUCAUCCCUCACACUCUCAUUCUCUCUUCUCCUCUCUUACUUUCUCUCAACUUUUCUUUUCCAUUUCCCCCUUUUUUUUCAAGUGCCGAUUUCUUCUCUUGGGAAAGAGGUCCUCAUCAGCCAUUGUUGAGUAGAAAUUAAAGUAUUCAUAAGCCACAUUGAUAGCUGAGGACAACAAAGAACGAAGAACGGACCAAUCAGUCAAGCCACGGAGAAACACCAGAUUUGCUUCUUGUUCCCUAUCUCUUUAAAUUCUGUUGUUGUUUUGACAAACAUGUUUAUGAAUAUUUAUUCUAUUCAAAUGGUUAUUUUAAUCAAUUUAUCUUGAAUUUAAUCCGUGUUGGGUUGAUUAUAUUUUGUCUUAUUGAAUUAUUGAAAUUGUGUUUGUGUUGUUAUAGGCCUCGGUAAGAUGCUUGAUUAAGUAAAAUAAUGCCUAAGUUAUUCUUGCAAUAUUAAUUGUUAAAUAACUGAUGAAUUAAAUAUUAAAUCGUAUUGAAAUUGUAAUUAAUCAACACAAUACUUAAUCAGUGCAUGUUUAUUCUUCUAAGGUAGUUGAAGUUAAUAUAGCAUUGUAUUUGGCGACACAUAUGCCUUGCAUAACUUGCAAGAUUGUUGUGAUUAAACUGUUUCAAGGUAGAAAUACUCUGUUACCUCACUUGAUCUUUUAUAUGCUUGUGAAGAUUGAUUAAUUGCUUAGAUUGACAUUGAAAAAUGUUCAAGAGAUUGAUUAAUUUAAUAAGUAUGUAUGAGCAGUAGUUAGCAAAUUAUCGAGUUUCCGUGAAUUUGUCGUAGCAAUAUAAACAUAAGUUUAAUAAUUCUAAGUUAAAGGAAUGUAAUUAAUCCAACACAAUUGUAUCAUCUUAAUUAAACCUUAUUUGAAAUCGUGCAUUAGAACCUUUUGAUUUUUAAAUUUUUUUACUUAGUUUUUAACCCUUAGUUUUUAAUCAUCUUUAAACUAAAAUAUUUUCCAUCACCAAAGUGUUUUAACAUUAAUUUCAUAAAUAUUCCUUUGUACAGUCCCUGUGGGUGUGUACGAUAACUCGACAUUUACUUGUCAAUUUAUUACUUGUUGCAGUUAUGUACACUUGCACAUUUUUGUCGUUCCAGUUUGCUGCUGAAAAAGUCCCUUUACGGUUUGAAAUAGUUACCAAGAUAGUGGUACAAUAUGUUUGAUUCUUUUAUGACUUCUCAAGAUUUCAAAAGAAGUAGCUUUGAUAGUUGUGUUUACUUUAACAAAAACAAUUACGGUUCUUUUGUGUAUCUACUCCUUUAUGUUGAUGACAUGUUGAUAAUAGCAAAAGAUAAAGGAGAGAUAAUAAACAUCAAAGGCCAACUAAGUGAAGAAUUUGAGAUGAAAUAUUUGAGACUAACAAAGAAGAUACUUGCUAUGGAGAUUCUAAAAGAUAGAAAAUCAAGUAAAUUGUACCUAAGUCAGAAGGCGUACAUUGAGAAAAUUCUUUGCAGGUUCAAUAUGCAGAGUGCUAAGCCUGUUAGUACUCCUUUAGUAGCCCAUUACAGACUUUCAUAAACUUUGUCUCCACAAUCAGAUGAUGAGAUUGAGUCUCCACAAUCAGAUGAUGAGAUUGAGUACAUGUCACAUGUUCCAUACUCUAGUGCAGUGGGAUCUCUCAUGUAUGUCAUGGUUUGUUCACAUUCAGAUUUAUCAUAUGCAAUCAGUGCAGUUAAUAGAUACAUGGCGAAUCUCGGUAAAGAACAUUAGAAAGCAAUUUAGUGGAUUUUAAGAUACUUAUGAGGUACUACUGAUGUUUGCUUACAAUUUGGAAGAACUCGAGAUGGAGUCAAUGGGUAUGUUGAUGUUGAUUUUCUGGAGACCUUGAUAGAAGAAGAUCUCUCAUAGGUUAUGUCUUUACAAUUGGAGGUUGUGCAAUCAGUUGGAAAGCCAAUUUGCAAACUACAGUUGCUUUGUCUACCACUAAAGUUGAGUACAUGGCGAUUACUGUGGCUUGUAAAGAAGUUAUUUGGUUGAAGGGACUCUUUAAUGAACUCAGUGACAGCCUUUAAAUCAGUACAAUAUUUUGUAACAGUCAGAGUGUCAUCUUCCUUACAAAAGAUCAAAUGUUUCAUGAGAGAACAAAACACAUUGAUGUUCGGUAUCAUUUUGUUCGUGAUAUUAUUGCUCGUGGUGAUAUAGUUGUGAACACAAUUAAUACUCAUGAAAAUCCUGCAGAUAUGAUGACUAAGUCACUUCCUAUAACCAAGUUUGAGCAUUGCUUAGACAUGGUUGGUGUUCAUUGUUGAAGUUAAACCCUUAAGGGGUUUUAUGGAAGAGGUAGAGAACUUGUUUCUUGAGAGUUCACAAUAAAGAACUUGUUCAUUGAGAAUUUGUGUCAAGGUGGAGAUUGUUAGAAUUAAGUAACCCGAAUCCUUAUUUAAAUAAAAUACAGUGGUAAAAUAAAAUAAAAGUAAAAUCCAUAUAGAACUACACUUCUUUUAUUUUAUUUUAGAAUAAGGUUUUUUAAACCUUAUUAAACUCCAUCUAUUUGAUAUUGAUUAGAAUAAGGUGUUUCAAUCUUGCUACACUUCUAUUAGAAUAUGGUUUUACAAGCCUAUAAAUAGACAUAGUUUACUUCUCUUGUAAUCAUUCGAAUUCGACAUAGUGACUUUUCUUCUCCUCUGCCUGUGGUUUUUUUUCGAAAGGAUUUCCACGUAAAAAUCUGUGUGUUCUUUAUUUUUCUUUCUAUUUUCUUUGCGAUAUAUUGUCAUUACCGACAUUCUAUUUUUUACACUUAUUGAAAUUUUUGAAUUUUCUUUUUCCCUUUUUUAUUAUGCCAUAUCAAUUUUAUUAAAAAGAUAAAAAGACAGUCUUUACAAACUAAUGCAGCUAGAAAAAACACAUAAGGAAACAUUGCCAUGAGAGAGGACCUAAGAAAACAUAAUACAUACUACAUAAAAAAAUAAAGCACACAGACAAAAGAUUUAUUAAACAGCUACAGAAAAAAGUUUGCAUACCACCAAGCAAUGAAGUUUUCUGUUCUGUUUACAACUUGUUGAACUCGCUGAAGAGUUGGACUCUCUACCAUUUUGCAAAUCUCUGUCGAACUCGCUCGAUGAUCCUAAUCAAGCACCAUGGUUUUCCAGUCGUGAAUACAAUGUAUGCCAUGCUCAUUCCCAGCACCAACCCACUUCCAUACCCCAUCAAUAUUGAAAAUUUCCAAUUCAACUCAUCACCAUCCUCAUCACCAUCUCUAUCAAAUUUGGUUGGAUUUUCCUUAUCAGUAUCACAGCUUUUUGAUAAUGGCAAACCACAUAAAUCCAGAUUUCCCAUGUAGGAAUCAUUAGUGAAAGUAUCAAAUUGUUUGCCUUGAGGAAUGGGUCCCUUGAGAUUAUUUUGAGAAUGGUUUAACACCUCUAAGAAUCCAAGAUUUUUUAACUGUGUUGGAAUUCUUCCUUCGAGUUUGUUUGAUGAGAGAUCUAAUGAUUCAAGCUCUGACAAAUCACCUAAAGAUGAUGGGAUAGGACCUAUUAAACAGUUAUGGGAGAGGUUAAGGACAAUAAGUAAAUGAAGCUCACCAAGUAUUUUUGGAAUUUCUCCCCUGAAUUGAUUACUAGAAAGGUCAAUAACCGUCCAAAUGGAUAAUAGUGAUUCAAACUUUGUUUCCAACCCUUUUUCUGUAAAAGAUAAAUCACUACCAUAAUUCACUAUAACUUGACCAAAUUUGUCUUUCAUGUACUCUGGUUCAAUUUUCUUUCCAUACCCUUCUCUAAUGGCAUGCAAAUGUUCAAAAAAAAGGGUAGGUAAGUAGCCACUAAAGUUAUUGUGAGAAAGAUCAAUGAUACGCAAAUGAGUUAAAGAAACUAUAACAUCAAAGCUAUCCACUUGACCAUAAAAUCCAUUCGACCUCAAGAUAAGAACAUGCAGCCGGUCCAAAUUUCCUAACCAAUUUGGGAAAGUGUCAUUCAAAUUGUUGUUUCCAGCAUUAAGAAGGUUUAAAUCAUUGCAAUUAGCCAAAGAUCGUGGUAGUGACCCUUCUAAUUUAUUGUUGUUGAUGCGAAAACUUUUCAACAUGCAACCUUUAGCAAAAUUUUCUGGUAUUUGACCAUGAAAAUUAUUAUUCCCUAGAUCAAUUUCUAAGAGAGAAGAACUCAAGUUUCCAAUGCACUCUGGAAUUGUUCCAUCCAAAUUAUUCUUAGAUAGAUCGAGACCCAUAAGAGAAGUCAAAUUGCAUACUGAGGAAGGGAUUUCUCCAAUUAAAUUAUUGUUCGAAACUCCAUACCAUUGCAAUGAAGGUGGUGGUGUUGGCAUUCGGCCAUGGAAAUAAAAUUGGAAUAGAGUUAGAAUUAAGGGUUUGAAGAUUCUUUGAAACAAAAAAUGCAAAAUAAGUACAUGUAUCAUGUGUAUAACCAAUAAAAAUAAUUGGUUAAAUUACAACAGUACUUCUAACAAUUUUUAGAUGCACGAGAACAAUUUUUAAGUUGUAAUCUAUCUAAAGAAACUACUACUACGUUCUAAAGAAAUUUUUAUUUCCAUUACUUAAAAUUAAAAAGAGAUUGCAUAAAUGUAUAAAAAAUAUAUAAAAGAAAAACAAAAGACGAAUUACCUCUCAAUUUGUUAUAAAAGAGAUAAACAUAUGUAAAUGAAAUCAAUUUUCAAUAACUUGAGGAAUUUUAUAUAUCUUUUGUUUUUCUUUUAAUAUCUUACUUAUUUUUCAUAGUUUAUGUUUAGAGUUCACUGCUCUUCCCUUAAGAGUGUAAUAUAUCUUGCCACUGCACCAAAUGCUUAUUGGUGUAGUAUUUAUUAUAGCUAUAAAUAGUUUUAACUAUUUUUUUAUUAAACUCUAAGUUAUAGCUCAAAUCAUAAAGCAAAUUAGUUGAUAUAAUGUAUAGUGUUUUUUAUCACUAUAAUUUAUGUUAAAUUUUGUUGAGUUUAAUAUUCAAAAUACCAUAUUUGAUAUAUAUUGAAUUUAAUUAAUUUGUAAUUCAAAUUAAUAUUUUUAUUAUAUCAAUAUUCCUACAUUUUUCUAAUUUCAGAGUAGUUAAAGGAUACAUUUUUUUAAGCUAAAAGUAUUAUAUGCAGAAGUUACAAGAUUAUAAAGCUAAUUAGUAAUAUAUAGCAAAAUUCUAUUACAACUAGUAGAGACUGCAUAACUGUAACAACACAAAAGAGAAUAAAGAUGAUAUUAUACCUGUUUAGUUAUUACUUUGAAGACCGCUGUACACGAGGGAAGUAAGACUUCCAAAAAUGGAUGGAAUUUCACCUAAAACAUAUAAUUAAAAUGGUCAACAUUUAUUUAUCUUUUUUUUUUUUGUAACAGACCUUAAUUUCAAUGCGGAUAGGUAUACGUCUCUCUGUUUCUCUGUAAUUAAACCUAGAACUCUAUUUCUUUCCUAUUCAAUAAUAUCAACUAUGGCUAGUUACAAGUCUUGUGUGAUUCAAUAAAUUUUCAAUACUGUUUUCGAAAGGUAGCAAAUUAAAAUUCAAAUCUUAAAUUAAUUUAAUGGAAAAUUUAAUUAAGGCCCCAACUACAUAAAAACAGAUUCAAGAUAGCAAUGUGAAUAAAUUAUAGAGUAAGUAUUGCAUGAAACAAUUACAUCACAUUUGCAUAGGCUUUUUUUCAAUCCACGAAAUCAUAUUUCUUAAAAAAUCAACUAUUUAUUAAUUUAAUCAUUAAUGAAUUGUUGAAUUAAAUUGUAUCAUUUAAUUAUAACAUGUAAUGUAUAAUUUAAUUUUUACGUUUUUUAUUUUUCAAGAUAUUCAUGAGAGCGAUCGAGCCAACAAAAUGAUUGGUUAAUUUACUUUCCAACAUUUUGCGUUUUCUAGAUGUUUAAGAAAGACCAAGAUUUUAAUAUAUUAAAAGGAAACUUUAGGUAAUUUUUAUUUUGAUAUAUUGAAAGGAAACUGCUACAAUUACCUUUCAACCUAAACUUUAGGUAAUUUUUAUUUUGAUUAUGGAUUGUAUAAAUUUAAUAUAAAAAGGGAAAAAGAAAAAUAUGAAAUUAUACCUGUUAAUUUAUUAUUAGAAAGAUAAAACUCUUGGAGAAAAGUUAAAUUUUCAAUACCAAAAGGAAUUUCACCUGAAACAUAUAAUUAAAUGAAUCAAAAUUUACAAAUAAGUAAAACAAGUUUAAUUGACAUUUCGGGGAUCAUUAUUUAUAUGAAAUUUUAGUACUAAAAGGAACAAAAUAGUCCAAAAAUUGCAAACAGAAGCAGAAAUUAAAAGGGAGAGGAAGCUAGUUUUUGUCAUAAAGUUGGGUUAAUAUUUUGAUUCUAAGGAAAAAUAAUUGAGUUAAUAUUUUUCUAAAGUUAGCUUUAAAUAUUUUGAUUCUAAAGAAAUCCCAAAAUGCAAGACUUAAUUCUCAAAUUCAACAGUACAUCCAAUGGCAAGACAGCAACGCAUUCUCAAAAGAAAAUCCACAAAUAAAGACAUGUGAGGAGGGCCAAGGCAAAGUGGCAAACAAGACAUUAAUUACAUACUUUUUUACAUAAAUAUAAUUUUAUUUAGUGUUGCUAGGCAUUAGUUUGUUUUAUAUUAAAUAUCAUACAUGCAAAAUCUAUUUAUAUUAAUUAUUUUACUAACUUAUAAACAGUGAAUCCAAACAAGUUUGACUACAUCAAGUUAAAAAAAUUUAAAAAUUUCAAAUUUGAAUCAAUUUAGGUGAUUUCAUUUAACAUUCAAAUUAUUUAGGUCUGGGUCAUUUAAGUCAUGUAAUUUGUUAUAUAAAUUAUUAAAUAUCUUUUUACCAUCAUUUCUUACAUUUUUCUCACGUUAAAAAUUGUUGAGUAUCAAAUGCAUCAUUAAUUUUUCUCCUUUCAUCCAAAAGGAUUAUAUUAAGAGAUUAAAUUAUUGUAAGCUAAUUAAUAAUAUAUUAAAAAUUGUAUUUAUAUGCGUGAAAUUUAUAAUUUUAAAAUAAUAUACAAUAAAUAAUGAAACGUAUAGCUCAAAACUAAUUAAUAAUAACACAUGUAAUAUGUAUGAUGUUAAAAUGAAAAAAAUAGAUUUAAAUUGUUUAUUAAGAUGUUGUCAUCAAUCUUGAGUUAGUGUUGAGUUAACCUGUGAGAUGAACACAGUAAAACACUUAAUAAAUAAUAUAAAUAUACAAUUGAUGGAAGUAAUAAAAUGCGCAUAAUAAAAAUUGAAAUGUCUAAAAACAUUAAAAUAAAGUUCUAGAUGAGUGGUUAAUUAAAAAUUUUACUAAUACAAGUGGUACGAGUUCAAAUCCCACAAUAGGUAUAUUUUUAUUGUUUUUUAAAUUAAAAAGCUAAAUUACCUUUGGAUAAUAUAACUUAUUUUAAUAAUGGAAGGGUGUUUCCAUAAUUUUUUCUAACUAGAGGUGGUGACCCGGUUGAGAGUGACCCCAAUUCAGUAAAGCACUUAAUAAAUAAUACGGAUUGAAUAAAUAUAAAAAAAUGAGAAGAAAAUGAUAUCUUUGCAUCAAUGUUUUCGGAAGUAGUCAAAAUUUCCAUAAUUGAUAGAAUAAAUAUAUAAUCAUGUUUAGGUUGGUGGUAGAAUUAUGUUAUCUUUUGCAUUUGGAAUUUAGGCAAUUUUGGUUGGUCUGUAAUCAGAGCAAUAACUCAUAAUACCCUAACUUAGCUAAUUUGUGAUCCAAGGCAAAUCUUAACAUCUUCUAAGGUUUAAUGUAGAGGGUGGAUGUGAAAUGCCCAAACACAGUUCAACUUCAGCAAUUCAAAUAGUUUUGGAUGUUUUUAGAAAAAAAAUUGUAAACUCAAGGUGAAAAUUUAUGAUUUUUUUAGUUGUGUUGUGACUUGUGAUUAGUUCCUUUAGUUAAGCACAUUAUUGAAGUAUGACAAACUUACCUGAAAGUUGACAUCCUCUUAAAUCAAGAUAAUAUAAUUGAGGAAGGCGAUCAAACAUAUUUGACAAGAGAUGACCAAAGAGAUUGUUGUCUGCCAAUGCAAUUAGUUGCAAUGAAGAAAUGUUGAAGAUUGAGUAAGGAAUAACACCUGCAAGAAAUUAGAUCAAUCAUUUCUUGGCAUAAAGAAGGUAUUAAACUAUGUAAAAUUCACAUGUGGAAGAUUUAUUAUUUGAUGUCAUCUGAUCCAAUCUGUUAAAAAAAUUGUAAAUUUAGGGUGAAAUUUUAUAAUUUUUCUUCACGCACUUAAGUCCUAAUAGCUAAAAGUAUCAAAUGUGUAAUCAAUUUGCUUUUCUGUAUUACUAUAUUAAGAAACUAAAACUUAACAACAUAAAAAAAUAAAGGUUCUAAGGUACUUGCCUCUGUCAUUUUUAGAAUUUUAUUAAAGCAGCAGAACGGUCAUUUAGCUUAUCAUAAAAGUCAUGAUGUUCUGUCCAAGUGAUUAUUACCCAAAUAUAAAUAUUAUAACUUUCCUAUGUCCAAACAAGUGAAGGAAAAGGUACUCGAACAUAUUCCACCGUAGAUGAGCAAGGGUUAUCAAAUAUUCUUGAUAAUAGACGGCUAGUUCUAAGAUAAUUGCAUGUUUUGAUCCCUAAACCUUGGGUUAUUUACAAGUUGGUCCCUAGUGCUCAACUAGAAAUAGGCCUAACCAUUUCAUCAUUCAAAAUAUCUAAAAUUUGGUCACUUUCUUUGUAAGACAAUUUCUCUCUCUCCCUAUUUGUAGUUUUUACUUGUACUGUUUGAAAUGAAAUAUAUUUAGUAGUGUCUAAGGACAUAAGUAUAGUUUGCCAAACCUCGUUAAAAAUCUAGUAUUCUUUAUUGUGUUUUUUGUUUCUUUCAAUAUUUUGUGGGUACAAUUAUAGUGAUAUAUUGUCCUAUUAAAUUACAUUAGAGAGAGAUUCUUUCUAGAAGAUCGAGUUUUAAGCGGAACUGUCUGUGAUCCCUUUAAUCUUUCUUAAGAAUUUAAUUUAAUGUGGUUUUCGAGUACAAUAAUUCACUUUUUUUACCCUAUUCGCACAACAUAAAAAUAUAUUCAAAAUAAAAUAAAAAAAACAUGAAACUUGAAAGAGAAUUAUUAUCCAAAUAUUCAAGCAUGGUGCUAGUGAGAUCCAUUUGAGUUUAAUAUUCAAUUUAUUAUGUUUAUUGGGUCUUUGCAUUUAAGUAAUCUGCAAUGCAAAUUAUUAUACCAAUAUUUCCUACAUUGUUAUAACGUUAAACUAGUUAAAAUAUCAAAUGUAUCAUUAGUUUUUUAAACCAAAAUUAUUAUAUUAAGAAACUAAAGGAUUGUAAGCUAAUUAAUAAUAAAACGAUAUUACAUAUUUACCUGUUAAACUGUUAUUACAAAGAUCAAUGAACUUGAGAAAAACCAGGUUUCCGAUACUCAUUGAAAUUUUACCUGAAACAUAUAAUUAAAUUCAUCAAAAAAACUUACUAGAAAAACUCAUGUACUAUGUUUCUCUAUAAUCAAAGCUAGAACUCAUGUACUAUGUUUAUGUAAUCUACUGGAUGGUUUUCUUAAGGGUAAAAUUACGUAAUUUGAUGUAAUUGUUUCAUACAUAAUCCUUUCUUAUUAAUUAUAUUUGUGACAAACAUUCGGAUUAUCUAUAUAGUCAACAAAAUGAUUGGUUAAUUUUUUUCACAACAUGUAUUUUCUUAACUCUAAGAUUUUUAUCUAUUAAAAGAAAACAACUACAAUUACCUUAUAACGAAAACUUGAGGUAACUUUUAAGUUAAUUAUGAAAUGUAUAAAUUUAAUAAUAAUAAAAAAGAAAUGAAAGAUGAAAUUGUACUUGAUAAUUUGUUAUUGACAAGAUAAAAUGUUUGGAGAGAAGUCAAAUUUUCAUUAAUGGAAAAUUUUCACAUGAAAUAUAUAAUUAAAUUAAUUGAAAUUUACAAAGAAAUAAAACAAGUCUAAUAGACGUUUCGAGCAUAAUGAAUUAUACGAGAUUUUAGUGUUACAUUGUAAACAACAGCAUAAACUUAAAAAAAGGAGAGGAAACUAGUUUUUGCCAUAAAGGGGUUAAUAUUUUUAUUCUAAGGAAAGGAUAUAAGACAAAUCAUACUGAGAGAGACAACUGAGUUAAUAUUUUUCUAAUGUCAGCUUAAUAUUCUUUAACUAUUUUCUUUUUAUUCUAAAGAAAUCCCAAAAUGCAAGGCUUAAAUCCCAAAUUCAAGACUACCUCUAAUUUCAAUUGCAAAAAUAAAUGGCACAAAAGGAAACCCUUAAAAUACAUUCGAUUGCAAGUCAGCAAUGCAGUCUUUAAAAAACCCCAAUCUUCUUUUAGAAGUAAAAGACGGUCUCUCUAAGAGAAAGAGACGAGUGCCAAGGCAAAGUGGCAAAAGAUACAUUUGCAUAUAUAAUUUAUUUAGUGUCACUAGACAUUAGUUAUAUAUAUUACUAAGUAUUAGAUUUCAUAUAUAUAUGAAAAAUCCAUAUAUUACUUAUUUUAUUAAUAUAUAAACAGUAAUUCGUUUACAUGAUUUCAAUGUCGAAAAAACAAAAUAUUUUAGAUUUAAGGUUGAUUCUUUUAAGAUUAAUAUUCAAGCUAUUCAGAUUUAAAACAAUUGUUCAUAUAAAUUAGAUAAGAAAAUGAAUGAAACGAUAAUCCGGAAUUGUUUACCUUUGAGGUUGUUGCUUUCAAGAAUCAAAUUUUCGAGCAAAGUCAAAUUCCCAAUUUCUGCAGGUAUACUUCCCUCCAAGGAGUUGCUAUACAAUGAUAAAAACUUCAGUUUUUUGCACUUGAAUAAACUAUUUGGAAUUCUACCAGAAAUUCGAUUUCUACCCAAGCUCAAUCUUUCUAGUUUUGACAAAUUGCCCAAAGUAGAUGGGAUAACACCAUCAAAGUUGUUACCGUACAGAUAUAAUUCUUGAAGUUUAGCGAAGGAACCAAAACACAAUGGGAUUUCUCCAUUGAAAUUGUUGUUACCUAAGUGAAAAUAUUUCAGCCGAUGCAAAUCUGCAAAUUCAAUGGAUAUAGAGCCAUGGAAAUUAUUGUCAUGAAUGUCGAGCCAACCAAGGAAAGAUAGAUUUCCUAAUUGAGAAGGGAUGGUGCCAGUGAGAUCCAUAUGUGAUAAAUUCAGAGCAAUAACUCUUUGGUGUUUGGAUCCACAGGUGACACCAAUCCAGUUGCAAACAGAGGCCGAAGUAGACCAACUGGUUACCAAGAAGUUAUGAGGAUUAUGAACUAUAUGAGAUUUUAGUGCUGGAAGGGCCGAUUGAUCUAUGGUGAUGUUAGAAUAUUUUGCAGACAAAAUAACCCCAAAGGUGGCAAAUAGCAGCGCAAACAUAAAAGAAAGGAGGAAGCUUGGUAUUGCCAUAAGGUUGGAUAUGGGUGUAAGGCAAAUCAUAGGGAGAGAAACAACUGAGUUUUUUACCUCUCUAAUCUUACUGCAACAUUCUUUAAAUACUUUGAUUCUAAGGAUUUAGGCAAGGCAUCCAUUGACUCAUAAUUUGAGUAAGAAAUAUGUACAAUUUUGUGGUUGCAACAUGAAUUUAAGUAUUAAUAAUUGAGAAAUUAAAAUUUAAAAAAUAAUUGAAAAUUUAAAUAAAAACAGUAAGAUCCAGAAAAAAAUAGUGAAAUACCCGUAAAACUAGAAGCAGGACAUAGAUUGGGAAGGCGGUGUCGGUUUCUAGACUUUGGAAUUUUUAAUGAAUGGCCACCUUUUUUCAACCACUAAUUUCAGACAAGCUUUCCACAAGAUAAUGUUAUUUUAAGACUGCAUUACUGACGUUUGGGCCAAAGGAUGAAUUAAUUUUCAACUUUUUACCCUUACUUUCCAUUUUCAAUUAUUCUUUGUUUCAUCAAUGGGAAAGCAACUAUUUUGUAACUCUCCACUUCAAUUCACAUCUUUUUUUGUUUUAUAAUAAAUGGAACUAUAGUUGAAGUUGCUGUAUUGUGUUAAUGGAAGCGUCCACUUUUAUCAUUACUUCAACAAAAUGUAUAGAUGUGUACAUUCGGUUGGUUGGAUUUUUUAUAUAAAAUUUUUGAUUAGGUUCAGUUUAGCUUUUAGCUGCUUUUUUUUAGUUAGAAAAGAUUUCUACAUGAAGUAGUUAUAAUUUUAUUUCCUUUAAUUUUUCUUUCAAAUAGUUGUCUCCUUUCUUCAAUUUACUAUAUUGUAUUACUUUUAAUUUUACUAACUGUGAAUUAUUCUAAAAGGAUCACAAUUUAUAGCUUUCAGGUUGAGAAAGCAACCAUAUUUUUCAGGUAAUUUUUUUGUAUUACCAAAGCAAGAUUGAAAUGGAAUUUGGAUUAUACGCAAAGCAUAUUUUUCAUUCAUUCUGUAUGAUAUUUGAAUUUAAAUAAAUUUGAAGAAUUUAAAAAAAUAAUAAAAAAGAGAAGGAUUUAUUUUUAUUAUUUUUAUAUCUUUUAAGGGCUAUUUAAAUUUAAUCUCAGAAGGAAACAGACCUAACAUGCUAAUAGACCAAAUGUUUAAUUAGUACAGUGAUACUAUCAUGCAACAACUCUUUUUCAGCCAAUCUAAAAGGUUAAUUACUUCAUCAGGUCCUUGAACAUUUUGCCCUUGCACACUUCUACCAAUUUGUUAGGCGACACAAAAAAUUGUGUUUUUUUUUUUAGAUUUUUAGGGUGGUGCCGCUUGAGAAAGUGAUGACACCCAACUCUACUAUAGAAAUCAGGUCAUUUCCAUAAUUAAUCUUAAAGUUUGGUCAUUUUCAUAAAAUUUUAAACUUAUAGUGUCAGAUUCCUAAAAAAAACUUUACUUUAUUGCGUGGUAAACUUCUUCAGUUUGAUGUAUAUAUAAUAAGUUUGUUAUAAUAAUGUUAUUUCAAAUCAAUUAAAUAAAUUUAUAAUCACUUAUGAUAUAUUGAUUUUAAUUAGAAAAGCGAAAUUUUAUAUAAGGUCAUCCUGUAGAUAAAAGAUGGCAGCUGAUUAUUCGCAAUUGAUUAUUCUUUGAUAAAAAUAAAUCAUGGGAGUGAGGAAUUAUUAAGACUGUUGUUUGAUAAAAAGAGUUUUCUUAAUGCAUAGACUUGUUUGUAUUGGAUCCCUUUUAUGAGGCAAAAAGGAUAUACUUGUCCAAGGGUGAAUUGUGUAAGUCAAGAUCUUUGCAAUAGGAUAGCUACAAGGAAUCUUCAGCCCUCUCUUUUUCUUAACUCUAUCUUCCUCUCAUUUUCUUAGGCAUGACAUUCUGGUCUAUUGUUUGUUUGGAUAUGAUUUGUUGUGUCCUACGAUGUUAAUACUUAGAUUCUAAGGAUUUAAGCACAACAUAAACUAUGAUAUAAGUGGUGUCGUAUUAUAAUUAUUAGUCCAAUUAAUUAUGAAUUUGAUUUCUUAUUUUUUUUUUAGUAAUUUUUCAUUGAAAAUCAAAUAAUCAAAUACAGAAAUAAUUGAUGUCGUUAUUGAUAUUGACGCUAAAGCCCAAGUCAAGAGUCUUCGUUUGCAUGCUACCUGUACAAAUACAUUAAGGAAACAAGGCAACCUCGUUGUGUUACUAAGUUAGUGAGUGAUCUAAGAAGCAUGUCAGCUCCAAAUGAAAACAAAUUUUCAGUACUAAUGUCAAUCACAUUUCAAAGACAUAUUUUAACUAAGAUUGAGACCAAUUUUUUAAUUUAAAGUCUAAAAAUAUUGAUUGAUAAUGCUACGAACCAACAUGACACUGGAUCCUUUCAUUUCUUUUUCCACUAGUGCUUGAUGGGUUAUUAUAAAGGGUUUGAUUGAUAAAAGAUCAAAUGAGUUUGUUGGAAUUAUUUAUUAAGUGUUUGUUUUUAUUUUGAUUGAAUCAAGUGAUUUAAAAUUUUAGAAGUGUUGUUUUCUAUUUUUAGUGUUUUUUUUAUUUAGGGUUAUGAGUUUUUGAGGUUGAUGAACAAAAACUGAAACUGAGACUUGAUUGUGUUCAUUAAUUUUGGGAUAUAGAUUUUUUAUUUUUGUUAAAUUUUUUAUUGCUUUUAUCUGAGAUUAAUACUAAAAACUGUUCAGUUUUCGUCCAUUAAAUUGUUGAAGAAGAAUGUUCUAUACUUGAAAUUUUUUGUGUUUGGUUGAAUCCAAAUGGUUUUAAAAAAUUUCAAACAAAUUUUUUUGUUCACUUUCAAUUUUGAUCCAUUAAUUUGGGGGUUAAUUUUUGCUUUUUUUAUUUUUUUUUUUGUUCAUGGAUGAAGCUCUUUGUAGGUGACGUGUAUGUUAAAAAAGUAAAGAAAAUGGUAUUAACAAUUGAGAAAUUAAAACUUCAAAAAAAUUGAGAAAUUAAAUAAAAACCAUUAUGUUAGAAUUAGUGAAAUAUUAGCUCAUAGAAACACUUUAUAAUUUUAGUGAAAUAUUAUUUUUAUAUUUUAAUUAUUUUUAUAUUUUUAUAUAACUUUUUAGAAUCAAAAUGAUAGAAUAUGUAAAAUUUAGAGAGUUAAAUUGUUAUUAGACCAAUAAAAAAAUGAGUUAGCACUUCCGUCAAUUAAUUUUCAGUGACAAAAAAAAUUGAUUUCGAAUAGUUUAGUAACAAAAUUGAAAAAUUUAAAAGUUUAAUGACCAAAAUAGAAUGUGGGUAAUAGUUUAGUGACAAUUCCUACACUUUAUCCUUUUUUAAAUGGUAAAUAAUUUUUGGCAUAAUGACUUAUUUGGCCCUCUAACUUUAAAAAAAAAUCAUUUUAGCCUUCUAUUUAAUUUUUCGCUUUUUUUAACACUUUAACUUCUGUUUUUUUAUCAAAUCACCCCCACAUAGUUUCCAUAUAUAUAUAUAUAUAUAUAGCAGCAUUUCUUUUUUCCUCAAUCAAGGAAUAAUAUUUCAAUAAUUAAAACUCAACAGAUUCAUAUAUAUAUACACAAAAUAAUAGGAUCACCCUUGCAAAUAGAAGAUGACAGCUGAGUAUUCUUUGAUAAAAAGAGUUUUCUUAAUGUAUAUACAAGUAAGAAGGCCCUAACUUUGGUUGAUUGAAACGUGUUUGAUGGAGAUCCUCUCAACUUCUUCUUCACGGUUGCUCCCAACUUCUUUCUAACAUGAAUUCAAAAAAUGACCACUUUUUCCAACAUCUAAUUUGAAAAUUGGUCCCCUUACCUUAAGACAAAUCAAACCUAAGUUUCCACAAGAUAGACUUGUUUUAAGACUGCAUGUGAGGACCAGUAAGCAGGAUUCAACUAAAAAUGAGAUGAUUUUUCAGCUCUCCAUUGAUUAGAGCAACUUCCACCUCUAUCGUUUUCAUCACAAAUAAUAAAUAAGUGGAGUCUGUAUUGGCAUUGACACCAAAGUCCAAGUCAAAAGAGUCUUUAUUUUCAUCAUAAAUAAUAAAUAAGUGGAGUUCAGCCGCAUCAUUAAUUAUAUUCUCUAGAUAUAUUAACCAAAUUAUACCUAUAUACCAUAUAUGAAACUUGGUACAAGAAUUGAUUGAUUUAGAAGCAUCCACUUUUCUCUUAAUUCAAACCUUUUCUUCUUAACCAACCAAUCAACACAAACGCUAAAUUUCUUGAAAAUACACUAAUUUUGUUUAAUUAUUAAAACUGUUCAUUAGCUCUAAGAGAAAUAAUAUAAAUUCAUAGUCCGAUUUCAAUAAGAGAAAUCAAGUUUCCAGUCACUCGAAACACAAUUAAAUAGGUUAAAGUUUAGCAGAUACUAUUUCUUUGUUCAACACUAUAGGCGUCUGUUUUCUUUUCUUUACUACUUUUUUAAACAUGUAAAUUUCUUUCAAUUUGAUAGUCUUAUGAAAAAACCCUCAAAGUUAUAAAUCCCUAACCACAAAUCACCACAAGAGAUCACAAAAAAUAAAACAUCUGAGACAUCCAAAAGCACUAAAGUAGUGAAGACAUCGCAUUUCAUAGUUGUAGAGGAGGAUUAGAUACUCCUCCUAAUCUAAUUAGCUCUGUUAUAUUAGCAAUCGAAACACAAGAUAAUUUUUAUACCUAUAAAUAUAACUAUUUCCAAAGCCAAACAUGGGAAGAGUGUGGGCAUUAAAGCUGUGUGAAGAUGAGCCUACUUUAAACUUGGAAAAAGUAUGGAACCAGAAAGAUAAUUAUUAUACAAUAUAACUAUUUCAACUUUACUGGGCUCCUACCAUAAUAUACCACAUAAAAAAUAAUAAUUCUUGAAAAGGAGAUUUUUAGAUUAGGAGUGUAAUUGAAAUGGGUGGUGGGAGAGUUGUAUGAGCUCAAGUUGAGGAGAUUUUGAGAGGCGAAAGAAGUUGUCGAUAUCAAUGAUAAAAAUAUCAAUUUACAAUGCUUCGAACCAACAUGCCACUAGAUCCUUUUCACUUUUUUCAUCGGUGCUUGAUGGUUAUUAUAAGGGCUUGACUGACAAAAGAUUAAAUGAGUUUUAUUGGAAUGAUUGAUUAUUGGAUUCUUUUUAUUUUGGUUGAAUUAAGUGGUUUACAAUUUAUUUAUUUUUUGUUGGAAUGAGUUUUUGAAAUUGGUGAGCAAAAAUUGAUACUGAGAUUUGAUUGUGUUUAUCAAUUUUGGGAGAUUUUGGUUUUUGUUCAAAUUUUCAAUGCUUUUAACUGAGAUAUUAAAACUGAAAAAAAAGAGAGUCAGUUUUCAUUUAUUAAUUUGUUGAAGAAGAAUGCUCUAUGUUUGAGUUUUUCGGUCUUUGAUUGAAUCAAGUGCUUUAAUAUAAUUUCAAACAAAAUUUUUGUUCACUUUCAAUUUUCAUUUAUCAAUUUGAGGCUUGAUUUUUGCUUUUUUUUCAUUUUUGUUGUUCAUCAAUGAAACUUUUUGGAGGCGAUGAGUAUGUUAAAAAGGUAAAAAAAAAAAUGGCAUUAAUAAUUGAAAAAUUACAGUAUGUUCUAAAAACAAUUAGUGAAACAUGCACUUAUACAAGCACUUUAUAUUUUUGCAGAAAUAUUAUUUUAUAUAUUUAACAAUUUUAAGAUUUUUUAAAUAUUUUUAUAUAAAAUUUUAGGAUCAAAUUGAUAGAAUCUGUAAAUAUUAGAGGGUUAAAUUUGUUAUUAGACCAAUAAAAAAGUAUUCAGCCCUUCCAUCAAAUUUCAAAUGGUUGUUAACUUUCAAUGACCAAAAAAUAGUGAUAGAAUAUAUAAACAUUAGAAGGUUAAAUUUGUUAUUAGACAAAUAAAAAAUACUUGUUAGCACUUUCAUCAAAUUUCGAAUGGUUGUUAACUUUCAAUGGCCAAGAAAACUAAUUUUGAAUAGUUUAGUGAUUAAAUCAAAAAAAGUAAAAGAUCAUUUAAUUAUUUUUUUCAGAUUUUAAAAAUUAUUUUGAAAAACAAAAAAUCAUUAAAACUAUUAAAAAAUAUAAAGUAUUAUCUAAAUAUUUUUAAAAUUUUAAAAUUAAUUAAAUGCUGACAUGUCAUCCACGUUAGCAAAAUUAACAAAUGUUAACGUUUUCAUCCGUUUUGGGUUGAUUUGACAAAAAAUACAAGUUCAAGGGUUAAAAAAGAAAAAAAAUUAAAUAGACAAUUAAAAUAAUUGUUUUUAUAAAAUUGGAUGACAAAAAAGUCCAUUCACAAAACAUGUUUUUGGUAAUUUUAUAUUCCCUAAAAAUAUCACUUUUAUGUUAAAAUUUGUAAACUUCAUCUCAAUGAUAUUAGAUAUUUUAAUUAAUUAAAUUUUAUAAAUAUAUAUUGAAAGUUUUUAUAAUAUAUAUUUUUUCUGUUUUGCCCUGUGUUCCUCUGUUUUGUUCUGUUCCUGUGAUGUUGGGUUUUUUUACCAUGGUUUUUAUGUCGAAUACUAAUUAAAAAAAGAGUUUAAUUUCCGAUAUCGGCCUAAUUAUCAUGUGUUCCUUUCAAUUAGAUGUUAUAGACCGACCAUGAAGAUUUCAAAGUGUUGUAGGAAUCUAUCUUUUGAAAUUGUUUUCAGCGACCAUCAAGUUUUGAAGCUUUUGACAAAUUGGCCAAAGUUGAUGGGAUAAAACCAAUGAAUUUGUUGAUGUAUAGAUACAAGCUCUGAUGUUUUAUUUGGAGUCUAAUGGUUGCAACAUGUUUGAUGAUGAUCCUCAACUCUGAUUGAAUCUAUUAUUUAAUAUCAGACAAAAUAAAACAUUGAGAUGAAACUAUUUCAAUUUUCAUGUUCUUUGAUGAUUUGUCUUGCUUCUCUUCUCUCACUUGUUUUAUAUAUAUAUAUAUAUAUAUAUAUAUAUAUAUAUAUCUCGUUGUUUGAGAUGUUGUAGUUUGAUUCCUGCAUUGCACUUGUAACAAAAUCAUGAUUCAGACCAAAGUCUUGUAGAUUGUAAUUUUGCAUUAUUUCACCUCCCUUGAUUCUUGACAAACUGUCUUUGGUAGCAAUCAACCUCUCUUGGAGUAUCUACUCCUAAUUCCAAAUAUAAUUUACUUUCUUCGUUCUAAGCCACAUCAAAUAUAUCAAAAAGGCAAAAGGUGCCAAUUAAGACGGUCUUUAUAAUCUAGUGCACCGCUAAAAACAUCAAGAAAACAUAAUAUAAACCACACAACAUACAAUAAUCGAGAUUUUUUUUUUUUUGCCAAUUUCCUUUAAGUAGCCUUAAAUCUCUAAUAAGAGGACAUGACGGUUAAAAUUUGAUAUUAUAAUAAAUUUGACUCUCAAUUUUUACUUUCUGUAUCAAUUUAGUCAUUAUUUUAAAAGAUUAAUCUUUAAAAUUUACAAAUAAUCUCAAUUUGAUCAUCAAAAUUUACCUUUUCUUUCCACUUCCUCCGCUACCACUAUCAUCAUUGCCUCCAGCUCCACCUUCUAUUAGUAUGUUUUUGUUUUGGUCACCUAACUAUGAAAAUUUUCAAUUUUAUCACUAUCGUUUUAGAUCAUUUCUAAUUUGCUCACUUUUUAGAUCGUUUUUAUUUUACUCAAUCUUCGUUAAAUGGUUAACCAAAGUUAUAAUGUAACCUUUUUUUUAACUAGUAUAAGAAACACAAUUAGUCUUCAAUACUUCCACAUUCUAUCAAUUUGAUCCUCGAACACAUACAAUUAAAUAUAAAAUAUAUAUAUUACGAAAACAUACAAAAUUUAAUUAUUUAUAUAUAUUGUUAGAGUUGUGUGACCCAAAUUCUAAGAGAUUCCUUGCAAGUCAAGUUAAACAAAGUAUAUCUUCUUUCUAAAAGAUUUAGUAUUUAUGAGUAUAAUAUAUUUACCAUUUAUUAGCAUAAUAUCUUUGACUUUGAUUAGAAUUAGGUUUUUUCAACCUUUAAAUAGAUGUAGUCAAAACUCCUCUUGUAAUCAUUUUAAAUUCGACAUAGUGAAUUCUCUUCACCUCUGCCCAUGGUUUUUUCCCGAAAGGGUUUCCACAUAAAAAUUUGUUUGUAUUCUUUAUUUUUAUUUUUCUUUUCUUUGCGAUAUAUUGUCAUUACUGACAUUUUAUUUUAACAAAUUGGUAUCAGAGCUUCCAGGUUGUUUAUCUCAAUCACGAUAAUGGCGUUUUUGAAGUACGAAAUUUUGCUGUUAGAUCACAACACUAGAUUCACGUUGUGGCAGAUAAAGAUGUAGGCAGUUCUUGCAUAGAUGGACUUAGAGGAAGCCGUGCUAGGGGUAGAUAAGAUGCCUUCAACAUUAACGGAGGAAGAGAAGAAGCGCAAGGAUCUAAAUGCAUUAACACAGUUACAUCUGCAUUUGUCUAACAAAAUUUUACAUGAUGUGAUGAAGGAGAAGGUUGUCACUAGAUUAUGCAAGAGGUUGGAACAAAUAUGUAUGUCAAAAACUCUAACUUGCAAGUUGCAUAUGAAGCAACGUCUUUAUGCUCAUCGUUUGAAGAAAGGUGCGUCUGUGCACGAACACUUAACAAUGUUUAAAGAAAUUCUCUCAAACUUGGAGGCCAUGGAGGUUCAGUAUGAUAAGGAAGAUCUAGGGUUGAUUCUACUUUGUUCGCUGCCCCCGUCUUAUUCAACCUUUAAAGAUACGAUUUUAUAUAGCCAUGAGUCUCUCACAGUUGAUGAGGUUUAUGAUUCUUUAACCUCAUAUGAUAAGAUAAAGCAUCUUGUGGUUAAAAUUGACUCUUAAAGAGAAAGUCUCAUUUUUCAUGGAAGAUAAGAUCGAAAUGCUAAUGAUGAUCGUGGAAGGACACAGGAACGAUAAUUUAGUAAUAAAUCUAAGGGUAGAUCGAAGUCUUCAAAUAGAGGUAAAACUUGUGACUUCUGCAAGAAGAAAAGGCGCAUUAAAUCUGAGUGCUAUAAGCUAUAGAACAAGAUCAAAAGGGAGGCUGCAAAUCAAAAUGGAAAAUAACAAGAAAAUUUUGGUAAAGCUGAUGCUGUAGAAGACUACAGCGAUGGUGAACUUCUAGUUGCUUCUGUCAACAGUUCUAAAGUAAGUGAGGAGUGGAUCUUGGAUUUGGGCUACACCUUCCACAUGAGUCCCAAUCAGGAUUGGUUUAGAACUUAUGAAAUAGUGUCUGAAGGUGUUGUUUUGAUGAGAAAUAAUGCUUCAUAUAGAAUCACAGGUGUUGCAACAAUUAAAGUUAAGAUGUUUGAUGGAGUUGUCAAAACACUUAGUGACGUAUGACAUGAUCUAGAAUCGAAGAGAAAUUUAAUUUUUUUGGGUACUCUUGAUUCAAAAUGGUACAAAUACACAGCUGAAAGUGGGGUUUUAAAUAUUUCCAAAUAUUCCCUCAUUGUGAUGAAAGGGCAAAGAAAGACUGCCAAGUUAUAUAUUUUACAGGGUUCUAUUGUUACUGGUGAUGCAGCUGUCGUAUCCUCUUCCCUGUCAGAUGAUGAUAUUACUAAACUUUGGCAUAUGUCCUAGGGCAUAUGAGUGAGAAUGGCAUGACAGAAUUGAGAAAAAGAGGACUUCUUGAUGGGCAAGGAAUUUGUAAAUUGAAGUUCUAUGAGCACUGUAUUUUUGGGAAGCAAAAGAGAGUUUGAUUCACUGGAGGAAUCCAUAACACAAAGGGAAUGUUGGAGUAUAUUCAUUCUAAUCUGUGGGGGCCAUCUAGAGUGCCUUCAAGAGGUGGAGCUAAUUAUAUGCUAACUUUUAUUGAUGAUUUUUCCAAAAAAAUUUGGGCGUUCUUCUUGAAGCAAAAAAGUAAUGUGUUUUCAGCAUUUAAGUCCUGAAAAACUAAGAUUGAAAAAUAGAUUGGAAAACAAAUAAAAUACCUUCGCACAGACAAUGACUUAGAGUUCUGUUCUGAUGAGUUUAAUAAACUGUACAAGUUAGAAGGGAUUGCGAGACACUUGACAGUUCGUCAUACUCCACAGUAAAAUGGUGUUGUAGAACGAAUUAACAGAAUGAUCAUGGAGAAGGUUCGAAGUGUGUUGUCAAAUGCCAACUUACCAAAGUUAGUUUGGGCCGAAGCAGUCUCUACUGCAAGUUUUUUGAUCAACCGAUCUCCAUCUGUUGUCAUUGAGAAAAAGACUCCACAAGAGGUAUGGUUUGGUAAUCCUACUGACUAUUCUGAUUUAUAGAUCUUUGGGUGUCCUGCAUAUGCUCAUGUUGAUAAUGGAAAAUUGGAACUGAGAUCCAUAAAUGUGUUUUUCUUAUUUAUAAAGCAGGUGUAAAAGGGUUUAAGUUAUAGUGUCCUAAAAAUAAGAAAGUUGUGAUUAGCAGAGAUGUUGUUUUUCAUGAAACUACUAUGCUACGUAACUUAUCUCUUAAAGACUCUUCAAAUAAAGAAAAUUAAAAAUAGGUAGAGCAUCAGAUUAAUCCAGAAUCUACAUCAGAGUUGACUUUUCAAGCCAUUAGAAAAAUACAAAGUAGAGUUGCUUCUUCACCACAAUACUUUAUAGUCAAAAAUAGAACCAGAAGAGAAAUUAAACCGCCAAAGAAGUAUGCUAAGGUUGAUCCAGUUGCUUAUGCUUUAAAUGUAGCUGAAGAUAUAAAUUGUAACACCCCAAAUUUUGGGCCUAGAAAAAAUAGGUUUUGAACAAGGGAAAAUUUAGGAGACUGCACAUAAAUAUUAAGCUGUGCAAGGAAGUGACAUAAAUAUCUGUCUGCUUUAGUGGUUAAGUGAUCUGGGAGUGUUUAAGAAGCCUGGGUUCAAGUCUUGGCUUCUGCAGAAUUUUUAGUUUUGCUUUUAAAUGAAUCUAGACAUUGGCAUAUAGGCCUUAUAAAUAAUAGUGUUAGUUUUAUGUCCCAAAAAAGCUUAUGGUCUAGUGGUAAGGUGACAUGUUGUAUAACUGUAAGGUAUGAGGUUCAAGUAUUGGGUUACGCAAUGGAGUAUUUAUUUUGCUGAUUGAGUUGGGUAGGUGGUGGGGUUGGAAUGAAAUAUUGCUAAAUAGAGUUUGAAUUGGUCAUAGAGAGAUUUGAGGAAGGAUAUGUGGAGAGAUUUGAGAAGAGAAUAUUGGGAUUUGGGGAGGUUAUUGUUGUAAAGAGAUAAAUAUAUCAUCUCAUUUGUUCCUUGUUCUGGAUGGGAGAUCGACGAGGUUUUCAAGGUUUUCGUCGCUUUCUCCAAACUGCAUUGCUUCCAUUCCUAACUAGUGGUGGUCGAGGUUGAUUAACACAUUGCCUAGGAACCAAGGAUGCGAUGAUCAUUAAUUUUCAGAAUAGGAGUGUUUAGAACGAAAUGAAUCUACAAAUCGUAUCAAGUGUGUAACCAUCCCACUGCAACUGUAGAACGCUAAAAAUCGAAAAGUCAAAAUAUGGCAUUGAGACGACACGAGUGUGCGAUUGCUCGUAUAGGAAGCCAAACCUACGAAUCAUGGGCGAGAAACUGUAGAGGCCUCAAUGAACAUUUUCAUGGGCUUAGGCCGUAAUGGGCCACAUUAGGUCGAAAUGGGCCGUGUGGGCUUAAUGGGUUUAUAGGGCCCACGUAGAUAAAAUCAAUUAUUUGUGGCAAAUUCUGGACUGGGUUGUGUAGAUCUCAUAAUCGUGUGAAAUCUGGGCUGAACGGGUCAUACGAGCGCGUGGGCCCACUUGGGUCGAGUAAUGAGCCUUGGGCCUAUUUACACUGUUAUGACCGAAAUACCCUAUAAGAUAAAAUGACCAAAAUACCCCCAUAUGGUAAAAUGAUCAAAAUACCCCUAUAGGGUAAAAUAACCAAAAUACCCUGAUAGGGUAAAAUUAUCAAAAUACCCCCACAAGGUAAAAUAACCUAAAUACCCCCAUAGGGUAAAAUGAUUGUUAUACCCCUAGGAGAUGAAAUGACUGUUAUGGCUUUAUGUUAUGUAUGACUGGUUUGUUCUAUGAUAUGUAUGACUAUGAUUGAGUAUGACAUCCUACAUACACGUAUGAUAUUAUGUCACGACAUAUUGCAUGGGGAUAGGUUGUUAUAUUUAGAGGACGUGUAACGUAUUGAUAAGGUUGCACGGGUCGUCCAAGACAACUAUGUACCUACUGAUGGCUAUAUGCCGUUUAUUUGACUGGCAACUUUGCUACAAUACUGUUUAGUGCCGCAACUAGUGCUAAUCUUGGUGUGUAUGGCUGGGUGAGUCGAUUUUAUCCCCACGAGGUGUGUUUGGCUGGAAGAAGUGGUGUGUAGAGGCAGGAUUGGGAGUUACAUUUAGUGGUAUCAAAGCCCAGUUGUAAAACUCGGUUGUGGAAUGGGUUUGAAAAUAUCUAGAAUUUAUGAAAAAUUAUUUUAAAUUAAAUUUUAAAGGACACAAGUGUGGUACAUCGAGUCUUCAGCACCGAAUCUGUAAGUUUCUAUAUACUGUAGGCUGCUUAAACUGAAAUAUAUUGAAAGACUACAAUAGAUAGUAAGCCUGUACUGAAACUCUUAAAUUAGAGAAAACUAAGACUGUAGGAAAACUGGAAGCUGUAGGGAGACCUUGACUUACAAAAACAAAACUAUGACUACUGGGUCUCAUAAGACAUCUGUUAAUAAUUACUGGAAUUACUCCCUAAUGCAUAAAAUUUCUUAACAUUGAUAAUACGUUAUUUGAUAUGAGCACAAGAGGUAUACAUGGACGAGGUACAAGAGGCCAUGGUAGAGGCCGUUGAGGUGCUCGAGUUAGGUCCUCAUCAUUUGGCCAUAUACCUAAUUUGGAACUAGAGUGUACAGCGGAAGCAUAGUGGUGGAGUCUGUGUUAUGCGACUGAUCUGAUAAUUAGAAAUUUUGAAGACGAAAUUUUUUUAAGGAGGGCUGAAUUGUAACACCCUAAAUUUUGGGCUUAAAAGAAAUAGGUUUUGAACAAGGGAACAGUUAGGAGACUGCAUAUAAAUAUUUAGUUGUGUAAGGAAGUGACAUUAAUAUAUAUCUGCUUCAGUGGUUAAGUCAUCUGGAAGUGUUUGAGAAGCCUAGGUUCAAGUCUUGGCUUCUGCAGAAUUUUUAGCUUUUCUUUUAAAUGAAUCUGGGCAUUGGCAUAUAGGCUUUAUAAAUAAUAGUGUUGGUUUUAUGUCACAAAAAGAGCUUGUGGUCUAGUGGCAAGAUGGUGUGUUGUGUAACUGUAAGGUUUGAGGUUCAAGUCCUGGGUUGCAUAAUAGAGUAUUUAUUUUGCUGAUUAAGCUAGGUAGAUGGUGGAGUUGGAAUGAAAUACUACUAAAUGUAGUUUGAAUUGGUCAUAGAGAGAUUUGAGGAGGGAUAUUUAGAGAGAAUAUUAGGAUUUGGGGAGAUUGUUGUUGUGGAGAGAUAUAUAUUAUAUCAUCUUAUUUGUUCCUCUUUCUGGAUGGGAGAUUGGCGAGGUUUUCAAGGUUUUCGUUGCUUUCUCCAAACUGCAUUGCCUCUAUUCCUAACUGGUGGUGGUCUCAGAAUAAAAGUGUUCGGAACAAAGGAAAUCUGCAAAUUGCAUCAGGUGUGUAACCACCCCACUGUAACUGUAGAACGGCAAAAGGUGAAAAGCUAAAAUACGUCGUUCAAACUGCACGAGUGUACGAUCACUCGUGUUGGAAGCAAAAUCUACGAACAUAGAUGAAACUAUAGAGGCCUUCAUGAGCAUUUCCAUGGGCUUAGGCCGUAAUGGGCCACAUUGGGCUGAAAUGGGCCGUGUUGGCUCUAUGGGCUUAUGGCCCCCAUACUGAUGAAAUCCACGCUUUGUGGAAAAUUCUGGACUGGGUUGUGUAGAUCUCAUAAUCGUGGAGAAAUCUAGACUAAACAGGCAUACGAGCGUGUGGGCCGACUUGGGUCGAGUAAUAGGCCUUAGACCCAUUUACAUUGUUUUCUUUUUACAGUACAGGUAAUCCUUAGCCAUAGGCAAUUUGGUGCUGCUAGGGACUCGGAGGUGGCCACACAACUGUAGUUGUUCUACAAUUGUUUUUAUUUAAAUAACUUGAGUUCGAGUUGGGUUUUGUUUUUUUUAAUAAGGCCAUUACGUAUCUUUAAAUUUUAAAUUGGGCUUUUGGUUACUUCCUUAAAAAUGAAAUUUAAUCCUAAGAGUUUUCAAAAGCUUUCACGGUUUUUAGAUCAACCUUUUAUAACAAUGGCAACAACAAGCCAAAAUUCCCGACUUAAUGAUUUGUUAAAUAAUAAUAAAGGGGUUUUUAAAAUUUAGAGGCUAAUUUUUAUCAAGGAGUCAUAGUUUUCGAAAAACACUUCAAUGUGACAUGCUAGAUUCGACCAUAACUCCUAGGCCAAGUUUGGGAUGUUACAUAUAUGCAAACCAAGAGCCAUCUAAUUAUUCUGAUGCGGUUAGCUGUGAAGAUUUAGAGAAGUGGAUAUUUGCUAUGCAAUAGGAGAUGAAAUCACUCCACAAAAAUAAAAUAUGGGAUCUUGUGAAACUUCUUAAAGGUAAAAAGGUUGCUUAUUGUAAAUGGGUGUUUAAAAAGAAAUAGGGGACUCUAGGAGUUGAAGAACCCAGAUAUAAAGCAAGGUAUGUUGCAAAAGGUUAUAGUCAAAUUCUAGGAGUGGACUUCACAGAUGUGUUCUCUCAGUUGUGAAGCUCCCCAAUUGUGAAGCAUAGUUCGAUUCGAGCUUUGCUUGGUAUUGUGGCCUUGCAUGAUUUGGAGCUUGAGUAGUUAGAUGUAAAAACUGCAUUUUUACAUGGAGAACUUGAGGAGGAUAUUUACAUGCAACAACUAGAGGGCCUUAUAGUAGCAGAAAAAGAUACUAUGUUUGCUUGCUAAAAAAGUCCCUUUACGGUUUGAAACAGUCACCAAGACAGUGGUACAAGAGAUUUGAUUCCUUUAUGACUUCUCAUGAUUUUAAAAGAAGUAGCUUUAACAGUUGUGUUUUCUUUAAGAAAAAAGUGAUGGUUCUUUUGUGUAUUUGCUCCUUUAUAUUAAUGACAUGUUGAUAGCAGUGAAAGAUAAAUGAGAGAUAAGAAAGGUCAAAGCACAACUAAGUGAAGAAUUUGAGAUGAAAGAUUUGGGACUAGCAAAGACGAUACUUGGUAUGGAGAUUCUCAAAAAUAGAAAAUCAUGUAAAUUGUACCUAAGUCAGAAGGGGUACAUUAAGAAAGUUCUUUGCAGAUUCAAUAUGCAGAAUGCUAAGCCUGUUAGUACUCCUUUAGCAGCCCAUUUCAAACUUUCAUCAUCUUUGUCUUCACAUUCAGAUGAUGAGAUUGAGUACAUGUCACAUGUUUCAUACUCUAGUGCAGUGGGAUCUCUCAUGUAUGCUAUAGUUUGUUUACAUUCAGAUUUAUCAUAUGCAUUUAGUACAGUUAGCAAAUACAUGGUGAAUCCCAAUAAUGAACAUUGGAAAGCAGUUCAGCGGAUUUUAAGAUACUUAUGCAGUACUGUUAAUGUUUGCUUACAGUUUGGAAGAACCAGAGAUAGAGUCAUUGGGUAUCUUGAUGUUGAUUUUAAUGGAGACCUUGAUAGAAGAAGAUCUCUCACAGGUUAUGUCUUUACAAUCAGAGGUUGUGCAAUCAAUUGGAAAGCCACUUUGCAAACUACAGUUGAUUUGUCUACUAUUGAAGCUGAGUACAUGGCGAUUACUGAGACUUGUAAAGAAGCUACUUGGUUAAAGGGACUCUAUAGUGAACUUAAAGAAGACAUUCAAAUCAAUACUGUAUUUUGUGACAACUAGAGUGCCAUCUUCCUUACAAAAGAUCAAAUGUUUCAUGAGAGAACAAAACACAUUAAUGUUCAGUAUCAUUUUGUUCGUGAUAUUAUUGCUCGUGGUGAUAUUGUUGUGAGCAAAAUUAGUAUUCAUGAAAAUCCUGCAGAUAUGAUAACUAAGUCACUUCUUAUAAACAAGUUUGAGCAUUGCUUAGACUUGAUUGGUGUUCAUUGUUGAACUUAACCUCUGAACUUCAACUUGAGCUUGACUCCCCGAAGGCAUGUAUUGCUACAAGCUAGAUCCAAAAUAUUGGGUCGGGUUAACAAAAGAUCCUUGAAAUCAAACCCGACCAUACCUUUCAGGACCCAAAACUUUAGUAAUAAUCCUGUUAUCAAUGUCCUCAAGAUGAACAGAACUAUCACUGGAAGCAAUCGCUUCGUGCUCCGCCUUUUUAUCCUUUAGUUUCUACUAAUAAAUCAGUCAAAUAGUUAGGAACGCAAAAUAUAUUAUAAAAACAAAUGUAACAUAACUAAAUAAUAUUUGCAUUACAAAUAAUGAAUUAAACCAUUUGAAAAUAAACACUAUAAAUAUUUAAAAUAAUUCAAAAUUUAAUAAGUAGACGUACCAUAAUUUCUGCAGCUUUAAGAGUCAUAGGAGAUCCAUCUUUCUUCCUAUGUGUAAUGUCAAAAAGCUGAAUGGGUCCAACUUUUUGACCGGACGACAGUUCCUACAAUAUGAUAGUAAAAAUAUUAUUUAAUGGAAAGUAAUAUAAAUCAUUUGACACUAUUAAUAAAUUCAAAAUACCCCGGCCUCAGCUACACAAGCAAAACUUUUUGACCCAGCAGUGUGAGUGAAUUUUUGUUUUUGCAUGCUGCUUUUUCCAACUCGUUCACGAUCCUACAUUAUGAAAUUAUUAUUACGUAUAUAGUAAAUACUAUAAACCAAAAUAAUUAUAAGAGUUUGGAAGUACGUAAUACCUCUCCUUUCUUUGAUGUCCAAAAUCUAACCGCAUCUUCCCAUUAGUACCUCAGCAUUCCCAGCGAGGCAUUUUGCAAUUUCUCUUCGAGGGCUGUUUUUAUCUUAAAAUAAUCUUUCUUUAAAUUACUUUUAUGGUCUCUCCAUCUUUUUCCCAAUGCCUUCUCUACAUAAGUAUCGGAGACCUCUAAAGCAAACAUCGCCUACAAAAAACACAAGUUAAGAAAGUAAAUAUAAACGAAACUUAAAAUCAAGUAUUAUAAAUGAAAUUAACAUUUUGUUACCUUAAUAUUAUCGAGAGCUUGAUUUUUGUUACUAUCAGGCAUUUGAUGCCAUGACUCGUAGUUGAUAGGCAACAUUUUUGCAUUUCACGCUAAAAUGCCCAAAUAUCCUUCUAAAAGUCGAGCUUUUGAUCCAACAGGCUGACCAAAACUGUUUCUACAUACUUUGACAUGCUCGACUGGAUCUAACUCGUAUAAAUCUUUAAGUAGCAUACGUCCUUGACCUCUGCGCGUCCCACCACUUUCAGCUAGAAAAUGGUAUAUUCUAAUAUAAGAAUUUGAAAAAGAAAUCAACAAUAACUCAACACGCAUGUAAAUUAAAUGUAAAAUUACUUUGAACUUCUGUAGGUUCGUCAGCUGUAAUCGAAACAUUCGAAGAUUCAAUAGCAGUCUAUUGUUCACUAUUUGUUUCUUCCGAGUUUUGAGUAUUUUGAACAAUGCUUAGAUCUUACAAUUUUCUUCUAGGCAUUUUAUCUGCAAUACACAUAAAAAAGUUGAAAAUUUAGUAACUAAUUACAACAAUAACAGCACAUAUAAAAUAAUUGAAUAUUUAAUAAGAGCAAGUUUUGAAUUAUGAUAUUACAUAUAAUUAAAAAAUCAUAAAAUCUUACUACAUCAAAAUCCGUAAAUAUCUUCAUCUGUAUCCUGGUGAACCCAUUAAAAUUGUGUACUAGUACUAGGGAUAUUUUCAUUUAAGUUUUGUUCUGGAAAGGGCAAAGUUUCUAGUCUGUCGUCGAUGUUAUCUCUACUUCCAUUGUCCAUGUCAAACAAGUCUCUAGGGAUGUCACGAAGUACAACAUACCAACCUCAUCAGUUGGAUCUUUUGAAUAAAAAAACUUGUUUGACUUGAGAAGAAAAUACAUAUGGCUCAUCUAUCAAUUGUUGUCCUGUGUGAAUUAACGGAGAGAAGUUUGCCAUUUUAAAACCAAAUUGAUCUUGCUUAAUUCCACGAGCAAUAUUCACAUCAGCCCAAUCCCCUUGAAAUAAGAUAACUUUCCAUUUGUCGUAGUAAUCCAACUCAAUUAUGUCAGUCAGAAGUUCGAAAUACCCCAUAUUUCCCUCAACAGGAUUGUUGUCCCUAGCACUAGCAUAACUCGUAAUUGAGGAAUUAACAACAAUUCCACAAUUUUGAGUUCUCCUCAAUCUCUCGCGAUAUUAUGUAUGAAAUCUAAAUUCGUUGAUGAGGAAGGCACUAUAUUUUUUAACCACUCUGUUUGAACCUUAGGAAAGGCAUUUAACUUUGUCAUUUACGUUCUUCACACUCCAAACCUACUGAAUGGAAAGUAAACUGAGUAAUUAUAAAUGUUAUGAUAAAACAUUAUUAUUUGUCAGGGAAAGCUUCAAUCACAUACAGUUUGGCUUAACCAUUCAUGAAAAGAUUCUGUAAAUAACUUAUUGAUCUUUUGAUGUUGUAAUCUUCGAGAGUGUGAACGAGAUCUCAAUAUUUGUUUGUACUCACUAUGUUAAAAAAAUGUGCACAUUGCUAGAAGAUAAUCAAUUUAUACUUGAUGAAUAUUUAUCAUAUUUCUAGAACUUACUUCCGUAACGGUUCCACUGAAUCAUGGUGAAACAGAACAUAUCGAUAUGCUUGUACCCACGAUAAAUCAUCUAAUUCCACAAUUUCAACUUUGCCGAUUGGUUCUCCAAAACUUUGAAACAAAUAAGUAUCGGCGAAGUUAUCAGUGAGUCUAGCAUUUCUUCUUGGUCUGUUCAACCUUGUUUCAACAUCUUCCAAAUAUCUUGAACAGAAAGUCAUACAUUUCUCAGCCAAGUAGCCUUCAGCAAUUGAUCCUUCUGGAUAAUACUUGUUGUGGCAGCAAGACUUCAAUUUGGAUAGGAACUUAAACACGAUGUACAGCAUCAUUAAAAAUUGUAACUAAAGCCAUACAGGUGAAUGAAGGAAAAUUUUACAAAUAAAUUAACACCUUUCUAUGGGAUACAUCUAUCGAUAGAAAACAGGUCCACCAAGAAUUGCUUCAUGCGGGAGAUGGAUUAGUGAAUGCACCAUAAUUCUGAAGAAGAAAUGUGGAAAGAUUUUCUCCAAGUUGCAUAAAGUCAAAGCGGCUUGAUCUUGUACUUUCUCAAGUUCUUGAACAUCCAAAACUUUGCCACAAAUGGCUUUUAUUAUAUUGGAUAGUUCAAUAAUACAAGAAGUCAUAUUUUUAGACAUACAACAUUGUAGAGCAACUGGUAGUAAAUCUUACAUCAAGAUGUGAUAGUUAUAUGAUUUUAAGGAAUAUAGUCUUCGAUUUUUAAUACUAACACAUCGAAAUAUAUUUGAUGCAUACGCAUCUGGAACCUUUAUACCCUUCAACACCAUGCAGAACACUUCUUUUUCCUUCUUCGACAUUGAAAAAAUAGAAGAUGACAACCGAUAUUUCCCGUUCGGAAGUGCUUGGGGAUAAGAUCAGGCCGAAUUUCCAUGUUGACUAAAUCAAGUCAACUCUAAAGAUUGUCUUUUGAUUUUCCUUCGACAUUCAAAAUUGUACAGAUAAUGUUCUCGCAAACAUUUUUCUCAAUGUGCAUGACAUCAAGAUUGUGUCGUAAAAGUUGAUGCUCUCAAUAAGGCAACUUAAAAAAUACUUCUUUUUUUUCACAAGUCUGCCUCAUUAGGAUCAUCCUUUUCAUUAGAGUCAUCAUUAGCUUUAUCAUUUGAUCUCCUAUUUCGUUGCAUGUUUGGCGGUUGGUUCAUCUUUCUAUAGCUAAAAUUCAUAUCUUCCAACAUGAACAAGAUUUUAGAUCCACUGGUCUGCGAAGGAGCUUCUCUUAACUCUUCAGUAUCGUCAAAUACAGAACUCUGAAAUCUAAAUCUAUGAUUUUCUGGUAACCACCGACAAUGCCCCAUGUAAGAGAACUUCUUCCAAUUAUAUAACCAUUGCGAACAUGUUUGCACAGCACAAUAAGGACAAGCAUAAUGACCAUUGGUACUCCAACUAGAUAAAUUGGCAUAAGCGAGGAAGUCAUUAAUAGUCCACAUCAAAACUACACACAAAUUAAAGUUCUCAUUUCUUAGUACAUCGUAUGUCUCAACACCAGCCCAUAAUUGUUUUAACUCUUCAAUAAGUGGCUGUAAAUAAAUGUCGAUGUCGGAGGAAAAUUGUAAAGAACAAGCACUACAGACCAGGUACUGUACGUAGUGUUCAUGAUCUUGUAUGGAUUAAAUCAAUCAGAUGCUAGCCCAAGCCUCACACUCCUAGGAUCGCUUGCAAAGCUUGGAAAUUUACUUUCAAAUGAUUCCCAAGCUAAAGAAUCUACCGGAUACCUUAGUAAUCCAUCAUUGGUUCGUCCAUCAUGGUGCCACGUCAUCGACUUGGCCGUCUUCGAUGACAUGAAAAGCCUCUGAAGCCUUGGUAUUAGUGAAAAAUAUCGUAAAAUCUUAUUUGGCUUCUUCCUUGACUGUGCGUCAUUUUCAUCGUCAUUCCCAUAAUCUGUGUUUCUAUUCAUCCAACGAGAUUGGCCGCAUACAUGACAACACUGCUGGUUUUUUUUUAUCACCCCAAUACAACAUGCAGUCAUUCGGGCAACUAUGAAUUUUGUUGUACCCAAGACCUAAAUCUUUUAUCAUUUUCUUUAUAUCUUUACAUGAGUGAGGGAUUUUUGCAAACGAAAACAUAUCUCUUAAAAACUCUAACAGCGUUGUCAAAGAGUUUCUGGUCCACCCUCCCAAACAUUUUAACUGAAAAAGACAAAUAUAGAAUGACAUUUUUGAAAAUUUUGAUUCCUCAUAAAGUUCUUUGUUCAUUUCAUUAAGUAGCUCGUAGAACUUCGCCGCUUCUCCGUUCGGCUCUUCAUGACGUACACUUCUUCUCGGUUCGGUAAAAGCAUCUCCACCAAGAUUACAAUUAUCAGGUGCCACAAAGUCAGCUGGGAACGACUGCAAACCAUGAUUGUGCAUAUUAAAUGCAUCCCGCAACAUCCCUUCCAUGUCAUCCCCUCUAACAGACUGAUGGUAAUUAGUACCAAGAUAAGAUACAUCCAUCCUUGAAGAGGAAGUACUAGGCGGGCAUUCUCCAUGAAAAAGCCAUUGUUUAUAACCCCGAGCAAACCCAUCAACAAUUAGAUGCUCGUAUACAACUUCACGAUAAUGCUAGUUUAUAUUGACACACUUCUUACACGGGCAAAGAAUCAUGUUCUCUUGGCUUGCACAUUGAAAUGAAAAAUUUAGAAAAGUUUGUACUCCAUUUCGAUAACCAUUGCUUACCCUUGACAAAUUCAUCCAAGACCGGUCCAUUUCUUUAUUCUUGAAGUCUGAUGUUGACAAUAAAUUACAAGGGUAAGUUGUUCAGUUAUAACCUUAUAAAUGACUUAUGUAAGUUACGUAAGUUAUGUAAGUAAUGUAUUAUGUAAGUUGUGUAUAAUAUUAUUUAAGUUAUGUAAGUUGUGUAUUAUGUAAGUUACGUAAGUUAUGUAGGCUAUGUUUUAUGUAAGUUACGUAAGUUAUGUAGGCUAUAUUUUAUGUAAGUUAUUUAAGUUAUGUAAGCUAUGUAUUAUGCAAGUUAUGUAAGUAGUGUAUUAUGAAAGUUAUGUAAGUUGUGUAUUAUGUAAGUUACGUAAGUUAUGUAGGCUAUGUAUUAUGUAAGUUAUUUAAGUUAUGUAAGUUAUGUAAGUAGUGUAUUAUGAAAGUUAUGUAAGUAGUGUAUUAUAUAAGUUAUAUAUUAUGAAAGUUAUGUAAGCUGUGUAUUAUGUAUUAUGUAAGGUAUGUAAGUUGUGUAUUAUGUAUUAUGUAAGGUAUGUAAGUUGUGUAUUAUGUAUUAUGUAAGUUAUGUGAGUUGUGUAAGUUGAGUUAUGAUAUAUAUACAUAAUUAAGUUAUGUAUGUUACGUGAGUUAUGUAAGUUGAGUUAUAUAUAAGUUAUUAACCCCUGUAAGUUAUCUGAGUUAUAUAUUGGUUAUAUAUACAAAAUAUAGGUUUUAAUAUUUAAAAUACACAUAAAAUAGGUAAUAUAUCCAUACUAAUAUAGGUGAUAUAUUAAAAAUAUAGAUUUUAAUAUUUAAAAAUAUAAAAUAAAUAAUUAUGUUUAAAAUUUAAAAAGUUAUUAGUAAUGAAUUUGAAAUAUAGGUUAUAUUCCCAUACUAAUAUAGGUGAUAGAUUAAAAAUAUAGGUUUUAAUAUUUAAAAAUAUAAAAUAAAUAAUUAUGUUUAAAAUUUAAAAAGUUGUUAGUAAUGAAUUUGAAAUAUAGGUUAUAUUCCCAUACUAAUAUAGGUUAUAUAUUAACAAUAAAGUUUAAACAUAUUUAAAAUAUAAUAUUUAUAAAUAUUUUUAAAAUUUAAAAAAUAAUUAGUAAUGAAUCUGAAAUAUAGGUUAUAUUCCCAUACUAAUAUAGGUUAUAUAUUAACAAUAUAGUUUAAACAUAUUUAAAAUAUACUAGUUAUAAAUAUUUUUAAAAAUUAAAAAGUAAUUAGUAAUGAAUCUGAAAUAUAGGUUAUAUAUUUGAUUAAAAUAUAUAGGUAAUAUAGGUAAUAUUUGAUUAAAAUAUUAAGUAAAAUUAAUUAAUUAAAAUAAAUAAUAAAGAUAUAUUUGACCAGUAGUUCCUCGACCGCUAGCUAAGUCGAUGAUAGUAAAAAAAAUUCCAGCGCGCUCAUUUUCUUUAUAGUUACCACAAACUUUUCCGACAAUUUUAAGUCCCGUUGUAAAUAGGAUUAUUUUGACAGCAUUUUAAAGUGCCGGUAAAAGUCAAAUUUAGAUUUAAAUUUAAAUAUUAAUAUACGAAACAUUUUCAGACCUUCAUAAUUGUCAGAAAAAAAUCAUAUUCGCAUUAAAUAAACAGGAAUUUAUGGUCUGUUACCUUGACAGACACGUUGUACAUAUGCAAUCGCAAGAAUCAGUUCAUCAAUGGAAGCAGACUAACAACAAUACAAAAGUUUAGAAACCUUAGAACAUUUAGAUGAAAACCGAGUAAUCUUAAAUGCUUCAUAUAUUUUGUUAAGCACAAGAUAACCUGCUGAUUUAUAUAACCAAACUAACUUCAACAAAAUUAAUUGCUUCAUAACAGAAGAACUUAGUAACCAACUUCAACACACUUAACUAACAGGAACUGCACUGUCUACAGUGGGUUCAAUAGUACAAGUCUGUUGUUCACACUUUCUAAACAUUUCCUUAGGUAGAACAAUUUAGUCUGCAUAAUUUAUAUAAGUAGUAAACAAUAAAUAUGAUCAAAAAACAACAAAUAUUAAUAGAGUUAGUUGCAGACAGAAGCCAUUUUCAGACAUGGAUACUUAAUAAUAAGGUUAGUCUUGGAAUUCCUAAAUAAAUCAAUGUCUGUAAGGAAUGAAGAUUAGCAAGAUAUAUAUAAGUUCACCAUGAUAUUGCUUCGAGCCAUGAGACAAAACACAGAACUAAUCAAAACCAGGCUGUUUAAACUGAUGGUUGAUAUAAUUUUAACAUUUGAACCUAAAACACUCCAAGGCAAAGUUCUAAAGGCUCUCCUCAAGCAACUAAAGAUACACAAUAUAUAAGAAGUGCUGUCAUUGCAUGUGCGUCCAACCAUAGAGCAAACUUAUAUAUUGCAACGUAUACUAGACAAAAGCAGCAUUGAUUUAAAUGCAUAGAUAAAAUUGGCGAUUGCCAAGUUUAAAGCAAAAUGAAAAGAAAAAACCAGUGAGAGGUACCAAAUUAAAACAGACGAUAUACAACAUUAACCUAAUUCCAGCAAAAAAGACUUGCAGCAACAUUAACCAAAUUCCAAAUUAAAAGAUGCCCCAACUACAAAUAUACCAAAUUUGCUUCAAACCAGUGAGAGGUACCAAAUUUGCAGACUAAAUUGCUAAAACUAAAUUGCUACAGUCAAAAUGAAAAGAAAAAACUAAGAAAAAAAAUACUACUCUGCCUCUGCCUGACUACAUUGCUAAAACUGCAUGAUAUUCGAGACAAUAAUGCAGUAUCGAUAUAUUUUAAUUAAAUUAUAAACAAAAUAAUCAUCAUGAACUUGUUCAAUAAAACUGUUUUUACAUAAACUUAAGUGAAUAAUAAACUUUCUAAGUAUCUAAAUCAAAAUAUUAUAAAAGCGUAUUUUUUAUAUAAAAAUCUAUUACAUUAUAUGAGUACUAACUGUAUAAUACAUAACAGGCUGAUUAAACUGCAAAUAGGAAGACAAAACAAAGGUCCUGAUUCCUUUAACAAAAAACGAAUAGAAAGACAAAACAAGGUUUAGAAUAUGCUUUAAAAUCGUUUUUAAAAUCGAAAAUAACUUUAACCACAAACAAAUUAAAUUAGGCAUUCGAAAGCCUACAUUCUACGGUCAAAAUGUAAGACAGUCAAGUCGGUUAAAACCCUAAACAGACUAAAUUGGCAAACCUAGAAUUAAGAGAGAAGAAAACAAUACCUUUAGAAAGAUGAAGAGAAAUUAAAUCGGUUCGGAUCAAAUUCCACGAGUAAAUUCCAAAAUGCGAACGUUUUCGGAAACCCUAAAACCAAGGAUGAACUUCAAUGUUAACGAUUCAAACGAGUAAAUUCCACGAGUAAUUUCGCAAAAACCCUAAACACGCAAAAGAAAAAAAUAAAAGAAAUCAAACUGGUUCAAGCUUACCCAAAAAACAGAAUCUCCACUGCUCUGUCUUCGUGUAAAUGCCGUGAAGAAUCGAAUAAGUAACGAUAUAUUUGAAGAAUCGAACAAACAAAAAUAAAACCAACAGCAGUUUUACAGGAUCAACUCAGUGAAUGACUGGAAUUAGGGAUUUGGGAGAGCUUUCGAAGGGGAAUUAGGGAUUUGGAAGGGGAAGAUUUCUGUAAUUAGGGGCUGGGUGCAGGAAAGGGGAACAAAAAUGUCACUCUAAGCAAAACGACGACGUUCCGAUAUAAUUUUUCAGUUCCUGAAACAAAACGGCGACGCUUUCAACAUUUUCUAAUACACACGUUUUCAGCCAAAACGCCGCUAAAGCUUGCAAUUUGCGGUGAUUUUGAGAAAAACGCCACUAAAGCGUUAAAAUCAUUUAAGCAAACGAUGCCAUUUUUGUGCACUUUUUUAUACAUUUUUGCGGCGUUUCUAUAAAAAACGCCGCUAUUGCAUACCUUCUGCGGCAUUUUUCACAAAAACGCCACUAAAAAUCAAAUUCCUAUGACCAAACGGCGCCGUUUUGUAUAAUUUUUAACACAUUAUCGCGGCGUUUUUGGUCCAAACGUCACUAAUGUUAAAAUUUUUUUAAAAUUUAAUUAUUUAAUAAAAUUUAAUUAUUCUAUGAAGUCAGGUUGUGUUUUUCAAAAAACUACUUAAUCUAAACCCUAAACCUCUAACGCUUAACCCCUAGCUAACUCCUAAACCCUAAGCCCCAACCUUGAACCAUAAACUACAAACCAUACUAAUCCAUGAACUCUUAACCCAUAUCCCUUAAACCUUGAAUCAUAAAACAUUAACUAUAAACCUUAAACCCCUAACCCUUAACCCCCAACACCUAAACCUUAAACCCUAACCCUUAAACCAUAAUCCUAAAACCCUUAACCUAUAUUCGUUACACCCUAAAUCAUAGAACAUAUAUAAAUUCUAAACCCUAAAUCAUAUAUAGAGCAUAUAUAAACUAAAAACCUUAAACCCUAACCCUUUAACAAUAAACCAUAACCCCACAUCCAUAAUCCCUAAUCCGCUAAUGCGUCUAAAGCUUAACAAAAAAAGUUGCUUAACUUUUUCUGGUGUUUUCAAAAAUCGCCGCUAAUGCUUGACUUUUACGGCGCUUUUUGUAAAACGCCGCUAAUGACUGUAACGCUCAACAAAAAAUGAAGCCGUUUGCUUAAAAUUUUUGCAGCGCUUCUAAAAAAGCGCCGCUAAUACUUGACUUCUGCGGCGUUUUUAUAAAAGCGCCACUAAUGUCUGUAAACCUCAACAAAAAACAUUGUUGUUUGCUUAUAAACUUUUGCGGUGCUACUGUGAAAGCGCGGCUAAUUCCUGACUUUUGCGGUGUUUUUAGGAAAGCGCCACUAAUGUCUCUAAAACUGAAAAAACAAACGACGUCGUUUGCUUGAAACUUAUGUGGGGCUUUUGAAAAAGUGCUGCUAAUGACUGACUUCUGCGGCGUUUUUCAAAAAGCGCCACUACUGUCUGUAAAGCUCAACAAAAAUGACGUCGUUUGCUUAGAAACUUUUGUGGCACUAAUGAGAAGGCACCGCUAAUGCUUGACUUCUGCGGCGUUUUUUGGAAAGCCCCACUAAUGUGUCUAAACCUCAACAAAAAAAAUGACAUUGUUUGUUAAAACCUUUGCGAACAAAAGUGUCGCUAAUGCUUGACUUCUGCGGCAUUUUUUGGAAAGCGCCACUAAUGUGUCUAAACCUCAACAAAAAAACGUCGUUUGUUAAAACCUUUGCAGCGCUUUUGAGAAAGCGUCGCUAAUGCUUGACUUUUGCGGCUUUUAUUUAGAAGCGCCACUAAGGUAUUUGAGGCUCAACAAGAAAACGACAUCGUUUGCCUUACCCUUUUGUGGUGGUUUUCGAAAAACGCCGCUAUUGCUUAUAUUUUGCGGUGUUUAUUUAAAUUUGCCGCUAAUGCUCGAUUUCUUGCUGCGUUUUUUUGUUAAAACACCGCUAUAAACGCCGCUAAAAGCCUGUUUUGGUGUAGUGAAAUUUACUAAGUUUUUGGGGUUUUGAGUUUUUGAGUUUAUCAAAAUCACAAAUAUAUAUAUAUAUAUAUUUAUAUAUAUAAAUUUAUCAGCAUUUAGUUAUAUGUGUUUCAAUAUAAUUACUUUUUAUAUUUAAUUACAUGUGUUUGAGAAUAAAGUUGAUAGAAUUUUUAAAUAUGGUGGGUGAUAUUUAUUAAAUUAUUUAGAAUACAAAUCAAAUUAAUAAAAUGUGUAAGUAUUAAGGAAUAAAAGUGUUAUUAUGCCAGUUGGAAAAGACAACAUCAUCACUUCUGUUAACUAUUUAACGGAGAGUGAUCACAAUAGAAACAAUCUAAAGUGUGAGUAUUCAAAAUAGAAAUAAUCUAAAACGUUAGUGGCUAAAUUUAAAAAUUUCAUAGUUGGGUGACUAAUUCUAUAGUUUACUUUAGAUGGUAGAAGCAAUUAGGAUUAAUUCCACCAAACAUCUCAAACUAUUACUCAUAUUUUAAAUUGAACCCUAAAGUUAUAUACAUUCUAAUUAAAUUACUCAAAUAGAAUGUGAUUGUACUAGGCCUAUUUUGCCCGAGCCCAAGACAAAUAAAAUAAAAAAUAACAGUCCAAAUUACAAAACAAAAUGGCAGGCCCAAACUCAAAUAGCCCAAAACUAAACAAACCCAACAACCUAAAACUAAACACAAACCCUAGCCCCCCUAAACCCUAAUGCGCCGCACCUAGCUACCUGCCAUUGUCAGUCUGCCGCCGCCCCUAUCCUCUGCUGCUGUCAGCACUGCCACCGCCGAAGCCACCAACUCCACUUGCCACCGCCCCUUUUAAAUUUCAUUCUAAUUUCAACUUAGUCCUUAUUUAUUUAUUCAUUUAUUAUAAUUUAGACUAUUAAUUUCGUUUUGCUUUCGAUCUAAUCCCUUAUUUAUUUAAUUUCAGCCUUUCAUGAUUUUUUUAUUUAUUAUUUACUUGUUUAUUUAUUAUUGCCUCGCUUUUUAUUUUAAAACUUAUAUGGUUCAUAUUUGUAUAUUGUUGCCAUAUUGUCAUUGUUAUUUAGUUAUUUUUUUAUUAUUUUUGAUACUUUUCAUGUCACGUCCUUUUUAAUCAUGCAUCUUCCUUUUAUUUUUAUUUUGAGUUAUCUUGUUUAUUUUAUUAUUAUGAUUAUAUUAUUGUUAUUACAACAUCCCUUUAUUUAUUUAUAUUUUAUCAUUCACUAAUCUUAUGUUAUCCUUUUAUGGACUUUGCUUUGCUUUGUUUUAUUUUAUUUUAUUUUAUCUAUUAUUCCCUUACUUUUUUUUUAAUUUUGUGUUUUUAAAUUCCUCUUUCGUGUGCCCUUUUUUAUGUUUCAUAAUUGUUAUCAUUAUUAUUUAUUAUACUUUUUGUUAUUUGUAUUAAUAUUAUGAUUAUGAUUAUUAAUAUUAUAAAUCGACAAUUUUAUCGUUACCAUUGUAUUAUUAUCAAUCACUAGCAUAGCAUCUUCAGUUUAUCUUUUAUUUGUUCAUUUGUUCAUUUAUUUGUUUGCCUAAUAUUUUAAUAUCGUAUCUUUGUUUCUCUACUACCAUGUUAUCUUAUUUUUUGUCAACACCAUGUCACGGACCGUAUUCGAAUAUAUUUACCCAUUUUUAUACUAUGCUUAAAUAAGUUAAAUGUGCAUUUCUUAAAAUUUUAUAUUCAUUUUUUUACUCGAUGUAUAACAAGAAAUUUUUAAAAUCAAAGUAAAUGUUCAUUAUUUUCGGAAUUAGAAGAGCCGUGUUCCUAACUUACGGAAUAUGACUUUCUCCUAAAACCAAAAUAGUCGAACAUCUAUUUCAAAAAAUAAAAACGGGAUUUAAGUGAUGAUUAGAUGGAGUUCUUUUUUGUUCUCGAGGAUCUAAGGCAUUGUGUCCUAACUUACGGGACAUGGUCCUUUUUUCUCGAUUAACUUAAAAUAAGCCCCUUUUCAUGAAAAUUAAUUUAGUAAAGUAAUGUCUUAACAAAGGACCGUAUUUUAAAUCUCUUCAAAGUUUUCAAUUUUCAACACUAAGGCACUAAUUAAUCGACUAGGUACCAAUUUUGGGCGUAACGAGGGUGCUAAUCCUUCCUCGUACGUAACCGACUCCUGAACCCAUCUUUCUAAAUUUCGUGGACCAAAAUCAUUGUUUUAAUAAAUCAAAUCGUUUAUUAAAAUAACUACUCUUUUUUAGGUGACCCGAUCACACCUCAUUAAAAAGGAUUGGUGGCGACUCCCGUGUUCAUUUUCAUUUUCAAAAUUAAAGUCGACCCCUUUUAUCAAAAAAUAGGUUUCGACAGUGAUAAUAUGUUAUGCUAUUAUUCAUCGAUAGUGCAUAGAACUUAUGCACCAACAAUACAUCAAAUAUUCUCAUUAAAAAAAUGUAUAAAAUAAGUUUUAUACCAUCUAUAAUUUGUAAAAAAAAGUAUCCAAUAAAAAAUAUAAAAACACAUAUCUAUAAUUUCACAAAAAGAAUUACAUUAAUCCAAACCAAAUCAUUUCUUUUUAUAAAUUCAAUUCCAAAUCUCCUGUAAUAAAUCAACCUCACAAAAUAUACAUCACACAAAUCUGAUUCAGGUUAAAAACAAAGAAUGCAUGUAUUGUGCAAUUAAAACCAUGAUCCAUAGUCAAUUCUAAAGUAUUGAACAUCUAAUUUUGCAUUAUUUUACCUCCCUUGAUUCUUCACAAACUCUUUGGAAUAAAUUAACCAUCUAUUCCUUAUUUCAAUUUUAUUAAAAAGAUAGGUUCCCAUAAAGACAGUCUUGACAAACCAGUGCACCUAUCAUAAACACAUCAGGGAACAUUGCCAUGAGAGAGGACCUAAGAAAACAUAAUACAAACUACAUAACAUACAAUCAAGCACCCACACAAAAUGUUUAUUAAACAGCUACAGAAAAAGGCCAGCAUACCACCAAGCAAUGAAGUUUUCUGUUCUGUUCGCAACUUGUUGAACUCGCCGAAGUGUUAGCUUCCCUACCUUUGUCCAAAUCUUUGUUGAACUCGCUCCACGAUCCUAAUCAACCACCAUGGUUUUCCAGUCGUGAAUACAAUGUAUGCCAUGCUCAUUCCCAGCACCAACCCAUAUCCAUACCCCAUCAAUUUUGAAAAUUUCCAAUUCAAUUCAUCACCAUCAUCAUCUCUAUCAAAUUUGGCUGGAGUUUCCUCAUCAAUACCACAGUUUUUUGAUAAUGGCAAACCACAUAAAUCCAAAUUUCCUAUGUAGGAAUCGUUAGUGAAAGUAUCAAAUUGUUUGCCUUGAGGAAUGGGUCCCUUGAGAUUAUUUUUAGAAAGGUUUAACACCUCUAAGAAUCCAAGAUUUUUUAACUCUGUUGGAAUUCUUCCUUGCAGCUUAUUUGAUGAGAGAUCUAAUGAUUCAAGCUCUGACAAAUUACCUAAAGAUGAUGGGAUAGGGCCUGUUAAACAGUUAUGGGAGAGAUUUAGGACAAUAAGUAAAUGAAGCUCACCAAGUAUUUUUGGAAUUUCUCCCCUGAAUUGGUUACUAGAAAGGUCAAUAAUCGUCCAAAUGGAUAAUAGUGAUUCAAACUUUAUUUCCUGCCCUUUUGCUGUAACAGAUAAACCAUAAGCAUAAUCCACCCAAAAUACACCAAAUGCAUCUUCCGUGGGCUUUAUUUCCCUCAUGUAAUUUGGUUCAACUUUCUUUCCAUACUCAUCUCUAAUGGCAUGCAUAUGCUCAAAAAAAAGAGUAGGUAAGUAGCCACUAAAACUAUUGUGAGAAAGAUCAAUGAUUCGCAAUUUAGUUAAAGAAACUGUAAUAUCAAAGCUCUCUAUUUGGCUGUAAAAUCUAUUCGACCUCAAGAUAAGAACAUGCAGCUGAUCCAAAUUUCCUAACCAACUUGGGAAAGUGUCAUUCAAAUUGUUGUUUCCAACAUUGAGAAGAUUUAAACCUUUGCAAUUACCCAAAGAUCGUGGUAGUGACCCUUCUAAUUCAUUGUUGUUGACGGAAAAACUUCUCAACAUGCAACCUUUAGCAAAAUUUUUUGGUAUUUGACCAUGAAAAUUAUUAUUCCCUAGAUGAACUGCUGUGAGAGAAGAAAUCAAGUUUCCGAUGCACUUUGGAAUUGUUCCCCCCAAAUUAUUCUCAUAUAAACAAAUACCCAUAAGGGAAGUCAAAUUGCAUAGUGAAGAAGGGAUUUCUCCAAUUAAGUUAUUAUUUGGAACUGCAUACCAUUGCAACAAAGGUGGUAGUGUUGGAAUUCGACCUUAGAGAUAAAAUUGAAAAUGAGAUAGAAUUAGGAGUUUGAAGAUUCUUUGGAAUAUAAAUUAUAAAAUAACUAUAUUUAUGAUGUAUUACAUGCAUGAUUAAUUUACUACACUACUUCUAACCAUUUUUAGAUGCAUCACAACAACUUUUAAGUUGUAAUCUAUUGAAGGAAACUACUACUAUCUUCCAGAGAAACUUAAAUGUAAAAAGGAUUGCAUAAAUGUAUAAAAAAUAGAAGAAAAAAAGAUAUCAAACUAUACGUAAUAAUUUCUUAUAGAAGAGAUAAUCAUUUAAUAUAUUACUCUUAUCUCAUUUUUUAGUGUUUAUUAUUAUUUUUGGUACAUUUAUGUAGGGGUGAGCAAAACUCGAUUCUAUUCGAAAAAAUCGAAAAAAAUUCCAAUUUCGAGUUAAACGAAUCAAGUUAUUCGAGUUAAUCGAGUUAUUUGAAUCAACUCGAAUUUUUUUCGAAUUUCGAGUUCGAAUCGAGUUGAGUUUUUGAAUUCGAAUAACUCGAAUAAUUCGAAUAAUUUGAAUAUCAAACUAUAAUAUUUUACAUUUUACCCUAAACUCCUACACCUUUUUACUUUUCCCUCAAAACUUUUACACCUUCCCACUUUCCCCCCAAAACUUUUACUCCUCUUCCCUCCCAACCCCCCAAUCUACCCAAAAUCCAUUUCCCACCAAAAUUUUACUCUCCCAUUUACUUUUUCUCAAAAUUUUACCCCCCAAAACCCUCAAAACAUUUUAUUUUCCCCCAAAAUUUUUACUCCCUCCCACUUUUCCCCUAAAAAUUUUAUUCCCUUCCCAUCUCACCUCCCAUCUACCCCAAACCCUCCCCCCUCCAAUUUUUUUUUAAAUAUUUUCCCUCCAAAAUUUUACUCCCCCUAUUUACAUUCCCUCAAAAUUUUAUUCCCUAAAACUUUUUAUUUUCCUCCUAAACUUUUACUUCUCACCCUUUACUCUCAAAUACAAAAUCAAAAUUAUCCAAAAAAAAUAACUAAACAUAAAUAGUAAUAAUUUUAUUUGUAUCUACUAUUUAUAUUAUUAAUUUAAUUUCACAUUUUAUAUUAUUUAUAUUAUUGAAUUGUUUAGUCAUAUUGAAUAUUUAUAUUAAAAUUGAAUUAUUAAUUAUGCCAUAAAAUAUUCUUGUUAAAAUUUUAUAUUGGUAUCAAUUUCACAUUUUAUUUUUAAAAUAACUUUUAUUAAAAAAAUCAUAUUUUUACAUUUAAUAUAUUUUUUUAAUUCCAAAAUACAUAGUGACAAGAAUCUGAAGAUAAUUGAAACAACUAAGCAAGCAAAUAAGCUAACCAGUAUAUAAAAAAUUAAUAAAUAAAUUAUGAGGUGAUGAAAGUUAAUAAAAAUUUUGAUUAAGGUGGACAAAUUUUAUUACGAUGGGUGACAAUGGUUACAAAGAUCCCAAAAUUAUUUUUUAAAAAUUAACUCGAACAAAUAUAUUCGAUUCGAUUCGAUUCGAUUCGAAUUCUAUCUCACCCGACUCGAUUCGAGAAAACUUCAAAUAAAGUUAGGAUGAUAAAAUGAGAUUCGAAAACUCGAUUAACUCGAAAAUUUUCGAUUCGAUUCGAUCGAAUGCUCACCCCUACAUUUAUGUAUAUUUUAUAAUUUAUUAUUGGGAUUUCAGUAGUUAUUGUCAAGAAUAUCAUCUCUAAGACUUGAAUCUUGUUCUCUCCUUAAAAAAGCAAUAUGUCUUGCCAUUGCACCGAACAUUUGUUAGUGUAGUAUUUAUUACAACUACAAAUAAUUUUAACUAUCUUUUUAUGAAACUUUAAGUUAGAGGUCAAAUAAAAAAGCAAAUUAAUUGAUAUAGUGUUUAUCAUUUUAAGUAAAGUUAUAAAAUUUUUUCCUCACAAUUGAGUUAAUUUUGUGUUUAUAAUUUUUAUAAGAUUGAGAGUUAAUUGAGAUUGUAGCCUCAAAAUUGGUAUUAUGAAAGCCAUUUUUUAUGAGAAUACUUUUCUAUUUAACAAUGGUAGUCCAGCAUAAGCCCACUAAUCAAUUAGAAACUUGGGAAAAGAAUAGUGGCCUUGUUAUUCAUGUUUGGCAAAUUAAUAUACUUUGUUUCUCUCAUAAUAUAAAAUUAUGUCCUGCGCCUAAAUUAAUUAAACAAAUAAAUAAUAAGGCAAAUCAAAAAUGUAAAACUACGUCUAAAUUAUAAUUCAGAAUGUAAAUUAAUUAAUGUAAAAUUUCAAUUUAUUUAAAUCAUUAUUAUUAUCAAAUAAAUUCUCUUAAUAAAAUACUUUUAGUGAAAUUAGAAAUCUUACUUAUAAAUAAUAGGAAGAAGAAAUUUUGCUAUGAGCAAAUAGAAAAAUAGUCAAUAUUCUUAAUUAAUCAUUUUCAUUAAUUUAAGAGAUUUUGCAUGCUUAUUCUUUAUAUAUAUAUAUUAUAGAUGUAGAUUAUAAAUUGUAGACAAAUAAUUUGGUUGGGUUAGCAAAGCUGCAAAAGUUGAGAAUAAUAAUUUCUUAAAUUUAUAAAUUUAAGGUGAAAAAUUAAAUCCUAAUAGUUAAAAUAUCUACAUGUAAUUAAUGAAUAAGAAUUGCCAAGAAUGGCGUAAAAGAAAAAAAAGAGGAAGAAUUUAAAAUAUAAUUUUUAAGUUUAUAUCACAUGUCAUGUUAUAAUUGAAACCUAUUAUGGAAUUCACUAUUACUGACUCGAAACUCAAGUAGGUUAAGUUAUUGACCCACAACCCAAGUAGACUCAAAGGAAUUUGGGUCAGGCCCCACGAAGUGGGCAUAUUAGAGUUUGCACAUCCAAUUCGUAGGUAUGCUAGAGUUCACGGGCUUAGCUCACAAGACAAGCUUGCACAUUGAGUUCACACGUCUCUAUAUGCUCACAAGGAGAGGUGUUAGGUCAAGCACGUGGUCCAUGAACACGUGUUAAGUCUAGAACAAGAUAAGUGUUAGCAUGCAUAAAGCCUAUCUAAGACGUCAUUUUAGUGAAUAGUAACCGUAUCAUAUAAAUAUUGAUUCUUACCCCCAUAGUAGACACAAAGAGAAAAUACUCAACAAUUUGGUGCAGUGGGCAUGGUCAAACUUUUGAUCGACAGAUUUUCAACUUGUAACAACCCAAAUGAAAAUUUCCCGAUCAAUGUUUUGUCAGGAUAAGUUGGAGCUUCUAGUGCAAACAAUUAACCCAAUAAGACAAAUUUAUUUAUCGGGUGGUUUGCUAACCGGUCGAAAAAUUUGGGUGACACGGCCCAUGUAAGAGCUUCGAAUUCUUUGACUUAAAAUUUCCUUCUGGCUAGAGAUUGUCAUUCUCCUCUGGUUAGGAAGCAUCACCAGAGCAGUUUUUUGCUAUUCAGGAGUUGAUAAAGAUGAUGAAGAAACAAAUGACCCUGUAAAAUGUUAGAUUCGAACAAUAAUAGAUGUUUAGCAAGAGUUGUUAAAUUUGAAUAAGGAGCUCAGAAGGAAGGUGCAGUUUGAUAAUUUUGAUUUUCAUAAUAAUGUCACCAUGCAAGAAGAAAGUUUUGGCAUUCAUGCAAAAUCGUGGCAAAAUGAGAUGGAUGCUGUGUGAAGAGAUGUAAGGGCUUUACAUCUUGAAUCUCAAGAUGUGGAUUGACUCAUUUAUUCCAAUAAUCCACUGGCUUUUAAGGUAAAACCAUAAGCUUGCCAACUGUUUUUAAGGUUUCGAAGGAUAUGCUUAAAGGAAGAAGGGACCCGCGAGUGCAUCCCAUGCAGUAUAAUAAUUAGAUGAAUGUGCUGGAAGCUUUUGAUUUCGCGAAGUACAAGGCUUUUCGAAAACACUCAAGGGGGGCGAAGGAUUGAUACUUAUCUCUUCACUAGGGUUCCAUUCGUACUUUCUCUCAGUUGGGUCAGAUGUUCUUGGGAUGAUUCAGGGCAUAUAGGAUAAUUAUUAACACUCUUAUGGGUCUGAUGUUUGUGAAGCAAAGAGAGGGAGAAACUUUGCAGGAUUAUGUAAAGCAUUUCUAAGCAAUGACACUAAAUACUAAUAAUCUCAAAGAUCAGUGAGCCAUUGAUACUUUAAUCAUGGGUGUAAAGAAUAAGCAAAUGUAGUAUUCUUUCACUGACAAUAAGCCUUAAAGAAAUAAAAAGAACAGCUUGUGGGACAUUCCAAAGAGAUGAGAGGAAUUUUAGAAACAUGGAUAGAGCUCGUAGUGGACAGGGUCUACUUUCUCAGGCUUUAUGUGUAGAAAAUGGAGGACAGCAAAAAGGGCGAUCGUGAGUGUUGACACCAUUUUUUGGAUGAAAACGGGGUCAACUUAGGUUUUGACGAAAACGAAAAAAACGGGAGUCGCCACCAAUCCUUUUUAAUGAGGUGUGAUUGGAUCACCUCGAAAAGUGGUUGUUUUUAAUAAACGAUUUGAUUUUAUUAAAACAACAAGUUUGGUCCACGAAAUUCAGAAAAACGGGUUCGGGAGUCGGUUACGUACGAGGAAGGAUUAGCACCCUCGAUACGCCCAAAAUUGGUACCUAGUUGAUUACUUAAUGUCUUAGUGUCGAAAAACUGAAAACUUUAAAGAAAUUUAAAAUACGAUCCUUAAAAAAAAACUCAAAUGGCAUGGAUUAAAAUUCAAGAGGAUAUUUGGCAAUUUGGUUAAACGAGAAAUCAAAACCCAGUACCUUAGGGCACGUUCCUCGAAUUUCCAAACGCAAAACAUUGCCUUAUUUUGUAAUUUUUGAAAAGGAUAUUAAGCCAUUUGGUUGAACGAGAAAAAUCGACACCCAGCACCUUAGGGCACGUUCCUCGAAUUUCCAAACACAGAACAUUGCCUUAUUUUGAAAUUUUUGAAAAGGAUAUUAAGCCAUUUGGUUGAACGAGAAAAAUCAACACCCAACACUUUAGGACAUGUUUUCUCGAAUUUCUAAACGCAGAACAUUGCCUUAUUUUUGAAAAGGAUAUUAAGCCAUUUGGUUGAACGAGAAAAAUCAACACCCAGCACCUUAGGGCAUGUUUUCUCGAAUUUCCAAACGCCAAAUAUUGCCUCAAUUAGAAAUAUUUUCCCUUUUUUUUUUUGAAAUAUGAUAUUUAUAUGCAUGAUGGAAUAAUAAACAUGAUGAUGUGAAUAAAAAAUAUGAACAAAAACGAAUAAUAAAAUGAAUCAAUCAUGCAUAUACCAUAGCAAAUAAAUACAUAAAUAAACUAAAGCAUAAAAAUGAACAUAUAAAUAAGUACAUAAACGAACAUAAAAAAAGGAAAAUAGAUGAAAAUUAUAAAAUGAGAAAUAUGUAUAUAUAAGGGGACUAUAUAUGUAUGUAUAUAAAAUUAUGAAAAUGUGAAAAUAUAUAUAAAUUAUAAGAUAUAAAAAUAUAAGUAUGUAUAUCGUAAAAUAAAACAAUGUAAGUAUGUAUAUAUAUAUAAAAAAUAGAUGUGUAUACAUAUAUCUUAUAAAAAUGAAUGAUGGAUAUAGACGUAUAUGUAUGUAUGUAUAACAAAACAUAUGCAUUUAUAUAAGCUAAAAAACGUGUCUAUAAAGAGAUAUAUAGAUAUAUAUAAUAAGAUGAUAUAUAAAAAUAGUUAUAGUAGUAAUAAUAAUAGGACAAAUAUAUUCAAAAUUUAAAUAACUAAAUAUAAAUAAAAUAUAACAAUAACAAUGUAAAACUAAAUGGUAUAAUAAUAGUAACGUAAAUAUACAUAUAUAUAAUAGGAAAAUAUAACAAUAAUAUUAAUAAUAUAAUAAUAGUUGUAAUAGGAUUAAAAUAGUUAAUUUAAUAAUAAAAUAGCUAAAAAAAUUAAACUGAAAAUAAACUAAAUCAUAGGGGCAAAAUCAAAACUGAAAACAAACAAAUGGAUUAAAUUGUGACUCGUGCGAAAAUGGGAAGGACUAACUAAGAAAUUAUCUCCUGUCAGUCAAAUGGUGUCGUUCUGCCAAAACCCAGACACAUGGGCUCUGGAGCAAAUUGAAACAGAUGUGGAAAUCCGGGGUAAAAUUAAAACAAAUAAUAAAAGGGGAUAGGACCCAAUUGUAAACAGCCUCAAAAGCGGAAGGACUGAAAGCGCAAAUAACCCCUCAAGUCUAAAAACACGCGGAUCCUAGGUGGUUCGGGUCGGGUCGGGUCGGAAGGCCUCUAAACGAUGUCGUUUUGAGGCCGAACGAAACAGGCCAAAACGGCGCCGUUUCAUUUUAGCAUUUAAACCAAAAAUUUCUUCUAAAAUUCAUUCCCCUCCACCCCUUAAAAAAAAUUUGAAAACUGUUUUUUCCUCUCAACAGCCCCCCUCUUUUUCCCCAGAGAACGACCAAGGUCCCGUCGAAGGGCCACCGCACCGGCCGCCGCUCGCCGGUGUCGGAACCGCCGUGCACGGCGGCGAGGCGGUCAAGAACUUUUGUUUUUUUUCUUUAGUUUUCAAGCCCUUCCUCCUUGAUUCAAUAGAUCGAAGAAAAGGGACCUCCUACGCCCUUUCUCGGUCCGAUUUCAACGACUGAAGGGACCCCCGACAACAGUUGUGGGAUCUACCAGGUACUCCCUUUUCUCUUCGUUUUUUAUGUUUAUAUAAAUAGAGAAAAAUUGAAAAAUAAAAAUAGAUCUAAAAAUAUGAAAAUCACCUUAAAUGUUUUUUUGUUUUUUAUUAUCUGAAAUUUUUGUGAAAAAGAACCAGCCCCCUUUUACAAUCUGUUAAAUGGCUUUAUAUAGCCUUUUUCAUUACAAAUCCCCCACUUGCUACUGCUAUGGUUUUUCUUUAUUGUUUGCAGGUGAAGCAGGUGGAGACGUGACGUGUGGCGCGACGCGGCAGGAGGUCAGGGGUCAGAAGACCCUAGGUGCGGCGCACCUAGGGCUAGGGUUUCCAGACCCCUUUUUUUGCUUUGCUUUGGGUCGUUUGAGCCAUGGGAAAUUGGGCUAGACAUUGGGCUUUGGCAUGUAAUUGGGGUUUGGGUUGUUUUGUAGUGGGCUUUGGGGUUUGUUUUUAUAAUUGGGCCCCGGGGCAAAUUGGGCUUGUACAGCUACCCCUCUUUGCUCGUUGUCGUGUAACGAGAACAGAGCAAAGACUAAGAAAGACCAAUUUGCCCGAUCUCGCUGAGUCUUGACUUCUCUUGACGCAUCUUCUCUUCAAGUAGCUUUAUCCCAGUCCACUGUGUCUCGUUGCUUCGAUCCACUUCAUUGCACUUCAGGAAGGUCUGACUUGUAGCUUCAAUCUUCUUCGCAGCAACUUCAGGGGGACGAUGUUUGUGGUUCUAGUCUGCUCCACUACAAUGUUAGGGAGAUAAGAUUUGUUGUGGUAGAUUUAAUCCGCCCUACUGCAACCUCAGAGGUAUAGGAUUCAUCAUUUCAAUCCACUCCACUACAACUUCAGGGAGAUAGGAUUAUUAUUUUCAACUUGCUUUACUGCAUAAAGUCUGAUGUGAUCUGCUCUUCUGCAACUUCAGAGAGAUAAGAUCUGUGGUUUUAAUCCGCUCCACCGUAACUUCAGGGAGAUAUGAUUGAUUUCUUCUGUCUGCUCCACUACUGCUUAGGGUGAUAGGACUAAUGGCUUAAAUCUGCUUCUCCACUGUAUUGGGAAGAUAAGAUUCACCAUCUUCAAUCUACUCCACUACUGCUUAGGGUAACAGAAUCUACAAUCUUCAACCUACUCCAAUACUGCUUAGGGUGAUAGGACUAAUGGCUUAAAUCUGCUUCUCCACUGUAUUGGGAAGAUAAGAUUCACCAUCUUUGAUCUGCUCCACUACUGAUUAGGGUGACGGAAUCUGCGAUCUUCGACCUACUCCACUACUGCUUAGGGUGAUAGGACUAAUGGCUUAAAUCUACUUCUCCACUGUAUUGGGAAGAUAAGAUUCACCAUCUUUGAUCUGCUCCACUACUGAUUAGGGUGACAGAAUCUGCAAUCUUCGACCUACUCCACUACUGUUUAGGGUGAUAGGACAAAUGGCUUAAAUCUGCUUCUCCACUGUAUUGGGAAGAUAAGAUUCACCAUCUUCGAUCUGCUCCACUACUGAUUAGGGUGACAGAAUCUGCAAUCUUCAACCUAUUUCACUGCCAAAUACAGGAAGAUAAGAUCUGCUAUUUUCGAUCUCCUCCACUGCCAAAUACAGGAAGAUAAGAUAUGCUAUCUUCAUUUAUUUGUUCUCUAGGGAACAUGACCUGUAUGUUCUAUUUUAUGAACCUAAUUAUGCCUAGUGAUUAGGAUGACAUGAUCAGAAUGAAUCAAAUACUCCUAACUAGAUGUGUAUGAAUGGUGUUCGCAUGAAUGUAAAAUUUUAUUUUUCCGAGAAUGAUCCCGCUUAGGUUGUCAUUACUCGAAGUUUAUUAAGGCUUUGUAACUAACGUGCUACGACGUCUUCUUGCUUAACUGGCUUUUCUGAAGAAACAUUUAGUCAAGUUGCCCCCCACUGUGAACCUCAAAGUUUAAUCCAUUGGGGCGCAAAAUUUGUACCAUCAAUUUCCACUGUAACCCAAUGGUGGAAAAAUAUGGCUUUUCUCAAUCUUCUCCUAUCGCAAUUCAAGGAUACAAAAUGUAAAGCUUUUUGGUCCCCUACACCAUUCCCAAUGUGUCAUACCAAAUGUUUAUGCACAAUUGCAAAAUUUUUUCUCCGAAAAACAACUUCUUCUUAUCACUCGGUGAUCGCUGCUUGUUUGUUCAUUGAAGCUUUGUCACCAAUACGACAUCUUGUUAUUUUGUUCAAUCAAUGUUUGGACAACAAAAUCUGAAAAGAUAGUAUUAACUUAGACUCUUCCUUAUUAGAUAUUUCGCCCUUUAAACUUGGUGUUUUCUAAAUAAUAGUCCUGUUUCAGGUUCCUAUAUUAUUUAGAAACUUCUAGAGUAAUAUGCAAAACUUCCAUUGUGAAAGUAUUAUUAGUCCAUUAAUAAUUAUUCUAAUGCAACAUGCUUGCAAAAAGAACAUAACGAUAGAUAAAAUAGAAUUGAUUUGAGAGCAUAGCUCGAAAUGAAUGAAUUAUCAAGGGUAGCAAGAAUAAAAGAGGAAUUGAUUGGAACACGUAUCUUGAAAAAGAAUGAAGUAUUCCAAGAACAACAACAAAUUCAAUAUAUAAAUAGUAUGAAGGUUAGGUGCCCUAGAUAUCGCAGCUUGAACUUCUCUGUACAAACUUUCUAAAGACUUUCCUGAGUUUGACAUGUGUUUAGGAGAUCUACAGGACUCUGUCGAUGCCCCAAGAUGUCGCCUUACCCUUUCAGGUAUAGCAAGAUCACCACGUGCCCCAAUCUGAUCACUUCAUGCCCCAUCUUGAUCAAUAUUUGAGCCGCCCUUCGGGUUUUCGACUCAAAUCCCCUUUGGCCUAAGGUGCCCUUUGCGGGUUUUCCCCUUAGUCCUUCCUUCUUCUUUAAAUGAAGUGUUUCUUAAUUGGAUCCGAGUUUAUAGGAUUGACAAUCUCACUCAGGAUCAGUGCUCCUCUGAAAAUGGUUUUCUUUACAACAUAGGGACAUUCAUGGUUUGGCAUUCAUUUCCCUUUAGAAUCCUUUCGUUAAGGAAGAAUCUUUUUCAACACCAGCCCUCUCGUGGAAUUCUCUGAGACGAGCCUGUUUAUUAUGGGCUCAUAUUAUUUAUUUAUGGUACAUCUGACCCUGAUGAAUAGCUUCUAACCCUUUUCCUAGGGCCAACUGAUCACAUCGCGAUAGGAUCCCUCCAACAAGCAAUGAGGGGAUUUUAAUAGGUAAAACUACCUCAAUCCUAUAAACCAAAAAGGGAGGCGUUGCCCCAGUACCGAUGUUCGACAAACAAUGAGGGCAAAUGGUAAUUUCUUAUGCCAGUCCUUAUCCACCUCUAAGUAAUUCGGUGACAAAAUGUGGUGUCUGUUUUUGAAUUGAUUUCAGACCUCAGUUAUCAUGCUAUUAUUUAAGUUCAAUGCAUUUUCCAAUACCAUCCUCUCUGAAAUUCUGUAUCGGUAUAGGAUAACCUUGAUCCAUGAAGUAACCUCUCAAAAAGUGAAGCAAUGCCCAUUAGAAGUCUUCGAUAAUGGUGAUGUCCAUGCCCCAUUUUGUUCAAAAUUUGAGUCGCCCUUUUUCGGGUUUUCAACUCAGAUCCACCUUUGGUCAAAGCGCCCUUUGCGGGUUUUCGCCUUGACCUCUCCUUUUUCUUUUUCUUUUUAUUUCUUUUUUCUUUUUUCUUUUUCUCCUAUUUUUGACUUUUAUUUUUUGAUUGAUUUUUUUUUGAUUUUUUGAUUUUUUGAUUUUUUUGAUUUUUUUUUAGUCUGAACUCAUGAGAUCAGACAAGUCCUGGUCAUGUUUUUCGACCAGAAUCAAUGUUAUUCUAAAGUCUUCCACAUAAGAUCUCCCACUUUCAUCUUGUAUGUGAGAAACCUUCUUUGGUACCAGAUUUCUUUCAUAGAGCCCUUUUGGUACGCAACUGCGACAGAAAAAUUUAGAUCUUCCUCUUUAGUCAGGAUAAAAUCCAACAACAUCUCUAAGGGAUGGAAACUCGACUUCAAAUGGGCAAAGCUAUGCUGACUCAACGAGAGAGGCAUUGCCCCGACAAAGAAUUGCAUCAUUCGCACUGUAAAUUUCUGACAUCGUGCUGUUGUGCAGGCUUUAUUAUAAGAAUCGAGGCAUACCCUGGUAUGAUCAUACAAAGACAUCUUUGAACUCUAGAGGUAACUCAACAAGGUCUUGCUUCGUUUCUGUGGUCAGGUCAAUUCUAGUCUUCACCAAGCUCACAAUUUCUAAUGAUUCCUUAAGAGGUAGGAUCUAUUUAUCCUCUUGUUCUGCCAUCCUCAACAAGUCCGGAGAUAGGCUACAAUCUAUGUCAUCUUCAAAGUCGUGAGAUCCCUCUAAACACAUGUCUCACUCAAAAUGAGAUUCUGAGUCUGUAGCAGUGUCAUUCAUGUCAUUGAUAUUCAGGGACCUAUUCUAGGUACAAGAGAAUAUACAAAGAAUGUAUGAAUUUAAGAAUAAUUAUUUGCACAGUAUGAUUAUGAAUGAAAUAAUGAUUUGGAUGAAAGAAUAAAAGAAUAAUCAUUCAAGAAAUGAAAGAAUAUUGGUUCAAAAAAUCGCAAAGAUGCAUUCCAUUGAAAUAAUGACGUUCAGACAUGAGCCUAUUUCACAAAAGACUUCUUGUUGCUUCUAGGCUAAAAGCAACAAGUGUGUUUUGAAUAUUACUCUGAGUAAGCUCUAAAUACUACAGGGAUAUCUUCUGCAGUCUAAUUAUUUAGAACACUCCCGAGUUUAUAAGGGCGGAUAUCUAACAAGGUCCCUUUUCAGUUGUCUUCAUGUAUGACAUUGAUAUGAACAUUUUUUGACCUCUUCACAAAACUCUAUCUUGCUGGACCUUAGGUUACCGCUCUUAUAUUUGCAGUUGUAGUUGGUCUUGCCUCCCCCUUUGGAAUCGUUCAAGUUUUUUAAUCUUUGGUCCAUGUUUUUUUUUAUUCGGGUACCGCAAAAAUGUUGGUUUUCCAGACUUUUCUGAAAUAAUUUUACCUAAUUAAGGUCACUUCGUGAAAAUCUAAUGCAUAUGAUGCAAUGUAAUGCAAAUGCAUGAAAUGAAUGCCUAAAGAGACGUUGAUUCUGAUUCAAUUACAUUUAGGAAGCUUUUCUAGAAAGUAAAUUCCCUUACACAAAACGGAUACAUGUACGACCUCACCCACAUAUUCCAAGAAACAUCGGUCUUUUUCUUCAUCUGCAUGCUUGAGGUAAUCUCGCCAAUAGAUGCCAUUGCUAGCUCAUUUUCUUGAUCUUGGUCGCGAUCCAUCAUUUGCCCAUCUUUAUAAGGCUCAUCAACUUGUCGAAGGCUUUUGGACAAUCGUCUCGAACCCUUAGGCCACGAAGUAAAGAUCACGAACUCUUUCAUCGCCCUUCUUGUGUUUCUCAGAAUAUAUUUGGGAAGUCGUAUUAUUUUCCACUUUAUCAAGGAAUCCGUAUUCCAUGACAAGCUUUCUAAUUUAGUAAUCGGACUUAAAUCAAUAUCUCUUUCCUAAGAUGCAGAUGCGAUGCAAUCAUAAUCAAAGCACAAUAAAAAGGGUUAGUACAAAAACAAACAAGGAAAACAGAAAGUAUCUAAUCGGGUGACUACUAUGGGUUUGGAGUGGCUCUAUCUAGGUUAAGUUCCUAAGUCCACUACAUGAGGUUUGGUUCAAAAGCAAAGGUACCCGAACCAGCAGAUUCCUCGAUCCUCUCCCAUUAUAGGCUCAUACGGACCGAGUUUGGUUCAGGGGAAUACAUUUCCCUAUGCCUGCACGGAGAUGAAAAUCUCACGAGGACAUAGGUACGGAUGUAUCCCGAAAGCGAUCCACUAUCCUGCACGGAGGUGAAAACCUCACGAAGGAGUAGCUUCUCGCUCCAACUUAAAAGGUGUGACCAACGGUCAUGCAAUGCAAUGUGCAGAGAUAUAUAAAAAAUUAAAAUACAAAACAUGAUUAUAACUCAAAACAAAUGAAAUGCAAUGAGAGGAUUGUAUAUUUAAACCAAAUUUUCAACUUUCGACAAAAAGACAAGAAAUAAUCAACUCGUGGCUUGACUCUCUUAUUUAAAAUCCCCAGUGGAGUCGCCAAGCUGUUGACACCAUUUUUUGGAUAAAAACGGGGUCGACUUGGGUUUUGAAAAAAUGAAAACGAAAAUGGGAGUCGCCACCAAUCCUUUUUACUGAGGUGUGAUUGGAUCACCUCGAAAAGUGGUUGUUUUUAAUAAACGAUUUGAUUUUAUUAAAACAACAAGUUUGGUCCACGAAAUUCAGAAAAACGGGUUCGGGAGUCAGUUACGCACGAGGAAGGAUUAGCACCCUCGAUACGCCCAAAAUUGGUACCUAGUUGAUUACUUAAUGUCUUAGUGUCGAAAAACUGAAAACUUUAAAGAAAUUUAAAAUACGAUCCUUAAAGAAAACUCAAAUGGCAUGGAUUAAAAUUCAAGAGGAUAUUUGGCAAUUUGGUUAAACGAGAAAUCGAAACCCAGCACCUUAGGGCACGUUCCUCGAAUUUCCAAACGCAAAGCAUUGCCUUAUUUUGUAAUUUUUGAAAAGGAUAUUAAGCCAUUUGGUUGAACGAGAAAAAUCGACACCCAGCACCUUAGGGCACGUUCCUCGAAUUUCCAAACGCAGAACAUUGCCUUAUUUUGAAAUUUUUGAAAAGGAUAUUAAGCCAUUUGGUUGAACGAGAAAAAUCAACACCCAGCACCUUAGGGCAUGUUUUCUCGAAUUUCCAAACGCAGAACAUUGCCUUAUUUUUGAAAAGGAGAUUAAGCCAUUUGGUUGAACGAGAAAAAUCAACACCCAGCACCUUAGGGCAUGUUUUCUCGAAUUUCCAAACGCCAAAUAUUGCCUCAAUUAGAAAUAUUUUCCCUUUUUUUUUGAAAUAUGAUAUUUAUAUGCAUGAUGGAAUAAUAAACAUGAUGAUGUGAAUAAAAAAUAUGAACAAAAACGAAUAAUAAAAUGAAUCAAUCAUGCAUAUACCAUAGCAAAUAAAUACAUAAAUAAACUAAAGCAUAAAAAUGAACAUAUAAAUAAGUACAUAAACGAACAUAAAAAAAGGAAAAUAGAUGAAAAUUAUAAAAUGAGAAAUAUGUACAUAUAAGGGGACUAUAUAUGUAUGUAUAUAAAAUUAUGAAAAUGUGAAUAUAUAUAUAAAUUAUAAGAUAUAAAAAUAUAAGUAUGUAUAUCGUAAAAUAAAACAAUGUAAGUAUGUAUAUAUAUAUAAAAAAAUAGAUGUGUAUACAUAUAUCUUAUAAAAAUGAAUGAUGGAUAUAGACGUAUAUGUAUGUAUGUAUAACAAAACAUAUGCAUUUAUAUAAGCUAAAAAACGUGUCUAUAAAGAGAUAUAUAGAUAUAUAUAAUAAGAUGAUAUAUAAAAAUAGUUAUAGUAGUAAUAAUAAUAGGACAAAUAUAUUCAAAAUUUAAAUAACUAAAUAUAAAUAAAAUAUAACAAUAACAAUGUAAAACUAAAUGGUAUAAUAAUAGUAACGUAAAUAUACAUAUAUAUAAUAGGAAAAUAUAAUAAUAAUAUUAAUAAUAUAAUAAUAGUUGUAAUAGGAUUAAAAUAGUUAAUUUAAUAAUAAAAUAGCUAAAAAAAUUAAACUGAAAAUAAACUAAAUCAUAGGGGCAAAAUCAAAACUGAAAACAAACAAAUGGAUUAAAUUGUGACUCGCGCGAAAAUGGGAAGGACUAACUAAGAAAUUAUCCCCUGUCAGUCAAAUGGUGUCGUUCUGCCAAAACCCAGACACAUGGGCUCUGGACCAAAUUGAAACAGAUGUGGAAAUUCGGGGCAAAAUUAAAACAAAUAAUAAAAGGGGAUAGGACCCAAUUGUAAAUAGCCUCAAAAGCGGAAGGACUGAAAGCGCAAAUAACCCCUCAAGUCUAAAAACACGCGGAUCUUAGGCGGUUCAGGUCGGGUCGGGUCGGAAGGCCUCUAAACGACGUCGUUUUGAGGCCGAACGAAACAGGCCAAAACGGCGCCGUUUCAUUUUAGCAUUUAAACCAAAAAUUUCUUCUAAAAUUCAUUCCCCUCCACCCCUUAAAAAAAAUUUGAAAACUAUUUUUUUCUCUCAACAGCCCCCCUCUCUUUCCCCAGAGAACGACCAAGGUCCCGUCGAAGGGCCACCGCACCGGCCGCCGCUCGCCGGUGUCGGAAUCGCCGUGCACGGCGGCGAGGCGGUCAAGAACUUUGUUUUUUUUCUUUAGUUUUCAAGCCCUUCCUCCUUGAUUCAAUAGACCGAAGAAAAGGGACCUCCUACGCCCUUUCUCGGUCUAAUUUCAACGACUGAAGGGACCCCCGACGACGGCCGUGGAUCUACCAGGUACUCCCUUUUCUCUUCGUUUUUUGUGUUUAUAUAAAUAGAGAAAAACUAAAAAAUAAAAAUAGAUCUAAAAAUAUGAAAAUCACCUUAAAUGUUUUUUUGUUUUUUAUUAUCUGAAAUCUUUGUGAAAAAGAACCAGCCCCCCUUUACAAUCUGUUAAAUGGCUUUAUAUAGCCUUUUUCAUUACAAAUCCCCCCACUUGCUACUGCUAUGGUUUUUCUUUAUUGUUUGCAGGUGAAGUAGGUGGAGACGUGACGUGCGGCGCGACGCGGCAGGAGGUCAGGGGUCAGAAGACCCUAGGUGCGGCGCACCUAGGGCUAGGGUUUUCAGACCCCUUUUUUUUUGCUUUGCUUUGGGUCGUUUGAGCCAUGGGAAAUUGGGCUAGACAUUGGGCUUUGGCAUGUAAUUGGGGUUUGGGUUGUUUUGUAGUGGGCUUUGGGGUUUGUUUUUAUAAUUGGGCCUCGGGGCAAAUUGGGCUUGUACAGUGAGUAAGAUGGCUAGAACAUUCUAAAGAUCCAAACUUGAACACACAUGGAGGUAUGUUCCUCAAAGUAAGUUCAAAUAUUAUACCCCAUUGAAUGUUAUGCAUACCUAUGUUUUGAAUUAGGUGAAGAGUCUAGGUAUUUUAUUGAGCCUUCCACCUAUGAGGCACAGUGUUAGGAGGUUAGGUUUGAGAGACAGAUGUGCUUUCCACAACGACGGAGGGCAUAAGAUUGAUGAUUGCUUUUCUCUGAAGGAUGCUAUUGGGGAAGUAGUGAGAAAUGGUGAACUGGGGGAUUUUGUUGCUCAAAAUACUACCUAGCAGAGGUAGAGUUCAUGUGCUGAGGCAAAAGGUAAGCAAUAUUAUAUUGUUGCUAGUAUUAUACAAAAUAAAAAGUCACAAAAGUGAGAGAAAACUCAGUAAUCAGUGCACCAAAACUCGUUAAGUCAAUCAUAGUUGCUAGUAUUAUAUUGUAUCUUCUUACAUAGAGAGAUAAGGUAGGUGAGAGAUGGAGACAAAAGAUGAUGAGCUUGGAUGGGACAUUAAGGGGGAAGAGAGGGAACAAUGUUAUGUGCCUAACUAUUUCUAGUGUUUGAACUGUUUUCAGUCAUAUCUCAUAUCUUUCUUUGAACUCAUACCGUCCUAAGCCUUAGAACAUUACAAGCUUAGAAGACCAAUGUGACUUAAGUCUUCUCUAUGCAUAAUCUUCCAAAAUUGCUAACAAUUAUACUUAAUGAAUAGUUGUUGAUUCACAUGAUUGUGUCUACUAUAUAUCUAUUUGAUUUAUGUUAACAGUGAUAUUGUUAAACAUUUGGUUGUGGGAAUUAUUUCUAGUUUGUUAGUAAUGUAAAUUUGUAAACUAGUUCCUAUUUACUUUAAAAAGUUUCCAAGACAUUAAAUUAUCAAGAUUAAGUUACAUGUAUGAUAAGAAUUGUUAUAUCUUUAAUAGUUGAUAACAAUGUUCAUAAUAGUAAUAAAAUCCAAGGGACAUCUUCUUAUUGCAUGCUAUGUGUCUAGACUUGGGUUUACUUGAGGACAAAUGAAAAGUUAAGUGUAGGGGAGUUUAGGUUUGAGGUUCUUAUUUACAUCCAUCUUCACUAACUCUAGCUUGUUUAAAGAAAGGAACCAAGUCAAAUUUUUUUAGUUUGCCUUUUUUUACAACUAAAAUUUUCUUUAUGUUUUUAUGUUUAUUUUUCCAUUCUUUUUUCUUUGUUUAUUUUAAUUAUAUGUUUCCAUUGCUUGGGAACAAGCAAUGGCUUAAGUGUAGGGGAGUUUGAUCUACCGUAAUUCGGUGUAGUAGAUUAAACUAGUUUUCAUACUUAAAGAGCUUGGAUAUGAGCAUUUUGGUUAUGCUUUAGUUAGUUUUUGUAUUUUAGUUUUAAUUUAAUAAAAAGUGUAAAUUGAGUCUUUUUAUGAGCUUAGGGGUCGAAUGAGGCAUAAAGGUGGGAUUCUCACGAGGGAAGAUUGUUCCAAAGCUAUGCUUUCAUCGAUAAAUCCAUGUGCAUCUCUUUUCCUUUAUUCUAUUCUUUAUAUCUCUUUCUUUAACAUUGUUUAAUUGAAUGUUUGUGUAAAGUUUAGAUAUCACUAUUAACAGAGUAAUUGGAUAAUAGAGGAUAGUUUAGGUAUCACUAUUAACAAAAAAAAGUUCAGAUACAUGAAGAAAAAUGGCAUAAUUUAAGUACUAAUUUGUGGGUUAAAUCUUAAUUUUUUAUAUAAGUAACAACUACUAAUUUGCGAGUGCUUCUAUCUUUUUAUACAAAAUAAUUUCAUUAAAAAAAAUAUAAACACAAUAAUAUUCAUAACUUUUUCUUGAAUGAAAUAAUAUUCAUAACUUCAAUUUUAUUUGGAAAAAAAUGUAAAUAAAUAAUAUUUGCUAUGUAUACACAUGGAUGAAGUGUAUAAAUGAAUAAUCUAUUUCACAACAUCUAACCUUUAUAGAUGCAUGAGAAUGACUCUAAUUGAUUCUUAUAGUGUUACAAAAUUCUUAGCCAAAAAAAUAUAAAUUUAAAAUGAAAAAUAUGAGAUUAUAAAUAGAUAUAAAUUUUCAUCUAAAUCUUGACAUUUUCUUAUGAGUUAACAUUUUUGAAACCUAAAUUACAACAUAAUGUAUGAUUGUUUUAUCUUGAUAAAUUAUGUUAAAUUUUGUUGAGUGUAGUGGUGCAAACGAGGUUAAAUUACUUCAUAUAACAUCUUACAUUUUCUAAAUGCAUAAUAAUGACUCUAAGGUUUUAAUCUUUUAAGGUUAAUUUUAUUUUAAUUACUUUAAAAGAUUCCAUAAAUUUAAUAACAAAAAGGAGAAUAAAGAAAAAAAUACUUAAAAAAAUAAAUAAAUUAAGAAUAAAUUAAUUCAAUGUAAAAUUUAAAUAAAAUUUAAAAUUUUUGUUAUUAUAUCAAAUAAAUUUUCUUAGUAAAAUACUUUUAGUGAAAUUAGAAGUCUUACUUAUAAAUGGUAAUUUUUAUUAAUAGUAAAAAAAUUUUUAUCUUUGUGCCAGAAAAAAACACCGCAUAGAUCAUAAAAAGGAAAAACUAAAACAUCCAAAAAAAAAACUGUCAAACACUAAACACAAAAUUCAUAAUUGUAGAGGAGGAUUGGAUACAUUGGUCCCAUAAUAUGUCACUCAAAAUCUCAAAAUCAUCCAACAAAAAGAAAUCAUCACUUCAGUUAAUUAAAGCAAGAACAAAGAAAGUUAUGGAUGAACAAAUAUGGGAAGCAAAGAAAAAUGAUGGAUCAAAAGGGACGAAUAAACUAAUUUCUGCCAUAAGGUAGAUGGUGAACUUAGGAUGUGGAGUUCCAAUAAAUACCUAAACAUACCUAAACUUUUGGCAAUUCAAAUAGUUUCUUUAUAAAAAUUUGUAAAUUUGAGGUGAGAUUAUCAAAUUAGCAAUUAUUAUUUUUACAGCAAAAAAUAUGAGUAUAUAAAGAAAAUAAAAACAUAAAAAAAGUAGAGCAAUAUAAAACGAAGUUUUAAGGUAAGUCGCUUUCUUAUUUUUAAGAAUAUUAGUAAAGCAGGACAUUUGGUUUUGCUUAUAUAAAAAGUUGUUCCAUGCUACGGAGAAAUGCAUAGGGACGUCAUGUUUGUGAUUUCUGAAAGCCAUUGUCCUCACCAAAUGAUUAUUACCCAUGUUUGCAUUUAAAUAUUUGAGUCGAAAUAUAUUAUUUUAAGCUGUCUAAUAAUGAAAAUAUUAAACUAAAACUUUAGUAGAGUUUAAUUAUAUAUUAUAUUUUAAUAAAAUUACAUAUUUUAGUUCAAAAAGAUAUUUUAAUCAAUCAUUUUUAUUAGUUUUGAAGUUCUGGCUUAUAUAUAUAUAGAAUAUAUAUUGAUUGAGUUAGAAAUACCACAAAACGUUGACAUUUUUUAAAAGUAUGAUAAUUGAAUAGAAGUAACCUAUGCUAAUGUGGAGUAAUUGUUCCAUAUAAUCCUUUUUAUGAUCAAAUGAUUGCUUAAUUUACUUCAUAACAUCUUACAUUUUCUAAAUGUAUAAUAAUGACUCUAGGUUUUAAUCUUUUAAGGUAACUUUUAUUUUAUUUACUUAAAAAUAUUGCAUAAAUUUAAUAGCAAAAAGAAUAAAAGAAACAUGAAAUUAUACCUGUCAAUUUGUUAUUGCUAAGAUAAAGCACUCGAAGAGAAGUCAAGUUUCCAAUAACAAGAGGAAUUUCACCUGAAACAUAGAAUUAAAUCAGUAAAUAUUUGUAAUUAUUUUCCUAGCGAACUCUUAAUUUAUUUGUUGAGCAUAUUAGUGUCCGUUUCAUUUACCUAUUUUUUAAUGUGCAAGUUUUGUUUAGUUUUAUAGUACUUAUGACAACCCAAAAAUAUUUUAAUUAUAAUACUCGAAUUUAUAGUUCAAAUGAUGAUGAAAAUUAGAUGGAAUAAAAUAGUUCACGCUUAAUAGUUUUGUUCAUAGGAUACAUCAUCGAAGCUGAACAUACAUAUAUAUUAGAAACUUUUAUUAGUUAACAGGGAUUAGCUAAUGUCAAACAACUGAUACUAUUGCAUACAAUAUGUUUCCCUAAACUGCUUGCUAUUUAUCUCUCGCCACAAAUUUUCAAAAACACAUGUGCAUUUUAAGCCAAACAUUUAUAAUAGUGAUAAGCAUAUUGAUUCAAUUUUUUGCUAAGGAAUCAGUAAACAAACACAUAUAUCUGCACAUAUGGACACACACAUAUAUCUGCACAUAUAGACUACUAGGAACCCGAAAAUGUCGCUAGACCCCGGGAUAUAGUCUAGGUGAAAAGGGACUGAGGAGUUGAACAGUAACGAAACUAGUAAGAACUCACAUGAUAAUGAGCUUGUUGUAACCAGAAUACAAAGAUUGGGCCAUAGUCAAGUUUCCAAUUUCUAUAGGCAUAGUUCCCUCCAAAGAGUUGUUAUGCAAUGAUAAAAACAUCAACUAUUAUAACUAGAAGAGACUGCAUAACAGUAACAACAAAAUAGAGAAUAAAGAUGAUAUUAUACCUGUUAAGUAGUUAUCAGAAAGAUCGAUGUCUGUGAGAGAAAUAAGAUUUCCAAUAUUCGACGGAAUUUCACCUAAAAUAUAUAAUUAAAAUUAUCAAAAUUUAUUUCACAAAAAAAUCAAAAUUUAUUAAUUAUUUUUAUAAUAAACCUUAAAAUCGUCAAAAAUCAAAGCUACUUCAUGGUUGUAUUUUGUGAGACUGUGGGAGUUGUGUGAAGAAGAGAAAUUAAAGAGACAAUAACAGUGGGUGAAUGCGGGUAGGUAUAAGUCUGAAACAUAUAAUAUCAACUAUGUACUCUGUAAUCAAAGCUAAGAGAAAUCAUGUACUCUAUUUCUUUCCUAUUCGAUAAUAUCAACACAUAAGUAAUAAGGCAUAUCUAAAGGAUAAAAAAAAAUAGCUAAUUACAAAUCUAAUGUGAUUCAAAAGGGUAUAAAGUAGGUCCUAAUUAAAAAUCAAACCUUAAACUAAUUUAAUGUAAAAUUUAACUCUUUUCUUAUCACCAAAUAAAUUUACUUUUAGUAAAUUAGGAGUUUUAAUAAAAUACUUGUAAUAACUGGUUGUUCAUGACUAGGUGUUUUGUUUUCAACAUAUUUUUCUAAAAAUUUCUACUUUUAUGGAAUUAACUUGCCUUAGAAAAGCAGUCUCUAUUAUUUUUAAGAAUAUUAUUGCUCUCAUUUUACUCGUACCAAUAUUUCCUAUAUUUUUCUUAUGUUAAAAUAGUUAAAGCAUUAAAUGUAUAAUUGAUUUUUUUUAAGUCAAAAGCUAAUUAAUAAUAUAUAACAACUAAAAAGGGAUCGCAUAAAUGUAACAACAAAAAGAAAAAAUAAGAUAUUAUACCUGAUAAGUUGUUAACAGAAAGAUUAAUAGCUUCGAGAGUGGUCAAGUUUCCAAUAGUUGAUGGGAUUUCACCUAAAAAUAUAAAUAAAUUGGUCAAAAUAGCUUGGUGCUAGAACUAUGUUAUCUUUGUGUGUGUAUGUUUAACGUAGAUAGCUAACUUAGAAGUAACCCAGGAUAUAGAGAAAUUUUAAUAAAUACUCGAACACAGUUGAACCUUUGACAAUUUGUAACUCAAAUUUGUUUCUUAUACUCAAAAUAGUUGCCCUAUUUUUUUAAGCUAAAAGUAAUAUAUUAAGAAACUAAAAAGAUUGUAAAGCUAAUUAAUAAUAUGGAACGACAACUAAAAGGAAUUACAUAAAUGUAACAACAAAGGAGAAGAAAAUUUUUUAUGAGAAAAAUGAUAUUAUAUUUGUUAAGUAGUUAUUAGAAAGAAUAAUGUACUUGAGUGAAAUAAGAUUUCUAAAAAUAGAUGAAAAAACAUAUAAUUAACAAUUUAUUUAUUCUAUUUCUCUCAUACCAUCAACUAUGGCUGACCAAAAAUUAAUUAAGGCAAAUCAAGUGGAUGGAAAUAGCUUAGUUACAAGUUUGAUGUUAAUUCAAUAAUUUUGUUUUAAAAAAAAACGUUGUUUCCAAAAGGCUAAGAAAUACGUCCAAAUUAUAAUUCAUAACAUAAAUUAAUUUAAUGUAAAAUUUAAAAUUUUUAUUAGUAUUGUUAGAGUUGUGUGACCUAAAUUCUAAGAGAUUGAUUGCAAGUCAAGGUAAACAAAAUACAUCUUCUUUCUAGAAGAUUUAGUAUUUAUGAGUAUAACAUAUUUAACAUUUAUUAGCAUAAUAUAUUCGACUUUGAUUAGAAUUAGGUUUUUUUCAACCUAUAAAUAGAUGUAGUCGAAACUCCUCUUGGAAUCAUUCGAAUUUGACAUAGUGAAUUUUCUUUUCCUCUGCCUGUGGUUUUUUUCCCAAAAGGCUUUCCACGUAAAAAUCUGUGUGUUCUUUAUUUUUAUUUCUCUUUUCUUUGCGAUAUAUUGUCAUUACUGAUAUUCUAUUUUUACAAGUAUCAAAUAAAUUCAAUCUAAUAACUCAUUGUUUAUGACUAGGUGUUUUGUUUUCAACAUAAUUUUCUAAAAAUUUAUACUUUCAUGCCACUUAGAGAAGUUUCUUUUAAGUAUUUUUUUCUCGGCCAAAAUAAAAGGAUAGAACUGACGAAAGCGGUUAGUAAAACAUGUGAUGCUAAAUACACAGACAUGCCAGAAUAGGAAGGAAAAUUAGAAACAAACUCCUAAACCAAAUAAUUGGUUGAUGGCUGAACUGACAUAAAACCGUUAAAGAUUUACACUAUAACUAUGUUUUAUUGUUUACGAAUAAUUUUUUCAUUAGACACAAGCAUUACUUUUGUAAGAACCUAAAAUAAACUACAACAAUAUAAAAAGAAAGUUAUAAUUACAACUCAACCAAUCAUAAGCCAACUUUGACUUUUCGACUAAAACUGUUACAACUGAAAACCUAAAUUCAUAUCUUUCACAAAGAACAGGGAUUGACGACAUAUCUCACUCAGUUAUUCCUCAAGCAUGGGGUUGUGGAGGUGACUAUGGGUUCCGAUGUGUUCCUACCUGCUACUAAGGGUUAAUCAGGAACUGCAUUAAAAAUCUGACUACAUUCCGUUUGGCACCAAUUAAAUUGGUUGAUGGCUCAAUUCACAUAAAUAAUAUAUAUAUACUCUAUGAUUAAGUUUGGUUUUGCUAGCACUGAACUUAGUAGAAAUUAGAUAAAAAUGAAUGCAACAAUAACCAGGAAUUGUUUACCUUUGAGGUGGUUGUUACCAAGAUUCAAACUCUCUAGCAAAGUCAAAGCCAUUUAGCUUAUCUAAGAAAUUGGCCUGAUUUGACACCAAUUAAAUUGGCUGAUGGCUCAAUUCACAUAAAUAAUAUAUAUAUACUCUAUGAUUAAGUUUGUUUUUGCUAGCAUUGAAUUUAGUAGUUAUUGUUUAAAGUCCCGCUUCACUAUUUAAAACAAUUGUUGAUAGAAAUUAGAUAAAAAUGAAUGAAACAAUAACCAGGAAUUGUUUACCUUCGAGGUGGUUGGAACCAAGAGACAAAGCCUCGAGCAAAGUCAAAUUUCCAAUUUCUGUAGGUAUACGUCCAUCCAAGGAGUUGUUAAACAAUGAUAAAAACUUCAGCUCUUUGCACUUGAAUAAACUAUUUGGAAUUCUACCGGAUAUUUGAUUUCCACCCAAGCUCAACAUUUCUAGUUUUGACAAAUUGCCUAGAGUAGAUGGGAUAACACCAAUGAAGUUGUUAAGGUACAGAGACAAUCUUUGAAGUUUACUGAAGCAACCAAACCAUGAUGGGAUUUCUCCAUUGAUGCUAUU
rnacentral:lncRNA from 1 species